rnacentral:lncRNA from 1 species
AAAGCACACACAAACCAAAUAGAAACACAUGAACACUUAAUUAAGCAGAGAAUAACAGCUUCUGCAAUCUGCGUAUCGCAGCUUGAUAGUCUGAUUAGUUCUUUCCUUGAGAAAUGAAAAUGAGAUCACUUUGAGACAUCCAAUGGCAUGCUUCACUUUGGCCAGGAGAAGUUUUCAAUAUCUUCAAGGCCACAUGAUCAGGGGACCAGCCUGAAGUAUCCAUAUGACAUACCACCGUGACUGUAUUAACUGGAACUUUGGUCCUAGGUUCAACAACAUCUACUGCAUAGACUUCAAUAUUGGACAGCAAAUGGCAGAAAUAUGUUGCAAAAGGAAGAAAUAAUUGAUGACAUGCCACAGUUUUUCCAUAUUUAAGCUUUUCCACGCGUCCAACCAUCAAUUCUUUUCUAGAACCCUCUGUGUUUUUCGAUGCCAAUGCCACCAAAUUCUUGUCACCUAUGGCAGUUUUUGAAAAUUCAAUCAUUUCCUCAAGGGAUUUUGCACAGCUCUGAGGCUCUUCCUUAAGAGCAGGAGUAUUGCAAUAAAUAAGGGUGUAUUGAAUGGCAUCUUUUGUUUGCGGGCUUUCAAAGGAUUGAGGAAAUAAUUUUCGUAGGUCAUUUUCCGUAACAGAGAUCUUUGAUGCCGUUUGAGAAGGAAGAAAUGACUGUUGGGGCAAUUGGUUUUCCAAGCUUGAGAGAUGCACCAUGUUUCCUUGUUUGAGAAGUGAGAGUCUGAAGAAAGAAAAAGGAUCAACAUGUAGGACAACAUUUGGGCUAAUUCUGCCAUAGCCGUAAUUAUUCUUGUCCAAGAAACUAUCAACACGUGCUUUGGAUAAACAAGCUAGGUUUGCAAGAGAGCAAAGAUUUGCAUCAAAUGGAAGAUUUUUCUCGGACGCUAAUGAAGUGAAAUGUUCAGCUUGUUCCUUGCUCAGUGGAGAUAGUUUGGACAGAAGAUUUCCAGGCAUGGUGCCUUGGACAUUUUCUGACCAAUAUUUGAGCUGAUUCAAUGCAGUGAAUGAAGAAGAUGAAAUGUGUGCAGCAAAAUGGGACGUAGGAAACGUGAGGGCAAUGACAAAGAGAACGAUAGCAAACGUUGAAGAGGCCAUUGGUUUCAUCGACACUAAUAUUGAGCUAAUUUUCUUCAGUGGAUGAAGUGCUGAUGACUUUGCUAGUGCAGCUUCUAAUUUAUACUAGUGCUCGAGCCUGGACACAGGGCCUCACCUGCCCAUUUCAGGAUAAAAUGGUUACUCUAAAUUUUUUUUACAUCUUGUUUUAGUUGGUAUAUAUCUUUACUUCAAUUUAUUUACAUCCCACUCCAACUUAUUUGUACCUUAGUCUAAACCGGUUGGAAAUGGAACUUGUGAGGCCUCAUCCCCCACUCUAGCCUUGUGUUUGCUCCAGCUAUAAUCUCUAAAGGGAAACCGUUCAAAAUGUUCCUUAUAUUUUGUCAUAUAAAUUUUUUCCUUCUUGUUGUCCCUAAAAAUUAUCAAUCCUCAAUCAUUAUUGUCCCUAAAUAAGUAGAAUCUAAUCCAUACCAUGUUCAUUUUUCUCCAUAAAAAAGUGGAAUAUGACCCAAUCCAUAUUUAUUUUUGCCACAAAAAAAUGGGAUCUACCCUUUUUGGACAUAAAAAAUAACUGUAUAUAGGUCACAUGGUGAUUUUAAACUAGUCAGAUAUUUAGGUUGGAACUAAAUUUUGCUAAUUUGAAUUUUUAAGUGAUUUAAUUUGAAGUUUAUAUUUUAAAAGUGAAGAACGAAAAAAUUUAUUUGAUAAAAUGUGUGGCAUGUUUUGAAUGAUUUUCUCAUCUUCACAUGUAUAUAUUGUACAAUUAAUCCAAAACAAAACUCCAAAUGUACCUGUGUUUACUAAUCCAGAAAAAAAGAGACAAAAUUGAAAAAUAAAUUUAUUUGAAUAGACAAUUUGCAACUUGUUCCACGUUCGCAUUUGAAUGGGUUAAAUACACUAAUCAUACAUCCACGUUAGACAAUUUGCGGUUGUCCCAUUUUAUGCUCUCAGCUUGCGGUCCAUAACCUGAGAUAUGUGGUAGUUAAAAAGACAAUAUUUGUAAUCUCGAAAGUGACGGACAAUACAGUCCCGCACAUUUAGUGCGUCUUGUAGGUAUAUAUGGACAACCGCAGCAAGGAAUUACAUCUCCAAAUACGAAAAUUUCAUGAAAUGAGAUGUAGGUGUGUGUAUAUGUAUAUAGGUAUAUAAAUAUGUAUGUAAGUUUGGUUUAUAAAAUAUUAGUCAAUACUAAUCGUUCAAAAUGACCAACAAAUUUCUUAAUAAAAAAACAUUGAUAUCCUUGGGGAUACUUUUUUAUCCAAUAAAGCAGCUGAAAAUUGUGUAAAAAAUGCAUGCUUCCUAUAAACAAGAUUGGAAAAGAAAACGAAAAUGAAUAAGUCACAUGCUAUGAAAGUCAGUUGAAAAGGAAAAGAUUGGCUCGUGUAGCCAAAAAUUCAUAAGCAUUGCAGUUACCAGCAACACGUAUUUCCGAUUUUCAGAUGUCCACGAUUUGUAUAAGGGUUCUAGUCUGUUGCAUUUGCAUCCCACAUACAUUGAUAACUCCAUUUGAUUUGAAGAGGAACACCUUGCGCAAAAGAAAGAUGUUGCAGAAAUUUGAGACAUGAAAAAAAAUUUAGAGACUAGCAUUGAAACUUUUCCAUUAAGGAAAUAGAAAGUUUAAGAGCUAUCAAUUGCUACAGCUAAAAUAAAAUAAGAAUGAGACAGAGAAAUAGGUUUUGAAACACACUGUGUGAAAAAUGGAUUUAAAAUGUGGUCAAUUGUUUGUACUAGUAGCAAAGGGUAAUUCCAACAGUCCCAAACGUAGGGGCAAGUGUAGGCAUUUAACAAAAGAAAAUUCUAUAUUAAGUGAUAUACAAUAAUACAAUAAUCACAAUUUAAAAGAUGGCGUACCUCAUGAUAUCUAAGAGUUCUCAUAUUUAAAUUUGAUAAAUGGGAACGUCAUGCAAGUUGUUCUUAUAGCAUGCAAGUGUUUUUGGAGUAAAUCGAUUUUAGAAAAGUUUAGAACAGUACUAAGAAAAGUUGCUUUCUAUAAUUGGUUAUCAGUUUUAACAGCAUUGAUUUGGUUUAGUUACUAUUACACUAUAAUGUCUUAGGGAAACAAUUAUCUGUUCACAAAAAGAUAUUAAAGUGCUACAAUUAACGAACUCUUUAAUAGGCUUUGUUGAUUAAUUCUAGAAUUAGAUGAUUGUAAAAAACAAUUAGACUAUUAACAUCGAACUUUUAUUUUUUUUCUUCUAAGAACAAUAGGAAGGAAUAGCCUUACAUUCUUUGACAAAAAGAAAGAAAGUAAAAAUCCCUAGCUACAUUAUUUGAGUUCUCAAGUACUACUGAUUAUGGAUGGAGAAAGAUUGCUCAAAAUUGCUGUCCUUUUGAAAUUCAUGAAAUUAUUAAUCAAUUGGCAACUUUGGUUGACUGGUCUUUUAUUGGGCAAUUUUUUGACAGAAGUUUGUCGGAGAAUAUCCUCUCCUUCAAUUUAAAAGAAGAAAAUUUUGAAGUAAUUCCUCCUACACUAGCCAAAAAUCUUUUCUAUGUUCUUCAGCUUGGGCUGGAUAGUGACCUGAUCGAGUUUAGGUAUUAAGAGCCAAUGAGUUCGAUCGAUUAGUUCGGGAUCUAGCUGAAUGAUGUCAUAAUGAUGCCAUAAAUAUAUUUUAAUUAUCUAUAAAGUAAAAAUUAUAUAUAAAUUACACAUUAGCUUGACAUAUUUGGUGAGUUUAUAACAAAUAUGAAGAACUCAUUCAAAUAGUUGUACAAAUUUAGGCUGGAAAUAUAAUUUGAUAAGUAUUUGUGGUUUAAUAUAUAAUUUUUUUGAAACAAUUCAGUGUCAAUUCUUGAACUUAAAGUCCAAAUACACAUUGAUGAGCCUAAAACUUUUUAAUAGGACAAUUCUUCAACAAAAUUGAGGUUUGUAUGUAAAAAUACAAAAGUUAGAGUUGCGUAGAGUAAUUAUAAAAGAAGUUUGGGAGUAUAUUUAUGAUUAUAAAAAAUGGAGGGUCAAAACAAAAUACUAGAAAAGUUUUAUAUUUAAUUGGCAAUUUCUUCUCCACCAUGCAUCUUCAUCAGCCAGGAAUCGGGAGGUUUCAACCUUCAUCUGCAUUCCCCUUUUUUUUGGUUUCUUUUUGUAAUGAUUUCAUUGUUUUUUUGUCCCUUUUCUUCAACUGGGUAAGAAUCUUCCCCUUAUUCUUUAUUUUCGUUCUCUCCUGUUUUCUUCUUUUUCUAUUUAGAUCUAUAAAUCUUUGAGAGAUGACAAUGAUAGAUUUAUAGAUCUAUUUUCUCUUUUCCUUUUUUCUUCUCUUGCAGUAAUUGAAACUUUUUAUUAUGAUUUGUCAAAUAUCUUACCACCUUUUUUUGGAGAGAUAAAAUUAGGCUUUAGAAAUGAAGAAAAUUUUUGGAAAAAAAUCACAAAUCAGCAAUGAAGAAAUUCAGGUAAAAUGAGGUUUUUCCCGAUUUUAUUGAUUCCCAGUUUAACACUCGAUUUUUUAAGGUGACUUGGACCGAAUGCUUGAUCGGUCUUGGUUUGCCCGGUCAGACUGAUUAGUCUAAUCCAAAUUUUAAAACAUAGGAUUUAAAAGGACAUAUUUGACUUGGGGAUCUAGCAGCAGAGCAUUUGAGACUGAAAAUAUAUAUGGAUGUUAAACAAGGGCGGCAAUGGAAAGAUAGUCUAAUGCUAUACCAAAGCAAGGAAACAAAAAGAAAAAGGAUUAAAAGUAAAAUUAGUUGUGACCAAAUAAAUGUAGCCAACUUGAACAUGGUAUAAAAGCAAUUGAGCAAAUGCCUUGUUCAAUUCAAGAUAAUUGAGGUACAAAAUCUAGAUUAACACAGCAAAUUAGGUUGCAGAAUGUUGGGUGUGGGCCAGCUCAUUUGUGAGCCAAACUAGAAAAUCAAAUAUUUUUAGGUUUAAGUCAAAAAUUUGACUUAAAUAAAAAAGGCGAGCAGCCGCAUGAAGUAUGAUUCUUCGGUCCUUGUGCGAGAAAAAAGAUUUCAGCCGCCGCUCUUGCUGGCUUGGUGAAGAAGGAAAAGAGAAAAAUAACUGGGAGAUCUUGAUUGGAAGGUGAUUCGAAUCCCGAUUGAAAUAAAAUUUUACAUACGCGAUCCUCUCAUCAAUCUCUACUCAUCUACUGGUCCAGAUUUUAGAUUUCCUCUUCGUUUGGUGACACCUUUCUAAACUCACUUCUUUGAUAGUUGUAGUUUUUGGGGGUGAUUUUGUAGUAAUUUCGUUUGAUUGGUAUUGGUGAUAUUAUUGUCAACCGAAUAUUUUGGGUAGACCUGUGUAUUCCUAUUGUUGUGAUAGUGAAGAUUUUUGACUGGACUAGAUCCCGUGGUUUUUCCCAAUUUGGAUUUUUCACGUAAAAAUCUUGGUGUCAUGUGCCUUUUAUUUUUCUUGCAUUUUAUUAUCACUACUGGUAUUAUUACUUGGUGAUUUGAUUUAUUCCUAUUUUUAACCGGUACAUAGAGAAAGAGAAAUUUGUCUUGGAUUAACUCUGAUAUUGUGUGUCUAUACCCAUACCUCUUUCCCAACAAAUGGUAUAUUAGACAAUCUUCACAUUUUGCACUUUCAUAAAGCAAUUACACCACAACUAUUCAGUUUUAGAUCGACAACUUUGUAUGCUACAGUUCCUUAGGCUGUCAACCACGUAAAAGAUGUCUUUCCGCAUCAUAUUGAAUGCGUUAGUUACUUUGUUUAGCAAAUUUAUAAUUAUUGAGAUGCAUGAAAUACUUUUUUUUCUGCAAGAAGAAUGGUUAAAUUCUCAAUUACAAUGAAAACAGAUAAUAUAGUAAUCCCACCAAUAUUGUUUCUUUAAACAUUUUGUUGUAAUACUCUCAACCUUUUGCUUUUCUGGUAAUAUACUUUCUUUUCAUUUCCUUUCCUUCAAUUCAAAAGGUCACUAAAUUUUUUUCCUCAAAUGGCGCCUAAAUUACUUUAAAAGCAAAGAUAACUAGUGAGAUGCCAAAAAUUUCCAAUCAAUUAUAUGCUUUACUUUGAAACUUACCGGUAGUUCCACUUGUUUUAAAUUUGUAUUAUUUAGGUAGGUUAAAAAUCGAACCAAACUAUUCGAUAUUUGAAAUAAGUUUGGUUCAGUAAAAACUUGUUCUAACUUGAUUUAUGAAUUAAUCAAACAAAGUUUGAACAUCAUUUUGUGUUCAAUUAACUUUUAAACUCUAUUUAAUCCUGGUACAAUUAGCAUAAAACUUGAUUUUAUAAGUAAAAAAUUCAAGCUAUUUGAGCUCAACUCAAAUCUGGCUUGAUUAAAGUCAACAUUAAAUAUAAUUUCAAAUUUGCUAAAAUAAUUAAACAAAAUUGAACGCUAACUUGUCCUCAAUCUUACUAUUGUCCUUAAAUGCAGCCAUGCUGCAAAAUACCUAUGCAUUAUUAGUUGGCCACUUACUUCGACAUCUUCUUAUCCUCAACUUCUUUUGCCUUUCUUUCCUUUUUUGUCUUCUUUUGUUUUUAUGUUACAGUACGGUACACCUACAAAAUUAUUUUGCUACCCACUUUACCCCGCUAUACAACACGGAUGAAGGUUACUAAAUACAAAUUAGGGACAUGAGACUUAUGAAAUAGAGGCCGUAGAAAACAAAUGGGAGAACAAGAAAUCUAUAUUCUUUCUGUCAACUUGCAAUACUCAAUCUCCUUCAACUUCAAUUUCCUUCAAAGUUUCUUUUAAUUUUUUCUUGGUGCUUUAAACAUGACACAUUUCCUACUACCUUUUCUUUAAAAAAAAAAAAAAAAAAAAAACAUUGGCACGUGAAGUUGGCAAUUGGCACUUAUCAUACAAGUGGCUCCGGAUGUGCGGUAUCGUUUGUUUCUUUUGUUUCCUGGGGAUGAGUUUUUGGACUUGGACCACUCAUAAAUAAAGUUGUUUCCUCCUGUGCGGUAUUUCUUGUCAUGGUUGCUCUUACAAUACAGCCAGCCAAUGAAAGUGAAUGUGACAGAGAGAUAUACGCACGGAGACAAAGACAAGGCUGCUCGUGUCUCAUCGUACGAUCCAAUAAUUUGGGAAUUCGAAAAAUCUAAAACCAAAGGAGAAAACAAAUGUAAAUGUGUAAAUUUACAAGUAACCAGUAUUGGUGUAAUCAAUGCAUAAAUGUGUACAUUACAACUGAUAACAUGCAUAAACAAGAUAAACUCACAUUUAACGAGACUUGACUCAACGGUUAUGAUUGUUGAAUCUCAACCUUGAUUUUCUAGACGAACAUCUCGCUGUACAAAUUAUUUAAAUUGCUAUUUUUAAAAUUUUUGUAAAAAAAUAUAUUAUAGUGAUUUGAUAUAUGUGAAAUAAAAGGGUGAUUGAAAAAUUUAUUUAUAAAAAAUCUAAAAAAUUAUCUAUAGAAAAUAGUAAUGGAAGCAAAGGUUUUUGAAUUAUUGGAGCACCCCUAAAUUAGGAAGGACGAAAAUUCAUUAUCACAUCAUAGGACCAGCUAGUCUAUUAUUCUACAAGGUGAGAUAAUUAUGAAAUUGACAUGAAGAAAUACUUCCCACACGAGUCAUGAAUCGAUCAGAUGUGGGACUGGUGGCGGCCGCCAUCUCAAAAAUUAUCAUACGACAAGACGUGUUUCAACACCAUAAGUUGCUUUCGAAGAAUAUUAAAAAUAAUGUUCUGCACAAUAUUUGGACAAGGUCACAAGAAUGGCUCAAAUCACUGAAUCAAAAAAUCCUUUAGCUGCUCAGCUUGAGUUUCACUAAAUAUUUUGAAUUGCAGAGACCUAGUCAAAAAUCGAGUUUGAUCAUGAAAAACAAGGAAAAAAUAGAAAAGUUUUUCAUUUUUUGGUGAACCAUUUUCUUUUUUCUAUUUUGUUAAAGUUUUCCAUAAAAUAUGUUUACCAUAGUUUGAUGGGUUAGAUGCAAAACUUAGCUCUUAAUUAUAACAAAUUUUGCACUUUACUCCUUAAAAUUAUCUUAUUUUGACUUUACUCCACUAUUAGUCAACUCAAACAUUAUAUACCCAUAACCUGAAAAAAACAUUCAUCCUGAGGGUUAAUGACAGUAAAUCCCCUCAAGGUAUUGCAUGUUUUAUACUUUACUCUAUAAAGUCAUCUUUUCUCAAUUUGUAGGUUUGUCCCAAGACCAUUAGUUAACUCCAAUAUUCUGUAACACCCAAGAAAAAACAAUAGCUAAGAGACAUUUAUAUCCUUGACAGGAUAGUGAACUGAAUAAUAUUUUAUGGAUAUGAGUCUAGUUAAAUUUCAUCUCGUAAUUACACUUUUUUAAGACAGGGGGAAAUUUCUCGAUCAUUUUAUGCCUUAAGGAGGAAAAAUAAACAAAAUAUUAUUUAAAAAUAAAAUAUGAAAACUGAAAAUAUUACUAAAUUUGUAAAACCCGCUUAAAAACUGUCAAUCUCUCUUUUCAAAUGUGCAUAUAGGUUUGCUUUUCAUUUAAUGGCUACAUUUUUGCUUUGCAUAAAAAAUAUACACUUUUCGUUGUUAGUAACACUACAAAGGGGCAAAAACAUGAUGGAUUUGGCAUUCCAAAGCUUUAUUGUCACUUGUGCUCAGAGCGCACCCGACGUGUGUACAAUCAAAAAAUAUAUAAUAUUAAUAGUCAUAUAUUUUAAAUAAAAUUUUUAUUACUAAAGCAAAUUUUAAUCUUUUAAAUAUUUUUCAUAAAAUAAUUUUAUAUUGGUAGUUAUGUUGAAUACAUAUACUUAAAAGUAAAAAUAGUCAUGGGUGGUUAUAGAUAGUUAAAGUAAAAGUAAUUUUUAUAAGGGCAAAAAAGAAAGUUCAUAAAGUGACGAUAAAAGUUAACCCUAAUUUUAACCCCAAAUCUCUUUGUCAAGCUUUACAUAUAACUAGUGCCAAAGGCACACCCACAUGUAUGCAAUUUAAGAAUAAAUUAAUUUUUAUGAAAUUUUCUUUAAUGAAUUGAUAGUUAGUAUUUUGGUAGUUAUGUCAAUUGGUAGUUAUCUUGGUAAUUAAACUUUUUUUCAUAAUAAAAAGUUUGGAUGUUUAAAUUUUAAACAUAUUGGUAGUUGCAACAAAAAUUAUGUUGGUUAUAUAUAAUUGGAUAGUUAGGAUAAAAUUUAAUUUUGUGAGGAUAAAAAUGGAAGUUUAAAAAGUGACAAAAGGUAUUUACCCCACCCUUUCAUUUCCUAGAGUAAGUAAGGGUAAAUUUGAAAACACACAAAACUAACACCAAGUUAACUACCUACACAUGUUUUAUUAUUUUAAAGAUAUAGAUUUUGUAAUGCUAAAAGGCACUUUUCUCAAACUUCAACGGUUUACUACAGAGGCAUUUUUUUUACAAGUGCUCAAUACACACCCAAUGUGUGUGCAAUCAAAAAAUACAUAAUUUUUAUGGUCAUAUAUUUUAAAUAAAGUUUUUAUUACUGAAGCAAACUUUAAUCUUCUAAAUGAUUUUCAUAAAAUAAUUUUAUAUUGGUAGUUAUAAUGUUUAGGGGUAGUUAUGUUGAAAACAUAUAUUUAAAUAGUUGAAAGUAAAAAUAAUCAUGAGUAGAUAUAGGUAGUUAAAGUUAAAGUAGUUUUUAUAAGGGUGAAAAAGGAAGUUCAUAAAGUGAUCAUAAAUGUUAAUCCCAAAGUUAACCACAAACCCUUUCCUUAGACUUUAUAUGUAGUAUAGAUAUUGGUGAAUUUAACUAAUGAGGGAACAAAGUGAUAAAAAGAUAAUAAAAUUUGGAAUUCUAUGGGGGAAUUCUUAUAAAUAACCCGAGUUUGAUACUAAAAAAAUUAAUGCCUUGUUUAGAAAGAGAUUUUUUAUCAAAAAAUCUAUACGUUUUUCAUAAACACAUUUUUUAAUCACCUUUUUACCUCACAUAUAUGAAAUCGCUACAGUUUAUUUUUUACAAAAAUUUCAAAAAAUUGCAAUCCAAACAUAACCUAAACUUUUAUAGUGCGCCCAUGGAUAAUUAGGAAACUGUGAUGAUCUAAUAAAAGUUUUCCAGGGUUAAAAGUAAUAAGCCCCCAAAACUUUUGGGAUGCUUUGCACUACAGUCUCUAACGUUGAUUUUGUGCCAUUUAGUACUUUUGUUUUUUUAAAUGAGAUGUCUUAAAUUCAAAACUUCAUACUUACAAUUCCUUCCACCUCACCACUUAACCAUACCCUCCACCCCAAACUCCAAUUUUAGUACUUGUGUUAGUCAACCUCAACAUUUGCCGUUAAAUGGUACUAAUUUCUAAAAUUACCCUGAUUUCUAUGACAAAAAUACCUGUUGUCCUAAAUACAAUAAAAAGAUCUCCACAAAACCCUGCAAUCCUUUUGUUUAAUAUAAAAAAGUUUAAAAAAAAAACCGCAAGCAUUUUGACAGUGCCAAUACAACAAAACCACAAUCUUCCUUUAAUUAACUUAAAUGCAGCGAAGUAUUUCUUCCAAUCUUCUACUCCAUAGUCUUUUUUUUUUUUUUUUUGGAUUAACCGUAGGAGAGCGAAGUACUUUUGUCCUUUUUCUCCUUUUUAUCAAUCUCACAGCUGACAAAACAAAAAUUUUCAAAUAUAUCUAAACUAGCAGUUCCGUCUCUCACUUAUCUUUUUGCUUUCAACAGGUUUUGUACCUAAACAUUAUGUUUUUUUUUUCCCGCAAAAUUAUGUGCUAAGUACAUUCAUUUCCAGAAUAGACAAUUAGAAACAGCAAUGCUAUUAUUCAUGUUCAACUCGUUUGAAUUUGGAAAAGGUUUAAUCACAGAAUAAACAAAUAAAACUCGAAAACAAGAUUGAUUUGGAACCAACACACAAAUUUGGGUGCAAGCGGAUUGAAUAUGUUAUUGAACCCCACAAAAAAUUAUAUUGUUGCCCCACUUUGCCCCCUUAUUCUCCUUACCAGUAUUGCAACUAGAGGUGUUAAAAUGGAUGAUUUGGACGGGUUUGGAUUGGCAAAAAUGGAUAAUAGGUAUAAGUAAGUCAACCCAUUUAUACCUAUUUAAUUAAAUGGGUAUAAAUAGGCAAGCCAAAAAUGAAUUGGAUAACCCAAUUACUCAUUUAUAACCCAUUUAUUUUAAUUUUUUAUAAACUCAUUUAAAUUCAUUUUGCAAACUAGGUUAUCAAUUUAUACCACCCUUUACACCCAUCAUUAGUUUUAAAUAUUUACUUAUAAUGCUCAAUAAGCCUAUUUACCAAAUUUUUUUCCAUCCGUACUCUAUGUCGUAAAAUUACAUGCUAUUUAAUAAUUGAACAAUCAGAAUAUAAAAAUUUGAACUAAGUACUAUAAAAGUUAAACAUAAAAAUUUAAUCCAAAAAUUUUAAACUCCUAGCAUUUUUUUCAUGUGUAAAUUUAAAAUUUCAUUUUGAAAAAGUAGGAAAAGAGGCUAAAACUUGUCAUAAAUUGGUAACACUAAAGAGUAAGUUAACAAACUAAGAGAAAAAAAAAUGAUAAGAUAAAACCAACCAAUGAUAAUAAUAAUGAAACAAAAAUAGUUAACAUCAUAACAAAAUGAAGAAUCUGAAAAAAAAAAUGGGUGGGAGAAGAGAGAAUGCUUGGGGGAAGAUAAUUCUAAAUGGAUUAAUUGGAUUUGAUGGGUUAUCAAUAAUACCCAUUUAUUUAAAUGGGUAUUAUUGGAUAAUCCAUUUAUACCCAUAUGCAAAAACUUAAGAUACCCAUAUCCAUAUAUUCAUGGGCGGGUAUGGGUAAAUUUAGUUAAAUGGAUUCAUUUGCCACCUAUAAUUGCAACCAAUGCAAGUAAAAAUUGCGAUACUUGUUUACUACAAAAUAAGGACGUGAAUUUAUCAAAUAGAAAGUGGAGAGAAAAAAAAGGGCAAAAUACACUUAACUCUCUUGUGAUUUAUUGAUUUUUUACAUAACCUCCCUAUAGUUUCAAAUACUAUAUAUAACCCCCUCAUAAUUUGCAUUAAAGUUUCAAAGUGACAAAAGUGAUUAUUUGCAAUGAAACCCAUGAAAAUAUCGAAAUUGCCUUUGUUUAAAACCUAAAAUGACUGAACUGAUCAAAAAAUAUAAAUAUAAUAUGCAUGACACUCUAACAUCGUAUAGUUUUAUAUUUUACUAUAUAGUCCCCUUAUAGUUUAGUGUUUUACCAUAUAAUCCCCUUAUAAUUUUUAAAAUAUAUACAUAAUCUUUUAUGGUUAUAAAUAAUUUUUAACUUUACAUAAGAGUAUUUUUAACAUUCUAGUUGACUCCAUUAUGGAAUACAAAUUCAGUUAUUUUAAGACUUUAAUUCAAAUCAUGAGAGGGGUAUGUGUAUCUUUUGAAACUAUAGGAGAAUUAUGUGAAAAAAUAUUAAACCAUAGGGGGUAAAGUGUAUUUUUCCAAAAAAAAAAAAGGAAAAACAAGGAGUGAGACCAUUUUCUCAUUUUAUAUGUGCACUUUAGUAAAAUAGUUAAUCAUUUUUCUUCUUUUAAAUUGUAAAACUCAACCUCUUUUAAUUUAAAAUUUCAUUCGAAUGUUAUUUUAAUUUUGAUCUUAGUUCUUCAAAAUUGGCAUAUUAAUUUCCUACAAUUUUUGUAAGGAAAAAAAAAGCAUAAAACAUGGCACUUGAAGUUGGUUGUCGGCACUUAUAGCUUGUAUCAUUUGUUUGCUGGGUACAAGUUAUUGGACUUAGACAACUCAUGGAUAAUUAAGUUGAUUUCACCAGUGGGGUUUAUGGUGGCUUAUCUCCUUCUUAUCAUGUUUGUUCCGACGAUGCAGCCGGCCAAAGAAAUAGGAUGAGAAAGAGAAAUGGGCGCAUGGAGACGAAGGGCCGGCGGCUCCUUUUGAUAUAUCAUCGGUCCCAAUUGUUUGGGAAAUCUAAAAGCGAAGGAGAAAACAAAUGCAUGCAAUUAUGCGAAUCGGAAGAGAUCUGAAUUUUUUUGGAUCAAUUCAAGAACUCUCUAUAUUAGAAAGGGCAAUAAUGCAAUGUCACAUCCACAGGACCAGCUGGUCGUUUGUCAAUUAUUUUACAGUGGGAAAUUAUGAAAUUCGCAUAGGGAAAUACUUUCCUGCUCAUGAGCCGAUGAAACAGUGGAGUGGCGGCAGCCGCCGCCCUUCGAAAAUUUAAGUUUGUUUUUGGAUUGUAAUUUUUUUUAAAAAAAAUUCCUACGUUUUUUGUGGAUAUAUUUUUCAAUCACUUUUUUAUUUUACAUAUAUUAAAUCGCUACAGUAUUUCUUUUACAAAAAAUCCAGAAAAAUGCAAUUCAAACAAAGCUUAAAAUUUUAUUUAUAUCAGAUUUUUUUUUGUAAAACAUUAUAAUUUUAUUAAAUUUUGUAUUAAUGGCAAAAGUUACAUCAUCUGAAAAGUGGAUACUAUAGAUAUGAAAAACAGAUAAAAAUUACACUGUAAAAUUCUAAAAAAUAGUUUAAAAAAUGAGAUAAAAUAAUUGUAACCUCACGAAUAUCUAUGCAUGCUUGUGAUCGUCAAAUCUAUUGAUUAAUUUUUUCAAUUCUGAAUAUUAUGGUGAGAUUUACCAAAUAAACUCAAGAAAUUCCAAAUUUGAUAAAUAAAAUCUAAAAAAAAAGAGUUAGAUCGAAUAAAAGAAAAUAAAAAAAACUACCUAAAGCAUUCAUUAGAAAUCUCUAGGAAAGAAGAAAACUCUCACUAGGUAACACUAAGAGAGGAAAAAAUUCUCACUAGAAAAUUGUAAGAAAUUUUAUUUGUACAAAUGAAAAAAAACUAUAGAUAAAGCUCCUCCUAUGGAGAAAGAUUGAAAAAAUGUGAUUUCUCACCCGAAAGAAUUGAAUGAAGUUUUGGUUAGAGAAUUUUCCUAAAGAGAAACUAAUUCUCUCUUUCUUCUCUCAAGAAUUGGUGGGAGGUUUUUUUUAUGUCUUAUACAGUUCUUUCUUAUUUAUAUCAGAAUUAAGAGAAUGGAAAGUGAUAAUUUGGAGAAAAAAAUUUGAUCAAAGCCUUGAUAAUUGUAAGGUCCAAUUAAUAUUCUAGAUCUUGGCCAUAUUAGCUCGAGCUAAUCUAGGUCAUCCAUCUCUUUUCUAAAGAAAAUUUAUAUUUUUUUUUUGUUGUAAAAGUUAAUGGCCAGAUUUGGACCACAUCAGCAAAACUUGAUUUGAACCAUUAAUUGUACGUAUGCCAGGCAAUCGUGCAUUCUCCUAAAAGUAGCCAAUUGCCAUGGAAGGUUGUAAAUGACCAUCUUAAUCCCUGAAUUAAGAAACAGUCAUCCCAUAAAUCCUCUUCCUCCUUCCACAUUCGAAGACCGCCACCGCAGCUUACUCCACCCUUCAUUCACAAACCCAGUCAACAAUUUUUGCCUACAUAUCAAUCUUGAUUACCUUGCUAUAUCCCCUUACUCUUCCCUUCACGCUAUCUUCUUCCCAUAUUGAAGAAGCAAAACCAUGAUGAAAUAUUGUUUUGGGACAGGAAUAUGUCCAAAAGGGUGAUUUUAGGGCUAUCAAUGGGUCCGGACCCAAAUCUGAUCCAAUAUGCUCGUUUGUUCGAACCUGACCAAAUCCAAAUUAUAUGCAUUCUAAAUGGAUCGGGUAUGGAAUGACAUGUUCCGAUUCAUUCGGAUCCGAUCCAAUUAAUUGGACAUAUAUAAGUAAUAAUUAUAAUAUUCAUUAUAAAUUGUUACUAACCCACAUGUUUUCUCUUUGAAAAAAAAAGGAGGUACUCUAAGAACCAAAUAAUCUUUGGAAUUUUUCUCAUUGUGUAGUUACUAUUUUAUUAACAAAAUUUGUGUAAAAAUAGAAUUCAAAAAUUAUCAAAAAUUUUGUUAUACUAAAUUGAUUUUAUGGAUUGGAUAUAUCCGAAAUAGAUUUGAAUCCAACAGAAACUGGAUCCAGAAAUACAUAUUAAGACUUCAUUAGGUAAAUGGAUUGGGAUCCAAAAUAAUUAUUACCUGUCGGAUUUGUGUUAGCAGUUAUCAAUUUUACCCAGAAUCAACCCGAUGAGUUCUUAUUUUGUUUCUUUUUGGGCAAAGCUCAUACUAAUGGAGAGGGAUGCCAGUCCCAAAUUUAUUACUAAUAGAGAAAGGAAGGGCCAGGCAUUAAUCUAAACUCUAAUACAAGAAAAAGAAGCUAAUGAAAUGGAAAAAGGAGUACUACUCCCGUGCCGAUCUUAAUCUAAUGUUUGGCAAACUAAUACUAUCAACAGAAAUAAUAGCUUUUACUGUGAAGCAUGGUUCAAAGUCUCGGCCGACUCGUCACCGUCUCAGACCCUUCGAUACGUCACUGUGAACGGUUGAAACGGUCGAGUUACACUGAAUCACUCCGAGUCAUCCUAAGUCAACUCGAUUUUUUAUUAUUUUUACUAAUUUUUUAAUUAAUUUUGUUUACCAUAUUUUUUAUAAAUUUUAGAAUAUUAAAUAUUUCAAAAAUUCGCGUCUCACCGAGACUGCAUGCCAAGAUCGAUGUAGAACGGUCUAGGCCGCGACCGCGACUUUGAACCAUGCAGUGAAGGCAAUUCCGACGUAGAAGUGUAAAUCUGCUGCCGAGAGAGAGUUAAAGAAACAAGAAAGUAAACUGAAAAACUUGCUCCACCAUAAAUGUGAUGAACAAAAACCCGAUAACACCUUGAAGCAAAUGACGAAUUUGAACUAGGGCACUACACAUUGGCCAAUUAGCUAAAGCAUUGGUUGAUAAAGGUGCACAGGUAGCUUAGCAUCCACCUGUACCAGUACAUCAUCAGUAGUGCAUUAUUUUCUACCAGCAAAAAAUUUGCCUUGUCAAAUUCUUCAUAAAAUACAAAGACAAUCCUAUCAAUAUUAUGAUGCUAAAUGAGAAAUUUUGGGUUCGAGUCCUUCCAUCUAAAUUAUUUUAAAAAAAGCAAAAAAAAAAAUCCAUGAUGGUCUUGUAGAAGACUCUCUCGAGAUGAAGUUAACCUUUUAGUACUGGUAAUGGUAUUGAGUUUAUAAUGCUUUUCCAUGGUGGAAACCAUCAGACAGCCAUUACCGAUGUCCUCAUGGAAGUUUCUAGCCUAAAAAACUUUGCAGUAUAAGUAUUCUAAUCACUUAUUACAUAAAAUCCUAUCACCAAGGAACGUGCUCCUAACACAGCAAGACAAUUAUCAACCUUCAAAAUAAUCUUAAAAGCGAGCGAAGAGAUUCUUUGAAAAUGUGUUUCGUUCUUUCCACACCAUGAAAACCACAAAGCUAAUAUAGGUAAAAUACAUCUAAUGUGAUCAAGAGGUGCUUUAUCUAGAGACAAAUUAACAAGAAGACAUCAGCAAAGAAGAGAUACAUGUAUGAGGCUAGAAGGGAAUUCUGAAAACUGGGAAGUAAUGCCCGGCAAACUUGAACUGGAAUCGAGCCUUCUGUUAAAGUAUGCGGCAAAGAUGUUGUAAAAACUUGAUAUUUCAAAAGAUUUUUCGUUUGUUUCGGACUAGAGCUUUAUCUGAUAAUAUUUCAUCAGAUAUGGUUGUUUCUAUUUUGAUGGAGAAGUUUUCAAAGAUAAGGUUUUGACUAAAAGGCAAGUUCAAGUGCUAGAUAGGAAGUUAAGCUUCGGAUGGCCUUUUUUCAAAUGACUUGACCUUUUCCAAACUUAUCACCACAGAGGAUAGACCUCUGACUACUUCAAAAGAUAAAGUCUGGCACGAAGCAAGCCUAUUCUCACGGAAAAUUAGCUUUCAAAAUUCUAUCUUCUUCCGUCCCGUGAAGCUUAUAAAUAGAACCAGUUGCCAGGCUCAUUUCGCACUGCAAAAACGAAGUCUACACUUUAAAACACUCUCUACCUCCUCCUUUGUCUAUCCUUCACAACAUUCUUGCUUUUCUGCUGGGUUAGAAACAAGAUUUUUUUUGCUGGUUCUAUGUCCCUCUCACAAAGUAGAGGAAAACUUGUUUAAUUCUGGGGAAACGUUUCAAUACCCUGAAAUAGUUUCUUAGGACAGUGCUUUCUAGCACGACUCAAGUAUCCACGUGUUGACAUUGUUCGGGCCGCUUUAUCCAACAAUCUAAGAAACUAUGGCAUCUAACAAUGUUAGCACCCCACAGCCUUCAUCAGCAACUGUUGCAGUGGCACUACCAUUCGCCAAGCUCUUUCCGGAUGUAUCCAAAAUUGAAAUUUUCGCCAAUGAAAAUUUUAAAAGAUGGCAAGAACGUGUGCACUCUCUACUUGACAUCCAUGGAGUAGCUUAUGCGCUCACUGAAUCUCAACCUUCUGCAACUGCGGAUGCCAAGAGUCAAGAAGCAUGGCAAUAUGCCAAUAAGGUAUGUCGACACACUAUCCUUCAAACACUCUCUAAUGAAUUAUUUGACGUCUACUAUAGCAGCAAAGAAGCCAAGGCAAUUUGGGAAGCCUUGGUAACAAAGUUUACUGCCGAAGAUGCAACCAAGCAAAAAUUCGUCGUAGGAAAAUACAACCAAUGGCAAAUGACUGAUGACAAGGAAAUGAAAAUUCAAAUCACCGAAUAUCAAAUGCUGCUAGAGGACUUGAAAAAUGAAGACAUCAAUCUUCCUGAGAAAUUCGCUGCAAGCAUGCUGAUUGAAAAACUACCAGAGUCAUGGGCCGACUAUAAAAACAACUUGAAACACAAGGAGAAAAAUUAUACCAUGGAUGAGCUCGUGAAGCACAUCCUCAUUGAAGAUUCAAACAAAAGGGAGUUAAGAGCUACCAAGGCAAAGGAGACGGCUUUCAAAGCCAAUCUGGUACAAGGUAAUAAUAAAAGGUACGCCAAUAAAUCCCAGAAUUACAAGCCCAAAAAUUUUAAUUUCAAGCCUAACAAUCCCAACUUUAAGAAAAGGAAAGGCAAUUGAUUUUAUUGUGGAAAACCAGGACAUCAUGCAUUACAAUGCAGACAUAAUAAAGGUGACAGAGCAAAUGGUAAUCUUCCUAAGGUGCACUUAACCGAAGGAGAUGAUAUAAUUGCUGCUGUCAUCUCUCAAGUGAACAUUGCAGCCAAUGUCAAAGAGUGGGUGGUAGACUCUGGGGCUACUCGGCACAUAUGUGCAAAUUGAGAAGCAUUUUCCUCCUAUACUCCUAUAGGGGAUGAUGAGGAAGUUGUCUACCUUGGUGACUCACGAACUGCUAAUGUUCUGGGUAAGGGCAAAAUAUUCUUGAAACUCACUUCAGGAAAAACUUUGGCUCUCAAUGAUGUACUGCAUGUGCCCAACAUUCGGGCAAAUCUGGUUUCCGUAGGAUUGCUAGGAAAAGUUGGAGUGAAAGUGUCAUUUGAAUUUGGAAAGAUCAUAAUGACCAAAAAUAAUGUAUUUGUGGGCAAGGGCUAUUGUAAUCAGGGACUCUUUGUACUUAACAUUGCCAAUGUGAUCAAUGAGAAUGCUUCUUCUUCUGCUUAUAUUAUUGAUUCAAUUUCUUUAUGGCAUGCAAGAUUAGGACAUGUUAAUAUGAGUUAUAUAAAGAAAAUGCAAUCUUGUGGCCUGAUUUCUGGUGUUAAUGAUAAAAUGGAUAAAUGUGAGAUAUGUGCAGAAACUAAAAUGACAAAGAAGACUUGUAUAACUGUUCAAAGAGAAACUGAACUAUUAAAUUUAAUCCACACAGAUUUAGGUGAUUUAAAACAAACUAUGACUAGAGGAGGAAAAAGAUAUUAUGUCACUUUUAUCGAUGACUACUCUAGAUAUACUAAACUUUACUUACUUAGAAAUAAAGAUGAUACUCAUAAUGCCUUUUUAUCUUAUAAGUCUGAGGUAGAAAAUCAACUUAAUAAGAAGAUAAAAAGAAUUAGGUCUGAUAGAGGAGGCAAAUAUUUAGCCCUAGAUAAAUUUUGUGAACAUGAAGGCAUAAUACACGAAACAACACCUCCUUAUUCGCCAGAAUCUAAUGGAGUAGCUGAAAGGAAAAAUAGAACAUUAAAAGAAAUGAUGAAUUCUAUGUUAGUUAGUUCUCAUGCUCCUGAUAAUUUAUGAGGAGAAUCUAUUUUAUCUGCAUGUCAUUUACAAAAUAGGAUACCUCAUAAGAAAACUGGCAAAACUCCUUAUGAGUUAUGGAAAAGUUAUAAACCAAAUUUGAAAUAUUUAAAAGUAUGGGGAUGUCUUGCUAAAGUAUUGUUGCCUGAACCUAAGAAAAGAAAAUUAGGUUCUAAAACUUCUGACUGUAUGUUUAUUGGAUAUGCUGAACAUAGUGCUGCAUACAGAUUUCUUGUUUUAAAAAGUGAUACGCUUGAUUGUAAUACAAUUAUUGAGACAAAGAAUGCUGAAUUCUUUGAACAUAUUUUUCCAUUGUCGAGUAAAAUUUCUCAUGCACCUGUUGAAAUAAAUAGAGAAAUAAUUCCGAAUGAGGAAUUAAGAAGGAGUAAAAGGCCAAGAAAAGAAUUUUCUUAUGGAAAUGAUGUUCAAACUUUUCUUGUUGAUAAUGAUUCUUUAACAUACUCCGAUGCUAUUUCUUCCCCUGAUUGUAAAGUUUGGAAAUAAGCAAUUAAAUCUGAAAUUGAUUCUAUCUUGUCAAAUAAAACUUGGAUUUUGGUGGACUUACCUCCUGGUGCAAAACCUAUUGGUUGCAAAUGAAUUUUUAAAAGAAAAUAUAACUCUGAUGGCUCUAUAGAAAAGUACAAAGCUCGUUUAGUAGCAAAAGGAUUUUCUCAAAAACAAAAUAUUGACUAUUUUGAUACAUUUGCACCAGUAACAAGAAUUGCGUCUAUUCGAGUUUUAUUUGCUUUAGCUUCUAUCCAUAAACUUGUUAUUCAUCAAAUGGAUGUCAAAACAGCAUUUCUAAAUGGUGAUUUAGAGGAAGAAAUUUAUAUGUUUCAACCUGAGGGGUGUAUUGUAUCUGGACAAGAAAAUAAGGUUUGUAAACUAAUUAAAUCUCUUUAUGGCCUAAAACAAGCUCCUAAACAAUGGCAUGAGAAAUUUGAUCAAGUAUUGAUAAAAGAUGAAUUCUUGUCUGUAGAAGUGGAUAAAUGUGUGUAUGUCAAAAUUAUAAAUGAUCAAUAUGUGAUAAUCAGCUUAUAUGUGGAUGACAUGCUUAUAUUUGGUACUAGUCUAGAUAUUGUAAAUAAUACUAAAUAUUUUUUGUCCUCUAAUUUUGAUAUGAAAGACUUGGGUGAAGCCAAAAUGAUAUUGGGUGUUAAAAUCAUAAGGAGAGGUGAUGGUAUAAUGUUGUCACAAGAACAUUAUACAGAGAGACUUCUUAGGAAGUUUGAAAAUUAUGAUGUGACACCUGUGAGUACUCCUUAUGACGCUAACAUUCAAUUGAGGAAAAAUAAUGGCGACCCAAUUGCUCAGUCUAAAUAUGCUCAGAUCAUUGGGAGUCUGAUGCAUCUGAUGAAUUUCACUAGACCGGAUAUAGCUUAUGCUGUAUGUAGACUGAGUAGAUAUACUCAUAAUCCCAAUCGUGAGCAUUGGUUUGCAUUAGUCAGACUAAUGAAAUAUUUGAGAGGUACCAUGAAUUUUGGUAUACUAUAUAGUGGAUUUCCCACUGUAUUAGAGGGUUACAGUGAUGCUAACUGGAUCUCUGAUCCAAAUGAUACAAAAUCCACUAGUGGUUAUGUGUUCACCCUUGGUGGUGGUGCGGUAGCAUGGAAAUCAGCCAGACAGACAAUUAUUGCUCGGUCAACUAGGGAAUCGGAGUUCAUAGCUCUGGAGUUAACUGGCUCUGAGGCAGAUUGGUUAAGAAAUUUCUUAGUCAAUAUUCCUCCUAUUAAGGAUCUGUUGUCUCCUGUGUCUAUACACUGUGACUGUCAAGCGGCUAUUGCUAUUGCAAAAAUAAAUCUUAUAAUUGUAAAAGUCGACACAUGAGAUUAAGACAUGAUGUCGUAAAGCAGCUGCUUAGAGAUGGAAUUAUUUCCAUUGAUUUUGUGAAGUCAGAGUUGAAUUUGGCCGAUCUUCUGACUAAACCUGUAGGAAGAAAAUUAAUUCUUCAAACUACAAGGGAGAUGGGACUUAGGCUAACGGUUGUCAAUAGAGAUGGUAACCCAACCUAUGUGAUUAGUGAUCCCAUGAAAUAGGUUCAUAUGGGUAAUAACAAGUCGAUAUUGACUGUAAAAGCACUUGAAAUUUAAGUCCCUUCAAAAUUAAGUGCUUUGACUGCCAAUAAUUGUGAGGCUGAGUUUAAUACUCUUAAUGAAUUUAUAUUCCUUCAGGAAGGUGUAUUUAGGGCAGUAUACACUUGAUAAAUUCACCUAUAUGUGAGUGGAGUGGGGCCGCUCCUAUAAGAUUUUUUGGCCGAAUCUUUAGAGCUCUCAUGAACAACCAGGCGGGCGCACGACCUAAAUGCGCGAAACUGCAUUGAACAGCAAAAUUAUGGGUUAUAAUGUGAUUGAUAAGAUCUCUGUCAUACAAUAAGAAUUAUUGGUUCAUAGAAAGAUAUGUUUUCACCAAUAAUUCUGUAAGACAUAUUUUAUCAAUUUAAGUUUGGUUCAUAGUCCAAAAGACACCAAACUCAUUACAUUGAGCUCAGACAAAUCCAGCAGAUGUUUAUACUCUUUUGUCCAAAAUCUUUUGAAAUAGGUGGGAGAUUGUUGUAAAAACUUGAUAUUUCAAAAGAUUUUUCGUUUGUUUCGGACUAGAGCUUUAUCUGAUAAUAUUUCAUCAGAUAUGGUUGUUUCUAUUUUGAUGGAGAAGUUUUCAAAGAUAAGGUUUUGACUAAAAGGCAAGUUCAAGUGCUAGAUAGGAAGUUAAGCUUCGGAUGGCCUUUUUUCAAAUGACUUGACCUUUUCCAAACUUAUCACCACAGAGGAUAGACCUCUGACUACUUCAAAAGAUAAAGUCUAGACGAAACAAUCCUAUUCUCACGGAAAAUUAGCUUUCAAAAUUCUAUCUUCUUCCGUCCCGUGAAGCUUAUAAAUAGAACCAGUUGCCAGGCUCAUUUCGCACUGCAAAAACGAAGUCUACACUUUAAAACACUCUUUACCUCCUCCUUUGUCUAUCCUUCACAACAUUCUUGCUUUUCUGCUAGGUUAGAAACAAGAUUUUUUUUGCUGGUUCUACGUCCCUCUCACAAAGUAGAGGAAGACUUGUUUAAUCCUGGGGAAACGUUUCAAUACCCUGAAAUAGUUUCUUAGGACAGUGCUUUCUAGCACGACUCAAGUAUCCACGUGUUGACAUUGUUCGGACCGCUUUAUCCAACAAAAGAUUCAAUCGAAUAGCUACUAGCCAAAUUAUCUGAACAAGAAGAGCAUUAUUUGGAAACCAAAAUAAUACCAUGGACAUGAAUAUCCUCAUCUCAACGGCUAGAGGGAAUUCCAUGUGAUCUUCAAAACAAUGGAAGAAUUCUUCUUCUUUCUCACCUCCCCCCUCCCAAGCCGAAGCUAGAGUAAAACAACCAAAGGUAAAUAGCUGCCACACCAACAUAUCUUCUUGAUUUGAUCAAACCCUUAACUUCAAAAUUGCAGCCACUAUACGAAGAGGAAGCCGGUCAUUCAGCCGAGCAACAUUCCAAUCGAAAUUCAUAAGAAAAACUCAGCUACUAGACAAUAUGGUGGAUAAUCCAUAUCACAAACAACAGCAGAGGGUUCAUCCAAGACCCAUCUAUCAAACCAAAAAUCUAUCAUUCUCUACUCUACGCACCAAUCGAUAUUCACUUCAGCAACUCCUUUAAUGUAAAACAAAUGUUUUCAAACAACUUAACCCACGCAAGAUUGAACUUGCGUUGGAUGAAGAGCAUGAAGAUAUUUCCGCUACGUAAACUUUGCUUAAACUGUUUUUUUUUUCUAAAAUUCUAUCGUAGCUUAAUACUGAAAGCAUGGAUCUAAUCCCUUGACUUUCUCUACUAGAAAACGUAAGUUUUCCCAAGAAGACCAGUGAAUAUGCCUCGAAUUAUCUUUAACAUCUGACAGAAAGCUAUUAUACGUACAUUCAAUAGUUCUAACCACCACUUUUGGAGGAGAUAGCACUUGCAACAAGUACAUAAGAAUUUAAGAAGGGACAUGUUUCAGUAUAAUUAUUUUCCCACUAGCUGAUAAGAAUUUAGAAUGCCAACCAGAAUUCUCCCUCUGAUUUUCGAUACAAUGCUUCAAACAUUACUCUCUUUGAUCUACUCUCAUAUAAAGAAACUACCAAAUAGGAAAAGGGGAGACAUUGAAGUUGAAAUCCCAAAUAGAACAUACCAUACACAUCUAGCAGUCAAGAUCUUAUCGGAACAAAUAAAUAAGCUAUUUGCAACCUUGAUCCACUGAUCAGAUUAGUAGUGAGAAAGAAAGUACUUUAUCGCCUUCAAACACCUCUUCAAGCAAUGUGUAAAAAUGAUUGUAUCAUUAGCAAAAGCAAGAUGCAAAACUUGACCUCCUGAUAAUGUAAAAAACAUCCUCCUCCCAUUUUCAAAUAAAUCAAUCAAUCCAUGACCAAGAUAUUCAGCAGCUAUCACAAAUAAAGUUGGUGAUAAUGGAUCUCCUUGACGACGAACACCACGAAAGGACUUUAAGAAUCCCACAACUCCACUAUUUAAACUAAAUGAAAACCAAUUGUUGGAGACAAUGCGAAACACAAGAUCAUUCUUGUAUUCGCUAAACCAGAAAUCUCAAUAUUUGCAUAAUGAGAGACCAAUUCGCCUAAUCAUAUGCUUUCUCUUAACACAUUCAGUUCCUGGAGUUUCUUAUCAAUCUCAGCCACAAGCUCUUGAGCUAACAACAUGAAAUCAUUAAUUCGUCUUCCCAGAAGAAAUCCCGUCUGCAAUGGGGACAGAAAGAUAAUUUAUGGGAGAAUUGUUGGGUUUGUGAGUCCAACCCAUUUGUUGGGCCAAGUCACAAUUAGAGCCCAAAGCCCAUGGUCAUUUGGUUUCCGAGUCAAUAUUUGACUUGAGAUUAUAGGAAGUGACUAGUCAAUUAACUAAAACUUGAAGUCGCACAAAAGGGAAUAAAUAUCAACCUAUGAGAUUAAUUGCAACGUUAUUAAACUCGAACGGGAUAGCGACUUGGCUAAACUAUUGAAUCAAGGGUCAACUAGUCGGAUCGGUUGGACCGCUUUUAAAAACCCGCUCAUGUCAACAUGUCGUCAUAGUUAUUUUAUUUUUUUUUAUAAAUUAUAGAAAUAUAGAAAUUAACUUCUUAGUUAUAUUCGAUCAAUCAUAGAAAAUGUUCCAAAAAUAUUAGACUUGCAAUCAAAUAUACACCUAAUAAUUAUAUAUAAAAAUGUAAAUUCAUGGCUAAAAUAUGUCCAUUCUCCAAAACUACUUGAAAAACUAAAUUAAAACAAAUUAAUGCAAGUUGGAAUCACUGAUGCUAAAAUGAUAAGAUCAUAUGGAUGAAAACAUUUUGAUUUAGAGAUCAUUCAGGAAAGGGAAUGAUUUUUGUAUUUACACUAAGUGGAUGGCGUUUUCUUAUUCCUAUUAAUAAAUAAGACUCAAAUUAUGUUUGGGAAAAAGAAGCAAGAAAAGUUUGAAAAUUAGGUCAAUCAGUUGAACCGGGUCACUGGUUUAGUCAAUUUUUGACGGUUUUGACCAAAGCGAUUUUGUACUACAAACUAGCUCGGAAAGAUGGUCGAUUCAUAGUCGGACAGGUUGUCAGGACAGAAGAAAUAAGCUAAAUUUAAGAAUACUUUGUAACGGUGACGUUUGGGGAAUAAUUGUAGUGCAGCGAUGACGUUUUGUGAAAUGUUAGUAAUAAAAAGGGAUAAGUGGAACGGUGUCGUAUGAAAGGCUGAGUUAGUUAGAACAGUCACGUGGGUUGUGACAGAAAUUGGGUAGCGGUAGUUAAUUCAUCCUAUUUGUACACGUUUGAUUGGCUAAAGAGGCAUCAGAGAAUAACAAUUGCAUUUUCCCUCUUUUCCUACUUUCUCUUUCUACUCCCCUUACUCUCUGCAACUUCUUUUCAAUCUUCUCUCUCACGAAGCUCUUCUGAGCUUCUCUCCUUUCUCCAAUUCAGGGAUAUGGUCGUAGGAGCCUGACAAGUGAUAUCAGAGCUUGUCGAAUCCUUGGAAUUGAACAGCAAUGGCGGAGAGUACCAGAUUCAAGACUCUGGAAGAACAGAUCAAGAAAUAAGAUUCCAAGCUCCAGGAGGUAAUAGAAAGUCUGUAGGCUUCGCACCACCAACAACAGCAGCUUCGCGAGGAGCUGCGAACAGAACUCGAGGAGAACAACCAGAAAAUGGAAGGUCUGGUAAUAAGAUUGAAACAAGAGUUCAGCGCCUUCAUGAAGAUGAUGCUGGAAAGAGAGAAACUGAAUUAUGAACCAGGAAGAACCCUGAGUGAUCAACCACCUCUGCUGCCAACACCACCGCCUAGUCAGAGGCUGCAAGUUGGACUCGAAGGUAUCAAGAUUGGGAGGAGAGAAACAAACAAGGCACUGAUUCCAAAUCCCCCAAAAAUUGACUUGCCUCUAUUCGCUGGGGAAAGUCCAAGGGAAUGGAUCAGGAAGUGCAACAAGUAUUGCAUAAACUACCAAAUUCCUAAGGAACAGAAGGUAAAGGUGAUCGAGAUGUACUUGGAAGGGAAGGCGGGCAGGUGGUUCCAGGGAGUUAAGGCGGAGAAACCUGAAAUCACGUGGCCAAUGUUUGAAGAAUUAUUGGGCAAAAGGUUCGAUAACAAGGCAGGUAAGGAUAUUGUGGAGGAAUUUAACAAAUUGCACCAGACAGGGAAGGUGGAGGAGUAUCAGGAAAGGUUUGAGGAGCUCAAGGUCCUCAUGACAAUGAAGAAUCCGCAUCUGAGUGAAGAAUAUUUUGUAUCCAGCUUUAUCAGUGGAUUGAAAGAUGAAAUCAAGACUAUGAUCAAAAUGUUGAGGCCUACCUCUCUGUCCGAGACUUUUGAAUUAGCAGUAUUGCAGGAGAAUGCACUGAACCUUGUGAGGGCCUCAAAAUUUAUUAUUUUAAUAAGAAUAUUAUUAUUACUAUUUCAUUUAUUUAUUUUAUUGUUUUAUUUAUUUUAUAUAUAUAUUUUUUGAAAAGUUAAAUAAUAAAUGUGAAUACAAUUAUAUUAUGUAUUUAUAUAAAAUUACAUGAUCUUUAUGUGCAUAGUUCGCAUUUUCAUAAUUAAAUUAUUUUCAUUCGAACAAAAUUCCAAUGUUUGACUGACUAGUGCUAAGUUCAGUUUUUAAGCCGUGUCGAGGAAUUUAACUUUGGUGAAAGAUUAGUCUAUGAGUAGCUUUAAAAGAAUUAUAAAUGAGAUAGAACUAAGAUAGAUAAGAAAAGUGUAGUGGACAAAUUUAAGUGGAACAUAAGCAUUGGUCAAAGUUGGACAAUUUCCGCUAAAACUAAGUUUUAAUCUUGCCAUUGUUUCUUCCAUUUAAUUUCCUCCAAUUCACUUCAAUUUCUUUUCCUUUCUUCCUUAUUAUAGUCGAGAAUCCCCCUCCCUCAUUAGCCAAGAUAAUCACUUUCAUUCCCACUAAAUUUACUCUUAAGACAUUAAUAUGUAAGAGGGGACAUGAUCCUUAAAAUAGGGCUUUAAGUCCUAUCCUUCUCUUCCCAAUAUAAUGCUCCCAAUUUUUCAAACAUUUCAUUCCUUUUCUUCUUCCCUUAUCAGCCGACCACCCUCACACACUCUCUCCCUCUUUCUAGCCAAAGCUCUAUCUUCUUCUUCCUCAACUCAAACUCCAUGACCAACCAACUUCUAGCUUCACUCCAUCUCCUAUUUUUUUUUCUUGUUGUUCUAGCCGAGAGAAUGAGAGGGAGAAACCGAGAGGAGCUCUUUGUGGUGGCUGGCCAGAUUCUUGGAGAAGGAAAGAGAUCUCUUCGUGGUGAAGAUUGGACAUCCUAGCCUUGGGAAAAUCAGCUAGAACCUGAGGUAGUUCUCUAACCCAAAAGCUAGAGCUUUCAUGUUAUCUCUUGAAGAGUGAAUCUUGAAACUUCAUUGGGUUGAAUUCUUGUUGGAUUUGGUUAAUGUACGGGUUCUUGGGAUUCCCACAAAUGUAUGAUCUUGGUUGCUAGCAUGAUUUUUGAUUGGUAUAUGUGUGAAUAUUUGGAGUUGUGGCUUGAACUUUGGAAGGGAAGAACCUUAACAGAAAUCGGGAGAAAGAGGGGGAGAGAGAGAGAGGGGGGACCAAAAUGGUUUCUGUUUUCUCUAUUUUUCUUGGCUGUGUUUUCACAAAUUUAAAGAUUGAUUUGGGAGCUAAAAAUUUAAGCUUUAAGCUGUCAUUUUCUCUUACAAAAAAAAAAAAAAAACCCCUUCAAAUGGCGUUGCAAAAUGGUUCCAAAAGAAGGUUUCAAACCUGGAAAUUUCAAAUGAGAGUACGGUCCGAAAUUUCUGUGAUUAUUCGAAAAUGUUUGGGGCUCAAUUAGCCUUAGCACAUAACAUGAAAGUUGUAGAGAAUUGAGUUUAAAUUAUGCCUGUAAAGUUUCAGCUCAAUCGGAGCUGGGUAUCCUGUGAAAUGACAAAAUUGCCCCUGCUACCCUGUUUCUAUCAGAAAUGAUAAUCAGCCUCUGUAAUUGGUUAGUUUGACCGGGAAUAUUACUGAAUUGGUUGUCAAUGUCUUCUUAAGAAUUGUAGCCUUGUAUCUUAGCUUUGAAAUGGCUUUGGAAUCACCUGAAUCGGAGUUGUGUGUGCUGAGUUAAGAUUAACUGAAUCAGGACUAUCAGUAAUUGUGUCAGUGAGAAUUGAACCAAGAAACUUGGGCUAUUUCGGUAAAUUUGAUCUAGUUAGGGUGAGAACUGGGUUGAGAUGUCUUCACAAGAAUGGUAGAUCUAUGUCUUAGCUUCGAAACGGUAUAUUUUUUGUUUCAAUCCGAUAAGUGUAGCUCGAGUUGUGCUUAAAUUCCUAAAAGGAUUUGGUAAAUGGAUUUACGAACUGUACUUUCUUAUUAGGUGAGUGUGUACGUUAUCACACUCGCCAAAGGACAUGUGACUUUUCACUAUUUGAGUGACCUAUUUACCAAUGUGUUUAUGUGGUCAAUGUGGUUACUGGACGCUUGGUUUGAGGUGAUUAUUGUGAUUAUUGUGGCUGAACCCCUUGAGCAUUUGUUCGGGGUGACUAGCUUGAGGAUUUUAAUUGCUUUCUUGUUUUUGGCUUGAUGAUAGGUAGAGGUCUGGAGGUAUAUUGAGCUUUAGAUGCAUAUAUGUGAUAAAUCUUGCUUUAUUACAUGUUUGGCUUGUUAAUUAUUGCCAGAUAUUCCUUUAUUUGGAUAGAUGAACUUGUGUGUGUUUAAGUAUAGCAAGAGGAAAAAUUUUUGUUUUGAAUCUUUCAUGUUGGCCGAAAUUUUUGGGACAAAAUUUCAGAUUUUUGGAGCUUUUAUUUGAGUUAAAGUUGUGCCAAAAUAAUGGAUUCUAAGUGUAUUUGGGUUGAUUAAACCGAUUGGCUCUUCAAAGGAAAAAAAAGGAGUGAACUUGCUAAAGUGAAAACUGGAAAUCUGCUUUCUGGAACAACAGACCAGUUUCGGAAAAAAAAGUUAUAUUUUCAUGUAUACCACUCCAAAUCGAGUCCCAUUUGUUUUUUUUUUUUGAAACUAGACACAUAAGGUUACAAAUCAUGUAAAUUUCAGGGGCUAACUCAUUUUCUGUGAUUUUUGGUGUUUUUUUAAAGUCCGUUGGAAAAACGGAAUUUUACCUGCCCUGCAUUUUACUGUAGCAGUCUAUUGACGGAAACACUGGGCAAAAUUCGUAUGGAAUGUCAUCAAGGUGUCUUCUACAAAGUUUUAGCCCUUUCAAUUAGGUUUCCAACGGUAUCAACUAUGCAAAUUUUGGACUCGUAAAUAUUAAGUUACGAUUUUCUAAAGAUUUCUACCAUAAACCUCCAGUUUCCUGAUUUUUACAAUAAACAUGAAAACGACUUGAUAUUUUUGCUUGGCCUUGAAUAUGCACGUGAAUGAUCGUGAUUAUACAUGUCUCAGGUGAAUACGAGAACUCCGAAGAACCCGUUUAGCCGCUUAACUUUUUCUCUCUCAUGACUUUUGGUGAGUGUCAAAUGCAUGUUAAGUGUUUAAAUGAAAUGUUUCUCGUACUUGCUAGUUCAUGAGGGUAGAGUGUACUUUACCGCCCUUGUCCUCUAUUUCAUGAAAUUGCUUGCUUGAUAAGUGAUAAGUGUUACAUGUGAAUGUAAAUGAAAGUGUUUUCCGUGAGCAUUGAGCAGCAGAAUGUAUCACACCCUUUUAGGGUUGGAGGUACCGCUCAUCCCGUCUCAAUGCUAUGACCAAAUCUUGUCGAUUGGAGAUUCGUCUCAUCGACCCAAAAGUGAAUGGGGGGGGGAUGCCCCAACCCAUUGGCUAGCCUUGUAACUCGAGCCGGCAAGGGCUUGGUCGAGAAACUUGGUGAACCUUAGGCAGUGUUAUAACUUGAUCCAAAUAAGAUGUCUUGCUAGGUAUCCUUGUUAAGUGAUACCACCUACAAGCUUGUUUGGUUACGGAUCCAAGAGGGUGUCAUGGUGGCUGGAGGUAGUAAGUGGAGUUCUACAUGGAUAACUGUAAAAGUUGACGGAGGGUCAACUACCUGAGCUUGGAUAGCGCGUGGAUUAGCUCCUGAGAGCUCUCGUAUCCUUUUAAUUGUGAUUAAAUUCCUUACUUGCUAAAUGUUUCGAAGUUACUUGUUACUCAAGUUAUUGCUUUAUAUUGUGUCUUUGCUCGCAUGCUUGCAUGUUUUUCCCUUGGCCUCAUUGAGCGUCAGCUCACCCCAAUUUGUUUUCCUUAACAGGUUUGGAAGUGGAAGUUCUGAGGCUUAAUUAGUGACAAUCCCUUUGGGUAGAACUAGUCGUUAUCUUUAAUUCUGGGACUCCAUAGUGUAAAACUUAUGAUUAUUUUGGGCUUUCGGUAUUGUAAAAGUACAUUGAAAAUCUUGGAUGUAAUAUAGAAGCAUGAAUUGUUCUUUUAUAUUUUAGAGUACAUGAAUGUUUUAGUGGAGUAUUUCAUGUGAUAUUGGAGUUUAAUUUGUAAUUUACUUGAAGAUUGUAGUGAGUCCCGGCGAGAGUUGGGCAGGCGGUCUGCCGAACCCUUUGGUUCGCCUUAGGGGGAGGUGGGGUCGUCAUAGUUGGUAUCAGAGCUCUAGGUUUCAGAUCUCUGUAGUGUAUCCUAAGUUCUAAAAGUUGAGGAUGCCACACAGUGGGAUUCGGGUUCGUUUGAAUGUUAAGUGAAAAAGUGAAGUAGUGAGCAAUUGUGGUUUCGAUGGUUAUUAAGAUUCAAUAAUUGAGGAUUAUUGUGCUAGACUAGCAAGAGAGAAGAAGAUUGUAAGAGAUUAAACACUAUUUAAAAGAUAGUAAGUAAAUUUCUUGAAUAAUGGCAUUUGCUAGGAGGCGUUCUUGAUUUAAGGACUUAUGGGGAAAUAAAUGAUUAAUUUGUUUGGGAUAACCUUUAGUGCUUGAUCGUUGCCACUAGAUAUAUUUUAGAGUUGAUAUACCUUGUUCUUGCCUUGGGAACAUGACUGCAAUUAUGUCUUGGAAUUUGGAAGGCCUACCUUUUGUAGUACCUAGUUAAGUAUGUGGUGACUCGUGCUUGUUAAAGGAUAGAUAUUAUGAUGGAAUGCGGAACUUUAAUUGAAAAGAUAGUUGAUGUAGCUCUAAUGUUCAAAAUGAGGUUGGCCUUACCUAAGGGAAUUAAGCCCCCUCGCUCAGUUGCAAGCUAGACUAUGGAGCACGACCUUUUAUACCUUUUGUUUAUGAUAGUUGGGGUGAUGCUUGUGCUUUGGCCUGUAUAUUUUGUUAAGCAUGAUAUUUGUUCCCUUUUGAAGUAUUUGAAUGCUAUAAAUUCUAUACCUGAUCAUGUUGACUUGUUAAUUUGUUUGGUAGUACACAUGCAAAGUUUUAUUUUCAUUAUCGACUCAUGCAAUGACAUGCUCUCAUUUUGGUUGAUUGUUCUCCCUCUUGUAUGACCUUGUUCAUAAAAAAAAAAUUUGAUUUGUAUGUCAUCUGAUCUAUUGACUGUUCCUGUGAAAAUAUGAAGUGUGCUUUGAUUGCUUUUCAAGUUUUAAAUUCCAUUUUUCCUUCAUUGGACAUAUUUAGAUUUAUAUAUUUAUAUAUUUAUUCAUUUACUAGAGUUAUCCAUCUAUUAGUUAUUUAUUUAUUUAUUAUUUUUGGUCCUCCGUAAGAAUUAGAAAUAAAGGGUAGAAAGGAUCGAGACUGUGGGCCAGAGGGGCCAGGCAAACCCCAAAGCGUGGAAGAUAAUUGGGAAAUAAAGUUGAGGGUUAGUGAAUGAUGACAAAGAGAUAACUAGUGGAGUAUAUAUUGAAUUAUUAUAAUUAAAGAAAAAAAAAAGAGUAACUGCAAGGAGGUAAACUAGUGGAUAAGAUAAGCUGUUAUUAAGAAGUUUCAUUUAGUGCGAGUGUGACAAAAUUUAUGGUAAACUUUGGAGAUCUAAGACUUGUUAUAAUUAGGGUUGGAGUUUUGGAUGAGAUAGGUGUUUGAACUCAUUAGAUUUACAAGUUUAUGGUUAAAUUCAAUGAUUCCCGGUUAAUUGAGCUUGGGUUAUGGAAGAUAUUCCUUGGACUUUGAUUACUAGGCUAGAUGCCUCGGGAAUUCUCUAUGCUUCAUAGUGUAAAAUUGUGGUGAAUCUUGGCGGAUAAGAUAAGAGAGCUUGAUAUAUGUUGAUUAUUGGAUAUUGUGGUUAAUUCAUGAGAUUGAUGAAUUAUAAUAGGAAAGUGAUGAUAGGAUCGGUGAAAAUUUUUGGUAGUAUCUCUGCUGGCCGAACAUGUUUAGUUACCUUUAGCCCUGUUUUCUUACAAAUCAUUGGCAAAAUUUUGCUUAAUAUUUUAAACGUUGAUUCUUGAAAAUGAAAUUUGAAGUUGAAAGGAAAUAAUUUUUAAACCUGGUUUUGCUAAAAAUUUUUCCAAAAAGGAACACCGUACAGUUUUAAAAUUUGUGAUGCAUUGGUGUAAUAUAUAUAUAUAUAUAUACACAUAUAUACAUAUACAUAUAUCAUAAAAAAAAUCCAAAAUUUAGUUUCGUUUAUUAGAUUUAAAAGUUGACAAUGGCUCUUUUCACCGUGUAAAAUUUUCAAAUUUUCUUAAAUUCUAUGAGCAUCGGAAAUUUUCCUACGAUAAAUGAAAUGUCAAAUCCAUUCUUGCUUUUCCUAUUUGUUAAAGCUGUAGUUUAAGGUCAAGAUCCAUUUAUUUACAAAUUUAAUCUUGAAAGGAUGCCUUUUGGGACAAAUGUAGAACUUUUGAAUGGUAUAGGACUGGUGAUUUUUGGAUUUAUGGAACUUAAAAAUACAGACAAUUUUAGUUUGAAAUAAAAGUGUCCUUUUAAACCUUACGACCUUAAAUAUGAAAAUAUUGAUCCGAUUUGAACUUGAAAAGAGACACGAGAAAAAGUUAAGAUUAACUCGUCAAAGGAUAUUAAUGGUUCGAAACCGUUAAAAGAGUUAUACAGAUAAUAGAAGGAGAGAUUGAUAGAUAGUUUUGUAUAAUCCAAUGGGAUCCUAGUACUUGAUCUAAGUCGAAACCGAACGAGGAGAUGAGAUCUAUUGGUAUUUUGAUGGAUUGACCUAGUUGAGUAACUAGUAAGGUUCUCCCUUGUGAACUUAAUGAUUACUUUACAUAUAUCUUGUGAUUGGCCCUAUAGGCAUGUUUUAAACUUGUACGAAUAUUUGAACUUCCAAGUUUUGUAUUCAUUAUUUGUGGUGUGACCUGGAUGGAAUGAAAGUCCUUUCAAUUUUUGCUUAACCAUUACUGUGUAUAUAUCCAAUUACUUGUUGUUCCUUUUUACAAAAAAAAAAAUAUUUAUACAAAUGUAUAUACUCUGAACUCGCAUAAAAAUUGAAAAUCAGGCAGAGUUUGGGUUUGGACCUUUUCUUAGAAAUAAGAAUGAAUAUUGGUCGUGAAUUGGAGAGUAAAUAGUUAAGUUUUAUGUGGCAUAAAAGCUAAUUCUCAGAUUAGGUGUGAAGAGUAGAGGCGUUGGACCGAAGUUUAAGUAAAUAUGAACCUGCAUGUCUGCUUAUUUUCUUAAAAGCAUUUUAUUCUCAAAAGUGAUUUGUGGGGUUAAAUGAUUUUUCUUGAUCAAACGUCCAAAUAACAAAUGUUAAACUUCUUACCAAAAGUCGAAUGCAUUUAGAAAUUUUGACUAUCAAGAUCAGAACCAAUUUCUUUUCUUCUUGUCUUCCAUUCGAAUAGCCAUUUUAUUUAUAUAUAUAUAGACCACAAUUUUUCCAAAUGUGUAUUUGAUAUCCUGUUAUUAGUUUGGUUACGAAAGGUACGUGAAAAAGCUUUCCUCGAACAAAUAAGAUUUUCAGUUGGCCGUUUUGGGACAAAAGAAACUGGAUCAUUUCUAAAAUUGUUAAUUUUGAAAAUCGAAUACUAGUAAAUAAUUUUGGACAAUUUGAGUACAACCAUUUGGUGAGUGAAACCUUUUAUAGAAAAUAUAUCUUUGUACUCGAGUUUUGAACUACAUGAUUGAGUCAUUUGAUUUAGUCGAGAAAAAACAAAGUAAAUUUCGAGGACGAAAUUAUUUUAAGGAGGGAAGGAUAUGAGGGCCUCAAAAUUUAUUAUUUUAAUAUUAUUAUUAUUAUUACUAUUUCAUUUAUUUAUUUUAUUGUUUUAUUUAUUUUAUAUAUAUAUUUUUUGAAAAGUUAAAUAAUAAAUGUGAAAAUAACUAUAUUAUGUAUUUAUAUAAAAUUACAUGAUCUUUAUGUGCAUAGUUCACAUUUUCAUAAUUAAAUGAUUUUCAUUCGAACAAAAUUCAAAUGUUUGACCGACUAGUGCUAAGUUUAGUUUUUGAGCCGUGUCGAGGAAUUUAACUUUGGUGAAAGAUUAGUCUAUGAGUAGCUUUUAAAGAAUUAUAAAUGAGAUAGAACUAAGAUAGAUAAGAAAAGUGUAGUGGACAAAUUUAAGUGGAACAUAAGCAUUGGUCAAAGUUGGACAAUUUCCGCUAAAACUAAGUUUUAAUCUUGCCAUUGUUUCUUCCAUUUAAUUUCCUCCAAUUCACUUCAAUUUCUUUUCCUUUCUUCCUUAUUAUAGUCGAGAAUCCCCCUCCCUCAUUAGCCAAGAUAAUCACUUUCAUCCCCACUAAAUUUACUCUUAAGACAUUAAUAUGUAAGAUGGGACAUGAUCCUUAAAAUAGGGCUUUAAGUCCUAUCCUUCUCUUCCCAAUAUAAUGCUAUCAAUUUUUCAAACCUUUAAUUCCUUUUCUUCUUCCCUUAUCAGCCGACCACCCUCACACACUCUCUCCCUCUUUCCAGCCAAAGCUCUAUCUUCUUCUUCCUCAACUCAAACUCCAUGACCAACCAACUUCUAGCUUCACUCCAUCUCCUUUUUUUUUUUUUGUUGUUCUAGCCGAGAGAAUGAGAGGGAGAAACCGAGAGGAGCUCUUUGUGGUGGCUGGCCAGAUUCUUGGAGAAGGAAAGAGAUCUCUUCGUGGUGAAGAUUGGACAUCCUAGCCUUGGGAAAAUCAGUUAGAACCUGAGGUAGUUCUCUAACCCAAAAGCUAGAGCUUUCAUGUUAUCUCUUGAAGAGUGAAUCUUGAAACUUCAUUGGGUUGAAUUCUUGUUGGAUUUGGUUAAUGUACGGGCUCUUGGGAUUCCCACAAAUGGAUGAUCUUUGUUGCUAGCAUGAUUUUUGAUUGGUAUAUGUGUGAAUAUUUGGAGUUGUGGCUUGAACUUUGGAAGGGAAGAACCUUAACAGAAAUCGGGAGAAAGAGGGGGAGAGAGAGAGAGGGGGGACCAAAAUGGUUUCUGUUUUCUCUAUUUUUCUUGGCUGUGUUUUCACAAAUUUAAAGAUUGAUUUGGGAGCUAAAAAUUUAAGCUUUAAGCUGUCAUUUUCUCUUACAAAAAAAAAAAAAAAACCCCUUCAAAUGGCGUUGCAAAAUGGUUCCAAAAGAAGGUUUCAAACCUGGAAAUUUCAAAUGAGAGUACGGUCCGAAAUUUCUGUGAUUAUUCGAAAAUGUUUGGGGCUCAAUUAGCCUUAGCACAUAACAUGAAAGUUGUAGAGAAUUGAGUUUAAAUUAUGCCUGUAAAGUUUCAGCUCAAUCGGAGCUGGGUAUCCUGUGAAAUGACAAAAUUGCCCCUGCUACCCUGUUUCUAUCAGAAAUGAUAAUCAGCCUCUGUAAUUGGUUAGUUUGACCGGGAAUAUUACUGAAUUGGUUGUCAAUGUCUUCUUAAGAAUUGUAGCCUUGUAUCUUAGCUUUGAAAUGGCUUUGGAAUCACCUGAAUCGGAGUUGUGUGUGCUGAGUUAAGAUUAACUGAAUCAGGACUAUCAGUAAUUGUGUCAGUGAGAAUUGAACCAAGAAACUUGGGCUAUUUCGGUAAAUUUGAUCUAGUUAGGGUGAGAACUGGGUUGAGAUGUCUUCACAAGAAUGGUAGAUCUAUGUCUUAGCUUCGAAACGGUAUAUUUUUUGUUUCAAUCCGAUAAGUGUAGCUCGAGUUGUGCUUAAAUUCCUAAAAGGAUUUGGUAAAUGGAUUUACGAACUGUACUUUCUUAUUAGGUGAGUGUGUACGUUAUCACACUCGCCAAAGGACAUGUGACUUUUCACUAUUUGAGUGACCUAUUUACGAAUGUGUUUAUGUGGUCAAUGUGGUUACUGGACGCUUGGUUUGAGGUGAUUAUUGUGAUUAUUGUGGCUGAACCCCUUGAGCAUUUGUUCGGGGUGACUAGCUUGAGGAUUUUAAUUGCUUUCUUGUUUUUGGCUUGAUGAUAGGUAGAGGUCUGGAGGUAUAUUGAGCUUUAGAUGCAUAUAUGUGAUAAAUCUUGCUUUAUUACAUGUUUGGCUUGUUAAUUAUUGCCAGAUAUUCCUUAAUUUGGAUAGAUGAACUUGUGUGUGUUUAAGUAUAGCAAGAGGAAAAAUUUUUGUUUUGAAUCUUUCAUGUUGGCCGAAAUUUUUGGGACAAAAUUUCAGAUUUUUGGAGCUUUUAUUUGAGUUAAAGUUGUGCCAAAAUAAUGGAUUUUAAGUGUAUUUGGGUUGAUUAAACCGAUUGGCUCUUCAAAGGAAAAAAAAGGAGUGAACUUGCUAAAGUGAAAACUGGAAAUCUGCUUUCUGGAAUAUCAGACCAGUUUCGGAAAAAAAAAAGUUAUAUUUUCAUGUAUACCACUCCAAAUCGAGUCCCAUCUGUUUUUUUUUUUAAACUAGACACAUAAGGUUACAAACCAUGUAAAUUUCAGGAGCUAACUCAUUUUCUGUGAUUUUUGGUGUUUUUUUAAAGUUCGUUGGAAAAAUGGAAUUUUACCUGCCCUGCAUUUUACUGUAGCAGUCUAUUGACGGAAACACUGGGCAAAAUCCGUAUGGAAUCUCAUCAAGGUGUCUUCUACAAAGUUUUAGUCCUUUCAAUUAGGUUUCCAACGGUAUCAACUAUGCAAAUUUUGGACUCGUAAAUAUUAAGUUACGAUUUUCUAAAGAUUUCUACCAUAAACCUCCAGUUUCCUGAUUUUUACAAUAAACAUGAAAACGACUUGAUAUUUUUGCUUGGCCUUGAAUAUGCACGUGAAUGAUCGUGAUUAUACAUGUCUCAGGUGAAUACGAGGACUCCGAAGAACCCGUUUAGCCGCUUAACUUUUUCUCUCUCAUGACUUUUGGUGAGUGUCAAGUGCAUGUUAAGUGUUUAAAUGAAAUGUUUCUCGUACUUGCUAGUUAAUGAGGGUAGGGUGUACUUUACCGCCCUUGUCCUCUCUUUCAUGAAAUUACUUGCUUGAUAAGUGAUAAGUUUUAUAUGUGAAUGUAAAUGAAAGUGUUUUCCGUGAGCAUUGAGCGGCAGAAUGUAUCACGCCCUUUUAGGGUGGGAGGUACCGCUCAUCCCAUCUCAAUGCUAUGACCAAAUCUUGUCGAUUGGAGCUUCGUCUCAUCGACCCAAAAGUGAAUGGGGGGGGGGACGCCCCAACCCAUUGGCUAGCCUUGUAACUCGAGCCGGCAAGGGUUUGGUCGAGAAACUUGGUGAACCUUGGGCAGUGUUAUAGCUUGAUCCAAAUAAGGGGUCUUGCUAGGUAUACUUGUUAAGUGAUACCACCUACAUGCUUGUUUGGUUACGGAUCCAAGAGGGUGUCAUGGUGGCUGGAGGUAGUAAGUGGAGUUCUACAUGGAUAACUGUGAAAGUUGACGGAGGGUCAACUACCUGAGCUUGGAUCGCGCGUGGAUUAGCUCCUGAGAGCUCCCGUAUCUUUUUAAUUGUGAUUAAAUUCCUUACUUGCUAAAUGUUUCGAAUUUACUUGUUACUCAAGUUAUUGCUUUAUAUUGUGUCUUUGCUCGCAUGCUUGCAUGUUUUUCCCUUGGCCUCCCUGAGCGUUUACUCACCCCAAUUUGUUUUCCUUAACAGGUUUGGAAGUGGAAGUUCUGAGGCUUAAUUAGUGACAAUCCCUUUGGGUAGAACUAGUCGUUAUCUUUAAUUCUGGGACUCCAUAGUAUAAAACUUAUGAUUAUUUUGGGCUUUCGGUAUUGUAAAAGUACAUUGAAAAUCUUGGAUGUAAUAUUUAAGCAUGAAUCGUUCUUUUAUAUUUUAGAGUACAUGAAUGUUUUAGUGGAGUAUUUCAUGUGAUAUUGGAGUUUAAUUUGUUAUUUACUUGAAGAUUGUAGUGAGUCCCGGCGAGAGUUGGGCAGGCGGUCUGUCGAACCCUUUGGUUCGCCUUAGGGGGAGGUGGGGUCGUCACAAACUUACAGUCCAGAAAUUCUAAGGAAAAUGUAAGGACUACCUCAGAGAACAGGUUUGGAAUCUCUAAAAGUUCAUCUCAGCAGUUGAACCACAUUUCACACUACAAAGUAUCCCCUAUUAGUUCAUUCAGAAAUACUCAUUUCAAAGGUAGACCUGUUUCAACUACUGAAGCAGAACCUAGAAGAAUUUCAGCACAAGAAAUACAAUAUAGAAGGAACCAUGGCCUAUGCUUCAAGUGUGGAGAGAAGUUUGGGCAGGGACAUCAAUGCAAACUGGGCCAUCUGAACUUCCUGAUCAAUGAUGAGGGAGAAGAAUCUGAAUUCGAAGAUGCACUGGGAGAGCAGGAUGAAACCACAGGGAAUCCAGGGCAGAUCAUGGAGAUGUCCUUACACACACUGUCCGAGGCACUUAAACGAAAAACAAUCACACUGGUAGGAAGACUAGAUGGGGAAGAGAUGCUGAUACUGGUAGACACAGGCAGUUCUGAUAGUUACAUAAGCAGUGAGAAGGUAAUUGCCUUUGAUAUUCCUUAUAAAUUAGUCAAUCCUUUUUCUGUGGUUUUUGGGAAUGGGGCUUGUGUAACCAGCAAGGCCAUAUGUCCUAAGGUGGUAUGGGGAAUUAAUCAGCAUAGGUUCUGUUAUGACCUCAAAGUGAUGGAUCUAAGUGGAUGGGACAUAGUGCUUGGGGUGGACUGGAUGACUCAGUUCAGCCCUAUCACUUUUGAUUUCCACAAGCUGACUAUCUUCUUGCAAGAUCAAGGGGAAGCAGUGCACUUGCAUGGCCAAGCUGAAGACUGUGACUUAGAUCUAAUCAGAGGAGGCGACCUGAGGACAUUCAUUGAAUACAAGAGACAGUUGUGCAUGUCCAUGAGAUUGGGACAGGGUGAUCUGAUGCAGGGAAAUGACAUUCCUGCAGGAGUCCAGGGCAUCAUUGAAGAAUUUACAGAUGUGUUUGUAGCACCCUCUGAGUUACCACCAGCAAGAAGUAUAGAUCAUGAGAUACCACUAAAACCUGAGGUUCAACCCUUCAAGAUGAAGCCGUACAGAUACCCUCACUCCCAAAAGAGGGAAAUUGAACAACAGGUUAAGGAUAUGUUGCAGCAUGGAAUCAUAGUGCACAGUAACAAUCCUUUUGCCUCCCCAGUUCUGCUUGUCAAGAAGAAGGAAGGGACCUGGCAUUUUUGUGUAGACUACAGGAGACUGAACGAGAUGACCAUCAAGGACAGGUACCCCAUACCUAAUGUAGACGAACUGAUCAAUGAGCUAGCAGGAUCCAAAUACAAAUCAAAGUUGGACCUCACUUCAGGCUACCACCAAAUCAGGGUCAAGCCUAAGGAUACAUACAAAACUGCAUUUCAAACACACUGUGGCCACUAUGAGUUCUUGGUAAUGCCUUUUGUGUUAAGAAACGCUCCAGCCACAUUUCAGUCCCUCAUGAAUCAGAUAUUCCAGCCUUACCUGAGAAAAUUUGUUCUAGUUUUUUUUGAUGAUAUCCUAAUCUAUAGUCCUACAUUAGAGCUACACCAGCAACAUCUGAGGAUAGUCUUGACAGUAUUGAGGGAACAUAAGUUGUUUGUAAAACGUUCCAAGUGCUCGUUUGCACAGUCAACAGUGGACUACCUUCGUCACACUAUCAGAGAGAGUGAUUCAAGAAUAACCACACAAUGAAACGUAAUUUACCACAAACUUCAGAUACCAAAAGUAAUCAUGAAAUGCUUCAUGAUCCAAUCAACGCGAGAAUAAGUAAUUUUGACAGAAUAAUUAUUGACUUUCUUCAUCUCUUUAGUAUUAUUUAUUUUUCCAAUUUAUUGUUUAGAACAAAAAAAAAUAAGUCAAUUCAAGAUAUGAACAUAUGAAAGGCUCAACAGCUGGAUAAUACUCAUUAACGACAGAGGCUAUUAAUCCAAAAGGACUAAAAUGGAGUAAACUUUAUAUUCCAAAAGGCAUUUAUGGUGGGGGAAAAAGAUAGAAUCUAAUAUGGCAUUAUACGUCCUUUCAAACCUUAAUAACGAUUACAAAUAAUUCAUAAAGACGCCAAGACUUUUGAAAGGAUUUAGAUUUCGUUGCAAUUUAGCCUUUACUCAUGAAAGGGAUGGUUGGAUAGGAAUUCUGUAGCAUGCCGGUAGCAGCCAUCCAAAAAGAACUAGUCCAUUUGUGCACAAAAUAAAGUGAAUAUAAUGUGUGUGUGUGUGUGUAUUAAAAAGUAAUCAAUUGGGUUAGAUUUGAUGAUUUGUGAUUACAGUGUAAUCUUUUAUAUAUAUUUUGUAACUCUAUUAAAUCUAAUAUUUUUCAAAUCAAAUAUAUCUGUGACAUAUUCAAUGUAUUUUUUGACAUUGGUGCAGAUUACUUUGUUAAACAAAUCGUGCUGGAUGAUGUAAUGGCUGCUUCAGCAAGAAAUGAAGAGGGAGUUAGCAGAAAGGGAAAGAUGGGAGAGAGACUUGAGAGGGAAGAUAGAAAAUGCGGAAAAUGAGAGAACUGAAUUUGUUGUAUCUGAUAGCAUGCCCCUCACGUCUUACCUUUAGGCUUAUUCAUACAGGAUUCAUCCUCUAGAUCCUUCCAUGCCUUAGCUAUAACAGAAUGCUUAACAGAACGAUCACGCAUGCAUGCAUGCAGUGCAGUAACUAACUAGCCAACUAACUCUCUGAUAUGCUAACUGACUUCCAGAAAUGGAAACCAUGGCCACUACAUUAUUAGCUAUAAAUAACUAGGGAAUAUCUAAAAUAUCUAGAGGAAAUAUCCAGAAUAUCUAGGAUCAUUACAAUACCUCCCCCUCAAGAAUCCUAGUCACUAGGAUUGAGUUGGAAAUCUGGAAAUUGUGAUUGUAUCACUGUGAUAUCCUCCCAAGUUGAGUCUUCAGUGCCUAGGUUCAACCAUUUGAUCAACACUUGAGUUACCUUGUGUCUUUUCCUCAUGAUUUCACGAGUAGCAAUAACACUUUCAAGGGCAAUUUUAACCUGUCCAUCCGUAGUAGUCAAAGGUAGUUCUUGAGUAACUACAUGAUUCUUGGCUGAGGGCUUGAGUAAGGAGACAUGGAAGGUAGGGUGAAUCAAGGAGCCAGCAGGUAAUUCCAACCUAUAGGCUGCAUUUCCCACCUUCUAAAGAACUUUGUAGGGUCCAUAAUAUUUUGAAGACAAUUUCAGAUUCUUUUUGACUGCCACAGACGAUUGUCUAUAAGGUUGCAGUUUCAAAUAGACCCAAUCUCCCACUUGGAAACUCCUUUCACUCCUGUCCUUGUCCGCAAACUGUUUCAUUCGAUUUUGUGCUUUGAUUAAAUUCCCCUUCAGCAGCUCGUUCCAUUUUCUUCUGUCCCCUAGCCAUUGCUCCACAGCCGCUACUGGAGUCCCCAAGGCAUUGAUGCCUAGUUGAGAUGGUGGAUAUCCAUACAGAGCCUCGAAGGGAGUCAUUUUUAAGGCUGUGUGAUGGUUGGUGUUGUACCACCAUUCAGCAGCAGCUAGCAAGGACUUCCAUUUAUGGGGUUGCUGGAAACACAGGCACCUCAAAUUUGUCUCCACACAUCUGUUCAACCUUUUUGUCUGUCCAUCUGUUUGGGGAUGGUAAGCAAUAGAGUAGUGCAGCUCCGUGCCUAACUUCCCAAACAACUCCUGCCAGAACAAGCUGGUAAAUAGCCUAUCCCUAUCAGAUACAAUGCUCAGGGGUAAUCCAUGUAGCUUAUAGAUGUUUUCAAAAUACAUGUUAGCCACCGACUGUGCAGUAUACUUCGAUGGUAAUGCUAGGAGGUGAAAGUACUUGGUGAACCUAUCAAUGACAACUAGCAUUCCCUCAUACCCCUGAGAUUUAGGUAACCCCUCAAUGAAAUCCAUUGAAAUAUGCUGCCAUGCUUGUUCAGGAAUAGGUAGAGAUUGUAGCAGUCCUGGUGUCUUGCAAUUUUCUACCUUGCUCCUCUUGCAAACAUCACACUGUUGUACCCAUUGUUCUACUUCUCUUUUCAUUCCUGGCCAGAAGAAUGGUCCCUUUAAUCUUUGGUAGGUCCCCAGGUUGCCUGAAUGACCCCCAAUGAGAGAGUCAUGAAAGCAGGCUAUCAGUUUCUGUCUCAAGUUCCCUGAGGAACCAACGUACAUCCUGCCUUUAUACCUGAGUAAAUUCCCAGCAAAAGAAUAAUUUGGGAGAGAAUCAGGUGAAGUAGUCAGGCCUUCAGUCAACUUAGUCAUAGAACCAUCCCCUUGGUAACUCUCUAGGACUUCAGACAGCCAUGCCGGUUUCAUGACUGAGAUGCUAUGUGUAAAGCUGUCCUCUUCAUAGCAUCUUCUAGACAGUGCAUCAGCCACCAGGUUUUCAUUUCCUUUCUUGUACUAUAUUUCAUAAUCUAGGCCCAAUAACUUAGUGAGCCAUUUCUAUUGUAGGGGAGUAGUUAUCUUCUGUUCCAAUAGGUACUUUAAGCUCUGGUGAUCUGUCUUGAUGAUGAAGUGGCUUCCCAACAGGUAAUGCCUCCACUUGGACACAGCUGUAAUAAGGGACAACAACUCUUUUUCGUAUAUGGACAGUCCCAAAUUCUUAGGUCCCAGAGCUUGACUGAGAUAGGCAAUAGGCCUCUCUUGUUGCAUUAGGACUGCACCAAUAGCCUUCUGACUAGCAUAUGUUUCUAGAGAAAAAGGUAAAGAAAAGUUAGGAAGUGUUAGGACUGGUGUGCUACUCAUCAGCUACUUCAGUUUUUGAAAGGCUAGCUCAGCUUGUUCAUUCCAGUGGAAGUUUUCUUUCUUCAAUAACUCAGUGAGUGGUUUGGCAAUGAGUCCAUAUCCCCUCACAAACCUCCUGUAGUACCCUGUGAGUCCCAAAAAUCCUCUCAAUGCCUUUAGUGAUGUAGGGGUAGGCCAUUCUACCAUGCUCUUGAUUUUUGAGGGAUCUGCCUGCAUUCCAUCUCCACUGAUAAUAUGCCCCAAAUAUUCUAGUUGAGACUGUCCAAAGAUGCAUUUGGAAAGCUUGGCAAAUAGGGAGUGAGCUUUGAGUGUUUCUAGGAAAGUUUUGAGGUGCAAAAGGUGAGUGUCUGGAUCUGAACUGUAUAUGAGGAUGUCAUCAAAGAAAACUAACACAAACUUCCUCAGGUAAGGUUCAAAAACAUGGUUCAUCAGGCUUUGAAAUGUUACAGGUGCAUUGGUAAGACCAAAUGGCAUAACAGUGAACUCAUACAAUCCUAGGUAAGUUUUGAAGGCAGAUUUUGGGAUGUUAGUCUGGAGCAUUCUGAUCUGAUGGUAUCCAGCCCUUAAAUCAAUCUUGGAGAAGAUCUUAGCUCCAAACAGUUCAUCGAGUAAAUCAUCAAUGAUAGGUAUUGAAAAUUUAUCUUUGAUAGUCAGGUCAUUUAGUUGUCUGUAAUCAACACAAAAUCUCCAAGUUCCAUCUUUUUUUAACUAAUAGAACUGGAGAGGCAAACGGGCUAUGGCUAAACUGAAUAAUGCCACUACUGAGCAUGUCCUUCACUUGCCUUUCUAUUUCAUUUUUUUGGUUGUGAGGGUACCUAUAAGAUGCUAGCUUGAAUGGUUUGGCAUUUGGCACUAAGGGAAUUUGAUGGUCAUAGUUUUUGGAAGGGGGAAGGGAUUGUGGUUCUCCAAAUACAUCUUUGUAGUCUUCAAGUAAAGCACUUAGGGACUGUUGAAAACCAAUGUCUAGAUGAGUUACAGUGUUUACCUGAGUUCCCUUCAUUUUCAGUCUGCACGCGUGUUUCCAGAUUCUGGUGCUCAACCCCUCCUUCUCAGUACUAUUACUAGGAAGUUUGAGAACAGUCUCCUUAGACUCUCCAUGUAACAAGAUCCUCUCCCCUUUCUCAUCAAAGGACAUGUUCGGCUGCCUAAAGUCAAAGGUGAUGGGGCUGUGUGCAGCCAUCCAGUCUACUCCUAUAAUCACAUCAUAUGGCUCCAAGUUAAUGACAAACAUAUCAUGAGUGAACUGUUUACCUUGCAUUUCCCUGCUCAUAUUCGGAAUCAUCUUGUGACAAGUCAAGUGCUCCCCAUUAGCCAUCCUGACCCUGAAAGGCUUGAUAGAUUGGACCAGUUCUGGAUAGAGUUGUGCCACUGCCCCUUUGAUAAAAUUGAGUGCUUCCCCCAUCCACCAGGAUUGAUAGUGGAGUUUCUUUGAUCCUCCCCUGUAGCUUGAUGGUGUUGUAAGUCAUCUUCCCAGUCAGCGCAUGUAUCUCCAUUUCUACCCCCUUGGCCGACUGUGCUCCUUGGUACUCGAUCAUCUCCCCUUCUACCAGAUCCUCAGGACUAUCUUCUACUGCUACAAUCAGGUGGAUUUCCUUUUGCUUGCAUUGGUGGCCUGGUCCGAACUUUUCCCCACACCUAUAGCAAAGAUGGUGCUCCCUCCUGUACUGCAGCUCUACUGGUGUGAUUUUCUUGAAGUUCUGAGGAGUCUGUUUCUUUACAACAUUGGCAAUAAUAGGUUUGGUAUGUGGAAUGGUGUACUGCGCAACAGACUGUGGAGUAUUCCCCAAAGAGAGGGAUUUCGGAUGAUGUUUGUGCUUCUUGUGGUAGGCUUCAAAGGCAUUCUCUUGCAACCUGGCCAACUCAAAUGCUUUGGAUAAUGUCUUGGGGUCAUGAGUCUUCACCAUUGAUCUCAAUUCAUCUAGUAGUCUACUCAAAAAACAUGAAAUGUAAUAGUUUUCUGGAAGGUGUGGGGCUCGAAUCAUUACCUCUGAUAGUAGUUCCUCAAAUUUUUCUUGGUAGGCUAGGACUGUGGAGGAGAGUUGUAACUUAUUGAAUUCCUCCAUUGGAUCCAUUUGUCCCAAUGUUCCAAACCGCUUGCACAACUCUCCAGAGAACUCCAUCCAAUCCAUCUUGUUACCCCUAGUAGACUUGAAUCCCUGAUACCACACUUCAGCUUUACCUUCUAAAUGGAAUUCUGUCAGCUCCAUCCAUUGCUCCAUAGGAAUAUGCAGAAGCUGGAAAUACUUCUGAAGUUUUCUGAUCUACUUCCUAGGAUUGUUUCCUCUGAACACUGGUAUUUCCAGCUUAGGUGCACUAGCGUAGAAUGAACUUCUGACAUUCCUCUCUCCUUGCUCUCGAGUCACCAUAUCUGAGCUCCUGGAGUGACUUCCCUCUGGCGAUCCCAAUAUUCCUUUCUCAGGAUUUCCUCGGUUCAAACUGGAGAGCUGUUGAGAAAUGGCUACCAUGAAUGCAUCUAACUUAUUGUUCAGCUCCAUGCUUACUGCAUCCAACCUUUCCUCCAUGAUCUGUUUGUUUGCGGCCAUGGAUUCCAAAAUUCCUUGGAGUCUGCUGUCUUGCUUGCGUAGCUGUUCCUCCAUGGUCUUCAUUCGAGUUUCAUCUGCCAUUGUUAUAUUGAUUUCAGCUUCUUAGUCCAAGGACCGGAAGCUCUGAUACCACUUGUAAUGGCUGCUUCAGCAAGAAAUGAAGAGGGAGUUAGCAGAAAGGGAAAGAGGGGAGAGAGACUUGAGAGGGAAGAUAGAAAAUGCAGAAAAUGAGAGAACUGAAUUUGUUGUAUCUGAUAGCAUGCCCCUCACGUCUUACCUUUAGGCUUAUUUAUACAGGAUUCAUCCUCUAGAUCCUUCCAUUCCUUAGAUAUAACAGAAUGCUUAACAGAACGAUCACGCAUUCAUGCAUGCAGUGCAGUAACUAACUAGCCAACUAACUCUCUGAUAUGCUAACUAAUUAACUUCCAGAAAUGGAAACCAUGCCCACUACAUUAUUAGCUGUAAAUAACUAGGGAAUAUCUAAAAUAUCUAGAGGAAAUAUCUAGAAUAUCUAGGAUCAUUACAGAUGAUUUCUAACUAGUUUAUUAAUAAUAUUGACUUCUUUUUUAUAAAAAAAAAAGUAAUCAAGGAAAAAUGGGGAAUCUAACAGUCUAAUGCUUGCUUGCUUCUUUUUAUUGUUUGAAGUGAUUUUGGUGUCUUGCUAGUUUGUAAUUGAUUCAAGGUGGAUAGAAAGAAAUUGUUCAGAAAUGUGAAAUAGGGUAAGUAUCCCAGUUUGGUUUUGGAUUUUGAAAGUUAUAAAAACGAAAAUGAUGUCAGUGAUCCUCUUCAAUUUUUUAUCACCAACCAAAGCAAUGAUUUUUAAGAAUAAAAAUAACAUUUGAAAUCAAAUCACAAUCUUUAAAGAGAGGAAAUAGAUGGUUGAGGGCGAAAUGGCCAUGGUGAUGAAUUGACAUCAUGGAAAUCAAACUGUGCUUAGUAACGCCAAAACGUCACCAUAACUCACAAAUGAGUGACUAAUGUGAUGCCACAUUAAGGCUUCAAUCUACUAUUACAAGUUUUACUAUGGACUAAAUUGUGUGGUAAAUUUAGUACUACUAAUAUUAAGUUUAUGUUUAAAACAAGUAAAUUUCAAUAAUUUAGGUAACUUACUCUUUAAAUAACAAAUUUUACUAAAAUUUUAACAAAAAUUGCCACUUUUUCUUCGAAACUUACCAUUUUCUAUAUAAAACUUGCUAAUUUUUCAAGUAAAACAUAUGAUUUUAUUAGCAAAUCAUACCACUUUUUUUAGUAAAAUUCACUAAAUGGUAAGUUUUCAAAAAAAAACUUACCAUUUUUAAUGCAAAUCUUACUACUUUUUUCAAGCAAAAUGUAUGAUUUUAUUAACAAAUGUUACCAUAAUUUUCGUAAAGUUUACUAAAUCAUUAACAAAUCUUACCAUCUUUCAAGCAAAACUUAUCAUUUUCUAUACAAAACUUACUACUUUUUGGAGGCAGAACUUAUGACUUGAUUAUUAAAUCUUACCUUUAUUUAGGAAUAAUUUUGGAAACCUCCCCUGAGCUUUAUGCUAAUAUCACAUAACACUUCUAAAUUUUAAAAAUAUCACUAGCCUUCCCUUGAGUCAUAUUUUUUUGUAAGAAUUUGACCCCUAUAUCAAAAAUAAAUACUCCUAACAUAAUUUUUUAAAGGAAAAUAGAUAUAUUUUUCUUCUAGUUUUACACUUUUGUGUUGUCUUAUUUUUUAAUUUUCUGCCAAAUUGAUUUUAAGAUAAGAUUUGAAUGAGAAAGACUUAAAAUGAUUUUUUUUAAGGGGAGAAGGUGUUAAGUGCUAAAGCAAUUGCCAGAAUAGCGAUUUUUUUAUUUUUGGUUUAUCCUAGAUUUUUUCCUAAAUAGUUAUUAGAAUAACAAAGAAAUUAAAUUUAAUAUAAGAUUGGUAUAGGAAGAUCAAAGAAGGCAGAGAAGACAGAUAUUUGAAUACAAAACUAAUGGUUUUAGUAGGCAUUUCUAUGAAUUCAGAUUUAUUAUCUUCUAAUUUUUGUGGCAUAAAUAAUUAUUUGAAUAACAAUUAAAAUUUGAGAUAAGGUUGCCAUAGGAAGCUUGGGAGGGGGAGAAGGGUAUUAAAGGCAAAAAAUGAUUAUUUUAGUAGACUUUUCUUAAUAAUUUCCUUUUGUUCAAAUUUUUUUGCACAAGUAAUUGUUAAAAUAGUAAAGUUAAAUUAAUAAAUGCUUGGCAUAAUACUACAAAAUAAAGGGGUGUUUAAGUGAAAAUAGUAAUUGAUAGAGCAAUGUUUGGGCAUCUUAUGCGCUGUUAUGUGGUCAUAAUUUUGGCUACUUAUUAUGCUAAGUAUUGAGGUUUUGUUCAUGUUUGAUAUUUGUGUAAAUUGUAGGCAGUUGGUGUCAAAAAGUGAUCUCUGAAGGUGAAUUUCCAGAAGACUUUUAUUUCAGGGCGUGCCCACGCCAAAAACUGUUCAAGAGACGCCUCAAAGUCGGACCAUGGGACUAACUAACUAACUAAACUCAUCCUUAUUCCUGCGGGAUGCGGUUGGAAGUGCGUCAAAACAAAAAGGCAGCAAUUUCCAGUGGAUUUGGUAACAACCAAUAAGGAGGAUGCGGGGAAUUGGGGAAAUAUUUGGAAAAGCUACUAUUUUCUCGUGGGCCAAGAAGGGUGUAACAGACAAGUAGUUUUAGUCUUGCAGAUAGCUUUUUAGUUUCUUACGUUUUCUUUGGAGGGCUAUCUUCUGGGAACUGGCAAAAAGCCAGAUUCAUGUGGGAUUAGGAAAUUAUCUUUAGUUUUGUUAUCCCUUGGUAGAGGAUUUGCUCUCUGUUUUGUUAUUACAAUUUUCUUUAGACCUUUGCUUUACUUUUUCCGAAUGGACACAAAACAAAAAAAGAAGCAAGACAUUUUCUUUUGUUUCUUCAUCACUUCAUCUUUCCCAACUCUCUUGUGAUUGUGUGGAUGGAAUCAAUCAAAUCCCGCGAGAUUGAUAUGAUGAGGAGCGGUUAGGUUUCUCUUCUACCCAAAGGUCGACGCGAAGGCACGGUCCAUAACAUCUGUGAGAUUUAAUCGAACUUUCACUAGUUCUUCCAGUCCGUUACUAUUCGUGUGUUUCCUGGAUUAACUGUUUAUGAUUAUUUUAUUAAUUGAGUAUCAACGGCAGGACAUUUAAUUUAAUCUAAUAGCCUACUGUCACGUUAACUAAAUUGAAUCCGUAAUUAUUCGUUUAGUUGAUAACUAGUGACAACCAUCAUAAUUGGCUUUAUGUUAGGGAAACGUAAGAUCUAGUUUAAAUAAACCCUCUUAGCGUGUUUAUUGGUUAGGGUUGGGUUUUUCUAGUUUUAAUGCAACCGGAUAAUUAAAUUUAUUGGUUAGGGUUGGGUUUUUCUAGUUUUAAUGCAACCGGAUAAUUAAAUUCCUACGAUCGUACCUAAAGCUGUUUUCUAGUUAGAGAAACAGUCAACGGUCGUACCUUGGCUGUCGAAAAAGUAAGGAAGAACUGGCUGUCAGAGCUUGUUGAUAGCUAUAACUAACCUAGUGACGAAUGAAUGAAAUAUCUUUGUAUCGAUGAUCAUUUAAUUGGACCGCGCCUAAAAAGUUGAUCCUUUGGGUAGAAUUUUACUAAUUGCUAUUUUUAGUGAAUUGUACUUGGUGAGUUAGCUUUUGAAUUUUGUUUAUUCUAUUUUCUUUUUCAGUCCAUUAAAUAUUCCCCAAUUUUGUUCUAUUGACUUGGAAAGAAACAAGUUCCUACCCGUUCCCUGUGAAAUCGACCGUACUUGCCAUUGUAUGCAAAUUUAAUAUUUUUGUAGACAAAUCUUGUAUAUCGAAUCAAGCAUACUCUUUGGGGAGACAGGGUGAAUAUAGUAACCCAUUGCACAUCUAGAGUCACUGCUCCAGUACUUAGAUUUGUUCUAUAAUUAAUUAUGGUAGUAAUUAGGACUUUUUAGUAAUUAUUAUUGCACAGGUUCGACACCUGUCAAUUUUUGGCGGCAUUGCUGGGAAGAAAGUGUCGACAAACUGGUGAACAUGGGAUUCUGGCUUACAAGGCAUGCCCACGCCUUGCAAGACGCCCUUUCAAAAAAAAAAAGAAAGACAAAAAGAGAGAGAAAAGAGUUUCGACACUUGCGCAGUAGGUAUAGCAAAUGGAAAUGCCUUGCUUGUGGAAUUUCUCCAGUAAAGCGUUGAGGUUAUGUAGUAGAUAUCGGACAUUCUCUUGACAUAGUGCACCCUCUCUUUACCUCCUUAUCCCGCCUUUCACCCAAGCCCUAUUACAACCCUAUUAAAGUCCCUUUGAUUUAUGUAUUGAGUUCACUUUUGAGUGGUGGAGAUGUGAUAAAUGUGCAAGCCUAUGGUAAUGUCAUUCCGUGGUGUUGAUUUGAGCGUUCCUGGUAUCUAUACAUUUUCUUGAAAGUGAUGAGUAUUACUACUCAUACUCUUUGGAUAACUACCUAUCCAGUGUGCUCUAACUUUGGCGACAUUGUCAGGAAUGCAGGAUGCUUGUGUUAGUGUAGAUCACCGCAUAGUAGUUCCUUUCGUGAUUGAACUUCUGAGCUUCAAAAUGCUUGAGGACAAGCAUUGCCUAGGUGUGGGGGGAUUUGAUAGAGCAAUGUUUGGGCAUCUUAUGUGCUGUUAUGUGGUCAUAAUUUUGGCUAUUUAUUAUGCUAAGUACUGAGGUUUUGCUCAUAUUUGAUAUUUGUGUAAAUUGUAGGUGGUUGGUGUCAAAAAGUGAUCUCUGAAGGCGAAUUUCCAGAAGACUUUUUAUUUCAGGGCGUGCCCACGCCAGAAACUAUUGAAGAGACGCCUCAAAGUCGGACCGCGGGACUAACUAACUAACUAAACUCAUCCUUAUUCCUGCGGGAUGCGGUUGGAAGUGCGUCAAAACAAAAAGACAGUAAUUUCCAGUGGAUUUGGUAACAACCAAUAAGGAGGAUGUGGGGAAUUGGGGAAAUCUUUGGAAAAGCAGCUAUUUUCUCGUGGGCCAACGAGGGUGUAAAAGACAAGUAGUUUUAGUCUUGCAGAUAGCCUUUUAGUUUCUUACGUUUUCUUUGGAGGGCUAUCUUCGAGGAACUGGCAAAAAAGCCAGAUUCACGUGGAAUUGGGAGAUUAGCUUUAGUUUUGUUAUCCCUUGGUAGAGGAUUUGCUCUCUGUUUUGUUUUUACGAUUUUCUUUAGACCUUUGCUUUAUUUUUUUUGAACGGACAUGAAACAAAAAAAGAAGCAAGACUUUUUUUUUGUUUCUUCGUCACUUCAUCUUUCCCAACUUUCUUGUGAUUGUGUGGAUGGAAUCAAUCAAAUCCCGCGAGAUUGAUAUGAUGAGGAGCGGCUACAUUUCUCCUCUACCCAAAGUCGACGCGAAGGCGCGGUUUAUAACAUCUGUGAGAUCUAAUCGAACUUUCACUAGUUCUUCCAAUCCGUUACUAUUCGUGCAUUUUCUGGAUUAACUGUUUAUGGUUAUUUUAUUAAUUGAGUAUCAACGGUUGGAUAUUUAGUUUAAUCUAAUAGCCUACUGUCACGUUAACUAAAUUGAAUCCGUAAUUGUUCGUUUAGUUGAUAACUAGUGACAACUAUCAUAAUUGGCUUUAUGUUGGGGAAACGUAAGAUCUAGUUUAAAUAAACACUCUUAGCCUGUUUAUUGGUUAGGGUUGAAUUUUUCUAGUUUUAAUGCAACCGGAUAAUUAAAUUCCUACGGUCAUCCCUGAGGUUGUUUUCUAGUUAGAGAAGUGGUCAACGGUCGUACCUUGGUUGUCGAAAAAGUAAAGAAAAACUGGCUGUCAGAGCUUGUUGAUAGCUAUAACUAACCUAGUGACGAAUGAAUGAAAUAUCUUUGCAUCGAUGAUUAUUUAAUUGGACCGUGUCUGAAAAGUUGAUCCUUUGGAUAGAAUUUUACUAAUUGCUAUUUUUAGUUAAUUGUACUUGGUGAGUUAGCUUUUGAAUUUUUGUUUAUUCUAUUUUCAUUUUCAUUCCAUAAAUAUCCCCCAAUUUUGUUCUAUUGACUUGGAAAGAAACAACUUCCUACCCAUUCCCUGUGGAAUCGACCUUACUUGCCGUUGUAUGCAAAUUUAACACUUUUGUAGACAAAUCUAGUAUAUCGGAUCAAGCACACUCUUUGGAGACAGGGUGAAUAUAGUAACCCAUUGCACAUCUAGAGUCACUACUCCAGUACUUAGAUUUGUUCUAUAAUCAAUUAUAGUGGCAAUUAGGACUUUUUAGUAAUUAUUAUUGUACAGGCUCGACACCUGUCAAUUUUUUGCGUCGUUGCCGGGGAACGGUGUUUUGGUUAAUUUUGUUUCUUUUCAAGUUAUUUUCUUUGGAUUUGUCUGGCACUUUUCUAGUUUAUGCCUCGUUUUUCUCGUACAUGUGAAUUGAUUUUCGACCUGGAAGUAAAGAAGAUUGCGCGCCGAACUAGGAAAGAAACUAAACAGCUCAGAGAGGAGCAAUCUAGCAUUGCAUCUCAGAUGCUGGAUCCAGAGGUUGAGUCAACAGAUUCGAGUGGUGAUAAUUCAAGUGACUCAGGCCAAGAGGACAUCCCUAUGGCGAAUCCAAGAACACUAAAGGAGUUGGCUGCUCCGGAAUUGACCCAGCAGCUUUUGUGCAUUACAUUUCCAACUCUAGCUGAGAAUACCUCCUUCGAACUGAAGUCAGAGUUAAUUCAUCUCUUACCCUCAUUCCAUGGCCUCUUGAGUGAGGAACCCCAUAAACACAUCCAGGAGUUCGAUGUGGUAUGUUCUAGUAUGAAACCUCCAGGGAUUACUGAAGAGCAGAUCAAACUUAGAGCAUUCCCUUUCUCCCUCAAGGAUGUAGCGAAGGAUUGGUUAUACUACCUACCUGCAGGUAGUAUCAUAACAUGGGCCCAACUGAAAAAGAAGUUUUUGAAAAAAUUCUUCCCGGCAUCCCGGGCUGCAAGUUUGAGAAAAGAGAUAUGCAGCAUUAAGCAGUAUCCCAGGGAAUCCCUAUAUGACUAUUGGAAAAGGUUCAAUAAGUUGUGUACUAGAUGCCCACAGCAACAAAUUAGUGAACAACUAUUGAUCCAAUACUUCUAUGAGAGACUUCAGUCAUCUGAUAGAAAUAUUAUUGAUGCUGCAAGUAGGGGAGCACUGGCAAAUAAGACACCGAGAGAAGCAUUGCUGCUUAUUGAAGCAAUGGCAGAAAAUUCUCAACAGUUUGUGUUAUUCUUGGUUUUGAUGAUCACAAAAGUUCGUUGAAAUGUUUAUACAGACCAAGAAAGUGAACACUUUGAUCAGGCCUGAUGGAACAAAGUAAGCAUAUGUUCGAUUAACUCCAGACUACGAUGCUUUGGAUGUGGCAAACAAGAUUGGAAUAAUAUAAACAAAUUUAGUCAUUGUUUUGUUCCGAUCAAAGAUACUGUCUUUUAAGUAUGACAAUUUUGUUAGUCUUGGUUCCUUGAAAUGUUUUAUCUAACUUUCUUCAAAUAUAAGUGUUGUUGCCUAUCAAAGAAUCAGGUACGAAUAUGUCGUGAGCAAAAACAGGACACUCAUGUCGGACGGCCGAAAGGAAUCUGUCGGACGUCCGAAGGGAUGAAGAACAUCAGGAAGGAGUUUCUGUCGGACGCACAUCGAUCGUGUCGGACGUCCUAAAAAUUCCACAAAGCUUUGAUGACUCUCUGCCAAGACACUGUCGGACGCUCGCAAGGAAGCAUCGGACGUCCUGAAGGAUCGGACGCAUGCUUCGGACGAACAUCAAUAUCAUUGGACGUCCUAAAAAUUCCUCGAAGAUUUGAUAACUCUCUGGACGACGUUCGAACACUGAAGCUCGGACGAUAAAAUUCCAUCGAACGUCCGAACUUCAAUUUGGCUGUUUUUCGGACGAUUGGUUCGGACGAUAAUUUGAUCGUCGGACGUCCGAAAGCCCCAACGGCUAGCUGACUCUUCAUCUGCCUUCUAUCCGUUGGAAGCUUUAAUGAAGCCCAUUUCUGUUCCCCUUUAAAAACAAACUGUUCUGAACGAAGUAAGAACUUUUGCACACUUGGUCUACAAGAUCUCAAGAGAUAUUUUAGCUAGAAAAUAGUCUCCAAAGUUAGAUUUGUUCUCUAAGUGGUGUGAACUUCUGGUGAGCUUUUCUCUUGUGGUUGAAAGUUUCAUUAGUGUAGCUUUGUUGAGGGUUAUCUGAGUGUUUGUAAAACUUCUUAGCUUGACUAAGUGAGGUUUAGGGCAAGGAGGAAGUGCUCCCUCCAUUGUACAUCUAGUUGAUCAUAUUUCAUCAAAGAGAAGUUGCUCAACCUUGUGAUUGGUCUUCAAGUUUAAGGAAAGCUUGGUAGACAAUCGGUUUGAUUUCCUAUUUUACUUUUUGUUUAAUAAAAUUCUCAUUGCUUAUAUAUACUUAUUUUUCUGAUCAAUAUUGCUAUUGUCUUCUAAUCUACUUGGUUGAUCUUUACUAGAAAAGAAGGUAAAUUUUUAUUAAAGAAAAAGUGCAUAAAUUUGGUUAAGGUUUUAAUCAACCCAAUUCACCCCCCCUCUUGGUUGUCUUUGGGACUUACAAUUGGUAUCAGAGCUUGGUCUCCUUGAGAUUAAGCUCUAACGGCUUGGAGUAAAGAUGACAACCAGUCAUGCUAUGUUUGUUGAGGGGCAAUCUGUUACUAGGCCUCCCAUGUUCAGUGGCUCCAACUAUGUUAGCUGGAAAGAACGGAUGAUUAUCUUUUUGUAAUCUAUUGAUAUUGAACUAUGGUUUAUUGUGAGUGAAGGACCGCAUGAAGCUAACUUUCUUGAUGCAGAUACAGGGUUGCUUCGGCCAAAAAUGAGAGCUGAAAUGAAUGCUCAAGAUAGGACUAACCUCACAUUGAAUGCCAAGGCCAUGAAUGUUCUUUAUAGUGCCCUAGAUUCAAAUGAAUCAAUUAGAGUAAAAGGCUGCAAAUCGGCCAAAGAAAUGUGGGAUAAACUAAGAGAAAUCCAUGAGGGUGGUGACAACGUGAAAGAACAGAAAAAGGCUAUCUUGGUCACAAAAUAUGAAUCAUUUAGAAUUGAACCUCUUGAGGAUAUUGACAAAAUGUAUUGCAGGUUCACUGACUUGAUCAAAGAUCUCGAGGUGUUGGGCAAAGAGUACACCUUGGGAGAGAAGAACAGGAAAAUUCUCAAUGCGUUGGGCAAAGAAUGGGAAAAUAAAGUGACUGCAAUAGAGGAGGCUAAGGAUUUAAGUUCUGUGGCUAUUGAAUCUAUCAUUAACUCACUAACCUCUUAUGAGUUGAAACUGAAAUCUAAAGUGCAGGAGGAAGAGGAAGCUAGAGCAAAGAGAAACAUUGCUCUAAAGACUACUCAAGGUGAAGAUGAUACAGCUCACUUGGAUGAUGAAGACUCGGAUGGUGAUGAUAAUGAUCUUGCUCUCAUCACCAGAGGUUUCAAGAGAAUCUUGAAUAAAAGAAAGUUUAGAAGGGGAGGACCUAGCAAUCAAUUCCAGAAUCAGCCAUCUAUCGCAAAGUACAAAGGAAAACAGGAUUUCAACAAGAAACAGUUGGACAAAUGCUUCGAAUGUGGACAGCUUGGACACUAUGCAAAUGAAUGCCCCAUGAAGAAGAUGAAAGAUGGAAAAGCUGAUCGGAAGCCAAGAUUCAACAACUUUCAGAUUACUUGGAAUGAAUGCAACUCCGAAGGGGAAGUAGAAGAAGAAGAAGAAUCAGCUCAAAUGGCCUUCAUGGCUAUUGGAAAUAAUGAGGUAACUUCCACACAUUCUCAAUCUGAAAGUGAUGAUGAUGAAGAUGAUGAUCUUGAAUCCUUUGUUGAAAAACUGCAUAAUGCCUUGAAGGAAUCUUAUGAUAAAAACAAGCAGUUAAAACAGAAAAUGGCUUUUCUCAUUCAAGAAAAUGCAAGUCUUUUUCAACAAAAUAAACAACUAAAGACUGACAAUGAAAGUCUUGUAAGAGCCGGAUGUAAUGUUCAAAAUGAGCUUGAUAGAAAGACAAAUAUUUGUGAAAUGCUGAAGGAAAGACAUGGUGAUUUGAAAAAAAGAAUGGACAACUUGGAUGAGACUUUGAAAGCAAGAAAGCAGGAGUUUAUCAAAAGGAACAUGUCAUCUACACAUCCUACUACUUUUCAAAGAACAUUUGCACACAACAAAAAUGCACAUGGUUUCACAACAUAUAGAAGAGGUGGAUUGAGAUAUGUCAAACCAGUACAUGUUAAGGACUCUUCCAUUAUGUGUGGUUUUUGUUGUCAAAGAGGGCAUUUGAAAGGUGAUUGCUAUGUGAAAAGAAAUCUGAACAAAGGGAUGAAAUGCAUGUGGUUAGUUAGAUACAAUGCUAACUAUUGCGGACCCAAAAAUUAAAAUGGGUACCAAACACUUUCUCUUUUCAGGAAAAAUGCUCAAACAAGUCCAAAUGGUUUAUUGAUAGCGGUUGCUCAAGGCAUAUGACCGGUGAUCCCUCUUUGUUCAUAAAGCUGAAAUCAAAGUCAAGUGGAAAAGUGACAUUUGGUGAUGAUGUGAAAGCUAAGACAAUUGGAAUAGGUGAUGUUGGUAAGGAUGGUGAUACUUUUGUCCAUAAUGUGCUCUUAGUUGAUAACUUAAGUUAUAACUUGCUUAGUGUUAGUCAAUUGUGUGAUAAAGACUUGAAUGUGUUGUUUAAAAAACAUGAAUGCAUUGUGCUUGAUUCCAAAUAUAAUAUUGUGUUCAAAGGUAAGAGAUUCAACGACAUAUAUAUUGUGGUUCUUGAUAAAAUUGAUUCUUCUAGCUUAAAAUGUCUUAAAGCUUCAAAUGAAGAUCCUUGGUUGUGGCAUAGAAGACUUUGUCAUUUUAACAUGAAUUUACUAAAGGAAAUUUCGAAAAAGGAGUUGGUUAGAGGCUUGCCAAAAAUCAGUUUUGAUAAGGACAAAAUAUGUGAUGCAUGUCAAUUUGGGAAGCAAACAAAAAAUUCCUUUAAACCUAAGAUGUGUGUAUCUACUUCUAAACCUUUGGAACUCUUGCAUCUUGAUUUAUUUGGUCCCACUCAAAUUACUAGCUUGGGAGGUAAAAGAUAUUGUUUUGUAAUUGUUGAUGAUUAUUCUAGAUACACUUGGGUGAUAUUUCUUGCUCAUAAAGAUGAUGCCUUCAAGAAUUUUACUUCAUUGUUUGCUAAAAUGCAAAAUCUGCUUGGGUUAAAAAUUGUUAGGAUUAGAAGUGAUAAUGGGACGGAAUUCAAGUAUUGUGGUUUUCCAGAAUUUUGUGAUCAUAAUGGUAUAACACAUGAGUUCUCUAUUGCAAGGACUCCACAGCAAAAUGGUGUUGUAGAAAGGAAAAACAGGACUCUUCAAGAGGCUGCUAGAACUAUGUUGAAUGAAUGUAGGUUGCCUAAAUAUCUUUGGGCUGAAGCGGUAAACACUGCAUGUUAUGUGAUGAAUAGAAUACUCUUGAGACCUAUUUUAAAGAAAACUCCUUAUGAGCUGAUUUUUGAUAAGAAACCUACGGUUGGUUAUUUCAAAGUAUUUGGUUGUAAAUGCUUUAUUUUGAAUCUAAAGGAACAUCUUGGUAAGUUUGAUAAAAAAUCUGAUGUAGGAAUAUUUUUGGGGUAUUGUGAGAAUAAAAGACGAUAUAGAGUUUUUAAUAGAAGGACUCUUGUGAUUGAAGAAGCUAUACAUAUAACAUUUGAUGAAACCAAUGAUGAUAAUUCCAAAAGUUCGUGUGAGGAUGAUGAUGUAGGUGUUCGAGAAGCAAUGAAAAACCUAUCAAUUGGAAAUGAAGGAAGCUCUAAACCAGCAGCAACUGAAAUGGAAAAUGAAGUUCAUAAUGAUCAAGAAGAGGAAGAUGAAGACAAAAAUGAUGAUCCACUCAAAGAUCUUCCCAAGGCUUGGAAAUUCAGCCAAAAUCAUCCAAAAGAGCUUAUAAUUGGUGAUCCAUCCGAGAAGGUAAACACUAGUUCCUCAUCUAGAAAAUUGAUUGACAAUUUUGCUUUAGUUUCUCUUUUUGAACCCAAAAAUAUCAAUGAUGCUUUAAAGGAUGAAAACUGGAUUUUGGCAAUGCAAGAGGAACUUAAUCAAUUUGAGAGAAAUGAAGUUUGGACACUUGUUAAUAGACCUCAAAAUCAACCUAUCAUUGGCACAAAGUGGAUUUUUAGAAAUAAGUUGGAUGAUAAAGGUGUUGUUGUAAGAAAUAAAGCCAGAUUAGUUGCUAAAGGAUAUGCACAAGAAGAAGGAAUUGAUUUUGAUGAAACAUUUGCUCCCGUAGCAAGAUUAGAAUCUAUUAGAAUGCUUCUUGCUUUUGCAUGCUUUAAAGGCUUCAAAUUGUUUCAAAUGGAUGUUAAAAGUGCUUUUUUAAAUGGUUUUAUUGAUCAAGAAGUAUAUGUGGAUCAACCCCCCGGUUUUGAAAAUACAAAAUUUCCAAGUCAUGUGUUUAAACUAUCUAAAGCUUUAUAUGGUCUAAAACAGGCUCCAAGAGCUUGGUAUGAAAGACUAAGUGGUUUUUUGAUUGAAAAUGGUUUCAAAAGGGGUGUUGUGGACACCACACUUUUUACUAAGCAAGUGUUGAAUGACCUUCUUAUUGUGCAAAUAUAUGUUGAUGAUAUUAUUUUUGGUGCUACUAAUGAGUAUCUAUGUAAGGAGUUUUCCACCACUAUGCAAAGUGAAUUUGAAAUGAGUAUGAUGGGAGAAUUAAAUUUCUUCCUUGGACUUCAAAUACAUCAAGCUCUUGAGGGAAUUUUUAUAAAUCAAGCAAAAUAUACCAAGGAAUUGUUGAAAAGGUUUGGCAUGGAGGACUCAAAGCAAGUUGGAACUCCAAUGUGCACUUCUACAAAGCUUGACAAAGAUGAAGAAGGUAAUCAUGUGGAUGAAAAGCAUUAUAGAGGUAUGAUCGGAAGCCUACUCUAUUUAACCGCAAGUAGACCUGAUAUUAUGUUUGCUGUUUGCUUGUGUGCUAGAUUUCAAUCUUGUCCAAAAGAAUCACAUUUGAAUGCUGUAAAAAGGAUUUUUAGGUAUUUGAAAGGUACAUUAGACUAUGGUCUUUGGUAUGCUAGAUCUAAUGAGUUUGCACUAUAUGCUUAUUCGGAUGCUGAUUUUGGAGGUUGUCGUGUGGAUAGAAAGAGUACUAGUGGAACUUGUCAUUUUCUUGGAAAUUGUUUAGUCUCUUGGUUUAGCAAGAAACAAUGUGCAAUCUCUUUGUCUACAACCGAAGCGGAAUAUAUUGCCGCUAGUGCAUGUUGUGCUCAACAUUUAUGGAUGAAGCACACCUUGAAUGAUUUUUGAUUGUUGUAUGACUGCAUGCCUGUAUUCUGUGAUAAUACUAGUACUAUAAAUUUGACCAAAAAUCCUAUUCAUCAUUCUACGACAAAGCACAUAGAUAUAAAGCAUCACUUUAUUCGUGAUCUUGUUCAAAAAGGUGAAAUAUGUGUAAAUUAUGUUUGUUCUAAAGAUCAAUUUACGGAUAUUUUUACAAAAGCUUUGCCAUUAGAUCAGUUCAUUCAUCUAAGAUCAAAAUUAGGAAUAAUCGAAAAAUCAUCUUAAUUUUUGGGUCUUCGGACGUCCGAAAGAAGAUGAACGGACGUCCGAUGAUGUUCUUCAGCCAUUUUCCAGAUUGCGCCUGUUCGGACGCAGCUGUCGGACGCACAACGUCGUUCGGCCGUCCGACAGUGCAACGGAUCAAUUUUUUAAAUAACUUUCUUUCUCAUUUGCUUCAGACUCUUCCUAUUCUAUUUCCUCUCGGACGAAAACUCUCUCUUCCCUCACUCUCAAAUUCGUACCAUUUUGAAGCUCUCAUUCUCAAAUUGACUCAAACAAAACUUUUUCUGACUGAUUGCGAUUCAUUUCUCCUGAUCAUUUUCCCGAAUCGCAUAACAUUUCACAAAUUCCCAAAUUUCCUUCAAAACCCUACUUUCUCAUAACCGCUCUGCCAAAUCUUGUUUAAGGCCUUUUUGUCCCAAAAUUUCUGUGCAAAUCACUUCCCUACCACUGUGUGCAUCAUUUGCAUUCUUCAUUCCACACAUUUCACACAAUGGUGAAUCUGAGAGGAGGAAAGGUUACUGCCGGACGCAAGCAUCCACUCAGGGAUGAGGAUGAGGAUCUUCCUACGGUCAAACGUUCAUCCAAACGCUUCAAGAGAGGAGCCAUAAAGGGUCAAAUGUCACGGCCUACUCCUCAACCCACCUCUCAGCCUGAAUCUGGACAGGGAACCUCUGCUCAACCGCCUCCAAAAUCAGCCCCUCCCCCUACAUUCUUUGAUGAUACAGCAAGAGACAAACACUCCUUGAUAUCCCAGAAAGGUGUCAUCCCUCAACGUACUGUAAACCCUUCUGAAUUUCGUCUCAUAGGUUUAGAAACCAUUCUGAAGUUAUUUGCUUUUCAGAAAUGGUCGCAUAUCAUUUCUAUGCCAAAUGUUUACUAUCCUGAAAUGCUGCAUCAAUUUUUUGCUAAUCUUAGAAAAGGGUCUGACCAAACUGAAAUCUUUUCCAGGGUUAAUGGGGUAGACUUAAUCUUUGACUCUGAAAUUGUGAAUUCCAUUUUAAAUACUACCAUUGAACGUGGGUGCAAGGAUAAAAUUACAAAUUUCUUUUCCUAUGAAGAGCACCCUAAUGCUGAUAAUCAUUUUGAUGGGGCUAAAAUGAUGACCUAUUUUAAAAGAAGUUUUUCCUCCCCUGCUGAUGCUAAACUGAAUGAUCUUGCCCCUGUGAAUUUAAUUGCUUUUUCUAUCAUUUCAAACCUGCUUGUGCCUACUGAUGGCCAUAGAACUGAUGCAAACAAAAUGGAGUUGUACCUCUUUUAUUAUUUUCGAGAAAAAAUUUGGAUUGAUUUUGGUUUUGUCAUGUGCAAGUUUUUACUUCGCUAUACCACUGACUCUCGCAGAAAACUAUCCUAUGGAAAGUUUCUUCAAAAGAUUUUUGAGUUUUUCAAAGUUCCAAUUUUAGGUGUUUGUCCCAAAGAAGCAUCUUCUUAUGCCUUUACCAAAGGAUACUUUGAAAGGAAAAAUCUUGUUUUUAAAGAUAAUAUGUGGUCUUAUAAAGAGGCAUCGUCCAGUGAACGUAGGUCUAAGGCUGCACAUGAUCCUUCAUCUAUUCCACUCACUCCCAUUCAUCCUAGGAAAUCUGCCACUAAGGCAUCUUCCUCCUCCAAUGAUGGAGUGAUUGAGCUUCUUCAUGAACUCAAACAGCAUGUUCUUCUUCUAGAACAUGGCCUAAUGCUCACCAUGUCCUCUGAGCAACAAACUGCCUUUCUAGACAAAAAGAACCAUCUCUUUCCCCCACCUGUGGUUGAGGAAGUGUCCCAUGACAAAGAGCCACACCCCACUGAUCCAAGCUCAUCAAUUCCAGACCCUGGUUCAUCAACUCCUGUGACUCCUCAUGGUCCUUCCACAGCAGAUAAAGGCAAGGAACCAGUUGAAGUGGAUGCUGAAGCUGAUGAAGAAACUGAAGAGGAGGACCUCUCCCAAUAUCAGCUCUCUCGAAGAACUCCUGGAUCCACACAGUUCACUACUUAGGACAUUUGCAUUCUGUUUGUCUAUUUUAUGUGUUUGUAAUGGUCAACAUUUGUAACCUUCUUUUAAUGUUUCUCUUGUUGGUACUGUAUGUUUAUGUUAAGUAUUUUGAAUGAUGACUGUGUUUAUGGAUGUUUAAGUAUUUUGGUGCAAUGAAUUUGGUUUUCAUUGAUGAAUGUGUUUGUGGAUGUGUUGAUGUGAUUGGUUGCCCUUUUGUGAUGACAAAAAGGGGGAGAGGACUGGAUUGAUGAUUGAUGAUUGGUGUUGAGGACUGGAUUGAUUGAUGAUUGAUGAUUGGUAUUGAUUGAUGAUUGAUGAUUGGUGAUGUUGGAUAUGUUGGAUUGAUUGUUUAAAUUUGGAUUGGCUGAUAUGCUUAAUUGUCAUAUUUUUAGAAAAUUGUUUAACUCGGAUGGGCAGCCAAGUGAGGGGGAGCUUUUUCAAAAUUUUCAAAAUUUUAUGAUUCACUAAAUAAGGGGGAGUUCGUGAGAAAGGGGGAGCUUAUAAUGCAAUCAUCAAAUUUCAUUUCAAACUUUUGUUUUGUCAUCAUCAAAAAGGGGGAGAAUGUUAUUCUUGAUUUUGAUGAUCACAAAAGUUCGUUGAAAUGUUUAUACAGACCAAGAAAGUGAACACUUUGAUCAGGCCUGAUGGAACAAAGUAAGCAUAUGUUCGAUUAACUCCAGACUACGAUGCUUUGGAUGUGGCAAACAAGAUUGGAAUAAUAUAAACAAAUUUAGUCAUUGUUUUGUUCCGAUCAAAGAUACUGUCUUUUAAGUAUGACAAUUUUGUUAGUCUUGGUUCCUUGAAAUGUUUUAUCUAACUUUCUUCAAAUAUAAGUGUUGUUGCCUAUCAAAGAAUCAGGUACGAAUAUGUCGUGAGAAAAAACAGGACACUCAUGUCGGACGGCCGAAAGGAAUCUGUCGGACGUCCGAAGGGAUGAAGAACAUCAGGAAGGAGUUUCUGUCGGACGCACAUCGAUCGUGUCGGACGUCCUAAAAAUUCCACAAAGCUUUGAUGACUCUCUGCCAAGACACUGUCGGACGCUCGCAAGGAAGCAUCGGACGUCCUGAAGGAUCGGACGCAUGCUUCGGACGAACAUCAAUAUCAUCGGACGUCCUAAAAAUUCCUCGAAGAUUUCAUAACUCUCUGGACGACGUUCGGACACUGAAGCUCGGACGAUAAAAUUCCAUCGGACGUCCGAACUUCAAUUUGGCUGUUUUUCGGACGAUUGGUUCGGACGAUAAUUUGAUCGUCGGACGUCCGAAAGCCCCAACGGCUAGCUGACUCUUCAUCUGCCUUCUAUCCGUUGGAAGCUUUAAUGAAGCCCAUUUCUGUUCCCCUUUAAAAACAAACUGUUCUGAACGAAGUAAGAACUUUUGCACACUUGGUCUACAAGAUCUCAAGAGAUAUUUUAGCUAGAAAAUAGUCUCCAAAGUUAGAUUUGUUCUCUAAGUGGUGUGAACUUCUGGUGAGCUUUUCUCUUGUGGUUGAAAGUUUCAUUAGUGUAGCUUUGUUGAGGGUUAUCUGAGUGUUUGUAAAACUUCUUAGCUUGACUAAGUGAGGCUUAGGGCAAGGAGGAAGUGCUCCCUCCAUUGUACAUCUAGUUGAUCAUAUUUCAUCAAAGAGAAGUUGCUCAACCUUGUGAUUGGUCUUCAAGUUUGAGGAAAGCUUGGUAGACAAUCGGUUUGAUUUCCUAUUUUACUUUUUGUUUAAUAAAAUUCUCAUUUCUUAUAUAUACUUGUUUUUCUGAUCAAUAUUGCUAUUGUCUUCUAAUCUACUUGGUUGAUCUUUACUAGAAAAGAAGGUAAAUUUUUAUUAAAGAAAAAGUGCAUAAAUUUGGUUAAGGUUUUAAUCAACCCAAUUCACCCCCCCUCUUGGUUGUCUUUGGGACUUACAGUUUGGCUCCCGCGAGAGUAACCCUACCCAUAGGGUUAACGAGGUAAAGACGUCGUCCAUUCAGCAGCAGCUAUCGGAGUUAACAUCUUUUGCUCAGCAGUUAGCUGUGGGGAAUAUGCAUCAAGCAAAGGUCUGUGGAAUUUGCACAAACAUGGGCCACCCCACUGACUUAUGCCCUAUUUUGCUAGAGGAUGGGGCUGAACUAGUAAACAUGGUUGGGGGCGUGCCCACGCCCCGUAGGUAGUACGAUCUAUACUCGAACACGUACAAUUCGAGUUGGAGAGACCACCCCAACUUCAACUAUGGGAACAGGCCACAGAAGUCAUUCUCAAAUCGUCCAGCAACCAUGGCAACCAAAGCUUCAACCUUCGUCCUCCAAUUCAGGAGGCUCUUUGGAGGAUAUUGUCAAGAGCCUGGCCACGAGUACUACUCAGCUCCAGCAAGAAACUAGAUCCUUGGUCACGAGUACUGCUCAAUUCCAUCAGGAAACUAGAUUAGGCAUGAAAAAUCUGGAGACUCAAAUAAGUCGUAUGGCAACUGCAAUUAAUCGGUUAGAGUCUCAAGUUUUUGAAAAAUUGCCAUCGCAACCCGAGGUAAAUUCCAAGAAUGUAAGUGCCUUGACAUUGAGGAAUGGCAAGGAAGUGGAGGGGCUUAAGGCCACGAACCUAAAGAGUAAAAGUGAAGAAGAGAUCGAAAAGGAGAUUGAAGAAGAAGGACGCAUUCGUGGAGACCCUAAGGUAACUCUUACUCCAUCAAUUCCCAUUGAAUCUAAUUUACCUCCUUUUCCAUACAGGUUGGAAAAGACAAAGAAGGCGGAGAUGGAAAAAGAAAUCCUAGACGUAUUCUGAAAAGUAGAGAUCAACAUUCCCUUGUUGGAUGCAGUUAAGCAGGUACCAAAGUACGCAAAUUUUUUUAAGAAUUUGUGCACCUAUAAGAGGAAGUUGAGACGGGACAAAAGAGCAGCAGUGGGAGAAAAUGUAUCAGCUAUACUCCAAAGAAAACUCCCACCCAAGUGUGGAGAUCCAGGUAUGUUCAUGAUCCCAUGCAAAAUAGGAAAUACACCGAUUAGAAAAAUAAUGUUGGAUUUAGGGGCAUCAAUCAACGUAAUGCCAAGCACCAUUUAUGUUUCUUUAAAUCUUGGGCCACUAAAAGAAACAGCCAUCAUAAUCCAACUAACUGACCGCACCAAUGCUUAUCCAGAGAGGCUAGUUGAGGAUGUCUUGGUUCAGGUAAAUGAGUUAGUUUUUCCAACAGAUUUUUAUAUCUUAGGUAUGGGAGAUGAAAAAUUGUUAAAUCCGUCACCUAUUUUGUUAGGUAGGCCAUUUCUUAGCACUGCUAGGACUACAAUAAAUGUGAAUGAGAGUACUUUAUCAAUGGAGUUUGAUGGCGAAAUUAUAAAUUUCAAUAUUUUUGAGGUGAUGAAGUAUCCGGAGGAAUCUAACUCAGUCUUUGCAUUGAGUGUUAUUGAACCUAUUGUAUAGGAAACUUUCGAAUUAGACUGUGAAGACGCAUUGGAAGUGGCCUUUAUCAAGCAUCUUGAAAUGGAUGUAACUCUUAAUGUGGACAUGAGGGAUGAGUUGCACCAUACAGUUGAAGCAUUACAUUCACUUCCAACCAUUCCUUCGAGGUAUGAGCUUACCUCUCUUUUUGUGCCAAAAACUCAGACAAAGUUGUUGCCUUCAGUUGCACAGGCACCGGAGUUAGAGCUUAAGACUCUCCCGAAACAUUUAAAGUACGCAUUCCUGAGAGACUAAGAGACGCUUCCGGUGAACAUUUCUGCACACUUAUCUCCAAGUCAAGAGAGCAAACUGGUGCGAACCCUUAGGGAUCAUAAGGAAGCGAUUGGGUGGAGUAUAGCAGAUAUCAAAGGAAUAACUCCGUUCUUAUGCAUGCACCAGAUACGGCUCGAAGAUGAUGCGAAACCGGUAAAACAGGCGCAGCGGAAAUUGAAUUCGCUAAUGAUGGAAGUAGUGAAAAAGGAGAUACUUAAAGUCCUGGAAAUAGGAAUUAUCUUUGCUAUCUUGGACAGUCCUUGGGUGAGUCCCGUUCAAAUAGUCCCAAAAAAAAUAGGAGUGACUGUAGAGGAAAACCAGGAGGGUGAGAUGGUUCCAGUCAGGAAAGCUACAGGUUGGCGCCAGUGCAUUGACUACCGGAGACUAAACGCUGUGAUGAAAAAGAACCAUUUUUGAUGUGAAACCCCGGUCUAGACAACCAAAACACCAUGGCUUAGGCAGCGGAAAUUUGACCCAACUAAUCCCUAGAAGUCACGAACAAUUUUGAUAUUAUCUCAACCCGUAACUACUCGAAUUAACGAACCAAAUUGGAGGUAGUAGAACGCCACAAUCAAGGAGAUACUCGAUUGAUAAGUUCGGGUGAAUAACUUGAGAAGAUUCUCAAGUAUUCAAAGGCAACUCUCUUGCCAAAGAGAAAGUGAAAACUCACUAAUUGUAUUUAAUAGCCAAAAACUCGUCCCAAAACAAAGAGGAAGUGAGGCAAUUUAUAGCCCUUACAAGCAUUAACCCUAAUCCAAAAGUUGACCAAACUACCCUACAUACUUAAGAAAGAUUUUGGGCCUUACUUACUAACAAAUGGGCCGCAAUUAAACUAUCUUAAUUACCUAGAUUUUUAAAACAAGAAAUAACCAAAAUCAACGAGAAAAAUCAAAUAAUCCUACUAAACUCAAGCAUUCGUGCAAUCAACUAGUCUUCACUUGAAUCUUCCAAUUCCCCGUGUGCUUGAAUGGGCCUUGGUCUUUAUAUUCUCAUCAUUCCCCUCCUCUUAAAAGCAAUUUGCCCACAAAUUGAAGCACGAAUGGUGACAAGACGAGUUACAUGCCUUCGACUCAAUCUUGUUAUGAUGGCUACAGAUGGCAUCCAAUGCAAAACCCAUGUGCUAAGUUGGAAAAUAACCCUCGUCGAACCUUGAAUCUCACAGACCAUCUUCAAUGUAUGCUCAACUUUAUUGUUUGUGGUCAUGAGAUAAGGGUCCUCAAAGUGGUAUGAAGUGUAUCCCGUGAAAUCGAACUCCGGCUCGAACACACUUGCAAGGUACCAAGGCGGAUUUGGUGAUGUUGGAGCUUCAUGUGGACUAAGAGCAAGACGAAAAGCAUAAUGGUCAUUGAGGUACUUGUUCUUUAAACGAACCCUUGGUACACAACCAUUCCUAAAAUAUGGAGUGUUCCCUUCAAGAUGAGCUCGAAUCAACUCCCCUUUGGUGUGGACUGAUUUAAGUUGACAUUGUUCCAUGAAUGGAUACCAAGGGGGUUUAACUCUUGGAGUACCAACUCCAUGGAGGCUUGCAACGUCUACAAUUGAUUUUGGAAUGGAACACACCAAGAUCAGCUCAACUUGCCUUUGCUUGAUCUGUAUAAAAGAAGAAACACUAAACAAAGCAAAGGUAAGUUUGUUAAGAAAAUAAUAGGCCUUCACCGGGUUGCUCAAGAUCAGCCCACUUUCUCUUCUUUCUUCCUUUUUACCACCAAUCUCAUUAGAUUUUUCCAUCUCUUUUCCUAGUUCAACAGCUGACCCUUUUAUCUCAUUACUUUCAACUUCCUCGGGUUUUACCUCUGCAGGCACAAUUCCCUCAUCUAGCUUUUUCUCCAUUCUAUAACGCUCAAACUCACUUUUCAUGCAUGCUAGAUCAAUACAAAGUUGGUCAUAAGUAAGUGAUACAAGUGCAAGACGACGACUAUUAAAUAAGAAGGAAUACUUAUUAGUAUGUCCAUCAAUUUUAACUUCUCGCCUCGACAUCCAUGCUUUGCCCAACAACACAUGUGUCACUUGAAUUGGGACUACAUCACACAACACCUCAUCCACAUAUUUGCUGAUUUGAAUAGGUACAAGUGUGUGCUUAGUAACCCAAACAUCCCUAUGAGUGCUCGUCAACUUGUAAGGUUGAAGAUGAUCAAUGGUUGGAAGAUUUAAUUUCUCAACCAUGAUAGCACUUGCAAGAUUGACUUCACAACUACCAUCAAUGGCCAAGCUACAAAUUUUAUCUUUGACACCGCAACGAGUAUAAAACCAACCAAGCAACUGAGAUUUGACGAGGUCCAAUUGCUCAUCUACACCACGUAAUGCCACUUCUUUGACUCCCUUAGGAUCAGGAAGACAAUGUUGUGGGCUAGCUUUUAUGUGUCUUAUACUCGCCAUGACGUAUGAGGGAACCUGCAAAAAGUUAGCAACGAAACCGAAGAUAUUGCCUUUCACGCUCCCUUACGUGUAUCCACUCGCACUCGUGUAUAUGGAUGUCACUCUAAUGGACUUACCAAAUACCUUUACCUGUUGGGUUAGGUAGUUGAGAAAUGCUGCUCAAGUCCAACAACCGUUACCAACCUUUCCACAAGUGUAAUCACAAGAAUGUAGGAGAAAAUGUAUGAAAGUGUUCCUAGAAUCUAGGAAGAGAAUAUAGGAGAGUUUCAUAAAGUGGAUGAGAGAAUAUAGGAAAGGUCCUAAAAAUGGAUGAGAGAAUUUUAGGAGAGUUUCCUAAAAAAUGGAUGAGAGAAUUUAGGAAAGUUUCCAAAAAAAUGGAUGAGAGAGUUUAGGAAAAUUUCCUAAAAAGGUAGGAGAGAGAGUGUCCAAGUGAGUACAAAGAGUUAUCCAAGUGCUUUACUUAGUUUCCUAAUUGAUUUUGGAAACAAGUUAGUUUUUGGAAACCUUUUGAAAAUCCUCUUCCUCUUGAACAACUUUUGGUAACCUUCUUGAAACAACUUUUGGUAACCUUCUUGAAACAACUUUUGGUAACUUCCAAAUUCUACUCCAAGAAAGAUUGCACAAAUCAGAUUUGGUUCUCUAUUCAAAACAAUUCGGUUGCCCCUUUCUUUCCUUGCCUUUUUUUUUUUCUCUUGCCAACCAAUUCCUCUUUUCUUUCUUCUUUUUUUUUGUCUUUUUUUGACUACAACUAUCAACCACGACACAAAACAAGGAAGUCCACAAAUAAUAACAACCAAGAACUCCAAGAUCUUUCAAGAACGUUCAAGGAAGUUGUCAGGAACUUCAGAAAUUUCAAGAUUGUGGUCAAGAAUUCAAGAAGCUCAAGAUUAUUGUAAGUUCUCUUCACGAUUCACAAAAUUCCAACAAUUUUUGCCAAAAUUCAGAUUUGAAAACCAAGUAAACAAGUUGGAUAACACAAACAACAAGGCUGGACAGAUUUGUAUUCGGAUGAACAGAACCCUAUGAACAGUAUCAGUGAACAGUGUCGGUGAACAGUAACGAUGAACAGUAAUAUUUUUUUUUUUUUUUUGGUUCUGAACAAACGAACAGAUUGGGAUAAACACAUAUGACUCGAAAUAAACGAAAACAAAAAAAAAGAUAUAACCUGGUGGUUGUCAACUAGCUCUGGUACCAACUGAUGUGAAACCCCGAUCUAGACAACCAAAACACCAUGGCUUAGGCAGCGAAAAUUUGACCCAACUAAUCCCUAGAAGUCACGAACAAUUUUGAUAUUAUCUCAACCCGUAACUACUCGAAUUAACGAACCAAAUUGGAGGUAGUAGAACGCCACAAUCAAGGAGAUACUCGAUUGAUAAGUUCGGGUGAAUAACUUGAGAAGAUUCUCAAGUAUUCAAAGGCAACUCUCUUGCCAAAGAGAAAGUGAAAACUCACUAAUUGUAUUUAAUAGCCAAAAACUCGUCCCAAAACAAAGAGGAAGUGAGGCUAUUUAUAGCCCUUACAAGCAUUAACCCUAAUCCAAAAGUUGACCAAACUACCCUACAUACUCAAGAAAGAUUUUGGGCCUUACUUACUAACAAAUGGGCCGCAAUUAAACUAUCUUAAUUACCUAGAUUUUUAAAACGAGAAAUAACCAAAAUCAACGAGGAAAAUCAAAUAAUCCUACUAAACUCAAGCAUUCGUGCAAUCAACUAGUCUUCACUUGAAUCUUUCAAUUCCCCGUGUGCUUGAAUGGGCAUUGGUCUUUAUAUUCUCAUCAAUUUUCCUCUCCCUUUUAUUGACCAGAUGAUAGAAAGAUUGGCUGGUCGUGUUUACUAUUAUUUUUUGGAUAAUUUUUCAGGGUACUUCAGAUCUCGAUAGCACCGGAGGACCAGGAAAAGACCACAUUCACCUGCCCAUUUGGUACUUUUGCGUACCGUAGGAUGCCUUUCGAUCUUUGCAAUGCUCCAACAACUUUUCAAAGGUACAUGGUAAGUAUUUUCUCCGAAUAUGUAAAAAGAUUAUUGAUGUGUUCAUGAAUGAUUUUAGUGUAUACGGGGAUAGCUUUGAUGAAUGUUUCGAUAAUUUAGCUGUAAUUUUGAAAAUGUGCAUAGAGACGAACUUAGUUCUUAAUUGGAAAAAAUGCGCUUUAUGGUAGAGUAUGGUAUUGUCUUAGGGCACGUUGUGUCGGCUAAGGGAAUAGAGGUAGAUAAAGCAAAAAUAGAUCUAAUUUCUACUUUGCCUUACCCUGUAUGUGUACGGGAAGUACGUUUCUUUUUGGGCCAUACAGGAUUUUAUAGGAGGUUCAUCAAGGAUUUCUCAAAGAUUGGAGCACCCCUAUUCGAGUUGCUGCAAAAGGACGUGACAUUCGAUUUCACCAAUGAAUAUAAGGUGGCUUUUGAUAAAUUAAAGGAGUCGUUGACAUCGCCGCCCGUCAUUCAACCCCCAGAUUGGAGCCUACCGUUUGAAAUAAUGUGCGAUGCGAGUGAUUAUGAGGUAGAAGCAGUGUUGGGCCAAAGGAUUGGCAAGGUGGCGCAUGCAAUUUACUAUGCGUCGAAAGCAUUGAGUGGAGCUCAACUUAACUACUCCACGACGGAGAAAGAAUUACUAGCCGUUGUUUUUGCACUAGAAAAAUUUAGGUCAUAUUUAUUAGGUGCAUGUAGACACCAAAAAUUUCAUCGAUUCAGUUUUAGCUUUAUUCAUUCAAUUUUGACUUCCUUUGAUUCAAUUUUUAGUUUUAUUAUUAUUAUUUAUUCUUGUCUCAUAUUUAUUAUUUUUAAUUGAUUGGAGGUUGCAAAUGGUAAUUGAUGUUCAUUCUUAUUUUAAAUGCAUUAAAAUUCAUCAUUUUCUUUUUAAAGCAAUUUUACACUAAAUUUUAGGAAAAUCCCGAAUAAAGAUCCAUUUUAUCUUUUUAAAAUUUGAUUUUUUCUUGCUAAGGCAUUUUGCAAGGUAAUUUUUAAAAAUUAAGCAUGUUAAACAAGUGUGUCAAUUGCAUGUUGAACAAGUGUGCAAAUAAGCAUUAGACAAGUGGUUGAGGAAUGGUAGGACAAGUGUAUAGGGGGUAGCUGUCAAGGACACUUGGGGGGUUUUUUGGGGGGCAUCGGAAAAAAAAGGAAGAAAAAACCCUCGAAGAGGCUUGAAAACAGGGGGAAGAGAAAAGAGCUAAAAACAGGGAGGGGGCUUCGGAGGAAAGGGGAGAGGAAAAACGAAAUCGAAAAAGGAGGGGAGAGUAGGGAAAAAUCUGGGGAGAGUCUGUGGGCUAAGAAAAACAGCGGAGAGAUAGCGGAAAAAAAGGAGAAAAAGAACGGCUGAGGGGAAGGCUAAAAAUCUGAAAAGAGAAGAAGGCUUCGGCUGGGAGAAGCUGGAGUGGAAAAAAUAGAAAAAGGGAGAACGGCUGCGGUUGAGGGCCGAGAGAGUGGAGAGCCGAGGAGGAAAAAUCAGAAAAGGAGGAGAAAAAUCAAGGGCGGCGGAUGAAGGGAAAAGCUGGGAAAAUUAGAAACAGAGAAAGAGAGGAUAGCAGCGGACAAAGAGCUUGCGACUGAGGAAGCAGAGCAGCUGGAACUGCCGUUCGCGGGAAGCUGUUGCCGCCCUCUUCCGUCACGCGCGACGCCAGCUUCAUCGCUUCUUCCAUCAUAGUUCAAGCUCCGCCCUCUGCCGGCACAAACAAGUGGCCAACCGCCCGCCCAAGCAACCAAAUCCGAGAUCAGCACCCGCAAAAUUUUACCAAGAAACAAACGGUAAGCCACCAUCAUCCUUCAAAUUUCAGUUUUCAUGUAAGUUUUCGAAGCGUGUUUUAUUUUUCACGUUGUGGCUUGUAGCCAUUUCUCUGUUGAAUUAUUCACUAAUUGGAAGUAUGUAUGCUUUGAAUGUCGAUUGGACUGGAGUUUUCUUGCAUUUGAUGAAAUUUUGGGUGCUGAUUCAUGUCAAUUGAGCGAGAAAUUGGUGAAGUUUUUUAAUGGCUGUUUGUUGUUCGACAGAAUGCUUCAAUGAAAGUUCGGCCUGAAGAAUGGAUUAAUUUCUGAUUUAUAUACGUUCGACUGUUUCAUGCUUGUCAAAAUAAUUGAUUCGAAUGGGUUUGUUUGGGCGUCCGUUUGUUUUGGCAAUCUGCUCCGCUUCUCGUUUGUUUGGUGUUCCUCUUGUAUGGAUUUAAAUUCAUGACAUAAAAUGGCGUGCGAGGGGAUUCAUGUGAGAGUCAUUUGUUUUGCUUUUGUUUUGUUUUGUUGAUUGGAGUCCGAAGUUGAAUUUUCUGGUUGCAAAGAGGAAUGAAAUAGCAGCGAACGUUGAGCCAAUUUGGGAAGAAGAGGAUUGCUUGAUUAAAUUCAUGAUUCCAGUCCCUCAAUUUCCCUUUCCAUUAUGAUUUAACCCCAGAAUUUUAGGACUUCAUAAUUUUUCCUCCAACACCUUCAUAAGUCCUUCAAUUAGGUCCCUGCUCUUGUUGCAUUUUAACCCCUCAGCUUCCCCUUGUUCUGAUAUGACCCGAAAAGUGGAAAAAGUGCGUUUGUUUCUCCCUUCUAGAUUUAAAUCAUCUUCUAAUAAGCAUGAAUAGUCCUUUUACUAGAUUAAUUCUUGUUUGUAGGUUCUAAUUGUGGUUCAAUAAUUUAUUUUGAUUUUAUCAUGUUGGGUUUAAUGAAACAAGUGCCUUGGGCUAAGAGGUUAUUUUUGUUUGGGUUUAAGAAAGUCGUUUUAGUUUAUUUUGUUUGGUUUUUUGGUUCGGGCUAGAGGGUCAAGGCCCAUCUAUUUGGUUGGCUAAUUUUUGGGCCAGGAUAUUAUACUAGCCCACUUGUUUUCCUUGGACUUUCGAUUGGGCCAAGUUAUCUUGGCCCAAGAAAGGUGAAGAUGGCCCAUUCCCUUUUUGUUUUGGAUUUUCGGUUGGGCUUGUAAGGCUUUGGCCCAAACAAAUAAAGGAAAUGGCCCAAUGGCUUGGUCCAUUAAGAAACCAGAAAACGAUUUUGCAAAUCAGUCCCUGAAUUUCUCCCUAAUUGUAUUGUGGCCCUGGACAUUUUCAACUUCUUUCAAUUCGGUCCUUGCUUUAAUUGCAAAUAGGUCCCUGAACUUUAUUUUUCUUUAAUUUUGACCUCCAAACUUUGUCAAUCUUUGCAAUCAGGUCCUUUCUUCUCUUGACUUCUUAAAUGUGAAUUGUCGACAUGAUUUAAUUGAUUCAAAUUCAUGCUUAUUUUUUAUCCUUUGUGAUUAUUUGCCAAAUAAAUUGGUACCUUGACCUUUUUAUUGUUUUGAAGCUAAUAUCUCAUUUACUCGAUUUCCGUUGCGAGGGAGGUAACUUCUAUAUUUUUGAGUUUAUUUUUUCCUACGUGCUCCUACGUGUUAUGUGAAUAUGCCUGUCUACUUUGCUUUCUUUGCCUUUCUUUAAUUCUUUUCAUUUUUUUUUACUUACUUUUGCUUUUUAUUUAAGUUAUUCAUUAUGGGGUAUGUGUACACCUCUUGGCUUGUAAUAGUUAGGGAUUUAAUUAUUUUAUUCUUUUCCCCCUUUUAGAUUGUAGUGGGGUCUCCCUAAUGUAAUAGAUAGGGUUUGGAGGAGCAUUCAAUGAAGACCUAUCGAAGACUUGUGCCUAGCUAGCAAAUGUAAUAGUUAGGGCUUUAAUUGUCUCAUGUGCCUUGCAUGCUUAGUUGCUACGUGUUAAUUUGCUUUGCUAGGGCCUUGCAUCUAGUCGAGCAUGCAAAAUGUUAUGUGCUAUGUGUUUAUAAGUGUUUGGCAUGUCUACUCGCUUUCCAUAGCCUGAAUAAAUGUGAUGGAUGAAUGUACGUCACCACACUAGUCCAAUGCUAGUUGUGGCUCAUUAUUUCAUUAGGAAUUCAUAGAAAGGGCUAGUCCAACGCUAGACCCAAUAGGAUUUUUCCUUUGUUUUUCAUUAAUGCAUUAUUUGCCUGUUCACUACAUAUCAUGCAUUUUUCCUUAGUUUUAUCAUCUGGCAUGCUCCUCGAUUCCCCUUUCCCCUCACUUUAGGAUUUUUGCAUUUCAUGCUAGUUAUAGGGUUCAUUUGCCUGAAGAGUCCCCUUCUGAUAAGGGAAACGAGCGAGUGUGGCUACUCGAUAGCCUUAGCACGCUAGUUUCGCCUUCUAAUCAAAGGGAAGAUUAAGUCACAAAGUUAGGACUCCCCGUUCCCGUCUUGAUGCAUUCCUAUAGGAUUCAUGCAUUCUAUUCAUUCACUAUCACAUACACUUACUUUAUAUUCUAACCCUUUUUCCACAUUCUCACUUCACACUACUUUUACACGUUUUCAUUUAACUACUCACACUCUAUGCCAUAUCACUCGCACACAUGCACUUUAUAUUAUUUUCACAUUAUCAUUCUUUACUCACCUUACCUUGUAAAUACAUUUGCACACCUCCACUUUUCUCACUUCACAUAAACUUACAUUUUCACAUGACAUGCACCCCAUUCAUUUUUACGUCAUUUAGGAUUACGUGUGACCUCUCCAAAGGAUCAUUAUUGGGCUUCACAAUUAAUGUGAUUGGCACCACUCAACCUUUGAAGAGAAAUUUCCCCCAAUACCCCUAGGUCUAGGGUUUUGCAUUCAUAUAGACAUAUCCAACACGCGAUACAUACCUUGGGUAGAAAAAUUAGGAAAAAUUGGUUUAAGUCACGCAACUAGCCUUGGCUAGGUCGAAGGGGUGCCUUGGAUUUUUUAUCCUUGCCUUCCCCUUCGUCAAAUGUGACCCCCGAUCCCUCUUUUUGGUUACGUAGACCCAAAAGUUCUUUAAAAGGGUUUAUUUACUUUUUUUAUUCAAAAACAAAAAACCAUUUUUUGGGUGACUUGGUACACCCUAACCCUAUACCAAGUGGCGACUCCAUUUUUGAUACAAAAAACCCUUUUUGAACUUUAUAUGGCCAAACCGUCGCAUUAUCAAGUCCCAUGGCCUUUUACUUUUCAUUUACACACGUUCACAUUCCAUUACACCACUCACAUCUCACACCACACACACACCACAACUCAUCAUCUUCGAAAAGUGGGGCGCGACAGUUGGCGACUCCACUGGGGAAGCUCCUAAGUGGGUCCGAGCAUUUGACUUAGCCAUUCGUUUCCUUUUUCUACCCUUUUUAUGCAUUGCACUUGGAUAUUAGGGUUGCAUUUUUUUUAUUUUAGGCCUUUUUGCCUCGUGCGCGUAUCCAACUAUUCCCUCACUCACGUACGUGUGAUUGGUUGAUUGGAUGUAUGUUUACUUGUUUAUCUCGCGCUUGCAUUGCAUUUGGGAGGGGGCGUGUCACCUUUAGAGCCUCACGUUGGUUCUCAACCCCUUCCCUCAAAAUAGGGGAGCACUUCAUACGUGCACGUUUACUUGCUUUUAUCCCAUUUUAUUUUGUUUUUCGUGGGCGUUUCCCACACCGCCUUGUAGGAUUAGGAUCGAUUGCCUUGGGUAGGCGGCUGGUGUGCUCUGCGCCCAUAACGCUACCUAAGGGAUCACUCGAGCCACCGAUCAAAGGCCUUGGGAGUGAUGACCCUUUGCCUUUAGGUCUGAAGGCUUGGGAGCCGAAGCUUUAUCGAGUCUAGGCAUUAAUGAACCAAACCUCAUGCAUCCAUGUUAGCAUUUGCCUAGGGUAGAGUCAGCCUCACCCUUUUUAAGCACAAUUAGGCACGAGGGAAGGGGUUCCACCCCUUUUUAUUGGCUUUUAUUGUAUUUCUUUUUCUUAAUUGCUCCCAAUAUGUUAUGUGUAUUACCAAUUGCACUAACCAUUCUUUUGUUUUCUUGGCUUGCAUUCAUAUGCCCUAGCAAUAAGAGGCCCUUUUGGCACUCUUUUAGUGACCUAUCCACUAGAUAACUCACAUGUUUAAAUUUCAGUCAUUAUACUUAAUAAAUACAUUUCAUUUUAGACCUUUUUUCCCCCGAUGCAUUAUUUAUGUCCCUUAGGUCAUAUUUGUCACAUAUUUACAUCGCUUUAAUAAAUGACAUCAUGCAUAAACCCUAGAAAGGGAAUGCCAUUUAGGGGAUCCCGUGUCAGGAAUAAGCCACCUUGUGUCUCGGAUACUUAAUCCAGUGAGACUUGCACGUUUACAUUUUGUACCAUCCAAAGGGGGUAGUGCACAAGGUAAGGUAGGAUCCGAUCAUUUUCAUAGAGUGAUCUUUGGGAUAUGAGCAUCUAAUAAUCACUUUUUGGCCAUUUUAUCAAAAAUUGGUAAAAAUUCCUUGCGUGAAGGACAGUAAUUUGAAGAAAUUCACAAAUGAUUCCUUCUAUUGAGACGAUAAAUAAAUUGAGGCCAAAAUUUGAUUUUUAGAAGCUCAUAGACUAAUGCAUCUCAAUCAUUUUGAAAUCACCAAUGGCCGGACAAUUCAACCAAUCCAUUUUACCCAUUCAUUCAAUAAAUCAUCAAUUCAUUUGAUCAAUUUACCCUUUUUAGGGUCAUCCGGUCGAUUUUGAAUAAAUCGUCAAUUCAUUUGACCAAUUUACCCUUUUUAGGGUCACCUGGUCGAUUUUCAAUAAAUCAUCAAUUCAUUUGAUCAAUUUACCCUUUUUAGGGUCACCUGGUCGAUUUUGAAUAAAUCGUCAAUUCAUUUGACCAAUUUACCCUUUUUAGGGUCAUCCGGUCGAUUUUGAAUAAAUCAUCAAUUCAUUUGACCGAUUUACCCUUUUUAGGAUCGUUCGGCCGAUUUUUGAACAAGUCACUAAUUCAAUUUCAUUCAUUUGGCCAAUUUACCUUUUUUUAGGGCAACCGAGCCGUUUUUUGACCUGUUUCCCUUCUAGGGUAAUCCGGUCGAUUUUCAAUAAAUUGUCAAUUUCAUUUGACCAAUUAGGAUUUCAAUGUCGAAUUCCAAAUUGGGAAAUCUAGUCAAUUUUGAAGAAAACCGUCCAUUGCAUCCAAUCACUUGAUCAAUUAGGGUUUUUGACCCGUAAUUCACUGAGAAAUUUUAUCAACGAAUUCCAAUCUCUUCGAUAGGAGUUCGUCAAGGUCAAACCCAUGCGUUUUGCAAAUCAAAGGUGAUCAAUCUAUUCGGACGUUGUCCUCAUUUUGACAAAUCUCUUGCCACUCCAAUGGCCAAAUUUUUCAAAUUAUUUUUCACUCAAUGAGUUGAUCAGAUCCGUCAGGUAUGGUAUAGUGCUUCCCUAGAGGAUUGCAUUUUCAUGCUAGGCCUACCCUUGGCAUAAAAAGGGUUCCCCCAUAGGACAUGCAUACCGAUUUUUUUUUAUUCUUACUUACUGACUCUGGGUAUUUUUCUUUUUGUUUUCCCCUCCCCCUGCAUUUAUAAAAAUGUUUCAAUAAGGCGAGAAUAUUCUUCUAUAUCUGAUAAUUUUGAUCCAAUAAAGCUUGAAGAUUACAAGUAUUACUUGAUUUUUAGGUAGACAUUGCCGCGAAAGCAUAAAGGGGAAAUUCUAUUUAUUUGAUUUGUUAAUACAUUUUGUUCCAAAAGAAAAGGAGACAAAAAGUGUAUGUGUUGAGCUCUUUACGAGUUUCUCUCUUCUCAUUUGUAUCAUAAUUGAUUGAGCAAUUUUGUUUCAAACUUUUUCAACAAUAAAAUUUUUUGGAUAAUUUUUGUUUUGUGUAUAUUUAUGUACAUUUCAUUCUUUAUUCUUACUCAUUGGAGAUUUCAUGAUGAUUUUUGAGAAAUAAGACCCAAUUUGAGAUUUUUCAACCUAUAGCCUGAAUUUCACAAGUGUGUGCUUCCUAAAAUCCUUACACUCGAUUGGUGUUCCAACCUGUACAAUAAGAGUGCUCAGAAAGAAAGAGAGUGAACGGUCACUCAAAAGGCCCUAUGAGAUACCUUUCUCCUUCACUUAAUUCCAAAAUAAAAUCAGUCACAUUGAUUGAUAAAUUGUAAAUUGGGGUAACUUUUGCUUGAAAAUGUUCAAGGCGUCUAAUCUGGUUCAAUCACAUCUAAGUGAAAGCAAAAAUGUGCAUUAUUCUUAUUUGUUUGGAAAAUUUGGAAUGAUACUUCAAGCAUUCGUUUCAUUACCUGUACAGAUUUUUAUCAUUUGCUCUCCCAUUUGAGCUUCUAAAAGAAUAAUUUCGUUUCAAAUAAGGGUCUUAAUGAUCACUACCCGUCAUUGAAAAAUUUUCAAAUAUCAAAAGAAGAAUGGGUUUUCAAUGACCAUUUCGCUACUUCGGUUGUCAUGAGGUAUAAGAAUGAUACUUUGGCCGUCAGUUCUACAAUCUAAACACUGAUCAUCCCUUGCAUCCUCGUUUGAGCUAAAUUGGUGGUUCUUUUCGAGUGCACAUAUGAUCGCACCCCACAUUGGGGAAGGAGAUUGGGAAAUUUUGAAAAAAGGGAAAAGAAAAGGGGAAAAGCAAAAAAUGCUAGAAUAAGGAGGGAACCGCAAAUUUGGGGAAUUUGAUUCCACUUGGGUUCCAAUUUUGAAAAAAAAAAAGAAAAGAAAAAGAAGAAAACAAGUUCUAUCCGGUGGAUCACUUAUGUUUCAUAGACAUGAAUGAGCAAGGGUCUUCCUCAGUCAGUUAAUUCAGAUACAUGCCAAAAAUUUCCCAUUAAUGAAAAUUUCUUUUCAGAGUUAAUGUAAGGAACGGAAUACAAGUCAGGCCAUCUUCUUUUCCGAUCAAGCAUCUAUCCCUAGUUAUCCCUUUUGAGCAUUCAGAAUGAAAUACUUCGUUUGGCAACCCCUGAGAAUCGCAAACCCCACACUGGGGCAAGUUGGUUUGAAAAAGGAAAAUUUCAAGAAGCGGAAAAGUGAAAAGCCACAAAAUCAAAAGGCAAAGGAAGAAAAGAGAACCUCAGUUCAAAAAUAAACUGGGGCAAAUUUUGUGAAAGUUCGAAAAAAUGGCCGAAGGCCGAAAAAUCAAAAGAAAGAAAAUAAAAGUGAAAAAGCCUCAAUUGAGCAAAAACUGGGGCAAAUUCUGAUUUUACCCUAAAAUAGGGUUGACGCAACAAUGCGAUUUCAGAUUCUUCAAACCACUUUUGAAAUCCGCUUUCAAGCCUUAACUUUUCUAAGCACCCCACCUGACCCCAUUACAAAAGCCAAAAGUCCUGACUUCUGUUCUUUGCAAUGGCCCUGUCAAGAAAAUUUCUGAUGCCGGAAAAUUUUAGCUGUAUUGCUGAAUUGCUUGAGUAUGAGGUUGGCGCUACUCAUGUGAAAACCCAUCAGCUCGAGGGAAAAGAAAAGAGGCAAAAAGCAAAGCAAGAAAAGUAAAUGCAAGGAAAAUGCAAAAAGACUUGACGCUGAAGUCCCUGGGGAAUGAUGAGAAAAUCCAAACAAAGUCUGAAAUCUUUUGAGUUCAAAUAGGGGCAAUUUUGGAAAAAUGUGAUCUUCGGUGCAAUGUCCUUGAAAGUUUUAUUCUUUAGCUAUCGUUUUUCAAGCCAAAUUACAAGCUAAGAAAGUCCAUCGUUGACUUAUUCCUUCAUGACAAUCCAAAGUGAGGAUCAUACUCAUAAGAAAUUCAUCAAAUCAUUUGUGAUCAUAAGGGUAUAACCCGUUUCCACAUGUUUAGCUAUCACUUCUGUCCAUACGUUACAAGCCUAGAAAGCUGGUAUGUUGACUAAGUUUUCUUGAAAAAUAAGGGUGACAAACUCUUUGCUUUCACUAAGAUGUGACAUUGAAUGGAUUACAUACAAUUGGGGCACAAAAAUGAGACAGAUUCUGACCUCUCAUUUUCCUUCAGCCACUUCCAAAUCAAAAAUAAAGUCACUUGAUUGGUCCUGAAAAAUGAGCCAACCAGAAGUGGUGACCCGUUACCCUAAACACCAAUGCUAAAAGUGAGGAAGAAAUCUUCUUGAAUUUGGUGUUACUUCGAGGAAUUCAUCAUGAAAUUUCUGCAUGAGUUUCAAACUUGACGUUUAAAGUUUCUUCACAUUGUUGUAUAUGUGCACUCUUUUCUAAAUUUUAGAAAGUGCGGUUUUUCUUUGUUCAAAUCAAUGGGAAAUCAUCUGAACAAAUUUUUGCAAUUAAGGGAGCCCACACUGGGGCAAAAAUUUUAUUUGUGAGAUUUCAUGAAAUAAGCCCAUACUGGGGCAAAUUUUUUGUAAUACAUUUGAGAUUUGUGUCCAAAAAUCAAAUAAUAACAUUUUUCGAAACAAUCCCGCUGCUCUUUUCCUGGAAUUUAAGUGCAUGUCAUACUUUGAUGAACCCCUUGUACAGGUAUUCAUGAUUCAAAAUGACGAAAGGCAUCCAGUAAGGCGGAAGGCCGAUACUGCAAAGAGAAGCAAGAAGAAGGAGGAAAAAUGGACACUACACUUGGGGCAAAUUAUUUUUUUAAAAUUUUUGAAAAAAGGGAAAAAAGAAGGAAAAAAGAAAAAAAGAGAAAAAACCAAAAAUCAAAUCAAAAAGUCAAAAAUCAAGUUCAAAUUCUUGUUUCUUGAAAAAUCAAAUUUGAUUUCUUGUGGGCGAAGCUCCAAUGCACGCCGCGCAUCAUUCUGUUCCCCCCUUCUCUUGACAUUCCAAAUCAAGUUGGGCCUGGAUUUCGUGCCACCAACAUCAUUUUAUCACGUUGGGCCUGGACUUGGUGCCGCCAACAUCACUUUAUCACGUUGGGCCUGGACUUGGUGCCGCCAACAUCACUUUAUCACGUUGGGCCUGGACUUGGUGCCGCCAACAUCACUUUAUCACGUUGGGCCUGGACUUGGUGCCGCCAACUUCACUUUAUCACGUUGGGCCUGGACUUGGUGCCGCCAACAUCACUUUAUCACGUUGGGCUUGGUUUUCGUGCCACCAACUUCGCUUUGUCACGUUGGGCUUGGAUUUAGUGCCACCAACAUUACAAAAGUCACAUUGGACCGGGUUUUAUCCCGCCAAUCUCGGCAGGACCGGGUCUAAUCCCGCUGACCGCUUACAGGACCGGGUCUAAUCCCGCUGACAGGCAGGACCGGGUCUAAUCCCGCUGACCGCUUACUUCGGCAGGACCGGGUCUAAUCCCGCUGACCGCUCACCUCGGCAGGACCGGGUCUAAUCCCGCUGACCGCUCACCUCGGCAGGACCGGGUCUAAUCCCGCUGACCGCUCACCUCGGCAGGACCGGGUUUUAUCCCGCUGACCGUCCACACCCCGUCGGCCUCAGAUGUUAUCCCACCGACCAAUUCAUCACACUGGGGCAAAUUUUUUAGAUAAUUUUUCAAACAAGUCCUAUACAGUUCUCUAUUUAAUUUUCUGUUCGGGUCUAUCCCAUGGGUCUGUCCCAUCUACAUUUUUAUCCGAGUCUAUCGCAUUUACAUUCCUGUCCGGGUCUAUCCCGUUUACAAUUCUGUUCAGGCCAGUCCCAUGUUUGAAAUUCCUUGUUUAGGUCAGCCCUCCGAAUAGGGGCAACCGAAUGGUACAGGUAAGCAUUUGGUGUCUACUUCUUUGUCUCAAGUUUUUUCAAAACUCAGACAAAGAGGGGCAAACUGUAGACACCAAAAAUUUCAUCGAUUCAGUUUUAGCUUUAUUCAUUCAAUUUUGACUUCCUUUGAUUCAAUUUUUAGUUUUAUUAUUAUUAUUUAUUCUUGUCUCAUAUUUAUUAUUUUUAAUUGAUUGGAGGUUGCAAAUGGUAAUUGAUGUUCAUUCUUAUUUUAAAUGCAUUAAAAUUCAUCAUUUUCUUUUUAAAGCAAUUUUACACUAAAUUUUAGGAAAAUCCCGAAUAAAGAUCCAUUUUAUCUUUUUAAAAUUUGAUUUUUUCUUGCUAAGGCAUUUUGCAAGGUAAUUUUUAAAAAUUAAGCAUGUUAAACAAGUGUGUCAAUUGCAUGUUGAACAAGUGUGCAAAUAAGCAUUAGACAAGUGGUUGAGGAAUGGUAGGACAAGUGUAUAGGGGGUAGCUGUCAAGGACACUUGGGGGGUUUUUUGGGGGGCAUCGGAAAAAAAAGGAAGAAAAAACCCUCGAAGAGGCUUGAAAACAGGGGGAAGAGAAAAGAGCUAAAAACAGGGAGGGGGCUUCGGAGGAAAGGGGAGAGGAAAAACGAAAUCGAAAAAGGAGGGGAGAGUAGGGAAAAAUCUGGGGAGAGUCUGUGGGCUAAGAAAAACAGCGGAGAGAUAGCGGAAAAAAAGGAGAAAAAGAACGGCUGAGGGGAAGGCUAAAAAUCUGAAAAGAGAAGAAGGCUUCGGCUGGGAGAAGCUGGAGUGGAAAAAAUAGAAAAAGGGAGAACGGCUGCGGUUGAGGGCCGAGAGAGUGGAGAGCCGAGGAGGAAAAAUCAGAAAAGGAGGAGAAAAAUCAAGGGCGGCGGAUGAAGGGAAAAGCUGGGAAAAUUAGAAACAGAGAAAGAGAGGAUAGCAGCGGACAAAGAGCUUGCGACUGAGGAAGCAGAGCAGCUGGAACUGCCGUUCGCGGGAAGCUGUUGCCGCCCUCUUCCGUCACGCGCGACGCCAGCUUCAUCGCUUCUUCCAUCAUAGUUCAAGCUCCGCCCUCUGCCGGCACAAACAAGUGGCCAACCGCCCGCCCAAGCAACCAAAUCCGAGAUCAGCACCCGCAAAAUUUUACCAAGAAACAAACGGUAAGCCACCAUCAUCCUUCAAAUUUCAGUUUUCAUGUAAGUUUUCGAAGCGUGUUUUAUUUUUCACGUUGUGGCUUGUAGCCAUUUCUCUGUUGAAUUAUUCACUAAUUGGAAGUAUGUAUGCUUUGAAUGUCGAUUGGACUGGAGUUUUCUUGCAUUUGAUGAAAUUUUGGGUGCUGAUUCAUGUCAAUUGGGCGAGAAAUUGGUGAAGUUUUUUAAUGGCUGUUUGUUGUUCGACAGAAUGCUUCAAUGAAAGUUCGGCCUGAAGAAUGGAUUAAUUUCUGAUUUAUAUACGUUCGACUGUUUCAUGCUUGUCAAAAUAAUUGAUUCGAAUGGGUUUGUUUGGGCGUCCGUUUGUUUUGGCAAUCUGCUCCGCUUCUCGUUUGUUUGGUGUUCCUCUUGUAUGGAUUUAAAUUCAUGACAUAAAAUGGCGUGCGAGGGGAUUCAUGUGAGAGUCAUUUGUUUUGCUUUUGUUUUGUUUUGUUGAUUGGAGUCCGAAGUUGAAUUUUCUGGUUGCAAAGAGGAAUGAAAUAGCAGCGAACGUUGAGCCAAUUUGGGAAGAAGAGGAUUGCUUGAUUAAAUUCAUGAUUCCAGUCCCUCAAUUUCCCUUUCCAUUAUGAUUUAACCCCAGAAUUUUAGGACUUCAUAAUUUUUCCUCCAACACCUUCAUAAGUCCUUCAAUUAGGUCCCUGCUCUUGUUGCAUUUUAACCCCUCAGCUUCCCCUUGUUCUGAUAUGACCCGAAAAGUGGAAAAAGUGCGUUUGUUUCUCCCUUCUAGAUUUAAAUCAUCUUCUAAUAAGCAUGAAUAGUCCUUUUACUAGAUUAAUUCUUGUUUGUAGGUUCUAAUUGUGGUUCAAUAAUUUAUUUUGAUUUUAUCAUGUUGGGUUUAAUGAAACAAGUGCCUUGGGCUAAGAGGUUAUUUUUGUUUGGGUUUAAGAAAGUCGUUUUAGUUUAUUUUGUUUGGUUUUUUGGUUCGGGCUAGAGGGUCAAGGCCCAUCUAUUUGGUUGGCUAAUUUUUGGGCCAGGAUAUUAUACUAGCCCACUUGUUUUCCUUGGACUUUCGAUUGGGCCAAGUUAUCUUGGCCCAAGAAAGGUGAAGAUGGCCCAUUCCCUUUUUGUUUUGGAUUUUCGGUUGGGCUUGUAAGGCUUUGGCCCAAACAAAUAAAGGAAAUGGCCCAAUGGCUUGGUCCAUUAAGAAACCAGAAAACGAUUUUGCAAAUCAGUCCCUGAAUUUCUCCCUAAUUGUAUUGUGGCCCUGGACAUUUUCAACUUCUUUCAAUUCGGUCCUUGCUUUAAUUGCAAAUAGGUCCCUGAACUUUAUUUUUCUUUAAUUUUGACCUCCAAACUUUGUCAAUCUUUGCAAUCAGGUCCUUUCUUCUCUUGACUUCUUAAAUGUGAAUUGUCGACAUGAUUUAAUUGAUUCAAAUUCAUGCUUAUUUUUUAUCCUUUGUGAUUAUUUGCCAAAUAAAUUGGUACCUUGACCUUUUUAUUGUUUUGAAGCUAAUAUCUCAUUUACUCGAUUUCCGUUGCGAGGGAGGUAACUUCUAUAUUUUUGAGUUUAUUUUUUCCUACGUGCUCCUACGUGUUAUGUGAAUAUGCCUGUCUACUUUGCUUUCUUUGCCUUUCUUUAAUUCUUUUCAUUUUUUUUUACUUACUUUUGCUUUUUAUUUAAGUUAUUCAUUAUGGGGUAUGUGUACACCUCUUGGCUUGUAAUAGUUAGGGAUUUAAUUAUUUUAUUCUUUUCCCCCUUUUAGAUUGUAGUGGGGUCUCCCUAAUGUAAUAGAUAGGGUUUGGAGGAGCAUUCAAUGAAGACCUAUCGAAGACUUGUGCCUAGCUAGCAAAUGUAAUAGUUAGGGCUUUAAUUGUCUCAUGUGCCUUGCAUGCUUAGUUGCUACGUGUUAAUUUGCUUUGCUAGGGCCUUGCAUCUAGUCGAGCAUGCAAAAUGUUAUGUGCUAUGUGUUUAUAAGUGUUUGGCAUGUCUACUCGCUUUCCAUAGCCUGAAUAAAUGUGAUGGAUGAAUGUACGUCACCACACUAGUCCAAUGCUAGUUGUGGCUCAUUAUUUCAUUAGGAAUUCAUAGAAAGGGCUAGUCCAACGCUAGACCCAAUAGGAUUUUUCCUUUGUUUUUCAUUAAUGCAUUAUUUGCCUGUUCACUACAUAUCAUGCAUUUUUCCUUAGUUUUAUCAUCUGGCAUGCUCCUCGAUUCCCCUUUCCCCUCACUUUAGGAUUUUUGCAUUUCAUGCUAGUUAUAGGGUUCAUUUGCCUGAAGAGUCCCCUUCUGAUAAGGGAAACGAGCGAGUGUGGCUACUCGAUAGCCUUAGCACGCUAGUUUCGCCUUCUAAUCAAAGGGAAGAUUAAGUCACAAAGUUAGGACUCCCCGUUCCCGUCUUGAUGCAUUCCUAUAGGAUUCAUGCAUUCUAUUCAUUCACUAUCACAUACACUUACUUUAUAUUCUAACCCUUUUUCCACAUUCUCACUUCACACUACUUUUACACGUUUUCAUUUAACUACUCACACUCUAUGCCAUAUCACUCGCACACAUGCACUUUAUAUUAUUUUCACAUUAUCAUUCUUUACUCACCUUACCUUGUAAAUACAUUUGCACACCUCCACUUUUCUCACUUCACAUAAACUUACAUUUUCACAUGACAUGCACCCCAUUCAUUUUUACGUCAUUUAGGAUUACGUGUGACCUCUCCAAAGGAUCAUUAUUGGGCUUCACAAUUAAUGUGAUUGGCACCACUCAACCUUUGAAGAGAAAUUUCCCCCAAUACCCCUAGGUCUAGGGUUUUGCAUUCAUAUAGACAUAUCCAACACGCGAUACAUACCUUGGGUAGAAAAAUUAGGAAAAAUUGGUUUAAGUCACGCAACUAGCCUUGGCUAGGUCGAAGGGGUGCCUUGGAUUUUUUAUCCUUGCCUUCCCCUUCGUCAAAUGUGACCCCCGAUCCCUCUUUUUGGUUACGUAGACCCAAAAGUUCUUUAAAAGGGUUUAUUUACUUUUUUUAUUCAAAAACAAAAAACCAUUUUUUGGGUGACUUGGUACACCCUAACCCUAUACCAAGUGGCGACUCCAUUUUUGAUACAAAAAACCCUUUUUGAACUUUAUAUGGCCAAACCGUCGCAUUAUCAAGUCCCAUGGCCUUUUACUUUUCAUUUACACACGUUCACAUUCCAUUACACCACUCACAUCUCACACCACACACACACCACAACUCAUCAUCUUCGAAAAGUGGGGCGCGACAGUUGGCGACUCCACUGGGGAAGCUCCUAAGUGGGUCCGAGCAUUUGACUUAGCCAUUCGUUUCCUUUUUCUACCCUUUUUAUGCAUUGCACUUGGAUAUUAGGGUUGCAUUUUUUUUAUUUUAGGCCUUUUUGCCUCGUGCGCGUAUCCAACUAUUCCCUCACUCACGUACGUGUGAUUGGUUGAUUGGAUGUAUGUUUACUUGUUUAUCUCGCGCUUGCAUUGCAUUUGGGAGGGGGCGUGUCACCUUUAGAGCCUCACGUUGGUUCUCAACCCCUUCCCUCAAAAUAGGGGAGCACUUCAUACGUGCACGUUUACUUGCUUUUAUCCCAUUUUAUUUUGUUUUUCGUGGGCGUUUCCCACACCGCCUUGUAGGAUUAGGAUCGAUUGCCUUGGGUAGGCGGCUGGUGUGCUCUGCGCCCAUAACGCUACCUAAGGGAUCACUCGAGCCACCGAUCAAAGGCCUUGGGAGUGAUGACCCUUUGCCUUUAGGUCUGAAGGCUUGGGAGCCGAAGCUUUAUCGAGUCUAGGCAUUAAUGAACCAAACCUCAUGCAUCCAUGUUAGCAUUUGCCUAGGGUAGAGUCAGCCUCACCCUUUUUAAGCACAAUUAGGCACGAGGGAAGGGGUUCCACCCCUUUUUAUUGGCUUUUAUUGUAUUUCUUUUUCUUAAUUGCUCCCAAUAUGUUAUGUGUAUUACCAAUUGCACUAACCAUUCUUUUGUUUUCUUGGCUUGCAUUCAUAUGCCCUAGCAAUAAGAGGCCCUUUUGGCACUCUUUUAGUGACCUAUCCACUAGAUAACUCACAUGUUUAAAUUUCAGUCAUUAUACUUAAUAAAUACAUUUCAUUUUAGACCUUUUUUCCCCCGAUGCAUUAUUUAUGUCCCUUAGGUCAUAUUUGUCACAUAUUUACAUCGCUUUAAUAAAUGACAUCAUGCAUAAACCCUAGAAAGGGAAUGCCAUUUAGGGGAUCCCGUGUCAGGAAUAAGCCACCUUGUGUCUCGGAUACUUAAUCCAGUGAGACUUGCACGUUUACAUUUUGUACCAUCCAAAGGGGGUAGUGCACAAAGUAAGGUAGGAUCCGAUCAUUUUCAUAGAGUGAUCUUUGGGAUAUGAGCAUCUAAUAAUCACUUUUUGGCCAUUUUAUCAAAAAUUGGUAAAAAUUCCUUGCGUGAAGGACAGUAAUUUGAAGAAAUUCACAAAUGAUUCCUUCUAUUGAGACGAUAAAUAAAUUGAGGCCAAAAUUUGAUUUUUAGAAGCUCAUAGACUAAUGCAUCUCAAUCAUUUUGAAAUCACCAAUGGCCGGACAAUUCAACCAAUCCAUUUUACCCAUUCAUUCAAUAAAUCAUCAAUUCAUUUGAUCAAUUUACCCUUUUUAGGGUCAUCCGGUCGAUUUUGAAUAAAUCGUCAAUUCAUUUGACCAAUUUACCCUUUUUAGGGUCACCUGGUCGAUUUUCAAUAAAUCAUCAAUUCAUUUGAUCAAUUUACCCUUUUUAGGGUCACCUGGUCGAUUUUGAAUAAAUCGUCAAUUCAUUUGACCAAUUUACCCUUUUUAGGGUCAUCCGGUCGAUUUUGAAUAAAUCAUCAAUUCAUUUGACCGAUUUACCCUUUUUAGGAUCGUUCGGCCGAUUUUUGAACAAGUCACUAAUUCAAUUUCAUUCAUUUGGCCAAUUUACCUUUUUUUAGGGCAACCGAGCCGUUUUUUGACCUGUUUCCCUUCUAGGGUAAUCCGGUCGAUUUUCAAUAAAUUGUCAAUUUCAUUUGACCAAUUAGGAUUUCAAUGUCGAAUUCCAAAUUGGGAAAUCUAGUCAAUUUUGAAGAAAACCGUCCAUUGCAUCCAAUCACUUGAUCAAUUAGGGUUUUUGACCCGUAAUUCACUGAGAAAUUUUAUCAACGAAUUCCAAUCUCUUCGAUAGGAGUUCGUCAAGGUCAAACCCAUGCGUUUUGCAAAUCAAAGGUGAUCAAUCUAUUCGGACGUUGUCCUCAUUUUGACAAAUCUCUUGCCACUCCAAUGGCCAAAUUUUUCAAAUUAUUUUUCACUCAAUGAGUUGAUCAGAUCCGUCAGGUAUGGUAUAGUGCUUCCCUAGAGGAUUGCAUUUUCAUGCUAGGCCUACCCUUGGCAUAAAAAGGGUUCCCCCAUAGGACAUGCAUACCGAUUUUUUUUUAUUCUUACUUACUGACUCUGGGUAUUUUUCUUUUUGUUUUCCCCUCCCCCUGCAUUUAUAAAAAUGUUUCAAUAAGGCGAGAAUAUUCUUCUAUAUCUGAUAAUUUUGAUCCAAUAAAGCUUGAAGAUUACAAGUAUUACUUGAUUUUUAGGUAGACAUUGCCGCGAAAGCAUAAAGGGGAAAUUCUAUUUAUUUGAUUUGUUAAUACAUUUUGUUCCAAAAGAAAAGGAGACAAAAAGUGUAUGUGUUGAGCUCUUUACGAGUUUCUCUCUUCUCAUUUGUAUCAUAAUUGAUUGAGCAAUUUUGUUUCAAACUUUUUCAACAAUAAAAUUUUUUGGAUAAUUUUUGUUUUGUGUAUAUUUAUGUACAUUUCAUUCUUUAUUCUUACUCAUUGGAGAUUUCAUGAUGAUUUUUGAGAAAUAAGACCCAAUUUGAGAUUUUUCAACCUAUAGCCUGAAUUUCACAAGUGUGUGCUUCCUAAAAUCCUUACACUCGAUUGGUGUUCCAACCUGUACAAUAAGAGUGCUCAGAAAGAAAGAGAGUGAACGGUCACUCAAAAGGCCCUAUGAGAUACCUUUCUCCUUCACUUAAUUCCAAAAUAAAAUCAGUCACAUUGAUUGAUAAAUUGUAAAUUGGGGUAACUUUUGCUUGAAAAUGUUCAAGGCGUCUAAUCUGGUUCAAUCACAUCUAAGUGAAAGCAAAAAUGUGCAUUAUUCUUAUUUGUUUGGAAAAUUUGGAAUGAUACUUCAAGCAUUCGUUUCAUUACCUGUACAGAUUUUUAUCAUUUGCUCUCCCAUUUGAGCUUCUAAAAGAAUAAUUUCGUUUCAAAUAAGGGUCUUAAUGAUCACUACCCGUCAUUGAAAAAUUUUCAAAUAUCAAAAGAAGAAUGGGUUUUCAAUGACCAUUUCGCUACUUCGGUUGUCAUGAGGUAUAAGAAUGAUACUUUGGCCGUCAGUUCUACAAUCUAAACACUGAUCAUCCCUUGCAUCCUCGUUUGAGCUAAAUUGGUGGUUCUUUUCGAGUGCACAUAUGAUCGCACCCCACAUUGGGGAAGGAGAUUGGGAAAUUUUGAAAAAAGGGAAAAGAAAAGGGGAAAAGCAAAAAAUGCUAGAAUAAGGAGGGAACCGCAAAUUUGGGGAAUUUGAUUCCACUUGGGUUCCAAUUUUGAAAAAAAAAAAGAAAAGAAAAAGAAGAAAACAAGUUCUAUCCGGUGGAUCACUUAUGUUUCAUAGACAUGAAUGAGCAAGGGUCUUCCUCAGUCAGUUAAUUCAGAUACAUGCCAAAAAUUUCCCAUUAAUGAAAAUUUCUUUUCAGAGUUAAUGUAAGGAACGGAAUACAAGUCAGGCCAUCUUCUUUUCCGAUCAAGCAUCUAUCCCUAGUUAUCCCUUUUGAGCAUUCAGAAUGAAAUACUUCGUUUGGCAACCCCUGAGAAUCGCAAACCCCACACUGGGGCAAGUUGGUUUGAAAAAGGAAAAUUUCAAGAAGCGGAAAAGUGAAAAGCCACAAAAUCAAAAGGCAAAGGAAGAAAAGAGAACCUCAGUUCAAAAAUAAACUGGGGCAAAUUUUGUGAAAGUUCGAAAAAAUGGCCGAAGGCCGAAAAAUCAAAAGAAAGAAAAUAAAAGUGAAAAAGCCUCAAUUGAGCAAAAACUGGGGCAAAUUCUGAUUUUACCCUAAAAUAGGGUUGACGCAACAAUGCGAUUUCAGAUUCUUCAAACCACUUUUGAAAUCCGCUUUCAAGCCUUAACUUUUCUAAGCACCCCACCUGACCCCAUUACAAAAGCCAAAAGUCCUGACUUCUGUUCUUUGCAAUGGCCCUGUCAAGAAAAUUUCUGAUGCCGGAAAAUUUUAGCUGUAUUGCUGAAUUGCUUGAGUAUGAGGUUGGCGCUACUCAUGUGAAAACCCAUCAGCUCGAGGGAAAAGAAAAGAGGCAAAAAGCAAAGCAAGAAAAGUAAAUGCAAGGAAAAUGCAAAAAGACUUGACGCUGAAGUCCCUGGGGAAUGAUGAGAAAAUCCAAACAAAGUCUGAAAUCUUUUGAGUUCAAAUAGGGGCAAUUUUGGAAAAAUGUGAUCUUCGGUGCAAUGUCCUUGAAAGUUUUAUUCUUUAGCUAUCGUUUUUCAAGCCAAAUUACAAGCUAAGAAAGUCCAUCGUUGACUUAUUCCUUCAUGACAAUCCAAAGUGAGGAUCAUACUCAUAAGAAAUUCAUCAAAUCAUUUGUGAUCAUAAGGGUAUAACCCGUUUCCACAUGUUUAGCUAUCACUUCUGUCCAUACGUUACAAGCCUAGAAAGCUGGUAUGUUGACUAAGUUUUCUUGAAAAAUAAGGGUGACAAACUCUUUGCUUUCACUAAGAUGUGACAUUGAAUGGAUUACAUACAAUUGGGGCACAAAAAUGAGACAGAUUCUGACCUCUCAUUUUCCUUCAGCCACUUCCAAAUCAAAAAUAAAGUCACUUGAUUGGUCCUGAAAAAUGAGCCAACCAGAAGUGGUGACCCGUUACCCUAAACACCAAUGCUAAAAGUGAGGAAGAAAUCUUCUUGAAUUUGGUGUUACUUCGAGGAAUUCAUCAUGAAAUUUCUGCAUGAGUUUCAAACUUGACGUUUAAAGUUUCUUCACAUUGUUGUAUAUGUGCACUCUUUUCUAAAUUUUAGAAAGUGCGGUUUUUCUUUGUUCAAAUCAAUGGGAAAUCAUCUGAACAAAUUUUUGCAAUUAAGGGAGCCCACACUGGGGCAAAAAUUUUAUUUGUGAGAUUUCAUGAAAUAAGCCCAUACUGGGGCAAAUUUUUUGUAAUACAUUUGAGAUUUGUGUCCAAAAAUCAAAUAAUAACAUUUUUCGAAACAAUCCCGCUGCUCUUUUCCUGGAAUUUAAGUGCAUGUCAUACUUUGAUGAACCCCUUGUACAGGUAUUCAUGAUUCAAAAUGACGAAAGGCAUCCAGUAAGGCGGAAGGCCGAUACUGCAAAGAGAAGCAAGAAGAAGGAGGAAAAAUGGACACUACACUUGGGGCAAAUUAUUUUUUUAAAAUUUUUGAAAAAAGGGAAAAAAGAAGGAAAAAAGAAAAAAAGAGAAAAAACCAAAAAUCAAAUCAAAAAGUCAAAAAUCAAGUUCAAAUUCUUGUUUCUUGAAAAAUCAAAUUUGAUUUCUUGUGGGCGAAGCUCCAAUGCACGCCGCGCAUCAUUCUGUUCCCCCCUUCUCUUGACAUUCCAAAUCAAGUUGGGCCUGGAUUUCGUGCCACCAACAUCAUUUUAUCACGUUGGGCCUGGACUUGGUGCCGCCAACAUCACUUUAUCACGUUGGGCCUGGACUUGGUGCCGCCAACAUCACUUUAUCACGUUGGGCCUGGACUUGGUGCCGCCAACUUCACUUUAUCACGUUGGGCCUGGAUUUGGUGCCGCCAACAUCACUUUAUCACGUUGGGCCUGGACUUGGUGCCGCCAACUUCACUUUAUCACGUUGGGCCUGGACUUGGUGCCGCCAACAUCACUUUAUCACGUUGGGCUUGGUUUUCGUGCCACCAACUUCGCUUUGUCACGUUGGGCUUGGAUUUAGUGCCACCAACAUUACAAAAGUCACAUUGGGACCGGGUUUUAUCCCGCCAAUCUCGGCAGGACCGGGUCUAAUCCCGCUGACCGCUUACUUCGGCAGGACCGGGUCUAAUCCCGCUGACCGCUUACUUCGGCAGGACCGGGUCUAAUCCCGCUGACCGCUCACCUCGGCAGGACCGGGUCUAAUCCCGCUGACCGCUUACUUCGGCAGGACCGGGUCUAAUCCCGCUGACCGCUCACCUCGGCAGGACCGGGUUUUAUCCCGCUGACCGUCCACACCCCGUCGGCCUCAGAUGUUAUCCCACCGACCAAUUCAUCACACUGGGGCAAAUUUUUUAGAUAAUUUUUCAAACAAGUCCUAUACAGUUCUCUAUUUAAUUUUCUGUUCGGGUCUAUCCCAUGGGUCUGUCCCAUCUACAUUUUUAUCCGAGUCUAUCGCAUUUACAUUCCUGUCCGGGUCUAUCCCGUUUACAAUUCUGUUCAGGCCAGUCCCAUGUUUGAAAUUCCUUGUUUAGGUCAGCCCUCCGAAUAGGGGCAACCGAAUGGUACAGGUAAGCAUUUGGUGUCUACUUCUUUGUCUCAAGUUUUUUCAAAACUCAGACAAAGAGGGGCAAACUGUAGACACCAAAAAUUUCAUCGAUUCAGUUUUAGCUUUAUUCAUUCAAUUUUGACUUCCUUUGAUUCAAUUUUUAGUUUUAUUAUUAUUAUUUAUUCUUGUCUCAUAUUUAUUAUUUUUAAUUGAUUGGAGGUUGCAAAUGGUAAUUGAUGUUCAUUCUUAUUUUAAAUGCAUUAAAAUUCAUCAUUUUCUUUUUAAAGCAAUUUUACACUAAAUUUUAGGAAAAUCCCGAAUAAAGAUCCAUUUUAUCUUUUUAAAAUUUGAUUUUUUCUUGCUAAGGCAUUUUGCAAGGUAAUUUUUAAAAAUUAAGCAUGUUAAACAAGUGUGUCAAUUGCAUGUUGAACAAGUGUGCAAAUAAGCAUUAGACAAGUGGUUGAGGAAUGGUAGGACAAGUGUAUAGGGGGUAGCUGUCAAGGACACUUGGGGGGUUUUUUGGGGGGCAUCGGAAAAAAAAGGAAGAAAAAACCCUCGAAGAGGCUUGAAAACAGGGGGAAGAGAAAAGAGCUAAAAACAGGGAGGGGGCUUCGGAGGAAAGGGGAGAGGAAAAACGAAAUCGAAAAAGGAGGGGAGAGUAGGGAAAAAUCUGGGGAGAGUCUGUGGGCUAAGAAAAACAGCGGAGAGAUAGCGGAAAAAAAGGAGAAAAAGAACGGCUGAGGGGAAGGCUAAAAAUCUGAAAAGAGAAGAAGGCUUCGGCUGGGAGAAGCUGGAGUGGAAAAAAUAGAAAAAGGGAGAACGGCUGCGGUUGAGGGCCGAGAGAGUGGAGAGCCGAGGAGGAAAAAUCAGAAAAGGAGGAGAAAAAUCAAGGGCGGCGGAUGAAGGGAAAAGCUGGGAAAAUUAGAAACAGAGAAAGAGAGGAUAGCAGCGGACAAAGAGCUUGCGACUGAGGAAGCAGAGCAGCUGGAACUGCCGUUCGCGGGAAGCUGUUGCCGCCCUCUUCCGUCACGCGCGACGCCAGCUUCAUCGCUUCUUCCAUCAUAGUUCAAGCUCCGCCCUCUGCCGGCACAAACAAGUGGCCAACCGCCCGCCCAAGCAACCAAAUCCGAGAUCAGCACCCGCAAAAUUUUACCAAGAAACAAACGGUAAGCCACCAUCAUCCUUCAAAUUUCAGUUUUCAUGUAAGUUUUCGAAGCGUGUUUUAUUUUUCACGUUGUGGCUUGUAGCCAUUUCUCUGUUGAAUUAUUCACUAAUUGGAAGUAUGUAUGCUUUGAAUGUCGAUUGGACUGGAGUUUUCUUGCAUUUGAUGAAAUUUUGGGUGCUGAUUCAUGUCAAUUGAGCGAGAAAUUGGUGAAGUUUUUUAAUGGCUGUUUGUUGUUCGACAGAAUGCUUCAAUGAAAGUUCGGCCUGAAGAAUGGAUUAAUUUCUGAUUUAUAUACGUUCGACUGUUUCAUGCUUGUCAAAAUAAUUGAUUCGAAUGGGUUUGUUUGGGCGUCCGUUUGUUUUGGCAAUCUGCUCCGCUUCUCGUUUGUUUGGUGUUCCUCUUGUAUGGAUUUAAAUUCAUGACAUAAAAUGGCGUGCGAGGGGAUUCAUGUGAGAGUCAUUUGUUUUGCUUUUGUUUUGUUUUGUUGAUUGGAGUCCGAAGUUGAAUUUUCUGGUUGCAAAGAGGAAUGAAAUAGCAGCGAACGUUGAGCCAAUUUGGGAAGAAGAGGAUUGCUUGAUUAAAUUCAUGAUUCCAGUCCCUCAAUUUCCCUUUCCAUUAUGAUUUAACCCCAGAAUUUUAGGACUUCAUAAUUUUUCCUCCAACACCUUCAUAAGUCCUUCAAUUAGGUCCCUGCUCUUGUUGCAUUUUAACCCCUCAGCUUCCCCUUGUUCUGAUAUGACCCGAAAAGUGGAAAAAGUGCGUUUGUUUCUCCCUUCUAGAUUUAAAUCAUCUUCUAAUAAGCAUGAAUAGUCCUUUUACUAGAUUAAUUCUUGUUUGUAGGUUCUAAUUGUGGUUCAAUAAUUUAUUUUGAUUUUAUCAUGUUGGGUUUAAUGAAACAAGUGCCUUGGGCUAAGAGGUUAUUUUUGUUUGGGUUUAAGAAAGUCGUUUUAGUUUAUUUUGUUUGGUUUUUUGGUUCGGGCUAGAGGGUCAAGGCCCAUCUAUUUGGUUGGCUAAUUUUUGGGCCAGGAUAUUAUACUAGCCCACUUGUUUUCCUUGGACUUUCGAUUGGGCCAAGUUAUCUUGGCCCAAGAAAGGUGAAGAUGGCCCAUUCCCUUUUUGUUUUGGAUUUUCGGUUGGGCUUGUAAGGCUUUGGCCCAAACAAAUAAAGGAAAUGGCCCAAUGGCUUGGUCCAUUAAGAAACCAGAAAACGAUUUUGCAAAUCAGUCCCUGAAUUUCUCCCUAAUUGUAUUGUGGCCCUGGACAUUUUCAACUUCUUUCAAUUCGGUCCUUGCUUUAAUUGCAAAUAGGUCCCUGAACUUUAUUUUUCUUUAAUUUUGACCUCCAAACUUUGUCAAUCUUUGCAAUCAGGUCCUUUCUUCUCUUGACUUCUUAAAUGUGAAUUGUCGACAUGAUUUAAUUGAUUCAAAUUCAUGCUUAUUUUUUAUCCUUUGUGAUUAUUUGCCAAAUAAAUUGGUACCUUGACCUUUUUAUUGUUUUGAAGCUAAUAUCUCAUUUACUCGAUUUCCGUUGCGAGGGAGGUAACUUCUAUAUUUUUGAGUUUAUUUUUUCCUACGUGCUCCUACGUGUUAUGUGAAUAUGCCUGUCUACUUUGCUUUCUUUGCCUUUCUUUAAUUCUUUUCAUUUUUUUUUACUUACUUUUGCUUUUUAUUUAAGUUAUUCAUUAUGGGGUAUGUGUACACCUCUUGGCUUGUAAUAGUUAGGGAUUUAAUUAUUUUAUUCUUUUCCCCCUUUUAGAUUGUAGUGGGGUCUCCCUAAUGUAAUAGAUAGGGUUUGGAGGAGCAUUCAAUGAAGACCUAUCGAAGACUUGUGCCUAGCUAGCAAAUGUAAUAGUUAGGGCUUUAAUUGUCUCAUGUGCCUUGCAUGCUUAGUUGCUACGUGUUAAUUUGCUUUGCUAGGGCCUUGCAUCUAGUCGAGCAUGCAAAAUGUUAUGUGCUAUGUGUUUAUAAGUGUUUGGCAUGUCUACUCGCUUUCCAUAGCCUGAAUAAAUGUGAUGGAUGAAUGUACGUCACCACACUAGUCCAAUGCUAGUUGUGGCUCAUUAUUUCAUUAGGAAUUCAUAGAAAGGGCUAGUCCAACGCUAGACCCAAUAGGAUUUUUCCUUUGUUUUUCAUUAAUGCAUUAUUUGCCUGUUCACUACAUAUCAUGCAUUUUUCCUUAGUUUUAUCAUCUGGCAUGCUCCUCGAUUCCCCUUUCCCCUCACUUUAGGAUUUUUGCAUUUCAUGCUAGUUAUAGGGUUCAUUUGCCUGAAGAGUCCCCUUCUGAUAAGGGAAACGAGCGAGUGUGGCUACUCGAUAGCCUUAGCACGCUAGUUUCGCCUUCUAAUCAAAGGGAAGAUUAAGUCACAAAGUUAGGACUCCCCGUUCCCGUCUUGAUGCAUUCCUAUAGGAUUCAUGCAUUCUAUUCAUUCACUAUCACAUACACUUACUUUAUAUUCUAACCCUUUUUCCACAUUCUCACUUCACACUACUUUUACACGUUUUCAUUUAACUACUCACACUCUAUGCCAUAUCACUCGCACACAUGCACUUUAUAUUAUUUUCACAUUAUCAUUCUUUACUCACCUUACCUUGUAAAUACAUUUGCACACCUCCACUUUUCUCACUUCACAUAAACUUACAUUUUCACAUGACAUGCACCCCAUUCAUUUUUACGUCAUUUAGGAUUACGUGUGACCUCUCCAAAGGAUCAUUAUUGGGCUUCACAAUUAAUGUGAUUGGCACCACUCAACCUUUGAAGAGAAAUUUCCCCCAAUACCCCUAGGUCUAGGGUUUUGCAUUCAUAUAGACAUAUCCAACACGCGAUACAUACCUUGGGUAGAAAAAUUAGGAAAAAUUGGUUUAAGUCACGCAACUAGCCUUGGCUAGGUCGAAGGGGUGCCUUGGAUUUUUUAUCCUUGCCUUCCCCUUCGUCAAAUGUGACCCCCGAUCCCUCUUUUUGGUUACGUAGACCCAAAAGUUCUUUAAAAGGGUUUAUUUACUUUUUUUAUUCAAAAACAAAAAACCAUUUUUUGGGUGACUUGGUACACCCUAACCCUAUACCAAGUGGCGACUCCAUUUUUGAUACAAAAAACCCUUUUUGAACUUUAUAUGGCCAAACCGUCGCAUUAUCAAGUCCCAUGGCCUUUUACUUUUCAUUUACACACGUUCACAUUCCAUUACACCACUCACAUCUCACACCACACACACACCACAACUCAUCAUCUUCGAAAAGUGGGGCGCGACAGUGCAAAAAUAAUUAUUUUCUCUGAUCAUGCAGCCUUGAGGUACUUGUUAGUGAAGAAGGAUGCAAAACCAAGGCUCAUAAGGUGGGUUUUACUUCUGUAAGAGUUCAAUUUAGAGAUUAAGGAUAAGAGUGGGGCCGAGAACUUGAUGGCUGAUUAUUUGAGGCGUUUUCUUACGAAUAAGGAAGAUCUGUCAUUGAGAGAAUUGUUUUUCGAGGAGCAGUUACUAGCCAUUAAUUCGUCAGUACCUUGGUAUACUGAUGUUGUCAAUUUUUUGGUAACAAAUCAAUUACCUGCAGAUUGACCAAAGGCUAAGAGAGAUAAAUUGAGAAGUGAUGCCAAAUACUAUAUUUGGGAUGGCCCUUACCUGUGGAGGCAAUGCUCGGAUCAAGUGAUAAGAAGGUGUGUAAGUGCAGGUGAGUUCCAUUCUAUUUUAACUUUUUGUCAUUCAUUUGUACGUGGAGGGCACUUUAGACCAAAGCGAACAGCUCGUAAGGUGUUGGAGAGUGGUUUUUAUUGGCUUACUCUGUUUAAGGAUGCAUAUUUAUUUUGUAAAUCUUGUGAUAGGUGUCAAAGGGUGGGGAAUAUUUUUCGUAGAGACCAAAUGAUUCAAACUCGCAUGUUGUUUGUUGAAAUUUUUUAUGUCUGUGGUAUAGAUUUCAUGGGUCCCUUUCCCUCGUCUUUUGGUUUCUUAUACAUUUUACUUUGCUGUCGAUUAUAUUUCUAAAUGGAUGGAGGCAAAGGUCACCCGGACUAAUGAUUCGAGAGUGGUUGCAGAAUUUAUAAAGUCUAACAUUUUUUGUCCGCUUUGGAAUGCCUAGAGCUGUAGUUAGUGACAGGAGCACUCAUUUUUGCAAUAAAACGAUCGUUGCCUUGUUCCGUAAAUAUGGCGUACUCCACCAAAUAUCCACACCCUAUCAUCCGCAGACGAAUGGUUAGGCCGAAGUGUCGAAUAGGGAGAUUAAGUCAAUUUUGGAGAAGAUGGGGUGGCCUGAUAGAAAGGAUUGGAACUUGAAGUUGGAAGAUGCUCUAUGGGCUUACCGCACCGUGUAUAAAAUACCAAUUGGAACGUCCCCAUACAGAUUAGUCUUCGGGAAGCCGUGCCACCUCCCAAUAGAAUUUGAACACAAGAAAUUUUGGGCAAUUGAGCGGUGCAACAUGGACCUUGUGGAUGCCGGGGGACAUAGAAAGCUCCAAUUACAAGAGUUGGAAGAAUUAAGGAAUGAAGUCUAUGAGAACGCAACAAUUUAUAAAGAGAAGAGCAAAGUCUUUCACGACUAACAAGUCUCAAGGAAGUCAUUUGUAGUAAGGCAAAACGUCCCCCUAUAUCACUCGAGAUUUAAGUUUUUUUCCGGUAAGUUGCGUUCGCGUUGGAUUGGUUCAUUUGUCAUUUCUAAUAUUUUUCAUUAUGGUGCAGUGGAAAUCCAAAGUUUGAAAAUUGAGAAGAAGUUUGUGGUAUAUGGUCAACAUUUUAAACCCUAUUAUGAGAGGUUUAAUAGUGAGCAAGUGGAUGUCAUAUAUGUUGAUGAUCCAAAUUGUGUGGCUUAACUAGCUAUUACUGUGUCUAGCCAAAAACAUUAAAGAAAGACGCUACUUGGAAGGCAAUCCAAGGAUUUCAAUUGUGUUUUAUUUCAUAUUUGUGUAUUCAAGAUCAGUGGAUUUAGGUUCCUAUUGACAAACAAUCUGUAUUGUACGUCAUGGGUGUUUCUGUGCAGUUUUAUUCUAGGUUGGGGGCACAAAUUUGUGGGCAAGAGACUUCAUGUUACAAGGCGUGCUCGCGCCUUGUAUUCACCGCACAUGGACAUUUGUAAAAUUUGGUGAACAGAGGACUUACACCCCCAAGGCAUGCCCACGCCGCACAGCAGAUCGUGUCGAACAUAUUACAAUGGGAUGGGCAGACAGAGUCAAACGUGACCAGGACCUUCUCUAACCCCACUUUUCUACUUUUCUCUUUUCUUGUCUUGACUGGUCUUUUCAUUUUUUUUUGUCUUAGCCUCCCCUAGUUUUCUCCCAUCUUUGCUGAAAUCUCAGAGGCCACCGCCACUGCACACCUGCUCCGUUGAUGCCGCUGUCUCCACUAUCUGCGGUCAAGCUCCGGCCGCCAUCAUGCACGCUGUCCGGGCGCACAUCGGCAUCGCCAUAUGCGCCUCGCCGACGCUGCUCAUGCACGUCUCAUGCCGCACGCCAACGCCUCCGUACUUCCCUUCCUCGCCGUAGCGCGCCACCACCGUAGGCGCCAUCAGCUCUACCUAGGGCGCCACACCAAUCAUCGACCGCUCGCGCCCCGCGAUAUCUCACUGUUCCCCGCCGUCGCGACUGCUGCCCUCCGCCAUCGUCGUCAUUGAGGCUCCACUUCUUCCUCUCUGUGCACCACCAACGCUUGCUCCUUCCACGCCACCGCGCCGACCGCCGACUCACCCCUGACGCCCUUGCAGUCGUACCGACCGUCGCUUCCACCGGGGUCCCCUCCAGCAUGACAAAGUGGUACCCCUAAUUCAUUUCUUGCCAUUACUGCUUAAAAUCUGAAAUUGUUUCUAUGCGAUAUUACUCUAUUGUUUGAGCUGAGCUUGCUGAACCUCUGAGACUUUCAUAUGUGUUCUUUGCUUCGCGGUUGAAUUGCUGUGAUUGGUUGUUGGUGUUGGUGUAGAAUUGUUGUGGGGUGCUGAGGUUGUUGUUGUUUAUUUUGCUUUCGAAUUGGUUGUCGAGGGUUUGAUAGGUGAAGCACGUGGCGCAGUAUCAAUUCUGGUUUAAUGUUGAGUGCAUUGUUGACCAGUUAUUUUAGGAAUCUGUUUGUCUUUUUGCCUUGUUGUUGUGGUGGUGGGGUAAUUAUAUUUUUCUUUGCUAUUGGACUGUUGACUGUUGAGUGACACCUAUUGACUGUGGUCCCCUGUCCCCAUUUGGUGGUUGCUUCACUGUUUCUGUGCUUAUUCGUAUUUGUCCUGUGGCCUCCAAAUGCCUUCGAAAAAGCGCGUGUUCAGACACCCACUUCAUCUGGUCCAUCUAAGUCCCAACCUCGUAAGAGGCGAGCCCAAUUCAACCCCCCACUCGAUCCCGUUUAGGUCUCUCUAAAAGUACUAUAUCUCCUGGGACAUGGGGGGAACCUACCACUAACCUUACACAGGAACAAAAGGACCGAUUGACUAGCUUGAUGCCACGUCCUUUUGCUCCGUGUAAAUGUUUCCAUGCCCCAACCCUGGAUCAUUUGCAAAUUGCACGAGAAGUUGAACAGUUGUUCUCAGCAAUUGGUUGGCAGUGGUAUCUGGUCAUCGACUAUCCUACAUUUGAGGAGCUAUGUUAUGAAUUCUACUCCACUUUUGAGUUCAAUAAAAAUGAAUUCAUCACUUUGGAUGAGCGGGGGUGAUUACAUUUAGAUUAAGGGGUACCCCACAAGAUUUGUCCAUUAAUGACUUUAAUCUGAUUUUGGGGUUUUUCAGUGAAGAGACCCUUUCCUCCGGGACGUAUAUCAACAGUGCGUGUGAUUAUACCAGACCCUUUGCUAGUGAAUAUAUUGACAUAUGGAGGGAGUAGUUCACGGACCCUCAACUCUAUGAUCCGAGUCAGUCCAAGGCCUCUCAUCUUAAGAAUCCGAUCUUGAAGGUUAUCCACAGGUUCUUGGCCUACAAUUUCUCGGGUCAGAAGAACUCUUCCGGCACCCUUGCCAAGGUUGAAUUCUAUUUUCUUUGGUGUAUGCGCAACAAAGUACAUGUCGACUUUGGGUGUUGGGUGACCACUCAAAUGCAAUCCGUCAUUCAAAAGCGACAUAAGUAGGUGAUUAUGGAUUCGCUCAUUACUCACUUGGCCGUUCGGUUGGGAUUGCUUGACCUCGACAAAGAACACAAGUUCGCUCUAACUUGCGAGAUUGAGCCAUUGGAUUUGCGUAGCUUAGAAAGGAUGGGGGUUAUUUUCAAAGUAGGAGAUGUAUAUCAGAUGACGCUUCCUGGCGAUGGCAGGCUACAACCCCGGGUUCCUCCUACUAUUCCCCCUACUGGUUCACCAACCCGCACAGAUCAAGUGGGUCCGUCCUCCUACCAUGCUCCCCCUGCUUGGGAUUUCCAAUACCGUGCCCUCCAAGAUUCUAUUCGUGAACUAGGCGAGCUAGUUGUGGGACUGGAUGGCCGUCUUGCAGCGUUGCAAGUUUUUUCCCGUAUUCAGACAAAGAAUCAGGCAGCUUUCUUUGCUUAGAUUGGAUUCUAGCUGCCUCAUCCUCCUCCCCCUUAGUGUUUCGCUGCGUCGUCUCGGCUGUCAGGGAAGUUUCACCCCUUUACACUUACACACUAUUUAUUUUUGCUACAUUGAAGACAAUGUCGAUUUUAGGUGUGGGAGGGAUGGUUUCUAUUAUUUCUUUUUUGCUUGAAAAGAGAAAAAAAAGAAAUAAAAAAAAGAAAAAGAAAGAGAGGAAAAAAUGAAACAAAAAAAAAAGUAUAGUUAGUUGACUUCUUUAGUUCUAUAUUUGUUAAUUGCUAGAGCAUGUUGCUAUGAUGGAUUGCACAAUCAAGGUGCACGUGUAUGUAUCAUUUAUGCUAACUAUGUACUCUACUUUUCCUAGCCAAUGUAGCUGAGUGAUGAAUAUGCUGGACUUGACCCAUUCUUGAAACUUUUGGGAGUUUUUGAGCAGUGCACGAGCACAUUACUCUCGUUUGCUUCGUUUGUGUUGUUGAGUGGGUAUCACACAUGGUAUUAACAUUCUAGAACUUGCUAUUUUAUACAUGUCAAAGCCACAUCUUGUUGAACUGGAUGCAUUUGAAAUGAUAAAGGCAUUUAGGAUUUAACUUUCUUUAAUUUUCUACAAACCAUACCUUCAUCUUGUCUCCCAAUAGUGAAUCAAUUUGAGCUUUUAUUCUUCUCCUUUGUUUGUUAGCCGUGUUUGAUAACCCAGGACUUUUUUUUUUGACUUUCUUGUCCAACCUUGUGUCGUUAAGAGAUGUCUGAAUUUCAUUGUUUGUGCAAGGCAAAUAAAUUUAGGGUCGCAAGUGUUGUUAGAAUAGAAGUUGUAUGGUGUUGGUUCUGUGCAUCUGAGAUCGAAAAGAAAAAGAAAAAAAAGACGAGAAAAAGAGAAAAAAGAAGGAAAAAAAUGUCUACAAACUGGUGAGCAUGGGAUUCUGCUUACAGGGCGUGCCAUGCCUUGCAAGACGCCCUUUCAAAAAAAAACAGAAAGAGAGAGAAAAGAGUUUCGACACUUGCGCAGUUGGUAUAGCAAAUGGAAAUGCCUUGCUUGUGGAAGUUCUCCAGUAAAGCGUUGAGGUUAUGUAGUGGAUAUCGGACAUUAUCUUGACACAGUGCACCCUAUCUUUACCUUCUUAUCCCGCUUUGUUGGCCUAAUCAGCAACAUCCCUCAGAUUCCGGCUCGAAGGGACUAACCGCCCAACUCGUGGCACCCAGGGGUGCAGCCCCUCAUGCUGGCCAAGCGUGGUACGAUGCUUUUCGCUGCUAUUGUGGUUAAGGAAAUAAAGUUACAUCUUCACUAACAGCUAUAGCUUUUGGUGCAAUGGUAAGCGCUUGAUCCUGACAAGUGGUAUCGGAGCGAGGUCGCAGGUUCGAGUCUCCCUGGUUAUUGUUGGGGGAGGAAAUGUUGGCCUAAUCAGCAACAUUCCUCAGAUCCCGGCUCGAAGGGACAGCCCGUGGCACCCAGGGAUACAGUCCCUCAUGCUGGCCGAGCGUGGUACGGUGCUUUGCGCUGCCAUUGUGGUUAAGGAAAUAAAGUUGCGCUUUCACUAAUAGCUAUAACUUUUGGUGCAAUGGUAAGCGCUUGAUCCUGACACGCUUUUCAUCCAAGCCCCAUUACAACCCUAUUAAAGUCCCUUUGAUUUAUGUAUUGAGUUCAUUUUUGAAUGGUAGAGAUGUGAUAAAUGUGCAAGCCUAUGGUAAUGUCAUUCCGUGGUGUUGAUUUGAGCGUUCCUGGUAUCUAUACAUUUUCUUGAAAGUGAUGAGUAUUACUGCUCAUACUCUUUGGAUAACUACCUGUCCGGUGUGCUCUAACUUUGGCGACAUUGUCAGGAAUGCAGGAUGCUUGUGUUAGUGUAGAUCACCGCAUAGUAGUUGCUAUUGUGAUUGAACUUCUGAUCUUCGAAAUGCUUGAGAACAAGCAUUGCCUAGGUGUGGAGGGAUUUGAUAGAGCAAUGUUUGGGCAUCUUAUGUGCUGUUAUGUGGUCAUAAUUUUGGCUACUUAUUAUGCUAAAUAUUGAAAUUUUGCUCAUAUUUGAUAUUUGUGUAAAUUAUAGGCGGUUGGUGUCAAAAAGUGUCUCUGAAGGUGAAUUUCCACAAGACUUUUUAUUUCAGGGUGUGCCCACGCCAGAAACUGUAGAAGAGACGCCUCAAAGUCAGACCGCGGGACUAACUAACUAACUAAACUCAUCCUUAUUCCUGCGGGAUGCGGUUGGAAGUGCGUCAAAACAAAAAGACGGCAAUUUCCAGCGAAUUUGUGAUAGGGUAUUAAUUGUUAGUAAUUUUAUUGUUAAUUUUUUCCUUUGUCCUUACCAAAUAUUGUUUUAAAUUGUUAAUAUAUACUUGUAUUUGGUAUUUGGACCUAUCUACAGGAAGUGGAACUAAAAAGUGCUAAAAAGGGGGGACCUUUUGGAGAGAAUUGCUCCACACGUGGGAGACUUCAAAAAGCUUCACGAACCUGGCCCACAGGAUACUAAGCAACGGACUUCCUUUUCUUUUUGCUGAUAAAGAGUUGCUGACUAGGAGUCUUCCUAUCAAAAGGAAACGAAAAAAGUGGAAUUCGGAGAGCUUUCUUUUUGUACCUUUUCUUUCAAUUCGGCAGGGACAACGUAGGGAGCAUUAGUCAUUGUUUAAGAGACAGUUUAGUUUUCUUUCUUUUCUUUUUCAUGCGUAAGUCUUGUUCGAUAAAAGUCUCGACUGGAGAAAUAUCGUUUAUUUCUUGAUUAUCUAGUGAAAAACGUGAUGCCUUUGCAAUUAAUUAAUUUGCGUGGAGAUUUACUGAUGCGGCGUGGUUAAGUUUUUCAUCUAGUCAAGGAUCAAUGCGACAAUGCAAUCCCUAAUAUCCGUGAGAUCGAAUUAAUUUUCAUGCAUUCCUUAAUUUGUUAAUAUUUGCACGUUGUCUGCUUGAAUUUUCAUGGGAUUAUUUUGUUAAUUGAAUGUCAAGGGCCCGAUGUUCAAUGCGACUUAUUAAUCUCCUGUCAAAUUAGUUAAUUAAAUCUGUAAUUAUUUAAAUUGAUUGAUAUCAGUGGCAACUAACGUUUUUAUACACUAGGGGAGCGUUCAAUCUGUUUCAAAUAACUCUCGUAGCAUGUUAUUGAUUAGGGUUAGACUUUUCUAGUUUUUAAUGCAAUUAGAGAAUUAAAUCCUAUGAUCAUACCUAGGAGUGUUUCCGGGUUAGGGGUAAUCAACGGUCGUACCUUGGUUGUCAAUAAAUUAAGGAAAAGCUGGUCGUCAGAACUUAUUGGCGACUAUAACUAACCUGUUAAUAAAAUUAAGUAAGCCUCCCUUGCAUCAAUAAUCGGAUGAAUGGACUGUGUCGGUGAAGUUGUAUCCUUGGCUCGAACUUGUCUAUUAUUUAUUUAAUUCCUAUCUACAUUCGUGUUAGUUAAUCGUUUACUUUUGGUUGAAUUGCUUAAUUAUUUUUAGUUUCAUUCCGAUAAAAUCCCCCAUUGUUAACUUGAACUUUAGUAAGAAACGAAUUACUCCCAAUCUCUGAGAAUACGACCCUACUUGCCCUGUUUUCAAAGCAAUAAUUAUUUGUGAAUAAGCAAUCCCAUUCUGGUAUAUCGGGUCAAGCAAACUUUUUGGAAACAGGGUGAAUCAAGUAACCUAUUGCACACCUAGAGUCCCUACUCCAGUACUUAGAAUUGGAUUUUGAUUACUCCGAUUGGCAACUAGGUUUAUUUUUAUUAUUGCGCAGGUUCGGCCCUUGUCAAUUUUUGGCGCCGUUGCCGGGGACUGGCAUUAAUUAUUUGUUUCUUUUUAAGUUCAAUUUUGUUCUAAUUUUCUGAUAUUUUUCUAGUUUAUGCCUCGUUCUUCUUGGACAGACGAAUUAAUUUUUGACCCUGAAGUAGAGAAGACCGCGCGUAAAAAGAGCAAAGAGACAAGACAGCUUAGAGAGGAGUUGUCCAGUGUUGCACCUGAGGGACUUGAUCCAAAGGUUGAGUCAACAAAUUCGCAUGGUGAUAAUUCGAGUGAUUCAGACCAAGAGGAAGUCACCAUGGCGAAUGCACGAACAUUAAGGGGGUUAGCUGCCCCAAAUUUAAAUCAACAACCCUUAUGCAUUACUUUUCCGCAUUUAAAUGAUAACACAUCUUUCGAGUUAAAAUCUGGCCUGAUUCAUCUUUUACCAUCUUUUCAUGACUUACCAGGUGAGGAGCCCUACAAGCACUUGCAAGAGUUCAAUGUCGUUUGCAACAGUAUGAAGCCCUCGGAAAUUACAGAAGAGUAGAUAAAAAUGAGGGUCUUUCCCUUCUCUUUGAAGGACUCCGAGAAAAAUUGAAUGUACUACCUACAACCAGGUAGUAUCACCACGUGGGACCAGCUGAAAAAAAAAUUCUUGGACAAAUACUUUUCGGCGUCUCGAGCUGCAAGUCUAAGGAAGGAGAUAUGCGGUAUCAAACAACACCCAGGCGAGUCUCUCUAUGAGUACUGUGAGAGGUUUAAGAAGCUGUGCAUCAAAUGCCCUGAGCAUUAGAUAAGUGAGCAACUGCUCAUCCAAUAUUUCUAUGAGGGGCUACUCUUCAGGGACAGAAGUAUAAUCGAUAUUGCAAGUGGAGGGGCAUUGGUGAACAAGAUUCCUCGAGAAGCAUGGGAGUUGAUUAAAGGGAUGGCUGAGAAUUCACAGCAGUUUGGUUCAAGAGAGGACAUCCCGACGCGUAGGGUGAAUGAGGUAGAAACAUCCUCUAUCCAACAAUAGCUCUUCGAAUUGACAUCUUUUGUACUACAACUAGCUGUGAAAAAUGCUCCACAAGCCAAAGUAUGUGGAGUAUGCACUGCUUUGGGUCAUUUUAUGGAGAUGUGUCCACUAGUUCAAGAAGAAAGUGCAGAGCAAGUGAACAUGACUGGUCACGCGCCCGCGCCAAGAAGGCCAUAUAACCCGUGUUCGAAUACGUACAAUCCGGGUUGGAGAGAUCACCCUAACUUUAGUUAUAGAGGAAAUAGGCAGUCCAAUUUUGCACCAAAUAGAGAGCAAGGGCAUCAACAGCAGUACCAGUCUCGCCCACCACCACCCCCUUCGAACUCAAGUCCGUCCAUGAAAGAGAUGAUGAAGCAAUAAAUUGCUAAUCAACAAAAGACGGAUUCAGAGUUGUAAAGUAUGAGAAAUCAAUUGGGACAGAUGCAAUCAUUGCAAAAUCAAAUAAAUCAAAUGGCCAUAACGAUCAACCGCCUGAAAUCCCAAGUUCAAGGGAAGUUGCCAUUUCAACCUGAGUUGAAUCCGAAAAAUGUAAGUGCACUGACCUUGAGGAGUGGCAAGGAAGUCCAAGGAUCCGAACCGGUGAUUCUUAGGACAAGGACAAGGAACGAAUUGAGAAAGAGUUGGAAGAAGAGGGCAGAGACAACAAAGAUCCAAAGGUAACCUCGGACCAAUCAUUACAGUUAGAACUAAUCCACCUUCCUUUCCUAGCAGGUUGGAGAAACCAAAGAAGCAAUACAAAGAAAAAGAGGUCCUGAAGAUAUUUCGCAAGGUGGAGAUCAACAUUUCCCUACUGGACGCGAUUAAACAAGUACCCAGUUACGCAAAGUUUUUGAAGGACUUGUGUGUCAACCGAAGGCGGUUAAAAGGAGAUGAACGAGUUAUAGUGGGGGAGAACGUGUCAGCAAUUCUACAAAGGAAACUUCCCAUCGAAAUAUGGGGACCCAAGUAUGUUACUAUUCCCUGUAGGAUCGGUAAUACCUUGAUUGGAAAGGCCAUGUUAGACCUAGGAGUUUCGAUAAACGUCAUGCCAAAGUCCAUAUAUGCUUCUUUGAAUUUAGGUCCUUUAAAAGAAACGGGGAUAAUAAUUCAAUUAGCUGACCGAACUGCCCUGAUGGGUUGAUUGAAGAUUUUUUUAGUAAAAAUUAAUGAAUUGAUUUUUCAACUGAUUUUUAUGUGCUUGAUAUGGAUGAUAAAUACUCCCACGACCCCUUACCUUUAUUGUUAGGUAGACCCUUUUUUAGCACAGCCGAACCAAAAUUGAUGUUAACAAGGGUAUCUUGUCUAUGAAAUUUGAUGGUGAUAUUGUUCACUUUAACAUUUUUGAGACCAUGAAAUAUCCUUCAGAUUCAAAUGUCAGCUCUGUUUUCUCUGUAAAUGUUAUUGACCCUGCGGUACAGGAGGUUAUUGAAAUUGAAGGCAGGGAUGAGCUGGAAGUCGCCUUGACCAGGCACUUCGAGUCAGAGACGACCUCUGAGAUAGAGUUGAGUGAAGAGCUCAAAUGUGUGAUUGGAGCGUUGCAAUCAUUGUCAAUCACGAAAACAAGGUAUGGGCUUGCACCCAUUUUCACACCUGAACCUCACCAACGGUUACUUUCAUCUGUGGUGUAGGCACCUAUCUUGGAACUGAAACCCCUGCCGAAACAUCUAAAGUAUGCAUACUUGGGUGAAGGGGAGACUCUCCCAGUGAUCAUCUCUGCUAGUUUAUCGGAGGUCCAAGAAGACAAACUAAUUCGAGUUUUGAGGGAACAUAAGCAGGCGAUAGGAUGGACCAUCGCCGAUAUCAAGGGAAUUAGCCCCGCGGUAUGUAUGCAUCGCAUUCGACUCAAUGAGGGUUCUAAACCCGUGCGGCAGGCUCAGAGGAGACUAAAUUUCCUCAUGAUGAAGGUAGUGAAGAAAGAGAUCCUGAAACUGCUGGAUGUGGGGAUAAUAUUCGCAAUAUCAGACAGCCCUUAGGUAAGUCCAGUAUAGGUGGUUCCGAAAAAGGCAGGGGUGACGGUGGAAUCAAAUUAAGAGGGUGAGCUCAUGCCAGUUCGGAAGCCCACCGGAUGGCAACAGUGUAUCGACUAUCGGAAGUUAAACGUCGUCACAAAAAAGGAUCAUUUUUCCCUUCCUUUUAUUGAUCAGAUGGUAGAGCGAUUAGCAUGUCGAGCUUAAUAUUAUUUUUUGGAUGAAUUUUCAAGUUAUUUUCAGAUUGCUAUCGCACCCGAGGAGCAGGAGAAGACCACUUUCAUGUGCUCGUUUGGAACAUUUGCAUACAGGUGAAUGCCAUUUGGAUUGUGCAAUGCACCUACUACCUUCCAACGUUGCAUGGUAAGCAUUUUUUCGGAGUAUAUUGAGAAGAUUAUUGAGAUUUUCAUGGACAAUUUUAGUGUGUAUGGUGAGAGUUUUGAUAACUGUCUAGAUAACCUGAAACUAAUCUUAGUAAGGUGUAUAGAAACUAAUUUCGUGCUUAAUUGGAAAAAAUACCACUUUAUGAUCGAACACGGGAUAGUUUUGGGUCAUGUAGUGUCGUCUAGGGGUAUUGAGGUUGAUAAAGUGAAAAUAGACAUUAUAUCUACUUUACCUUACCCCAUGAGUGUGCGGAAAGUGCGUUUUUUUUGUCACGCAAGUUUCUAUAGAAGGUUCAUCACAGACUUCUCGAAAAUUAGAGCACCCUUGUUCCAACUUUUGCAAAAAGAGGUGCCCUUCGAAUUUGAUGAAGCGUGUAAGAGGGCAUUUGAUAGGUUGAAGGAGCUAUUGACCUCGUCAUCUAUUAUACAACCUCCUGAUUGGAACCUACCAUUCGAGAUCAUGUGCGACACCAGCGAUUAUGCAGUGGGCGCGGUGCUGGGUCAGAGAGUAGGAAAGACAGCCCAUGCUAUCUACUACGAGUAUCAAGCCUUGAACGGAGCUCAAUUGAACUGUUCAAUCACCGAAAAGGAGCUUUUGGCGGUUGUUUUUGCUUUAGAGAAAUUCUGGUCUUAUUUACUAGAUACCAAAGUUAUUGUCUUUUCAGACCAUGCAGCGUUGCGGUAUCUGUUGACCAAGAAAGAGGCAAAACAGUGACUGAUAAGGUGGAUAUUAUUGUUACAAGAGUUUGACCCAAAGAUCAGAGACAAGAAAGGGGCAAAAAAUCUGGUAGCAGAUGUAGACACCAAAUUUUUAGCCUUUCUUUUUCUUUUUAUUUUAUUUAUUUAAUUAGUUGAUUUUGUUUUAAUUUUUGCUAAGAAAAUUGUUUUACUAUUAUUAAUUAAUUCAUUGAAAAAAAGAAAAAGAAAAAGCUAUUCCAUGUGCAUGUGCUUGGCACGUGCGCCAUUUUCUUUUCUUUCAUGCAAAAAAUGCAAGCGGAAGGCGAAAAUAGGGACAGAAAUUUGCAGCUGCAUUUUUUUAAUCCCAGCCUCAUCUCAAAAAUGCCAUCCAAUGGCUCAAGUUUUCAGUAGAAACCCACCCUUCAUCCUCACCUUUGAGGUGAGGGUUUUAGGGACCUGGGGUUUCCUAUAAAAGAAAAAAGAGCAGCGGGGACAAAGGGUAAGAGGAGUCGGCAGCUGGGGCUGAGUAGAAACAACGGAGGAAAAAAGCAAAAAGGGGGGGUUCUUGGGGAGAGUAGUUGACGGCUGAAGGAAAGAGUGAAUGGAGAGUCUGAGGGCUAGAGAGAGUUUUGGAGAGGGUGACGGCCGAAAGAAAGAAACCAAGCGAGAGGAAACCAAGGAAAGGAGAAGCGACUUCAUCAAUGUAAAGGGCAUUUCGUGGGUCUUCGUUUCCAGAAACAACGUGUUUGUCCUGAGACUGGUAGAGAAACGAAUCAAGAGUCUGAGGAAGACACAAGGGAGGAUCGGGGAAUAAGCAAAGGAAAUCUGCAAAAUCUUGAAGAAGGCUUCGAAGCUGAGAGCGAGGGAAAGAGGACUGCUCGACGAGGUGGCAACUUCUGCAGCAAAAGUUCCCGAUCGCGUUCCUGGGAACCCGUAUGCGUUUCCGGGCAGAUCCCAAGGCCGCUCAACCAUGCUAGCAUUCUCAGGUAAAAAUGCCUCUUAUUUGGUGGAUUUUAACAUGUUUUUAUGAAAGAUAAAGCCAUCGGAUGUGAAUCUUUUUGUUUGCUAUUGGGUCAAGCUCUCGCUGGUUCUAUGAUUCUGCCAUUUUGCUCGUUUGCUAAGAUCUGAUUCAGUAGGAACCUAUGAGAUGAGUCUGAUUAAGAACAUGGGGUUUAGGGUUUUCUGUAGUGGUCACCUGAUGAAUCCAUGAGUUCUUUGCUCGAUGUUUAUGGUCAGUCUUUGUGUGCAUGAAUAAGCAAACCCAGAAAAGUGGCGUAAAGCUUCGGACAAGUCUGUUUUGAUGUUUCCUUGAUUGCUGCUUCUCCAUUUCUUGUUGUUUGUGUAAUAUUUGAUAUCGGGUUUCAGUGUUAAAUGGAGCAAAUGGUGAGUUUUGGUUGUUGGCUUGGAGAUUGAUCCAUCGGAUCCGAACAUUUGAUAAUAAAAAUGGUAGAAGGUUUUUUGAAUGCACCUGGUUCGAUGUUAGUUUUGUACUUGGGUUAUGUUAAUAAGGGUGAUUUGGAGAUUUAUGAGAGUUCUAGUUCACAAACAAAAUAAGUUUCAUUGAUUUCUUUUCAUAUAAUAUCAGCGUGGGUUGAGCUGCAAUUUUGCAGUAGAAAGUUGCGGCAGAAGAAGAAUGUUUUUUUCAUAUCAGGUUGCAUGAUCCUUUUGUAUGAGUGUCGGGUGCUUAAAUAUAAUGGUUUUAUGUUAGAAAACAGAGGGGGGAAUGUUUAAUAAUCCUGUUGCCUGGCUUCAGUUUGCAUUGCGCUUAUAGUUUGCGCAUAAGAAUGCUUGUUGCAGCGGUAUGGACGAAGUUCUGUUUUUUCCUUUUCCUGUUUCAAGUUCAAGUUUUGACUGUGGAAUAUGUGUGUUUUGUUGCUCAAUUUAAGUUGAAGUCUAGGUGAAAUGUUUUGGAUCAAGUCUGGAAUCCUUAUUUGAAAUGAAAGGGCAACAGCGUGCGUUUGUUCUUGAUUGCAGAAGCUUUAAGCUUCGGGAUUGUGCAUGGACUUGCAUGAAUAGCUUUCAAAAUUUGCACUUUGCUCCCCUUAGCUUCUAUCUAUGCUACAGAGGCCCAAUUAUGUUCUAAUUUCUUGCAAUUAGGUCCUAAAGUAAUUGCCAUUUGAACCAUUGCUUGACCUUUCCAUUACUUAUGGGCCUUUGAAGUUCCCAAAUAUUUUAAUUGGGCUUGAAUGAUUGGUUAAGGCUUGCUCUUGGGUCCUUAGUAGUUUUUUUCUAUUUUAGGAACUUGAUUGACAAUUUACCUUCCUUGCAAUUAUGCAUUAUUUGAUUACAUUCAAUUUGCAAUUGGGAAGGAUUAGGUGAUUUGUUGGUUUAACUUAUUUUGUGCUUUUGUUUAUAUGGUUAUUCGUGAUGCCUUGACUUUUUCUUUUAUUUUGGAGGGUAAAUAAGUAAUCUCACUCCAUUAGGGCCCCAAUUCAAGGAAGGUACACCCUAUCUCUUAUUUCUUACUUUAUUUGACUUUACGUGCCCUAUGUGACUUUACGUGUUUGAUUGCAUACCUCUUGAAUGUUUUUUUUAUUAUUUUAUUAUUUAUUUAUUUGUUUGCUUUAUUGACUUUAGUUUUGUAUAUCUAUUUUAGUUCAAUUUUGAUCAUUUGAAAGGCAAUUUAAUGUCAAAGUUGUAAUAACUAGGUUAUGAUUUUAUUUAUUUAUUUCUUUCCCCCUUAAAUUGUAGUAGGCGUUCCCUUUUGUAAUAGAUAGGGCUUGGGUGUGCCUACAUGCCUAUGUGUUUAAUUGCUUUCCCUAGGCUUCUGCAUCUAUAUAAGCAUGCUUAUGUGCUACGUGCUAUGUGAAACUAUGUGCUUUGCAUGUCUAUUUGCUUUAGUAUUAUAUCUGAUUAUGUGGAUGGAAUGCACGUUACCGUGACUAGUCCAAUGCUAGUCAUGAUCUUCCCCUCGAUCACUCACAAGUCCAAUGCUAGAUCCAAUAGGACUGUCCCUCACUAGUACAUACUUGCAUGCCUUCACUACAUCUUCAUUCAUUUUUUUCCCUUUUAGUUUUACAUUUUUGCAUGAUCCUUCACUCCCUUUCCCGCAUUUGAAACAUGAUUUUUAGGAUUUUGUAUUUCAUUCUAGUUAUUAGGGUCAUUUGCUUGAUUAGGUUAGGGAGUCACCCUUCUGGUAAGGGGAAUGGACGAGUGUGGCUACACAUAGCCUUAGCACGCUCAUUCUUUUUCUAAUCAAAAGGCAAAUCGUAAGUCACGAUUUAGGGUCUCCCCGUACACGUUUUGCUUGCAUUCCUCUAGGUCUCAUGCAUUUCAUUUUGCACACACACACACACUUUACACUCUCUCUCAUUUGCACACGUACACUUUACACUCUCUCUCAUUUGCACACGUACACUUUACACUCUCUCUCAUUUGCACACGUACACGUUACAUAUUCAUUUGCAUCCUUACACUUUAUACACUCCCUCAUUUGCACACAUGCACUUCUCACUAUCACUUUACACUCUUCCUCAUUUGCACACAUACACUUCACAUUAUCACUUUGCACACUACCACCUUACACUUUCUCACUACACACCCGUUCAUAUUGAUCACAUUUGCAUCCAUUCAUCUCACUCGAGCAUUCAUUUGCAUUUAUUCGUGGCCUCUUUGAGGGUUCACCAUUUGGCUAUCACAAUUCAUGUGAUUAGGACCAAUCGAGCCUCAAAAGAGACAUUUUGUUCCUUUCGAACCAAUAAUUAGAUUUAGGUUUGCAUUCACAUUAGACACAUCCAAAAUGCGAUACAUCUUUUGGGUAGAAAUUAGGAAACUUGUCACUAAAUCACGCAACUAGCUUAGGUUAGGGUAAAAGGGUGCCUUAGACUUCGUUUUUGCCUUCCCUUUUAUCAACCGUGACCCCCGAACUCAUCUCUUUGAUUUUCGUAGAUUAGGAGUCAUCUAAAAAGGUUUUUCACCUCAUUUUUCAAAAACUAUUUUUUGGGUGACUUGGUACACCCCAACUCAAUAACAAGUGGCGACUCCUAUUUUUCAUGUUAAAAACCCUUUUAGAUUAUCGUUUUGGCCAAACCGUCGCAUUUAAAAGUCCCAUGGCCUUUUCCUUUAAUUCUCAUAUUCACACACUUCACACACAAUACACAUUAUGACUUCAAAACAAACUUUCACUUUUUUCUUUAUAUUUUCUCAAAAAAUGGGGCGGGACAGCUUGGCGACUCCACUGGGGACUUCCUAAGUGGGUCCGAGCACUUGAUUUAGUUAUUCUUUUCCUUUUUUACCCUUUUCAUGUAUCGCAUUUGCGUGUUUAAGGUUGCAUUUUUUUUCUUUUUUAGGAGUUUUGCAUUCCGCGCGUAUCAACUCACUCCCUUACUCAUUUGCGUACAUUUGAUUUGAUGGAUGGAUGAUUUAUUUAUGUUAUCCCGCGCUUUGCAUUGCAUUUGGAUGGGGGGAUAUUACCCUAGAGCCUCGCGUUGGUUCUCGAUCCCUCCCCUCCAAAUGGAGCACUAGCAUACGUGCAUACGCUUUAUUUUUUAUCCCUCAUUUAUUUUUCUUUUUAGUGGCUUGUCACGCCACUCCACCCUACUAGGAUUAGACGACCCAUUUGGACGUGUGAUCGCGACACGAUGUGUGCGUAGCAUGAUCCAAGGGGUCACUCAAUCUUCCAUUUUAAACUUUGGAUUGAUAACCUUUAGUUUUUAGUCAAAGGUUGAGGAUUUUUGAUAGAUUCACUCAGAUAUGUAGCCGUGACACGAUGUGUGCGUAGCAGUGUCUGGAGAAUCGCUCGAGCCACCGACAAAGAACCUUGGGAUUGAUGACCUUUGGUUUCCAAGUCUGAAGGCUCGGGGACCUAAAACCUAUCGAGUCUAGAUGCAUUAGUGAGCCAAUACCGCAUGCAUCCAUGAUAGUUUACUUAGGGUAGAGCCUGCCUUACCCUAUUAGGAACACUAUUCACGAGGGGAGGGAUCCAACCCCUCUUUUCCUUUUAUUGCUUUAUCUCUUUGUAUUGCUUUGCUUCAAUGUGUUAUGUGUAUUUAUCUGAUUGAACUAACUUUUCUUGGUUUUUGUCUCUAUUGCAUUCAUAAAUCCUAGAAAAUAAGAGUUCUGGCAUGGUACUCUCUAGGAACUUACCCUAUUUGAUGUGACACGUUUAAAUUCAAUGCUUCGCAUUUGUAACAUGAAUACAUUUCAUUUUAGGCGUACCCCGGCAUACAAAAGGGGGUUCCUUUAGGUCACGUUUCAUUUGUAUACUGCAUAUUUAGUUGCUUUGAUAAAUUGACAUCAUGCAUGAACCAUAGAGGGAAUGCCAUUUAGGGGAUCCCACGUUAGGAAUAAACCGCCAUGUGUCUCGGAUAUACAAUCCAAUGAGACUUGCACGUCUAUAUUUCUUGUACCUUCCAAAGGAGUAGUGCACAAGGUAAGGUAGAAUCCGAUCUUUUUCCAUGAUUAUAGAACAAAUUUUGCACAUUAGAAUAUGAACAUCUAACAAUCAUUUUUUGGUCAUUUAUCUGGUAAAAAUCCCUUGCGUAAAAGGCAUUAAUUUGAAGAAAUUUACAAACGAUCCCUCAUUGUUCAGACGAUAAAUAUAUCGAGGCCAAAUCUUGAUUUUAGAAGACUCAUAGACUAAUGUAUCGCAAUGAUUUUUUUUUGAAACUACCAAUAGGUAGACAAUUCAAUAAAUCAUCAUUUUCAUUCAAUUCGUUUGAUCAAAUUAUCCAUCAAAUUCUUCCAAUCUAUUUGGUCAAUUCAUUCAUUUUAGGACAAUUCGGUCAAUUUUGAAUAAAUCAUCAUUUUCAUUCAUUCGACCAAUUUACCCUUUUUAGGGUGAUCUGACCAAUUUUGAAUAAAUCAUCAAUUCCAUUCAAUUCAUUGGAUCAGUUUAUCUAUUUUUAGGGUGAUCUAGUCAAUUUUGAAUAAAUCAUCAAUUUCAUCCUAUUCAUUUGACCCGCUUAUUCCGUUUAGGGUUUAACUCUAAGGUUCACUAAAUAAAUUAGUCGACACAUUGCAAUCCUUUCAAGAGUAGACUCUUUUACACAUCAUUUUAUGUGUUGAUCAAAACAAGCAAUCCAUUCGGACUUUGUCCUCAUUUUUAGGACAAAUGUCUCUUCUCACUCCAAUUGACCAAAUUUGUUAAAAUUAUUUUUUCACUCAAUAAGUUGAUCGGAUUCAUCAGGUAUUGUAUAGUGCCUACCCCAGAGAAUUGCAUUUUCAUGCUAUGCCUACCCUUGGCAUAAAAAGGGCACCCCCAUAGGACAUGCAUACCGAUUUUAUAGUCUUGCUUACUAACUCGGGGUAUUUUUCUUUUAUUUUCUCCCCUCCCCUGCAUUCAUAAAAAAUGUUUCAAUAAGGUGAAAAUAUUUUUUCUAUAUCUGAUAACGAUUUUAUCUAAUAAAUCUUGAAAAUUACAAUUAAUAUUUGAUUCUUGGAUAGACCCUACUAUUUGAAGAAUCUAUCUGGAGGCACAAGGCUAAAACACCUAAGAGACUUCAUAAUUGUUUGUCAAAGAAAAAAUUUUGUUUAUUUGAUUUGUUAAUACAUUUUGUUCCAAAAGAAAAGGAGACAAAAGUGUGUAUAUGUGGAGUUCUUUAGAAGUUUUUCUCUUCUCAUUUGCAUUAUGAUUGAACAAGAAAUUUUGUUUCAAACUUUUCCAAUAAUAAAGUUUUUUAUUUAGACAAUUAUUGUCUUGUAUAUAUAUUCAUCUAUAUUUCAUUCUUUAUUUUGCUCAUUGGAGAUUUCAUGAUGAAUUUUAAGAAAUGAGACUACAUUGAGAUUUUUUCAACCUCUAGCCUGAAAAUUCACAAGUGUAUGUUUUCUAAAAUCUUUGCAUACACUAGAUUGGUGAUCUGAACUAUACAAUAAGAGUGUUCAGAAUUAAAAAGAGGUCACUCAAAAGACCCAAUGGGAUACAUUUUUCUCCUUCACUGUACAAUUCAUAUUUUUGCCCAUUUCUAUUAGCCCCCCAAAAUCAGUCACAUUGAUUGAUAAAUUACAAAUUGGGGCAAUCUUUGCUUGAAAAUGCCCACUGUGUCUAAUUAGAUUCAAUCCACAUCUAAGUGAAAACAAAAAUGUACAUUAUUCUUAUUUGUUUUGAAAGUUUGGAAUGAUACUUCAAGCAUUCGUUUCUCUAUCUAUACAGAUUUUAUCAUUUGCUCUCUCAUUUGAGCCUUUAAAAGAAUAAUUUCGUUUCAAAUGAGAGCCCUAAUGAUCACUACCCCAUAUUGGAAGAUUUUUCAAAUAUCAAAAGGGAGUGGAUUCUCAAUGAGCAUUUCGUUACUUUGGUUGUCAUAAAACUUAAGAAUGAUGCUUUGGCCAUCGUUUCUACAAUCUAAACAUUAUUUAUCCCUUGCAUCCUCCUUUGAGCUAAAAUGGGUGGUUCUUUUUAAAAGCAUUUAUGAUCGUACCCCACACCGGGGAAGGAGAUUGGAGGAUUUUUCAAAAGAAGAAAAAAAGGAAGAAAAAGGAGGCAAAAAAUGCUAAAAUUCAAGAAGAAGAGAGGGAAUUGCAAAUUGGGAAAAUUUGAUUCUAUCUGGGAUUUAAUUUUGGAAAAGAAAGAGGAAGAGUUUUGUCCGGCGGAUCACUUAUGUUUCACAGAUAUGGAUGAACAGGAGUCUUUCUCAAUCAAUGAUGCGAGACGCGGAAGCAAAGACUGGAUUUCAGAGGUACACGUCGCGAUUGACGGAAUGGAACCCGACUUGGACCACUCAAGGACGGAUUCAACGGUAGAGGACGCCACAAUCAAGUGUGUGAGCUUGAUUGAUAAGUCAAUAAAACAGCCUAGGAACCACGCUCGGACAUUCAACUUAGCCUUCACAAGCUAAAGGAAUUUGCCACAACCAAUGGACGAAAUUCUGGAAUUUUAUUGAAUAAUAUCGGAAAACUGAAUGUAAAACAUGAUUUAAGGCUAUUUAUAGCCUUGACUAAACCCUAAUAAAGCUUGGAAAAUACAAAAGAAAAUUCGGCCAACCCAUUUCCUUCACUUGGCCGAAUAUUAACCCAACAACCUAUGGCCCGUAACUCAGCGUAGGUACUUAACUGCGGCCCAAUCAGCCGUUUGAAGCUUGACCACUUGCAUCCUCAACUGUAAGCAACACUUUAGUAGUCUCGCCCGGAUCUUCCAACUCAAUCCCUUCAAUGGGCGGUUUCUCUUGGGUUUGGACUGUGACGGCCCCACAUCUCCUUAAGGCGAACCAAAGGGUAUCCGCGGGACGCCUGCCCAACUCUCGCCAGGACUCAAGCAAUUCCAUUCCUCUUAAAACCAAACCGAACAUUUCGAAGAGAGUAACAUGAGUACAAAUAAUGCGGAAGCGUUCAACUUAACAAGUCACUUAACAUGUAACCAGUACAUCGGGUAAACAUAAUACGACUUAAAUUCUAAUUACACGUCAGGGCCCAAAUUUUACAUUUCAAUUCCAAAAGUACAGUCCAAACCAGGGCCUAGCCAAAAUAUAGAAGAAAUCCUAAACAAAAGUACAACGAAGGGUUUCUCCAUACUUCUCCGAGAUUCGGUCCUGUUAAGGAAAACAAAACUAUGGGGUGAGCUAAAUGCUCGUGAGGCCAAGAACACAUAUUCAAGCACAUUGUUCAAAUAGCAAUCCUAAAUUUAUUAAAUAAAACCGUGAUAUUUCAAUAAUCAACCAUUCGAGCAGGAAAAGUAAUCAGAAACAAUUCAAGGAUAUAGUAGCUCUCAGGAGUUAAGUUCCACUCGCUCUGCCGAUGUCAUUCGUAUACCUUCCCGCGAUGACCCUCCGUCAACCGGGUCGGUAUUUCCAUUUCCGUAGAUCACCACUUACUUCCCUCCGUCCACCGUACACCUCCAGGGCCCACAAGUCAUUUAUAAGGCGAUACUCCACGAGUAUGCCAAGCAAGACCUCUCAUUAGGUCAAGCUUAUAUAUCUCAUGGCUCGCCCAGGUUCCCGACCAAGCCCAUUGCCGGCUCGAGUCCAAGGUCGGCCUAUGAGUUUGGGCGUCCCCCAUUCAUUUGAAAGUCGAGGAGAUUCACUCCAACGACGUAUGUAGUUAUAACAUACCAUUGCAUUUCAUUCAUUCAUUCAAUACAUUUCAUUCAUUCAUUUGAAAUUAGAACGAGUGUGAUAAAAUACACACCCGCCCUUAUUUUUAAAAUCUCCAACAAUUACCACAAAUAAGCAAGUAUCAAGGAUUCACACACUUGACACUCACCGAGCAAUUCAAUAAGAAUUAUUUUCUGGAAGUUCAAGUGUCCACUGUAAGAUCCUCUUGAAGGUCUCCUUGUGCGCCUGGCAAUUAAUAGUGGAUAAUCACUCAAAUAUCAAAAUUAUCAAGGAAGAUUGUACACUAGUACAAUCUAAAGAAUAUUUCACAAAAAUGAACCUCAAUUACUCGUAAAUCGAGGUUCAACUUGCAUUUUAUUAAGUACAAUAUUAUUUGAGUUUUUAUCAUGAAAAUCGAGGGCAAAACGUUUGAAUAAUACUAAGAGAAUUAAGAGUUUUGGAAAAACUCCUUUGCCUUGAAAAUUGAAAAUUUUCAGUUUUAUUAUAAAUCUUUGAAAAUUCGUAUCUCUCUCGAUAUAAGUCCAAAAUUGGAAAACUUUAUCCCGUUGGAAACCUUUUGGAAAGUGUUAAAAGUUCGUAGAAGACACUUUUCCAUGAAUCUAAGUGGAAAGUACUUAAAAAUGAGCUUGAAAUCACUGUUCCAGAAUGUUCAGGAUUGAGUUAAGGUUGGUUUUUUUUGCUAACUUUGGAAAUUUGGCAGAAUUCACUCGUUGCAAGCUAGCCCUUGAAAUUUAUAACUCAAUUAGAGGUGUAAGUAAGGUUUAGGGCAGAACAAGCGGAUUGAGAAUUGGAGUUUCGAGCACCGAGAUACGGUAGCUCGAAGUUGGGAAAAUUCAAGUCUGGUGAACAAUUUCCAGAUUUGAGUUUCCAAAAAUUGGAACCUUAGCUAAGUGUCAAAACGAACUUGGAUUGGUAUAAACUUUUGUAGUAUGUUACUCCUAUAUGAAAGGUAUCUCUCUAUCAAAUUUCAGGAAAAAAUACCUUCGGAAAGAUAGUUAAUUAAUCAUCCAAAGUUCAGGAAAAUUUCUAAGGCAACCUGUCUUUUGACUUCAUUUCCCAAUUCAAAUCGUUUAAUCAACAAAGCUAUCCAACCAUGGUUCAUUUAUGAAAUAAAGGUCUAAGAUACAUCCAUGAUACCUUUGGUAGGUGUUUAGCAUCAAGAACUUCAAUUAAUAAGAUCACUCCCAGGUUUUGUCCCAAACCAGUCCAAGUAUUACGGUUUUUCCAAAACAGUGCAGUCCUCUUGUUUCGGUCACAACUCAGUCAAUUUAACUCAGAAUCGAGCAUGGUUUAUGUCGUUGAAAAAUACAUUCAUAGGGCUAUAAUAUCACAGAAGAAAUCAUUUCAAAAUUUGGUGCCCAACUAGUUCAAAAUUGGGCAUCAAUUUGCUGCCUUAUCACUUCAUUCCAGUUGAACAGAGCAACAGGACAGCGAUCUUAAAACGUUUGGUUCGGCUCACUCACAAAGAAUCAGAACGUGCAUUUUAUCUCAAAUUAAAGCCUGAAAUGUCUAGUUUCCAACGCCACCAACGGCACAUGAUUUCGACAUCCGAGGACGGAGUUAUGGCCGAAUCACCACCGCUGGUCAGAGCCAUACGUGAACAGUUUCCAGAUUUGCUAGUUUCACAAAAAAAAUUCGUUUGCCCAACCAAACCUCAUUAUUUUUCAAUGAAAUUUUUCACACAUCUAAUACGUCAUAUAAACAUCAAAUUCAAGCCAUUAGGUCAUUAAAAAUUGGCCUUAAAAUGGCCGAACAAGGCAGGGGCAAAAUCGGAAACUUUUGCUUCUUGCACCCAAUGAAGUUUCUAUCAAUUUCACACCAUUAAUCCAUCAUUUUAACCACUAAACCAACAAUAUAUCCACCAUCAAUCAUCAAAUCAGCAACAACCCAAGAGUGGGAGUUCAUAGAGCCCACUUUCACAUUUUUCCAACAAUAUCAAGUCAUCUACUUAUAUGCAAGUACUUAGAGAUGCAUAUCUACUACUAUAAAUCAAGUUUAAGGUGAUGGAUCAUGUUAUACCUUCUUAAUGUACUAGAACAGAAUUUUUGGCCCUUGAAAUGCUCCAAGAAAUCGUGAUUUCCAGCACCCUUUUUGCAGCUCAAAAUGAUCUCCUAGUGUUAAGCUAAGUGUGGUGCAAGUUUGGUUGAAUUUGGAGAUGUUUUGGUGGUGGUUUGAGUAAGCUUUGUGAAGUAAAAUGAAGAACAAUGAAGCUUAAGAGAGAGAGAGAGCUAGUCGGCAGUCUUGAGAAGGAAGAGAGAGAGAGUGAUCAGAUUUUUAAGCUUCCAAGAGAAGAUACUAACUUGUGGCUACAAAUCACCCAUUAGUCAACUCACAUUAGGGGGCAUUUGGCGCGAUUAGGGCUCGUUUUCACGCGCGUUUGGUUCACUAGUGCACUAAGUCUCUAAUGCACUUAUUUUCAUGUAAAUAUUAUUCACUCUUAAUUGUCCCGAAAUAAGGGUCUAAAGUCCCUCAAAUAAAGUCGCGCGUAUGAAAACGCGUACCGUCAAUUUUAACGCUAUAACGCGAAACCUCCGAGAAAUUCUUAUAACAACCGUGCUACUAACUAUCACUUGAGUAUUUAUUCAUAAGAUUACCUAUUUUAGGACCAUAGUACAAGUCUCCAAUAUUCCAAACUUAUUGUGCUCCCACGCGGUAAAAUCUCCGAGCACUGUUCACUAUUUUUACUAAACGCACUCCAGGAAAUUAAUUUUUGAGACGAGUCACUUUAAAAAUAUAACGAAGUUAUAUUAUCAUGUAUUUAGGUCUAAUAAGACUAGAAAAUAUUUCUCGUGGUAAAAAUCCAAUUAAAUAAUUUAUUAAGCCAUAAGUUAGGCUAAAAAAAAUAAUAGUUUUUACGAGUCCUCACAUGGACGGCAUAAACCAAGGCUUGAAGUGACUCCUUGAAUCUCUUAACUCGUGCUCGUGUCACUGGGCCUUGGGGCACCUUUACAGGGUCUACUUGAGCACCAUGGGCCUCGUCCGCAUCAAUCAAUUAAUUCAGAUACAUGCAAGAAAUUUCGCAUUAAUGAAAGUUUCCUUUCAGAGUUAUUGUAAGGAACGGAAUAAAAAGUUAGGCUCUCUUCUUUUCCAAUCAAACAUUCUAUCGCUAGUUAUCCCUUUCGAGCCUUCAAAAUAAAAUACUUCGUUUGGCAACCACUGAGGAUCGCAAACUCCACACUGGGGCAAGUUUGAGUUGCAAAGGGAAGGAAAGUUUCAAGAGGUGAAAAGUGAUAAAGUAACAAAAGAAAAAGAGAAAAUGAAACAAAAGAGAACCUCGGUUAAGCAUAAACUGGGACAAAUUUUGAAAAGUUCAAAAGAAUGGCAAAAGGCCAAGAAGAAAAUAGAGAGAAGAAAAUGAAAGAGAAAAGAGCCUCGGUCGAGAAUAAAUUGGGGCAGGUUUUGAUUUAACCCUAAAAAUAGGGUUGGCGCAACAAUGCGAUCUCAGAUCAUUUAAACCACUUUUGAAAUCCGCUUUCAAGUUUUAACUUUUCUAAGCACCCCACCAGACCCCAUUACAAAAGCCGAAAGUCCUGACUUCUGUUUUUUGCAAUAUCUCUGUCAAGAAAUUUUCUAAUUGGCAAGUGAUGCUCAUAUAUUGAUGCCAAGGAAUUUUUAAAUAUAUUUGAAUUGAUUAGGCGUGAGGUUGACACUGCUCUUCAUGUGAAAACCAGCAAGGGCACUUUUGAAAAAAAGAAGGAAAAAGGAAAAAGCAAGCGAAAUAAAUGCAAAAGAAAAAUGCAAAAAGAUUCGAUGCUGAAAGUCCCUGUUGAGUGAUUAUAAAGUCAAACAAAGGUCGAGAUUGGGGCGAUUUUUGGGAGGAAAUGCGAUCUUCAAUGCAAUGUCCUUAAAAUCUUAUUUAUUUAACUAUCGUUUUCAAGCCACAUUACAAGCUCAUAAAGUCCAUCGCUGACUUAUCUUUCAUGACAAUUCGAAGUGAGGAUUAUGCUUCUAAGGAAUCCAUUAAUCAUUCAGGAUUAUAAGGCAAUAACCGGUUUCCACAUGCUUAACUGUCAUUUCUACCCAUAUGUUACAAGUUUAUAAAGCUUAUAUGUUGACUAAGUUUUCUUAAAAAAUAAGGGUGACAAACUAUUUGUUUUCACUAAGAUGUGAUAUUGAAGGGAUUACAUACAAUUUGGGCACAAGAAUAAGACAAAUCCUGACCUCUAAUUCCCCUUAGCCCCCUCAAAAUAAAAAAUAAGAUCACUUGAUUGGUCCUGAAAGAUGAGCUAACAAAAAAGAGGUGACCCAUUACCCUAAGUCUCGAUGUUAAAGUGAGGAAGAAAUCUUCUGUAAUUUGAUAUUAUUUUGAGAAAUUCAUCAUGAAAUUUUUUGUAUGAGUUUAAGCAAGAUGUUUAAUUUUCUUCACAUUAUACGUUAGGAAACAUAGUUUCUUACUUUGUUCAAAUAAAUGGAGAGUCAUCGAAACAAAAUUUUUGCAAUUGAAAGGGCCCACACUGGGGUAAAUUUUUGUAAUGCAUUUGAGGAUUUCGUCCAAGAGUCAAAUAAGAUAUUUUUGAAUCAAUCAUACUGCUCUUUACAUGAGUAAUAGGUGCAUCAAUCAAAAAAAUAAUAAGAAAUUUAAGUGCAUGUUGUACUUUGGUAAGACCCCUAUACAGGUAUUCAUGGCUGAAAUUGAUGAAGAAACAUUUAGUGAUGUGGAAGGCCGAUACCGGAAAAAGAGAAGAAAGGAAAAGAAAAAGGGCUCUACACUGGGACAAAUUAUUUUUUGAAAAGAAUCUCUCAAUCAAAAAAAAAUCCCAAAAAAAAUCAAAAGAUCAAAAAUCCAAAAAAAAAAAAUCAAAAGAUCAAAAUUUUAAAAAAAAAUCAAUCAAACAAAAAAAAUAAAAAAUAAAAAAUCAAGUUUAAAUUCUUGUUUCUUGGAAAAUCAAAUUUAAUUUCUUGUUUCUUGAAAAGUCAAAUCUAAUUUCUUAUUGGUGAGUCUCAGCGUCCGCUGCGCACCCUUCUACCUCAUUUCUGGACAACCACAUUUAAUUCACUGACUUCUACCACCGUUAGCAUCGAGUCUAUCUCACUAACGUGUGCGUUUUUAUUCAACUACCGUUAGCAUCGAGUCUAUCUCACUAACGUGUGCAUUUUUAUUCAACCACUGUUAGAAUCGAGUCUAUCUCACUAUCGUGUGCGUUUUUAUUCUACCACCGUUAGCAUCGAGUCUAUCUCACUAACGUGUGUGUUUUUAUUCUACCAUCGUUAGCAUCGAGUCUAUCUCAUUAACGUGUGCGUUUUUAUUCAACCACCGUUAGUAUCGAGUCUAUCUCACUAACGUGUGCGUUUUUAUUCUACCACCGUUAGCAUCGAGUCUAUCUCACUAACAUGUGUGUUUUUAUUCUACCAUCGUUUGCAUCGAGUUUAUCUCACUAACGUGUGUGUUUUUAUUCAAAUACCGUUAGCAUCGAGUCUAUCUCACUAACGUGUGCGUUUUUAUUCUACCAUUGCUAGCAUCGAGUCUAUCUCAUUAACGUGUGCAUUUUUAUUCAACCACCGUUAGCAUCGAGUCUAUCUCACUAACGUGUGCAUUUUUAUUCUACCACCGUUAGUAUCGAGUCUAUCUCACUAACGUGUGUGUGUUUUUAUUCUAUCUUCGUUAGCAUUGGAUUCAUCCCACUAACGUUAUUCUAUCUCCGUUAGCAUUGGGUUCAUCCCACUAACGUGCCUUUCUAUUUUCGAUUUUUUCGGCAGGCUCGAGUGUUAUCAUACUGACCGACUAUCACGGCAGGUUUGGGUUUAUCCCACUAACCGAUUCUCAAGGCAGGCUCGGGUGUUAUUCCACUGACCGAUUAUCAAGAUUAUUAAGGCAGGUUCGGGUUUAAUCCCACUGACUGAUUAUCAAGGCAGACUCGGGUUUAAUCUCACUGAUCGAUUGUCAAGGCAUUUCAUUCAUCACUGCCACUAAACAUGGGUUAGUCCCACUAGUGAGCACUUCAUUCAUCAUUGCCAUUAAACACGGGUUAAUCCCACUAAUGUACAUUACAUCUUAUCGUUAGACAUGGGUCAGUCCCACUAACACUUCAUUUCACUUCACUUCACUUCAUCCCGUUGGGUUUGGAUUUUGUGCCACCAACCUCGGCAGGCUUGGGUUGUAUCCCACUGACCGAUGUCAUAGCAGCUUCGGGUCAGUCCCGUUUUAAAUUUCUUGUUCGGGUCAGUCACGUUUUAAAUUCCUCAUUCAGGUCAGUCCCGUUUUAAAUUUCUUGUUCAGGUCAGUCUCGUUUUAAAUUUCUUGUUCGGGUCAGUCCCGUUUUAAAUUUCUCGUUCGGGUCAGCUCCAUUUUAAAUUCCUUGUUCGGGUUAGUUCCGUUUUAAUUUUCUUGUUCGGGUCAGUCCCGUUUUAAAUUUCUCGUUCGGGUCAGUCUCGUUUUAAAUUAUUUGUUUGGGUCAGUCCCAUUUUAAAUUUCUUGUUCGGGUCAGUCCCGUUUUAAAUUCUUUGUCUGGGUCAGUCCCAUUUUCUAAUUUUUUGUUAAAGGGGUCAGUCCUCAUUUUGAAAGCGUCAGUCAUUCGAGUAGUUUGCAGCAGAAUAACCACAGGUGAGUAUUUGGUGUCUACGUCUUUGUCUCAAAUUUCUUCGAAACUCAGACAAAGAGGGGUAAACUGUAGACACCAAAUUUUUAGCCUUUCUUUUUCUUUUUAUUUUAUUUAUUUAAUUAGUUGAUUUUGUUUUAAUUUUUGCUAAGAAAAUUGUUUUACUAUUAUUAAUUAAUUCAUUGAAAAAAAAGAAAAAGAAAAACUGUUCCAUGCGCUCGUGCUUGGCACGUGCGCCAUUUUCUUUUCUUUCAUGCAAAAAAUGCAAGCGAAAGGCGAAAACAGGGACAUAAAUUUGCAACGGCAUUUUUUUAAUCCCAGCCUCAUCUCAAAAAUGCCAUCCAAUGGCUUAAGUUUUCGGUAGAAACCCACCCUUCAUCCUCACCUUUGAGGUGAGGGUUUUAGGGACCUGGGGUUUCCUAUAAAAGAAAAAAGAGCAGCGGGGACAAAGGGUAAGAGGAGUCGGCGGCUGGGGCUGAGUAGAAACAACGGAGGAAAAAAGCAAAAAAGGGGGGUUUUUGGGGAGAGUAGUUGACAGCUGAAGGAAAGAGUGAAGGGAGAGUUUGAGGGUUAGAGAGAGUUUUGGAGAGGGUGACGGCCGAAAGAAAGAAACCAAGCGAGAGGAAACCAAGGAAAGGAGAAGCGACUUCAUCAACGUAAAGGGCAUUUCGUGGGUCUUCGUUUCCAGAAACAACGUGUUUGUCCUGAGACUAGGAGAGAAACGAAUCAAGAGUCUGAGGAAGACACAAGGGAGGAUCGGGGAACAAGCAAAGGAAAUCUGCAAAAUCUUGAAGAAGGCUUCGAAGCUGAGAGCGAGGGAAAGAGGACUGCUCGACGAGGAGGCAACUUUUGCAGCAAAAGUUCCCGAUCGCGUUCCUGGGAACCCGUACGCGUUUCCGGGCAGAUCUCAAUGCCGCUCAACCGUGCUAGCAUUCUCAGGUAAAAAUACCUCUUAUUUGGUGGAUUUUAACAUGUUUUUAUGAAAGAUAAAGCCAUCGGAUGUGAAUCUUUUUGUUUGCUACUGGGUCAAGCUCUCGCUGGUUCUAUGAUUCUGCCAUUUUGCUCGUUUGCUAAGAUCUGAUUCAGUAGGAACCUAUGAGAUGAGUUUGAUUAAGAACAUGGGGUUUAGGGUUUUCUAUAGUGGUCACCUGAUGAAUCCAUGAGUUCUUUGCUCGAUGUUUAUGGUCAGUCUUUGUGUGAGUAUUGGAGCAGGGACUGAAACCCGAAUUGCCAUCUCAACCUGAAUUGAACCCGAAGAACGUAAGCGCGAUGAGUACUGGAGCAGGGACUCUAGGUGUGUAAUGAGUUACUUGAUUCAUCCUAUUCCCGAAGUGUUUGCUUGACCCGAUAUACCAGAAUGGGAUUGCUUAUUCGCAAGAAACUAUUGAUUUGUAAACAGGGCAAGUAGGGUCGCAUCCUCAGGGACUGGAAAAAAUUCGUUUCUUUUCAAAUCCACAAUAACAAGGGGAUGUUUUUGGUAUAAACGAUGACAAUCAAAGGAGUUUAAAUAAAGAUAAAUAGCUAACUAGGAAUUAAAUGACAAUUUACUAAAAUCAGAGUAAUAAUAAUUAAAGGUCUAGCCAAGAAAUAACUUCAGCAAUGGUUCACCUAAUUGAUCAUCGAUGCAAAUGCAAUUCCAGUUAUUUACUAAUAAAUAGGUUAUAACUGUCAAACAAGCAAUGACAGUCAACCCCUUCUUACUGUGUCGGUGACUAAGGUACGCCCGUUAAUCACUACUCUAAUUGAGAAAUAAUCCUAAGUACGCCCGUAAGAUUUAAUUUUCCAAUUGCCUUACGUAUUAAAGAAGCCCUAUUCUAACCAAAUAACACACUACCAGGGUUAUUUUAGAUUAGCCUGCGCAUUCCCCUGACACAAACCCAAUCAUGCCAGUUGUCACUAUUUUAGGGCAAUUAAACAAUUACGAUUUAAUGCUCUAAUUGACAAUAGGUUACUAAACUAAUUCAUUAUCUGGAUCCAAGACAAUCAAUUAAUUAAAUAACCAUAAGUACUACAAUCAGGGAAUAUGCAAAUACCAAUAAAUAAGAGGAAAAGAUAAAUUUAAAUCGAUCUCACAAUUUUUAGAUGAACCAAAACCUCCGUUGUUUCUUGACCAGAAAAGGGAAUUUAAUUCAUCCCGGAUAGGAAAGACCCACACAAAGUUGCAGCAAUAGUUGCGGCCAUUGUCUCCAAGAAUUGGGAAAAUUCAAUUCGUUCGAAUCAAUAAGAAAAGCAAGCUACAGAAAAUAAUUACUGGUCUUCACUUUGUCUUGACAUACGAAGAAGGAAAACUACUAAGAGCCCACAAGAAGAAAAGUCAAAAGCUAAAACUAAAAAGUAGUGCCCUCUUGUUUCUCUCUAUUCCUAUCUAAUGCCCCCUGCUUUGCAGCUGCCCCGCGGCAGAAAAAGAGAGAGUCCAGCCUUGUUCCGUCUCUUCCUUCUUCGGUAAGUACCAAAAGGGGAAAAGUUCCCCUUUUCCAAAAAUGCCACUGGGAUGAGGGCUGCUACUUGAACUCCUUUCCUAAUGACUAUCAAAUUGGCACUUGUUGUGGUAUUUUUGUUCUACUCCCUGUAAUAAAUGUAAAUUUUCAAAAGUGAGUAGAAUCUAACAAUUAAUCCACAUCAGGUCAAGUAAUAAGAGAAAUUAAUAAUAAAAGAAAUGAUAAAAUUGCGACCUAUCAAAAUGGGAUGGAUGUUUAGAUAGGAAUUCUGUAGAGGGCUGGUAGCAGCCAUCCAAAGAGAACAAGUCCAUUUGUGGACAAAAUAAAGUGAAUGGAGAAUAUAUAUAUAUAUAUAUACGCUACAUGAAUAUUCAACAUAUACAAAAAUGUGAUCAAGAAAAAUGAGGAAUCUGACAGCCUAAUGCUUACUUGCUGCUUUUUAUGGUUUAACUUUAAAGAGACUUUGGUGUCUUGGUAGUUCGUAAUUUGAUUCGAGGUUGAUAAAAAGAAAUUUUUCAGAAAACGUGAAAUAGGGUAAGUAUCCUAGUUUAUUUUAGGUAUUGAAAGUUAAUAAAAAUGGAAAUUAUGGCAGUAAUCCUCUUCAUUUUUCCCCACCAACCAAAGCAACGAUUUUUAAGAAUACAAACAAGAUUUUAAAAAAUAGUUGUGGAGAAAACUUUUAACAAGUUUAAAAUGCAAAGUGUCCAUCAUAAUGUAGAAGAGCACAAUAAUUAGAACUCCCACGUUGGCUAAGCAAAAAUAUAUGUUUGCUCUAAUAACAUAUUACAUAUUAAAUUAUUUUACUAUGAGGUAGGGUACAUUUUUUUUAUAGUUUAGCAAACUAGAACAAAAUUAUAAUAAUUUUAAAUUAAUAUAGUUGCGUGGUGAAAUAUCAUCUGCGGCAAUAUAUAUAUAUAUAUAUACACACACACAUGCGCACGCACACUACUUAUUCAGUUGAAAAAAAUACAAGAAUUUGACAAUAUUGGUUAAUCAAAGAGCACCUUUAGUGACAUGAGAAUGAAAAUUGCUCCUAGAAUAUCUUCCUGAACUUUGUCAUUGAACGAUUGCUCAAAGAGUCUGUAAGAAAUUUAAUUCAUUCUAAUUUUGUCAGUAUUUAAGAAAGUAAGGAUGAUUGAAUUUGACUGCCAUUGUUUUCGAAAGAAUGACUCCACUCAUUAAAGAAUCAAGCCAAAAUUGAGACAAGUAUGAACAAACAAGCAAUUAGUAAUUUAUAUUGUGGUAAUACAAGUUUAUACAAAAAAAAAAGUAGGCACAGUGUAUUUUUUCUGCACCUGUUGUCUAAUAAUAUUAUCACCUUCCAAACUUUGUGGGUUUGUAAAAUGCAUCAAUUAUGGAUCUUGGAGUAAAGAUAUUAAGUAUUAACUAAAUUAACUAAUUAUUGAACUUAUACUCAUGGAAUAAUAAUUUUUUUUUGUAAUGUGCUAAUCUCUAGAAUAUUUGACUUUUAAUAUCCAGGUCUCCCAAUGGUGUGGAAAUUAAGUUGUUCUUCAACAUGCAGCUUCGUGGGACUUCAAGCAUGCCAAGAGUUUCUGGGAAAGAAUAGGUCAAGAUAAGUGACUUGGAGGAAUCUUCAAAAUCAAUACACUUUGUUGAAAUUGAAACUCUUGGAAGUAGCUUGACUGCAUUCAUACCAAAAAGUAAUUUAACAUAAUACUUAUGGACUUUCUCCAUCUCUUUUGUCAUUUCUUUUUCGAAAUUUAUUGUUUAUAGGAAAAAGAAAAAGUCGAUUCAAGAUAUGAAUCUAUGAACAGUUCAACAAUCUAGAUAAUAUUACUCAUUAACGAGAGAGGUUAAUCUAAAAGGACUGAGAUUCGUAGACCAACUGGUCACUACUCAUUACUCAUUAAUAUUCUAAUGUUUGCUUGCUUCUUUUUCAUGGUUUAACUUUAAAGUGAUUUUGGUGUCUUGCUAGUUUGUAAUUUGAUUCAGUCCGGUUGAUAGAAAGAAAUUGCUCAGAAAAUGUGAAAUAGGUUAAAAUAUCCCAGUUUGGUUUGGAUAUUGAAAGUUAUAAAAAUGGAAAUUAUGGCGGUGAUCCUCUUCAUUUUUCCCCACCAAUCAAAGCAGUGAAUUUUUUAAGAAUACAGACAAGAUUUGAAAAAAUAGUUAUCUAUAAUAAUGUAGAAGGGCACAAUAAUUAGAACUCCUAUAUAUGUUGGCUAAGCAAAAAUAUAUUUUUGUUAUCAUAAGAUCUUACAUACGAAACGAUUGUACUAUCAGGCAGGGUAGAUUUUCUUUAUAGUUAGCAAACUGGAACAAAAUUAUAAUAAUCUUAUUUUAAUAAAAUUGCCAAAUGAAAUAUCAUUUGCAAUGACAAUGUAUAUAUUACUAGUUUAAUUGACAAAAUAUAAGGAUUUGACAAUGCUAAUUUGAUUAAUCAAAGAGCACUUUUAGAAGAUAUUACGUUUACACGUAAAACUUAAAAGCCAAUUUAUUUAUUUUUUUUUGCUUUUCUAAAUUUAAAUUCUUUUUGCACGUGCUUCCACUAUUAUCUUGCUCUACAUUUGAGAAGAACUUCUUACAACUUUCUUCAAAUAAAUACCUUUUCCAUACAAAUCCCGCGCCUUUAUAUAAACAAUUACGCUGGUUACAAAGUUUAUCAAGCAAUAAUGAAGAGGCCGAUAACAUUUUAUAGUACCUUACUUUUCUUCUUUCUUUUACAUCCUGAAGAAGUGAUCACUUUCACUUUCUUGGAAGAUCAUUUGUGCCAUCAUGAUGAGGCUCUUGCACUGCUUCAGUUUAAGGAAAUGCAUAGCACAUCAACUGAUGCUUCUCAUGAUUGCAAUUAUUUUGGUCAGUACUCAUAUCCAAAGACAACACAUUGGAAACCAGAUACAGAUUGUUGCAAUUGGGAUGGUGUCACAUGCGACAACAUCACCGGUCGUGUAAUUGGGCUAGAUCUGAGUUGUGGCCAGCUUCAGGGAGUCAUCCAUCCAUACGCUACCCUUUUCAAUCUUUUCCAUCUCCACAGUCCCAACCUUACUUUUAAUGAUUUCACCGGCUCACGGAUUUCAUAGUGAUUUGACUCGCUAAAAAGUUUGAUCCACCUCAAUCUCUCAAAUUCAAAUUUCCAAGGUGAGGUUGCUUCAGAAAAUAUCACACCUGUUCAACCUAAUUUCACUUGAUCUCUCUUUCAAUCUCUUGUGUAAUUCUAUGGGUUGCUCAUAUCCAAGAUAUGAAUUUAGUAAUUUUGAAGCGAUGCUUCAAAACAUAACCCAUUUAAGAGAGCUAUCACUUUCGUCAGUGAACAUCUCAUCCGAGUUAAGGGUGAAUUUUUCUUCAUCUUUGACAUAUCUAGAUCUCUCAUAUACUGGAAUAACAGGUAAUCUACUAGGCAAUGUUUUUCAUCUACCGAACAUGCAAGUUCUCUCGUUAGAUAGCAAUGAGAAUCUUACUGUUAGUUUAUCAAACUUGAACUGCAGCAUUUCUGAUUCUCUGAGGCAGUUGGACCUAUCGGCGACAAGUCUCUCUGCUGCACUGUCAGAUUCAAUUGGGUGCAUAAGGUCCUUAAAUUCUUUGGAUCUAGGAACUUGUCAAAUUUCUGGUGUCAUUCCUGAAUCAAUUGUCUUCGGAAGAUAACUAUCUUCUAGGGAAAAUUCUAGCUAAAUUUUCCUGUUCACAAAAGCUAAGUAGACUAUCACUUGGUCUUUUUAGAUCUCUCUAGUAAUCAACUAAGCGGUUCACUUCCUCCAACAAUUUUUACUAUUCUGACUCUAUCUUAUCUUGACCUUUCUUCAAACCAUUUUGCUGGGGUUGGGCAAGACGUAUUUGUGGACUUCAAUAAGCUUCAAAAGAACCCUCUUGAGAAUGAAGCCCCACGGAACACUAAAAACAAUGUGAGCAUUUCCUAUCCAGAUUUCUGGCACUUGGGAUUGUCUUCUUGCCAGAUAAAGGAAUUUCCUGAGUCGCAUAGAAAUUCAAAGAGCUUAAAAUUUCUGGACCUCUCAAAUAACAGGAUUCACGGCGAAAUUCCAAGCUGGUUCAUGUUGAAGAAAAGGGUUCAGAUUGGGAAAAACUUCAAGCGUAUAUUACUGAUUGCAAUAGUCUGCUGAUAUAGUUACAAGAAUUUGACAAAAAAGGGAAGAUACAAUUAUUCCUAAAAUCAUGUAAUGGAAAGCUAAAACUACUCCUACAAUCACGUCAUGACAAAAACUUAUAUGGUAACAAUAUAUACAGCUAUAUGAUUGAAUAUCUCAACACUCCCCCUCAAGUUGGAACAUGGAGAUUGCGAAUGCCCAACUUGCUCAACAAAUGGUGGAACUGAGCUUUCCCAAGUGCUUUGGUGAACAAGUCGCCAAUUUGAUCACAUGAGCGAACGUGAGCAGUCUGCAACUCGUUACUUAGUAUGCGAUCACGAAUGAAAUGGCAAUCAAUUUCAAUGUGCUUUGUACGUUCAUGAAAAACUGGAUUUGCAGCAAUGUGUAGAGCAGCUUGGUUGUCACAAAAGAGAGACAUGGGUGAUGCUAAUGAAACUUUCAAAUCUGCAAACAAAGAACGCAGCCAGAGGAGUUCACUAGUAGCAUUGGCCAUUGCCCUAUACUCUGCUUCAGCGGAUGAGCGGGAAACUGUAGUUUGCUUUUUGGACUUCCAAGAAACCGGGCUAUUACCGAGGAAAACGAUAUAACCACUAGUCGAUCGUCGAGAUGUUGGGCAGCUGGCCCAAUCUGAGUCACAAUAAGCAAUGAGUUGCAGCAAACUAGCAGAUGACAAGAAUAUACCUUGGCCUGGUGCCCUUUUGAGGUAGUGAAGGACUCGAUAAGCUGCAUCCAAGUGAGGAACACGUGGAUCUUGCAUAAAUUGAUUGAGAACUUGUACUGGAUAGCUAAUGUCAGGUCGAGUUAUCGUCAAAUAAAGUAGCCUUCCAAUGAGACGACGAUAUUGACCAGCAUCUUUAACUACUGCACCAACUCCCGCUGCCAAGUUGUGUCGUUGUUCCAUAGGAAAGUCAGCAGGACUUGCGUCGAGAUGACAAGUCUCUUCAAGGAGGUCUAGAGUGUAUUUUCGCUGGCUAAGUACAAUUCCUUCCUUAUUACGAGCCACCUCAAUACCAAGAAAAUAUUUGAGUUGCCCAAGAUCUUUGAUGCGAAAAGCUGAAUCAAGAUGAUGCUUCAUAUGAUUGAUGGUGGUUGAAUCAUUUCCAGCCACAAUAACAUCAUCUACAUACACUAACAAAGCAGUAAAGUGUGCUCCACUGGUGAAUGUAAAAUGUGAAUUAUCUGUAGCAGAUUGACUAAAACCAAUACUCUACAAGCAACUAGAAAAUGUUUGAAACCAAUUUCUAGAGGCUUGUUUAAGGCCAUAAAGGGACUUUCGAAGUCGACAAACCCGAUUGUCACCUGGUUUUGCAAAGCCUUGUGGUAUUUUCAUGUAUACCUCUUCACGUAGAUCUCCAUGCAGGAAGGCAUUAUUAAUGUCCAGCUGAUGUAAUUCCCAAUGUCGUACUGCAGCCACAACUAAUAGACAACGUAGAGUUGUAAGCUUUGCAACUGGAGCAAAAGUAUCAUGGUAAUCGAGUCCUUCAACCUGUGUAAAACCUUUAGCAACCAAACGUGCCUUAAACCGCUCAAUUGUGCCAUCAGACUUGUACUUGAUUUUGUACACCCACUUGGAAUCAAUGGCAUGCUUACCAGGUGGUAGAUGCUCUAAUGUCUAAGUUUGAUUCUCCUCCAGUGCCUUAAUUUCUUGCUGCAUAGCAAGUCUCCAACGAUGAUCCCUAACUGCUUGGGAAAAAAACUUUGGUUCGUCUAAUGAAGUGAUGGAGGCCAAAAAAGCUUUAUGGGCAUCAGUGAAAUGAGAAUAGGACAAGUUAUGAGAGAUAGGAUAAAUUGUACCUGAGUUUGCUGAUGGAGGGGACUCCCGAGAUGGUUCCAAGGAGGGUAACAACUUAUAAUCAAAACCAGAAAGCUUUGUGGAUACAUGCCUUACUCGAUGUGGACGCUGCAAGGAAGGAAUUAUAUUUCCACUAGGGCUGCCAGUAUCUGGUUGUAGUGUAGAAUUAUCUUUUUCAUGUUGGGUUUGUUGGGAAAAUGUAUGUUCAAUAGGAGAUGGUGUGGUGUCCAUCGAAGUGGAGUUUAUAGGAGGUGGAAUUGGGUCAGAUUGUGAGUAAUCAUGCUGAUCUAUAUGGGGUUGCACACUCCACAUUGAAGGUUUAGACUCGUUAUUUCAUUGAAAAGGAAAUUCUGUCUCAUAAAAUAUCACAUCCCGUGAUACAAAUACUUUUUCUCUUUCCAAAUCAUAGACUUUAUAGCCCUUUUGUCCAUGGGGAUAACCAAGAAAAAUACACCGAUAGGCUCUAGUAGAGAAUUUAUCUCGGUGUUUGUCAUGAUUAUGAGCAUAACAAAGUGAUCCAAACACCUUCAAAUGAUUGUAGUUGGGUUUACUUUUGAAAAGUACCUCAUAUGGGCUCUUGCCUUUGAGAGUGGGAGUGGGCAUCAAAUUGAUAAGAUGAACUGCUGUCAAAACACAUUCUCCCCAAAAUUUCAAAGGUAAAUGGGCUUGAAAACGCAAUGCUCGCGCAACCUCAAGAAUGUGGCGAUGUUUGCUCUCCACUCGCCCAUUUUGUUGUGGAGUAUCAACACAAGAGGUUUGAUAGUCAAUCCCUUGACUAGCAAAAAAAUCUCUCAUGGUCCUGAGACAAAUUCACUCCCAUUAUCACUUCUCACAACCUGUACUGGGUAACCAAAUUGAGUUUGUGUAGAUUGGCAGAACAUGGUUAGAAAAUCAUAGGCCUACAAUUUAUUUUUCAAAAGAAAGACCCAAGUACAUCGUGAAAAAUCAUCAAAAAUAGUUAAGAAAUAAUGAGCACCACUAAGUGAUAAGACAGAAUAUGCUCCCCAAAGAUCAACAUGAAUCAAAGCAAAAGGUUUAACACUUUUCUUAUUGCUGUUUGGAAAAGACAAUCUUGUUUGUUUGGCCCUAUGGCAUACAUCACAAAUGUGAUUAAAAUUGCUAGGAAAAGGAAUACUAGAAAUUAAUUUUAAUCGGCUAAAGGAAGGAUGACCCAAGCGCAUGUGCCACAAGGUAGCAUCAGAUUCAGUAACACUAAGACUUGCGAGCCCGUGGCCUCCUUCUAAUUGAUAAACCCCAUCUCGGAGCCUACCCACUCCAAUCAGCAUCCUCGUACACAGGUCCUGAAAAAAAACAAGAAUCAGGAAGAAAGGUUGCUGAGCAGUUUAAUUCCUUUGUAGCUUUGGCAAUAGAGAGGAGAUUGAACUUGAAACCAGGCACACAAAUAACAUUUUUCAAAUUGAUAUUUGGUGUUAGGUAGGCAUUACCAACGUGAGUUACAGGGAGACUAGAGCCAUUUGCGAUUCUCACAUUUGGAUAUGAAGAGAUGCAUUUAACAUUGUCAAGUAUACUUUUGUCUCCAACCAUAUGGUUAGAGGCACCAGUAUCCAAAAUCCAUGAGUUAUGGAAUGAAUUGCAUUUACCUGCAAAGUUGGCCAAGGCCUCAUUAUCAUGAUUUGGUGGUCCAAGGAUUUGCAUGAGUUUGUUGUACUGGUCCAUUGUCAAUCCAAGAGGUUGUUGUGACUGUGACUUCUCACUUGGGUUGAUAAAUUGGUGGUCAGUUGCUGCUAUGUUGCCAUAGAUUUGCAUCUGCCCUGAAUUGUUCUUGCCUCCACCACAAUUGCCACCUUUGCUUUGUUGAUUAUUCUUCCAAUUUGCUGGAUACCCUAUUAUCUCAAAGCAUUCUUCCUUGAGAUGUCCCAUUUUCUUGCAAUGUUCACACCUUUUACUUGAUCGACUUCUUGGGGCUUGACUCCUGGUAUUUUCGUUGCCCCUACGAUCAGUUUUUGCUGCAAAAGCCGCUCCUUCCAGGCUGUGUGAUGUUUGUUCAUUUACUUGUACAAAGGAUUGCUCUUCUUGUAAAGCCAAGGAAAACAGUUUACUGAGUGAAGGUGUAGGUUCCAUGGACAGCACAUUAGAUCUCAACCGAUCGAAAUUUCCAUUCAAUCCCAGUAGAAAUUGAAGGGCUUUUUCUUUUUCUCGGCGUAAUAAGUGAUCCUUGGCUGCCUCGCAUUUGCAAUAAGGCAAUGGAUCAUAGAUUUACAGUUCUUGCCAUAAGGUUUUGAACUUGGUAUAAUAUUGAGUUAAAGGCUGCCCAUCUCCUUGUAACAUGUUGGAAAAUUAUUUUUUUAUUUUAUAAAGUCGAGGUGCAUUACUUUGUCCAUACCUUUCACAAAUCUCAGUCCAAAUUUCUUGUGCCGUGCCGGUGUAGACAACGCUCUCUUGUAUGUCCUUGGCCAAGGAAUUCCUCAGCCAUGCUCUAACCAUUGCAUCAUUCUUCUUCCACCGUUGAAAGUCUGGUGACUUUAGAUCUGGCACUUCUAGACUGCCAUCAAUGAAACCACCCUUGCCUUUGGCAUAUAGGGCUGUUUCCAUGGUGCUUUUCCAUGCUGCAAAAUUUUCUCCUGCGAAUGGUGUGGAGACAAAUUGCAGCCCUGGAUGAUCUGAAGGUACAACACAUAGGGGGAGUCAUCAUAGAUUGUAACCUCUCCCCCUUUCGUUGAAUUCUCUGGAGUUGACAUAUUUUAUUGUCAACAAUUGUUAAGGCUCAACCUGCUCUGAUGCCAUGAAGAAAAGGGUUCAGAUUGGGAAAAACUUCAAGCGUAUAUUACUGAUUGCAAUAGUCUGCUGAUAUAGUUGCAAGAAUUUGACAAAAAAUGGAAGAUACAAUUAUUCCUAAAAUCAUGUAAUGGAAAGCUAAAACUACUCCUACAAUCACGUCAUGAUAGAAACAUAUAUGGUAACAAUAUAUACAGCUAUAUGAUUGAAUAUCUCAACACAUGUCCAAGACUUGGGAUAAUUUGCCCUACUUGAAUCUUUCGCAUAACUUUUUGACUGGUACCAUAGACCAACUACGGUGCAAACAUCUGUUGCAUCUAGAUAUGAGUUUCAACUCACUUCAGGGUCAAAUGCCUUCUUCUAUCUGUAACUCAACUUCUCUUUUCAUUCUUGAUUUGUCAUAUAACAAUUUGGUUUCCCGAAUCCCUCAAUGCUUGGGAAACUUCAGCCAGAAGCUCUCCGUUUUGGAUUUGGGAAAUAAUGGACUUUUUGGCACCAUUCCCACAACUUUUUCACAAGGUAACUCUCUGAAUAUUCUUAUGCUGAAUGACAAUCAACAAGAUUGAUGAUAGAUUUCCAAUUUGGUUGGAAUCUCUACCUAAUCUACAGGUUUUCAUAAUCGAUUUCACGGAGGAAUUGGUAAUUUUCAAACUGAAAGCCCAUUUCCGCAGCUGAGAAUCAUCGAUGCAUCCUGCAAUGAGCUCACUGGUGUUCUACCUACAGAACUCUUCAAAAGCUUAGAAGCUAUGAGAAGCUUAAAGGAUCACCCUGGGCAAUAUAGGUCAGAAACUGGCUAUGAGCUUGAUUAUUACAUCCAUUCCUUGACUUUAGUAAUCAAAGGGACGGAGUAUAGUCUUGAAAGAGUCCUGAUAGAUCGAACAGCCAUUGAUUUCUCAAGCAACAGAUUUGAAGGACAAAUUCCAGAAAUUAUCGGAACCCUUCAUUCUCUUCUUAUACUCAAUUUCUCUCAUAACAAUCUCAGUGGUCAUACUCCCCGGGCAUUAGGGAAUUUGAAUAAGCUUGAAUGUCUAGACCUCUCUUGGAACCAGCUUGAGGGAACUAUUCCUGUGGAGCUUCUGAAUCUGACAUUCCUUGAAUUCUUACACCUUUCAGAAAAUCAUCUGAUUGGACCCAUUCCUCGAGGAAGACAUUUUGAUACAUUUGGGAAUGAUUCAUGCAGAGGGAACUCGGCCUUGUGUGGAUCACCAUUGACUAAAGAUUGUGGAAAUACAGGGGCACCACCACCAGCCUCGCCAUUCGGAUCUGAGCAACAAUAUGAUCCAGAGUUCUUUGAUGGAUUCACCUGGAGAGCUGUUGUUCUGGGAUAUGGUUGCGGAUUAGUGCUCGGACUAACCAUGGGAAGUCUCGUGUUCUUAACUGAAAAACGAAGAUGGUUCAUAUAGAUUGUUGAAGAGUCGUACAAUCUGUGAAAAAGAUCGAGGAAAUAUGUCCACAUACGAACUUGAGAACAGCAAUGCAAUUUACAAAAUUGGUGGGCAAAACAUACUCUCUUCUGCAGCUGUUGUCUAAUAAUUUUACUUCCUCUGCAUAAUUUCCAUUUUCAUAAUCAAAUAUCCUUGGAAAUGAUAACUUUUUUCUAUGGCUAAUCACCAGAAAAUUUGACUUUUUAUGUCCAGGCCUCCCAUUGGAGUCGUAACUAGGAAGGAUCAGCAGUAAAACUGGCUUUGUUUCAGUUCCAGUUGUAUGUAUCUGCUAUGCACGUUUUAAGGUUCUAAUAGUUGCUUCUUUUUAUGAUUGUCAAGUUCCAGGUGCAAAGAGAUUCUGAUUCCUUGCAACUUUAUCUUUUGCUUCAUGGUUAAAAAUGAAAUCAAGAACAUGUUCAGAAAAUAUGAAAAAAGGGUAUAUCCCAGUUUGGUUUGCACAUUGAAAGUUGUUCGAUGAAAAUUAUGACAAUAAUUCUCUUCAUUAUUCCCCACCUGCCAAAGAAGUUAUCUUUGAGACUACAAACUAGGCUAGUGUGCUUUAAAAUGCUUUACAUUGACUAAUCAACAACGAAGAUGUUCUUCAACUUGCACCUUUGUGGGACUUGAUUUGGAACAGCUUUGCACCAUUCGAACUUCAAUCGUUUACUGCCACAGCUGGUAUGUGUGAACAGAGAGAGACUAAUCCAAGCCACUUUUCUUGACUUUGUGGAAAAGAACAAGUCAUCCUCAGUCUUUUGCAAUAAAUUAUAGAUAAGUGAAGCCUAGUCUUCAUCCAAAAUUGUCAAAAGUGAAAUUCAUGGAUGCAACUUGAACAUAACUUAUUCUUCACUGGACCUGAAAAUUAGAGCACCAGCGACCAGCUUAAUCUUAAUUGGCUUUGGAGCUUCCACGCCAAAUGGUACGACAAUUUUGAGAAAAGGGAAGGGAGAGUUAUAGAUUUCAAGAGAAUGAUCUUUUUUCACACUACCAAAUUAGGGUCUACUAACAAAAUUUAUAGUGAAGUUCUUCAAAUCAAAUGAUCAAUCCACGAGACAAAAUCUAAUAGCAUGAACUAACUCGAAAAUAAGGUUGAGAUCUCUAUUUUAAAUACAAAAGACAAUUCACAUAUCCGAGAUAAUGAGUCAAGGAUAACCAUAUAAUAAAGCACAUACAACCACAAACUUCAAACAGCAACAAGUAACCAUGAAAUGCUUCAUGAUCCAAUUAACACAAGAAAAGCAAGAUAGUUAAGUAAUCUUAACAGAAUGCUUAUUGACUUUCUACAUCUCUUUAAUCAUUUCUUUUUCCAAUUUUUUUUUUUGUUUUACAACAAAACAAAAGUGAAUUCCAGAUAUGACCCCAUUACAGGUUCAAAAGUACAGAUAAUACUCAUGAACGAAAAGGAAUGAGAUGGGUAGGCCACUUUGGCCCCAUAGCUGUGACAAUUAGUGGACUCGUUGAUCCAAAGGCAUUUAUGGUGGAAAUGAAUUUAGAACGUAAAUGUAGUUUCUUGGCAUUACAAGUCUUUACAAGCCUAAUGAAGAUAGCAAAUAAUUCAUAUGGAUGCUACGACUUUUCAGAGGAGCUAAGGCCCAUUCUAAUUAGCCAUUACUCAUGAAAGGGAUAGUUAGAUAGGAAUUUAGUAACAUAGUGAUAGAAGCCAUCCAAAGAGAACCGGUCCAUUUGUGCACAAAGCAAAGUGAGUUUAGGAUAUAUAUGCUACACCAACAAUCUGCACAUACAAAAUUUGAUCAAGCAAAAUGAGGAAUCUAAUAGUUUAUACACUAGUGCUCCUUUCUUUGCAAUCUCGAGAAAUUACCAGUUUGUCUUCCUUUUUACCUCAUUUGUGUCACCAUGAUGAGAGUCUUGCUCUACUUCAGCUUAAGCAAAUGUUUCAAAAAUCAACAGAUGCUUCUGCCUACUGUGAAAAUGCAUAUCCAAAGAUGAUAUCAUGGAGCAAAACUUCUGAUUGCUGCACCUGGGAUGGGGUAACAUGCCAUAGAGUUACAGGUCAUGUAAUUGGCAUAGACCUUAGUUGCUGCCAACUUCAAGGAUCCAUCUAUGCUAAUAGUAGCCUGUUCAAUCUUUCUCGCCUCCAAAAGCUUAAUCUAGCUUACAAUGACUUCAAGAAUUCACCAAUUUCUCAUGGCAUUGGUGGCUUGACUAGUUUAACAAACCUCAAUCUCUCCAAUUCCAAUUUCUACGCUCAAAUUCCAUCCCAAAUAUCUUUACUGUCAAAUUUAGUUUCACUCGAUCUCUCCCAAAAUCCUAUUGAGUUUGAACAUCAGGAUUUCCAACUGCUUCUUCAAAACUUAACUCAGGUUAGAAUACUUUCUCUUUCUGACGUUAGUAUCUUCUCCGAGUUCCCUAAGAACUUUUCUUCAUCUUUGACAAUUGUGGAUCUUGGUCAAACUCAAGUUUAUGGUAAGCUACCAGACCAUAUUUUCUAUCUAGCAAAAUUGCAACAACUCAUACUAAAUGGAACUCAAGUCACUGGAAGUUUACCGAACUUGAACUGCACUGCUUCAUACAUGUUGUCGUACUUAGAUCUUGCUUACACAAAUUUUUCUGGGGAACUUCCCAACACAUUUGGCUGCUUGAAGUCCUUGAACGCCAUGUUGCUCGAUGGAUGUCAGUUCACUGGUCGCCUUCCUGAGUCAAUUGGAAACCUUUCUCAGCUCACUACGAUGUCUCUGACUCAAAACAGUUUCAGUGGGCCUCUUCCAUCGGUGAUCUCAAACCUUGUCCAACUGGAAGUUUUAGACCUUACAGGCAACCAAGUGCAAGGCCAAAUACCAGAUUGUUUCACAAAUCUCCAAAAAUUAACUCAAUUGUCAUUGCGAGACAACCAUUUGGUUGGGCCUUUCCCAUCCACCAUUGCGAACCUUACCAAUCUCCAGACGCUAGAUCUACAAUCCAAUUCGAUAACAGGUCCUCUUCCAUCAAACGUGAGUGGCCUUCAGGAAUUGUCUUUUCUAUAUCUUUAAAACAACUUGCUCCAUGGCACAGCACCGACAUGGUUAUUUAGCCUGCAGUUACUCACAACUUUGCUUCUCAAAAACAAUCUCCUAACAGGACAAAUCGAAGAGCUCAAUGGAAUGUCACUGAUGAAAAUUGAUUUGAGUAAUAACCAAUUAUAUGGUCAAAUUCCUAAAUCAAUUUCAACACUCCCAUUUUUAGAUUUCCUUGACCUCUCAUCAAAUAAUUUGAGUGGCGUGCUUGAACUAUCCAGUGAUGGUCUUGAGUACCUUGUUCUCUCUAAUAAUCGAAUAUCAUGGAGCACCAGCGGAAAUGUCAGCAACUCUUUACCAAACCUUUAUCGUUUAGAGCUAUCUUCUUGUGAGAUGAAGGCUUUCCCAGAAUUUCUCAGAAGCUCAAAGAAGUUAGAAGUUCUACAGCUCUCUGACAAUAAGAUUCAAGGUCAGAUUCCCAGCUGGGUGACAUCCAUGCCUUGGGAUUCACUUCUGUAUCUAAAUCUAUCUUAUGACCACCUUUCUGGGAUGGAUGCAUUACCUUGGAAGAAUCUAAGGGUUCUAGAUGUUCGAUUCAACCAAAUCCAAGGACAAUGGCCUUUUUUCAUUUGCAAUUUGAAAGCUCUAGCAAUUCUUGAUUUGUCAAGGAACAAAUUUACUGGUGCAAACCUCGGUGUUUUGGGAACUUUUCUAGUUUUGUGGUCCUGAAUUUGGAAGGAAAUGGCCUGCAAAGGACCAUUAAUUCAAUGGUAUUUGCAAAAGAUAUCAGAUUGAGAUAUCUUGGUCUGAAUAGAAAUUUCUUGGAAGGGCCGCUGCCAGAAACUUUGGCCAACUGCAAGUCCUUGAUGUGGGGAACAACCGUCUGAAAGAUAUAUUUCCUGCAUGGUUACAAAAUCUUACGGAGCUCCAAGUUCUUGUGUUGAGUUCUAACAGAUUCUUUGGACCCAUAAGCAUUUUCAAGGCUAAGAGUCCAUUCCAAAAGUUGCAAAUCUUCGCCCUCUCUUGCAAUGAGUUCAGUGGUGUUCUAUCUACAGAACUUUGGAAAGCUUCAGGGCUAUGAUGAGCUUACAAAGCAACAAAUCAGAAUCUAAAUACUUGCAUGCAACCGGUAAUACAACAAAUUAUCUAUACUCUGUCAGCAUGACAUCCAAAGGCCAUGAGAUUGAGUUCACCAAAAUCAUUAGAACUCUCACAACCAUUGAUCUGUCAAGCAACAUGUUUCAUGGGAGGAUCCCAGACGUCAUUGGAAAUCUCUACUCCCUCAAGUUGUUGAACUUAUCCAACAAUAACUUUUCUGGCCACAUUCCACCAGCUAUUGGGAACCUGAAAUUUCUUGAAACAUUAGACCUUUCAAGAAACCAAAUUGGAGGAGAGAUUCCAAUGCAGCUAACGAAUCUUACAUCUCUUGAAGUCCUAAACUUAUCAUGCAAUCAUCUUAUUGGGCAAUUCCUCAAGGCAAUCAAUUGCGCACACUUGGUGAAGAUUCAUACAGCGGAAACUCAGGAUUAUGUGGAUUCCCAAUAACAAAAAGCUGUGAAGAAAUGCAUGUGCCACAAGCGCCCCCAGAUGAGGCAUUGGAACAAGGCGAGGAUUCGAGUUUCAUGGGUGGAUUUACAAGGAAAUCAGUGCUCAUAGGAUAUGGUUGUGGACUUGUUCUUGGCAUAGCUUCUGGUUUUCUAAUGUUUGCUACUGGAAAACCAAGAAGAUUGGUAAGAUUCAUUGAAGAAGAAGCAUAUAGUAAUAGUGUACUCUUGUUUGGAAAGAGAAAAACUGUAUAAUCAGCUGAAAAAACCAAUAACAUGUCACGAGCGCAUGGAAGAAGAAACUAAAUAUCCAGAUAAAUGAGGUAACUAGAACAUACAUUCUGUGAUUUUAUAUUGUUUCCUUGUACAACUUUGUUAUCUAUAUCAUCAAAUGUUUACAUUCUUAAGAUAAACUGUACUUCUUACAGUUGCCCAAUUUAUAUUCAAGCACUUACUAUCUUUGUGCUUAAUAAGCUAUUAUUCAUACAGCGGGUCUGGUUUUAUAUUUGUAUAGCUGAUAUCAAAUUUUUGGAGCAUGUCUCGUUGCCCCAUUAUUCAAAAAUAACAGCUUUAAGAUCUCCAGUCUAUGAACCAAGAUAUCACUCAAGGCCAUAACCAAAAGGAUGACCUCACAGGAUCCAAAGCCAUUUCUGAUAAUUAGUGAGACUGAUAGUUUCUUGGGUUUUCACUGAAUUUCUGAUUCAAUGAAUUAGAAUAGACAGCUUUAAGGAUAUGAUACCUUUCUUUUUAUUAUUCUCAUUUAUUGAUUUGAUCAAUUCAUCUAAGCAAUCACCAUUGUUGUAGUUUAAUGUGCUUACCUUUCAUUUUUGUAGGUGGAGAAAUUUGGGAAAGAGAACUUUUCAUUCCACGUUAGAUGUCUUAAGUAUUUGUGUUAGACCUAUUAACCUUUCACGGUUCUUCAAGUGCUGUCAAUUACUAAACUCAUAGAAAUCAAAAUCCGCUUCAAAAUUUCUCAUAUUAUGUCCUUUGUUCUUUUCAUGUGUGAAUCUUAGUGUGGUUUUGUAACACUUUGUAGAAGCUCAACAAUUGAUUACUAGAUUCAGGUUUCUAAAAGAUAGUCUCCAUUAAUUAUAUGAUUUAGGAAACCCAAAUUAAUGGUGAAAAUAAUAAUUACAUUUUUCAGAAGCUCCUAAAGGUAGGAACUAAUAUUGAAAUUCACCUUUAUGAGACGGUACAGACUCUAUACAUUGGCACAUCCCAAAAUUAUUCUGAAAAUGAUCCAGCUUUGUGUCAAAGUUCAUUAAGGGUACACAAGAAUGUCCAACCACAAGCUAAAAAUUAGUUUUACUAGAACUAAUUUUUAUUAAACUUCAAAACAUAAGCUAAAUUAUUUAACAACAAAAUAGCAAUGAAUUGAGAACAUAGGAUUUGUAAUUCAACAAAAAAGAGGAAAUUAAGGAUUAUGUGGAUUUGCACAAGUACAUGUAACUUGAUGUUACUGUUGGAUCUUUUAAUUGGAAAUAAAGGAUGGCUUACCUAAUUAAAUUUACCACUACCAGGUCAACCUUCUUGCAGUUUCAGCAUUGUUUUUUCAAUAACUCAGCUUCCCCAUGGAUUUUGCUGCAUUCAAAUAAUUUUGUCCUCAGCGUCAGAGAGAAGUCAUAGACAAGUAAUUUGAUUGAUAAGAAACCAACAUGUCAGGCCAUUCAAUUAACUUCUUAAUCAUGUAACUCACCGUUGUGCACAGAAAUAUGAGACUCUAAAAGACAAACCUUGAAAUAGCAUUUCUCCAUUCACGUUUAGUUUGAUUUUAUGAUCUAAAGUAACUGCUGGUGUACUUGCAACACAAAAUGAGAAGACUAACGUGCUUUGUGCAUCAGUUGAAUGAAGCUAAAGGAAAGCACCAACAAAGUGCCCUGCGUCUGGUGAACAAAAGCCACAUAUGGCAACACGAUGAACAUCUCCAGCUCCACGACAAACCUAGUUGCAAAGUUACCCAUUAAAGAACAUAAAAACGAAAGUUGAAAACUUUCUGAUCGAACAUCUUUAAAACCAACAGAACAAUCUUCCAGAAGGAGCAAGUCAUUCUGAUUCUUGUGCAAUCUUUUAUCAAUCCCACAAGGGUGGAACAAAACCUAGAAGUGGAUUCAAUUAAUAACUCUAUGGUGACAAAUUGUCAUCAAAAGAUUUAAGCUCUGAAGGAAACAACUAUAACCAAAAUUUUAAUUGUGGUAUAUACAUCUAAAUGAAAGCAAUUUCAAAGUUUGAGGAGCCAAAAACAUCAGCAAGAAUGAUGAUUGCUACCCAUAAAAGGAAAAAGAAAAAAAAGGAUAAGAUCAGCAGCUCUACUCAGCCACCACUCAAACUGAUUGCAACAUAGCUAGAACAUGUUGACACUCUGCCUAAUCUAAUUAACGAGAAACUGGCAUGUCAUACAAAUGCACUUCUGGACACGCAAUUGCGAGAAACUGGCAUGUCAUACAAAUGCAAUUGAUAUAAAUUUCUGCUGACAUGGGAACAAAAUGUUGAUCUCAGCAUCCUGGCAGUAUACUUCAUGGAUGGAAUAGUUGGAAAAUUGUAUUCAGCAAGUCAUGGAGCCUGAUGUUUCCAAGUCACUCUCUUCACUCCCAGCAAAUUUAAUAGAUCUGCCAAAAAGAGCCAUCUUCUCUGACAAAUUACGAAGAGCAUCCUGCCUAUUAGCCAAUUCCAUAAGCACCUUAAUCCUCCUAAAUGAAACAUUACUUGGUUUUUGCCCUUUCUCCACCAUCUGCAAGAAAGACCUCUCAGCCUCAUCCAACUUCCCCAUGUCACAAAGCAAAUCAAACAAAACGUCAGAGACCAAUAUAUAAGAGCCAUACCCCAUCUCCACCAUAUCAUUCCAUAGCUCAAGUCCCAUUUCAACCUUCUCGUGCCUUCUCAACAACCUGAUCAAAAACAUACAAGAUUGAGUGUUUGGUAGACACCCUGUUUCCCUCAUUCUCAGGUACAAGUUCCAUGAACUUAUCAAAUCAUUCCACCAAUAAAAGUCCUCAACAAAAUAUUUUAAGUAGUUGCAUUUGGGCUCAACACCUUCUUUACCAUCUCAUUCAUCAAACCAUAGGCAUCCCCAAUCCUCUUUGCAAUACAGAAAUUUCUAAUAGCAGCAUUGUAAGCUGCCACAUCAGGAUAGCAUCCAUACUCUCUCAUCUCUUCCAAAACAUCCCUUGCCUUAUCAGGUUGCCCCACAAGCCCCAAACCACCAAUCAAACUCGUAUAUGUAAUCACAUCUGGACUAAUAUCCCUCUCCCUCAUCUCCUCCACCACCCUAUACGCCUUAUCCAUUUCUCUCGUCUUACAAUACACAUCCACCAAACACUAUCAGGUUCAACCCCCAUUUCCCUCGUCUCCUCAAAAAAGCCCUCGGCCUCAUCAGUUGACUUCCAACCAGCCAACAAUAUAUUAAAAGUCUGCAAAUUCGGCCUAAAUUCAUGCUUCAAGUUAUGAUACACAUUCCUGGCAUCACUCAUCCUCUUCUCUUGACACAAUGUCCUAAACAGUGCAUUGUAACAACUAGUAUCAAACUCCAAAACAAGCCUUCGAAACCGCUUAAACGAAAUCACAGUCUGCUUAACUGAACAAACCUUAGCAAUCCUAGCUAAGACAACUUGAACAGUUCUUGAAGUGAUCGAAGAUUGAUCCUUUUUCUUCGCUUCCACCAAAACCUCCCAAAUAUUAUCAAAUUUUCUGCUCCUACCCAAAACAUACAGCAUUGUAUCCAAAGAAAAUGCAGAAUGCAAAAACCCCUUUUUCCUAGAUGUAAACUUAAAGAAUUCCAAAGCCUGUAAUGGAUUAGAAUGAGAAAAUCUGACCCUUUUCAGAACAUUAUCAAUUAAGUCAUUUGAGAAAGGGAUUGAAGCUGCUGCUGAUCUCAGUGACUGUCUGAGUUCAACUGAGGUUCUUGAACUUGUUAGUAUCCGAAAAACAGUCUCAACAUCGUCGUUUACAGCAGGGGAGGAAGAAGUAAAAGGCGGGAUUUUUUCAAUUUGGGGAAUGGAACUAAAGAAAAGAAGUGAAUUUAAACAGGCAUACCUUACUGUUGCCGUUGAUGAUGUACAAGAGUGAAGAAAAAUGGGAUUUCUGAUAAAAAGAUGGAGCAAUUUUUUUGGGAUGAAAUCUGAAUGAAGACAAGAACCAAAUAUUCAGACUCUAUGCUACUGCUGCUCCUGCAGGUUUUCCCUCAAGUAUUCGAAUGCAUGAAAUUUUUGGGAUUUUUGUGAUUUUGGGGUCAUUUUUUAUGCUGUGGUUUUGCCGCAAAGCGAUUCUUCCAGCUGAAUUGAAGUGAAAGUUACACUUCAGGGAUGCACCUCUGUAUUCUUUUGUUUUCCUCUUUUUUGCCUUUUUUUUUCCAUCGGCGAAAUAAAAAGAGAAAAAAAAAGUAGGCUAAUACCAUAAAAAUGACCAUAGUUUUAGAACCAUCAGAUCCAAUUACUUUUAAAGGUCAAACUAGGAGGGGAACACCGCGCGAUGCGCGGUGUAAUUUUCAAGUUUGCCCAGAAACGUUCAAUUAUUCAAACUGGGAUAUUCAAUAUAAAAAGUUACAUGAAGGUGCAUCCAAAUGUUUGUGAUUAUUUUUUAUAAUUUUAUUAUGCAAUGAAGAGAGCCACAAUUUCAGUCUAGUUGCUAAAUGACAGUCAUUUUUGGUAUGCUGACUAAUUGGACAGCAAUGGCAAUGUCAUUAGUUUGAAAAUAAUAUAACACUGUGUAAUGCUGCCUUAUAUUUUUUAUGUACACCAAAAUCUGUGACUUUGUAGCUAAAAAAAAAAAAGAGAGAGCAGUGUAGUAUUGCAGCAAGGCUUAGCCUUAUUUUUAGACUCUGAUACAACCAAUCCACUAUUUUCGUAAUUGCAUCAAAUUAACCCAAAGACUGAAAGAAAGACCUAUUACUUUGUAGUACAAUAACCAAAAUGGCUUCAUUAGCUUGUAACUUCAAGAAAUCUACGGAAAGCAAAAGAAUUGUGCUCACAUAUCAACCGUAGUGAGAUAAACUGCAUUUGACCAAAAACGGAGGAGGAUUACCUAAUGCAGGUGUAUCUUCUCAAUACAUCAAUAGUAUAGGGGAUGGUCAAGUACUCAAUACACAAAAAAAAAAGAAAAAAGGAAGUUUCACAGGCCUCGAUGCAAUUCUACCUUUGAUCAUUUGAUGCAUGUCAACAACCAGAAUCCCGUAAAAGGAAAGACAAGUACAUGAGAUAAUGUAAAAGCCUGCAUUUAUGAAACUUACUACCAGUAGACUGCAUUCCAGAGGUUCUCAUUACACAUCAAAGCUGUUCCAGCUCAAAAAGGAAUAUAAGAAAAAGAAGAAAAAAGAAAUGCACAGUGUGCAUCAAGCCUUUUCCUUGUUAUUAGAAUCAUACACUUCAAAAUAACCGAAAGACCGAAAAAUGCAUUACUUUGUAGUACAAUAACUAAAAAGGUUUUUAUUAGCAUAUAACUUCAAGAAAUCUAAUGAAAAGUGUGAAUUUCAGAGGAAGAGAAUAAAUUCCCCAUAUUUUUAUUCAUCAAUGGUAAGGGUAUAUAUACAGGUAUAGACAUCUUAUAAUAUGAAGAUAUCCUAUUACAAUAAAUCAGUCCUCUAAUUCCUAUAAUUUAGGCUACAAACUAGCCUACAUUUGUUAGCUAUCUAAUCCCUACAAAUCAGCCUAUAUCAAUCUGUGACAGCUAUCUAAUCCCUACAAAUCAGCCUGCAUAUAAUCUGUAACACUCCCCCUCAAGCUGGAGCAUAGAUAUUAAUCAUGCCCAGCUUGUUACAUAGAUAAUCAAUCCGGACCCCGUUAAGAGCUUUUGUGAAUAUAUCACCUAAUUGUUCUCCAGUCUUCACAUAACCUGUAGUGAUCAAACCUUGUUGGAUCUUUUCACGAACAAAAUGACAAUCAAUCUCAAUGUGUUUCGUUCGUUCAUGAAAGACUGGAUUGGAAGCAAUGUGAAGUGCAGCUUGAUUAUCACACCAUAGCUUGGCAGGUACUGAGACCUUAAUUCCUACUUCACUAAGGAGCUGAUAUACCCAUAUGACUUCACACACAGACUUGGCCAUAGCUCUAUAUUCAGCUUCCGCACUGGAUCGUGAGACGACAUUCUGUUUCUUACUCUUCCAUGAGACCAAAUUUCCCCCAACAAAAACACAAUAUCCUGAAGUAGAUCUCCUAUCUUCCUUACACCCUGCCCAAUCUGAAUCUGAAAAACAUUCAAUCCUAGUAUGACCAUGAUUGCCAUAUAGGAUUCCACGUCCAGGAGCACAUUUUAAAUAGUGCAAAACUUGUUCGACUGCUUUCCAAUGGUCAACAGUUGGUGAGGACAUAUAUUGGCUUAACACACUCACUGAAUAAGCAAUAUCAGGACGUGUCACAGUAAGAUAAUUCAACUUUCCGAUUAGUCUUCUGUACCUCUCAGGAUCUGCACACAAUUCACCUUCUUUGGUUAAUUGUAAAUUAGGAACCAUUGGGGUACUACAUGGUUUAGCACCCAACUUUCCCGACUCCGACAGUAAAUCAAGUACAUACUUUCUCUGUGAUAGAAAGAUUCCCUUCUUACUCCUGCUAACUUCAACUCCCAAGAAAUACUUUAACAUCCCCAAGUCUUUGGUAUAGAACUGAGUAUGAAGAAAGGACUUUAGAGACGAAAUUCCGCUAGAGUCGCUACCUGUGAUUACAAUAUCAUCCACAUAUACAACUAACAGAAUAAUACCUCCAUUAGAGUGUCUAUAGAAAAUAGAAUGAUCUGACUUGCUUUUCUGCAUCCCAAAUUUCUCAAUAGCUUGGCUAAAUUUUCCAAACCAAGCCCGAGGACUCUGUUUCAAGCCAUAUAGAGAUUUUUGCAGACGACAGACUUUCCCUUUCCCAUACCCCCCUUGAGCAACAAAACCAGGUGGUUGCUCCAUAUAUACCUCCUCCUGAAGAUCACCAUGAAGAAAGGCAUUCUUGAUGUCUAACUGAUGCAGAGGCCAGUCAUAAGCUGCAGCAAGGGAGAUAAACAACCUGACCGAAGCAAGUUUAGCAACAGGAGAAAAAGUAUCAUGAUAAUCCACCCCAUAAAUUUGAGCAUAUCCUUUAGCAACAAGUCGAGCUUUCAAUCGAGAAAUGGAGCCAUCAGAAUUCAUUUUGACAGUAAACACCCAUUUACAUCCAAUGGCUUGUUUACCUGCAGGUAAGGUAACCAAAGUCCAUGUACCAUUGACAUCUAGAGCAUUCAUUUCCUCAAUCAUAGCAGUCCGCCAUCCGGGAUGAGCUAAUGCCUCUCGAACAGUCUUAGGUACAGAAACAGUGUCUAGGGAUGUAAGAAAAGCACAAGAAGAGGAAGACAAAUGAUGGUAGGAAACAACUGAAGAGAUUGGAUAAGUACAUGCACGUUUACCUUUUCUGUGAGCAAUAGGGAGAUCAAGAUCAUCGUUGGCAGCCGGAUCUGAUGACAAAGAGACUGGUUCAUCAGGACAUGAUUCUGGAGACUCAAGGACCAAGUCAGAACUGGGCUGAUGUGCCCGACGUGAGUAGGUAUAUUUGAUGGGAGGCUUAACCGGUGUAGAAGGAGGCGGACCCAAAUUUGGUAUGACACUAUAGAUUAACAAAUCAUCAUCCUCCCCUGGACUCACAGAACUUGAAGAGCCUGAAGAUGAAGAUAAAGGUGUUUGUUCCAAAAAAGUAACAUCAGCAGACACAAGAUACUUACCAAGACUAGGACAAUAACAACGAUACCCUUUUUGCAUGCGAGAAUAACCCAGAAACAUACACUUUAAGGACUUAGGAUCAAGUUUUGUAACUUGAGGACGAACAUCCCGAACAAAACAAGUACAACCGAAUAUCUUUGGUUCUAUAGGAAACAACUGUUUAUUUGGAAAUAGAGUGUGGAAAGGAGUAUUACCAGACAAAACAGAGGAAGGCAUACGAUUGAUUAGAAAACAAGCAGUAGAUAGAGCAUCAGCCCAGAAACAUUUAGGAACCUUCAUUUGAAAUAACAAAGCUCGAGCAGUUUCAAGAAGGUGUCUAUUCUUUCUCUCGGCAACCCCAUUUUGAGAAGGGGUGUCAACACAAGAGGUCUGAUGAAGAAUACCCUGCUCAAGCAUGUAUUUCUGAAAACUGCUUGAAACAUAUUCUUUUGCAUUAUCACUUCGCAAAAUUUGUACAGGUUUACCAAAUUGGGUUCGAAUUUCAGCACAAAAGGAAGAAAAGUGAAGAAAUAGUUCUGAGCGACUUUGCAUCAAAUAAAGCCAUGUCAUUCUAGAAUAAUCAUCCACAAAGGUAACAAAAUAUCUGAAACCAGUUUUAGAGGUAACUGGACAAGGACCCCAAACAUCAGAAUGUACUAACUCGAAGGGAGCAGUAGCUCGCUUAUUGAUUCUAGGACUAGAACUAAGACGAUGAUGUUUAGCAAACUGACAAGACUCACAAUCUAAGGAAGUAAUGUUUGAAAACUGAGGACAAAGUUUCUUCAACAUAGAAAGCGAAGGAUGACCCAAUCGACAAUGUGCUUCAAAAGGAGAGAUUGUUCCAGCACAAGCUAUAGACCCUGGUUUCGGUGUAUCAAGAAUGUAGAGACCGUCAGACUCAUGUCCCUCACCAAUAAUCUUCUUCGUCAUGAGAUCCUGAAAUGAACAAUAACCAGGAAAAAAUGAGACACAACAAUUAAGAGCACGAGUAAGUUUGCUGACAGAAAUCAGAUUAAAAGAUAGUUGUGGUAGACUCAGAACAGAUGAUAAAUGGAGAGAUGAUGUGGGCUGAGUGGUUCCAGACCCAAUAACACUGGAUGUUGAACCAUCGGCUAAAGUAACAGGAGUGAUAGAUUUAUGUGGCUGAAAGUUAGAAAGUAAACUAGGAUUACCUGUCAUGUGAUCAGUAGCACCAGAAUCAAUGACCCAUUUUGGAGAAGAGGAAACAAGACAUGCAUUGGGUUUACCUGUCUCGACAGGAGCAGUAACAUGACCAGAUGGCUGUUUCACUGUUUCUUGAAACUGAGUCAAUCUAGCAUACUUAUCCGCAGAUAUUGUAACAUGCUUGUCAGAGGUGGCACAACUAGAUGCAAUAUGGGCAGAGUGAGCCUUCUUAUACUGCAGCUUCCGACAGUCUCGCUUGAUAUGACCUGGUUUAUGACAGUAGUGACAUACAAUCUCUCCUUGCUCCUGUCCAUGAUUGCUAGUAUUCUUAUCAGAGUGGUUGGGCCCCGACCCCAUGCUCGUACUGUUGCCAUUACUCUUGUAGUGUUGUCUUCCUGAAUCAGCUGUGGUAGUUCGGCUAAGAAGAACACUGUUAGGCUGAGUAGAUAGAACAGGUAACGUAUUCUCUGUACGGAGAACCCUUCGAAAAGCAUCUUCUAGACUGGAAAUUUCUGAACCGGAAAGAAUUUGAGAUUUAGCAGUCUCAAAUUCAGACGGAAGACCGGCUAGAAAACUCAUAACCGCCAUCUUCGCUCGCUGAUUUCGUUGUUCCUCCACAUCACAACUGAAGGGAAGCAGCAUAUUGAGCUCUUCAUAUGUUUUCUUGAAGUCCAUAAAAUAACUGGUGAGAGACUUGUCUCCUUUAUCUGCCCUGUAAAAAUCCUUGCAAACAUCAUAGAUACGAGAGAAAUUUCCUUUUCCAGAAUAUAAGAACUGUAAAUAGUUCAUUAAUUGUUUUACUGUCUUACAAUGAGUCACCAGACCAACCACCUCACUAUCAAUAGAAUUACGGAUCUGUAUAUACAAGCGAGCAUCCUCUCUCAUCCAAGACAAUUUAGAGUCAUCCGUAGGUGGAUCAUCAGUCAGAUGGCCAUCCAUAGAAAUACUGAGCAGAUAUAAUUCAAUAGUAUUGUUCCAAUCAAGAAAAUUAAUUCCAGUUAACUUAUGUUCCGUGAUUUUUGAAACCAGCGGAACUAUAUCAGAAACAACUCCAGGCUUUUUGUCAGACAUAAUUGCUAAGAAAAUUCAACAAGAUAACAGAUUACCCACAAGAAAAACCUGUUGUAGCCAAGUCCCACACCUAGAUCGAUGUUGACCCACAAACAGGUAUGCAAAUAGCGUCGAGAGACAGAGGAGAGGUGCUGGGUUCUGACCAAUCGGUACUACGUACCUCCCUGAGUUGGCGGUGUCUAUAAAGGAACCUCUAAAGCCUGUACCUUGAAUAUGGCAGCAGCUUCCCUCACACCCAACAACCCAGAAAAAAAAAAUUUAUGAACAAACCUUGCUCUGAUACCAUGUGAAUUUCAGAGGAAGAGAAUAAAUUCCCCAUAUUUUUAUUCAUCAAUGGUAAGGGUAUAUAUACAGGUAUAGACAUCUUAUAAUAUGAAGAUAUCCUAUUACAAUAAAUCAGUCCUCUAAUUCCUAUAAUUUAGGCUACAAACUAGCCUACAUUUGUUAGCUAUCUAAUCCCUACAAAUCAGCCUAUAUCAAUCUGUGACAGCUAUCUAAUCCCUACAAAUCAGCCUGCAUAUAAUCUGUAACAAAAAGAAACUGUGUUUACGUAUCAACCUUAGUGGGAUAAAUUGCAUUUGAUCAAAAAAGGAGGAGGAUUAUUAAUAUAGGCCAUACUUCUAUCCUCUCAAUACAUCAGUAGCAAAAGGGAUGGUCAAACUCUUGGCACAAAAUAACUCAUCCAGUUACACAAGAUUUUAAACCAAAUAAAAAUAUUAUGAUAACACCAUCCGCGUGAGAUAUAAUGCAUCAAGAGCUGACAUACAUAUAUAGCAGGUAAUGCAAAGAUCAGAUAGCUACAGUUAGUGCAAAAUCUAGUAUCCAGGGUCAUACGCUUCAAGGCUUUGAUCUUGAUAAAGCUUCAAGGGUGGCCGAUUCUGCUUCCCACAUAAAUAAACACGUAGUUUUGUUAAUCAAAUGGCAGAGGCAUUCUUGAGUGGUACUGCAAAAAUCCACUUCGUAUAGUUAAAUAUUAGUAACAAUUACCAUAUUCUCCAAAAAUAUAUCAUAGAUUUUUUUCUUUUAUCAUUGUCACUUCCAUUUUAAUCUAACUUUUUUCACUUACAGGAACAUCAUAAUUAGCGCCUAUCUAUGCAAUUACCUAUAUGGCAGACAAGUUUUUUCCAUAUAAUUAUCCCUGAAGGCAAAAGUAUGGGGCAAAGGAUUUUGUACAAUUCAUAGGUUAGGGCAUACUGCACCAGUGUGGCCAAAGAAUAAACGAACAAUCUUCAAUUACAAUAUAAAACAUGCAAUAACUACAAAUGAACAAUUUUCCAUUACAUUAUUAUAUACACAAUAUACACACUGUUGUAAAAAAAAAUUCCAUUCAUAGAGAUGGUUACAUUAAACCGAAAGGUGAAAGAAAAAAGGUUAGAAUCAGCACCUUAAAAGUAGUAGAAGGCCAUUAUUUGCUUUAUUAUAUGCCGAUAAUUUUAAUACCUAAUUCCAUCAUGAAGAGCCAGGUAGCCAUCUAAUUUAACGCCAAAUAAGGACACAAAGAAAUGGUUCGCAAGCUAAAUAGCAGAAAAGAUAAUUAACAGAAACUUAAUCAUUUUCUCAUAAUUAACAGAAACAUAAUCAACAAAGACAUCUACUAAUUAUUAGUAUACAAGCACAUCAAUUUGACUAAGAUAUUUUUUUAAAUAAAGUGUAAACAGCUUACUUGUCUAAAGCUGAACUAUGCUAAAAGGCCAAAGCUUGGGCUUAGACUGACUGGUACUAAACGAAGCAUUACCCCUAUAAAAUUCAACCCAAAAGUUAACAAAAAUAAACAGGAGCAAAAAUAAAUUGUUCAUAUGCAAAAUGGAAACAAGUAGCAAAAAAGAAGGCUGUAAAAUGUUACACAAAGAUAAUCACCAAGUUUUUAGCCAAAGACAUUGUGCUAAGAUUUAAACAACCCAUGAAUCCAAAACUAUAUGGUCAAAGAAGGAAAAGAGAUCUAGGGAUUUUUUCUUCUAAAUAAUAGGUUUUUUGGUAAACAUACACCUUUCAUAACAGCAUUUGUGGCCAAAGUGUUAUCUACCAACCAAUCUAACAAAUUUUGCCACUUUAACCUCCUUUCCCACAAUUAGUUGAAAAUUAUUCAAAACUAUAAUUAAAAACUUCAAACUAAAGUCAUCAAAAGAUGAAAUAAGUUCAAUUCCAUUGGAAAUUGACAAUGGCGGAGACAUGAAAAAGAAACAAAGAAAAUUGACAAUUUAAGUUAUUUCGAAAAUCCCAAGCAACAACUAAACAAGAGCUGGGAAAUUUGAGCAUAUAACAUCUCGAGUGAUAACCAAUGCAAUCUUGAUUUUGAGCUCCAAGACUCCAAAUGAUCAAGUAGUAUAGUACAGCAUAAACUGAAAAGCAUGAAACUUUUGCACUAAAAACCAAAGCCAACAGAUGAGAUAACUUAUUUAUGGCUUGGUUCCUAAGCUUAAAUGACACCACAAAUACAGCAAUAAUAAAAAAUCAACUUUAAUGUGCUCAAACUUCAAAGCUUGCGACGUCUGUGCAAUCACUCAGUUGAAAUUUUAGCUCAAAACACUAUACAACGGAAAAGGAAUAAGCAAAAGCACAAAAACACAUAAAAUCCGACAUUUUAAAAGCAAAAAAAAAAGAAUCCAUGGAAUUAAUGUUUGGAACCUUUUUUACGGCAUGCAGUGCAGCUCCAUGACCACUGACGCCAGCGCCAAUAAUGAUGAGAUCGUAAUCAAAGGAUUUGGGAGCGCUUCCAUUAUCAUCCGAAGAUGCAGAAACCUUCGUCGGACUCGCCUGCGCUUUUCUCGGAAAAAUUAGCCUCUUUGCUCGAAUAAACUGGCCGCGCUUCAGCUGCGAGGGAACUGAAAACCCAGAGAUUUCUAAUAUUUCACCUGCAAGAUCUAAGCAGAAGAAAAUAAAAAACAUACUACGGGUAGGAAAGCAGAUUUCUAAUAUUUCACCUACAAACUCAAAAGCAUACUCAACAAGAAAAUAAAAAACAGCAGAUCUCUGGGUUUAUAAAUACUUCUGACUUUCACUGCUUUUGGAUGAAGAUUUUACUACAGCUUUCUUUGUUUGCUCAAAGAAGGAGAUGAAAAAAUAGUAUUUCAGACCUCUAGGUUAUUAAUCGAAAGAUUAACAAAUCUUAGCAAGAAAAAUGUCUUUCUUUCUUGAAUAAAGGAAACUGUAAAACUUUGGGGAAAUAUUGGAGCUUACCAAUUAAGAUGAUUUCUGUGUCUCAUGCGUUCAGUAGCUUCAUAUCCAGACCAAUUCUAACAAGGGAAAAAAAUCAGUUAGAAUCAUAUAAUUGAAAAAAAAGGAAAGAGAAGAAAGGAAAAAGGGGGGAGGGGGGAAACGGGAAGGAAAAACAGAGAAAAAAGGACCAAAUAAAAACAACAAAAAGGAACAAAGAAAAGAAAAGAAAAGAAAAAUGGAAGGGGAGAGGAGAGGAGCUCUGGAGAGCAACGAAGCGGCGGACAUGAAUGAGGGGAAAGAAAACAAGGGAAGCCCUAAAACAAAAUUUUUGGCACGCGAGUCCCACGUGAUUGACGACCAAAUUCCAGCCAAUAAAACCCAGCCACGUCAGCAAAACAACAACCACCCUUAACAAUCCCAUUCGCGCUUUUACUAUAUAGGUAGAUUAGCAUUAUUCUUGUUCGGCUGGUUCUAGUUUCGAUUUCAGUUUCUAUCAUUUUCAAUUUUAGUAUUUUUCUAGGUAUAGUUUUCAGAUUUUCUAGUACAUUUAAUUACUUAUGAUUAUAAAAUUAAUUUUAAGAAAAUAUAAUAAUGAAUUUAGAGUAACGAGAAACUAAAGAAAAUGAAUGUAAAAAAAAAUAAGGCUUUUAUUGUAUUAUUAGCUUACAAGGAAGAGAAAGAUGAUAAAAAAAAAAUUUAUGUAAAACAUAUCUCAUAUUUAUUGAAUGUUUUAAAUAAAACAAAAGAUACAUAAUUUUCUAUCAAACUUGAAAAAAGAAAAAGAGAAAAACAUCUCAAUUUUCUCACUAACUUGCGCAUUGUUUUUCUUUUGACUCAACAUUUUAGAACUAGCUUAAUGCUGUUGAACUUUCGGUGAACCUCAACCAAAACCUUUAACCAUGGUUCCAACACCGAUUUAAAAUUUCCAAAUUAGUUAUAAUUUUUUUUUAACAAAUUGCUGAUUCAAUUCCGAUUUGAUUCCAAUUUGAACCUGAACUAUGGCCAUGGUUAUUACUAUUACGUAGAGGUGGCAAUUUGUCCCAAAUCCCAAUGAACUACCCAUACCCAAAAAGACUUUGGCGGGAUGGGUAUUGUAAUUUGAUAUUAGGUUUAAAAUGGGAUGCAUCCCAAUUAUACUCAUUAUUUGAUGGAAAAUGUUGGAAAAUACUUGGGUACCUAUUGAGCCCAAAUAUCUUCCCAAAAAAUUUCAUUUUAUCCAAAAAUUCAUCAUUAUUUUUUUUUUUUUGCAAAAAUCUGAUUUUUUUUCACUUCCAUUUUCUUUCAUUUCCUUUCUUCACUUUCCUACAAAAGAAAACCAGUUAAGUAAAAAUGAUUUCAUUUAAACAACUUUAAAAAAAUUAAAGAUAACAAUAAAAAUAAAAUAAAUUGGUAAAAUUUUGGUGUCUACAAGAUCAAUACUUUACUAACAACUGUUGGUACCCUAUAUGUUAAUUUUAUGCUAAUUGUUGAACUAUCUACAUAGAUUUCUAUAUGCAACCCUGUUAUCAAUUUUUAAUCAGCUUCUUCGUUUCUGUGCUAGCUUUAUUCAGCAUUUAAUGUGAAUUUCUUUUGUAUCAAAUUUUGAAAAUUUUAAGAAUGUCAGUAAGAAUGAAUGUGGUGUUAAAAAACUUGUUUCUAGUCCUUGUGUCAGACAACAUUAUGGGUAAGGUUGGAAUAUGGUUGUAUAUCUAUCUUUUCCUUUUUUUGUUAAUCCAAUUUUUGGUUUAAUCCAGGGAGAAGAUAUGUUCAUUCUUACCAAAAUAUUAUGUCUUUUAAAAGUAACUGCUGAUCGUUCUAAAGUGUAAAUGAAUUCAGGAAAAUAUAAAUUCACAAUAAGAUCAAAAGAAAUUUAAUAAAUAAAAAUAUUAAAGUUAUAUAAAAAAUAAAAAAGAAUUAAAGGAAAAAUAUAGAAAAUAGAUUUGGGUAUUGGACGGGAUCAAUCUAAACCUAUCCCAAAGUGAUCCCGCCCAAGUUAGUCCCAAAAUAUAUAUGGGUAAGAUUAGACCCAAACCCAUAUGAUUCGGUUCUAUUUCGAAUUCAAGCAAAUCACGUCCAUCCCGCCCAUUUUGCCACCUCUACUAUUACGAACCAAAUAGUGAAAAACUUGGGUUUUUUUUUUAUGGAAAUGAAACAACUUUGGUGCGAAGGAAGCUCAAGGGCUCAUGCAUCAAAAACAGAAACUGUUUCGUUGAAGCCCUUUUGGAUAGUGGAUAUUGCCGGCUCAGGCCAUUGAAUUUGAAUUGAAGAAGGAUUGCAUCGUGAUAUAAAUAAUUAGAUUGUAAACGAAUUGAAUCGAAUACAAAAUCUAUUCCCAGAUUGAAUUCUGGAUAUUAAGUCACACAACAAGUAGGAAAAAAUAAUAAAGUUAAAAUUGCCAUGUAUUGCCAAUUUUUCAUGUAAAUCCGAACUUUUUUUCAGUUUUCAUAUAAUGUUUUUAAAAAUUGAAGCCAAAAUCACUAUAUGUACUCGAAUUGUUAAUUAGGCAUUUUAUGACUAAUUUGAUUUAGCAAGUGCUCUAAGUUUUACUCAUCGUUAGCUUAAUUUCUUAAGAUUAUACUCGAAUGCCCAAAUGCACGUAAUUAGAAUGGUAUCUUAUGUACAUAUUAUUAAAAUGAUGUCUUAUGAAAUUAUUGCAGGUAUCAUGCAACAAAAUUUUAUCAAGUCCUAAAAAUGAUGUGAGUUCUUGGAAAAUAUUUUAAAAAGAAAAAAUGCAUGCAUUAUUAUUUUGGUAGUCCACUUAUAUUAAUUGCAUGAGCAAUUGAAGGCAGUCCAAAAUUUUUUCAACAAUCUUUACAAGUGCAAAGUGUUCAUUGUUCACAAUAACAAACAAGGGUGAAACUAUAAAAACUAUUCUUCCUUGGAAAAAUGUGAAAUGUGGGCAAAGAUAUUAUGAAAAUAACACAAAAGACUCGAUGAUCAUAAAAUCAAAUGUUCAAAACAACAUAGAAUAGUUCAUGAUCUUUGUAUACUUUAUACAUAAAUGCAUAAUUAAUGAGUUUUCUAUUAAAUUCCAUAAACUGCAUGGAGGAUAUUAUCAGUUUCAUAUGAGAUUAACUUGGGGUCAACUGGUCAUGGGUAGACCAUGAGAUGCCCUAAAACAUGACAUGGAGAAGAGAAUCUGCAUAUUAAGUGGCUCUUAGAGUCUCUUGCUACUAAUACUCUUGUUUAUGCCUUGGCUAAAAAGCUUGAGCUGCAGGUUAAAUGGCCUUAAUUUUAAGUACUCUUGUAACUUAGCUUAAUUUUGAAUUUGGCCCUGAACAAAUAAUUCAACUCUUGAUUCGAGUUCGAACAAGAAAUAUGAUUUGAUUAAAGUAUCAAAUAAAAUUCGAGUUGAAUAUUCGACUCGUACAUAUUCAAUUGAUUAAAGUUCAAUGCAACUCAACUAAUUUUUUAUAUUUUUAAGUUUCUUAAUAUUUUUUAUAAAAUUAUGCAUUUCCUAUUUUAUUAUUAAAAAAUUAAAUAAAAUUCCAAGCUCCGAAUUGAGCUCGAGCCUAGUGAGUACUAAAUUGAAUCAAACUCAACCUUAAAUUUUAAACUCGUUUAGGAUUCGAAUUGAGCUUUCGUUUGAGUCCAAAAAUUCAAAUCAAGUCGAAAAAUUAGAAUUGGAAUCUGAGUCUAACAGCUAAGAAGUUCGAGUAAAUUCGUUUGCUGCCCUAGCUUUAUGGAUUUGAAAUCCACGAAAUACAAGUUGAAAAGCCAAACAAUUAAUCAAGAAACCAGAGCAUCAAAAACUAUUCAAAAGUUUCCUUUCCUUUCUUCCUCAAUCUCCAUCCCUUGACCAAGACAAAAAAGGUUUUCACUAGUAACGACAUACAAGAAAGGUCUAUCAAUCCUUUAAAGGGCUAAGGGAAAGAGGAAAUGAAACCCCAACUCAAGGGAAGAACAACAGGGACAAUAAUUACAAAAACCUUUACAACUAUACAAAAUUCCUGUAGAAUUGAGGGAUUAUUUCCUCACCUCAAAAUUAGGGAAUGCUUUCUCUAUAACAUGAGUUGGCACUAUGUACUGUUAUGAUUUUUCUUUGUGUAUGUCAAAUAUGGAUCCUGAGCAAUGGUCAAAACAUCUGGCCUCUCUGCCUGAUUAUAUGUAAGACAACGACGAAUAAAAUCCUGCAAAACAUAAAAGGAGUUGCUACUUCAGCAUACAGGACAAAGGUGAUGAAAGAAAAGUUUAGCGCAGUCUAUAUACCAGUAUUCUUCAGCUUUUUGUCAGCAAAUGUCCUUUAACCACAUGUUAACAUCAUUCAUCGCAGAAAAUCCAAAAACUAAAAUAAACAUUGUAAUAAAGAAUCCAAGCUAAACAAGGAAACAUCCUAAAGGUAUAAAUUUUGCACCUUUGCCAAGCAAAUAAUUUAGAAAUCCAUCAACAGUAUUGUUAUCAAUUUUCAUGAGAAUCAGCAAUGGCAGUUUUAUUUAUAAAUCAUCAUCAUAGUUUCUUCAUUUUUGACAUACCUAGCAAGUUUCUCUAUUUCGUUUUGUUCCUUCAUCAAUCAUUUCCAUAUUAUGACUUGCAAUAUGAGUAAAAGGAAGCAUGAACAUUAUGUCUGAGCCAGUCAGCCAGAUGUUAAUCUGUCUCAGAAACUGCUAUAAAACAUUGAUACAAAUGAGAUUUUCAAAUUUGCAGCACAUCUGGCUUGGAGAAUUGCCAGAGACGAGUGGGGGGUGGGGGUGGGGGAAUAGAUUGACAUGUUUGUAAAUGGACACCCUCGAUUGAAUUUCAUACAGAAUACUUCCGCUAACAGAAAGUAUAGACAUUGACGAGUCAAAACCCAUUUACUGAAAUAAAUUUUGAAGCACUUCAAUACCACACAAAAAUUGACUCCACUAUGUUGGAAACAAUAACCAUUAUGAAACAAACAAGAGGAUAUCAAGAAUAAACUCAGUAGCAUCCACAUGAUUGGCAUGCUUAUCCAUUACAGAUAAAUUAAAGAGAUAAUUGUUGAAACUUUUGUCAAAUAAGAUUUACACAAGUGAAAACACAUCAAAUUGUAAAGUAUAAGAAAGAUGAUCGAUUUCACACCCCACUUUUACUGUUAUCAAAUUGUGGUAAUAAACACUAGCAAUUAGUGCUGGUGAUGGUGAUAGUGGUGGUGGUGGUGGUCAUAGUAACAAUGAUAUAGUCUCUCCUACGCAGACUCUCUUAGAGAAUUUACCCUACAUAAGGAUGUCGAAGAUUAUCACCCCAAGAAACAUUAGCAAAGAAGUUUACACACAAAUGAUUAGUGAACCUGCCUUUGCCUCGUUCGACACAGCUGGCCUUGAAGGAAAAUCCACCUUCCGGGCUUUAAUGAUGGUAUCUUCGCGUAAAACAAACAAAACAGACAGAAUUCAACCAAGAUCAAUCUAGCAAACGUCCGUGAUCUAUCCCCCAUUCUAACAACAACUCCCAAUUUUCCUUACUACGAGGAGCUUUAGCCCAUAAGAGACAAGUCAAGUUGAACAAUUUUAACCACUGUUGAUUUAAUAAAAUUUGGAGUGAAGCCCUCCAACGUGUACAGGGCUUGUCUUUCCAAAAAAACAAAAAACAAAAAACAAAACCGCUGCUGCAACUACUUCCAUUAUCAGUAUUCUGUAUUCGAAAAUCAACAUUUAGUCUUUCCCAAAUUUAGUAUAUUUUAGUGCAUAAUUGAAAAAUUCUCUUGGCGCAAGUGGAAAAUUAUAGAUUUGCAAUCAAUUACAAAUUUUCCUCGAAAAUAGAUGCCCAGUGAUCAACUAUGGCGCUUCAUAGUUCACCUUUUCCAGUCUUAUACUUAGGAGUUGGUCUUAAUAGUGCAUUAAUUUUUUCAUAGUUAAUCAGAAUUUUCUAUGACAAAAAAAAGAAGAAGAUUCAUGAAGAAAAAUAAUCUAUUGGCUGUACUUUUUUUCGAUUUAGACAUCAAUAGUGCAAUGGCAAAAGGACUUUGUAGAUGAAGCUAGUUGAUGUAAUGAAUUUAUGAUGAUUUAAUUAACUAAAAAGGCAAUCAAUUCGGUCUACUAAAUGUCAUACUCAAGAGGUCAUCAUCUUUGUCAAAGGGUCUAUACAUUCCAUACAUUAGUAGUAAAAGUUAGUGGAUUUGUUAGUAUUGAUGACCAUGUUAGCCACUGAUUUCUAUUAAAUCAUGUCUUCAGCUUCUUAUAAGCUUCUCUAUACCCUACCUAAUCUCAUACCAUUUUACUUUCUCUUGGAUUAUGUGGAAUGCCUACUUGACUGCCUGCAAUGCCUAUAUUUUAAUGAUUCCGGUGCAUUUUCAAAAUCUUCAAUUUAUUUUGUAAAGUAUCGAAGUUCAGUUCACUAAUUGGCCAUAAAAACAGAUCAAUAGCAAAGUUGAAAUAUGCCACUUAUCCUGAGACUUUGCAGAAAGUUUGGAAUGUUAAUGUUGUCCCUUGUAAUCCGAAUUAUCCGAUUAUGUGAAACUGAAGUUGUUGAAGGGUGAGAUGAGUUUUUCACUUGUAUACAAGCUGUUUAAUGGGGUUUUCAAUAAAAAACUUUAUCAUUUGCUCCAAAAAAAAAAAAAAAAAAGAAGAAGAAGGGUGAGUUGAGGAAGCUGAAUGCUAAGCAAUAUAGUUCUAUUAGUGAUAGAAUAAACAGGUGUGUAUGGCCAGUUAUGUGAAGUGCAAUCCUUUUCCUUCAUUCACCUUUUGAUAUCUCUUUGCAAUUUCAAGAACAAUCUCAGAGUAGUUGUCUCAACUAGGAGGCGACCAGCUAGGAUUUAUGUUUACUUUACGGGCCAAAGAUACUGGCCUGGCCACGUCUUCUUCUUCUUGGUUUUUUUUUUAAUUCUUCUUAUAGAUCUUUCAGGCGAGUAAGCAACCUUUUGGGGAAAUAAUGUGGUAUAUUUGGACAUUGGGAUAAUUUAACAAAUCUCCUCUGAGUUUAUAACAAAUUCAUCAUAGCUCCCCUCAAAUUAUGACAUGACGCUUGUGUCUAUUAGCUAUUGAUUUCCAAGGCAAAUACUGAAGUUUACCUCUAUGUUUACCAUUGACACUUUCUAUACAAAGCGAUACAAAUUAUAUAUAAGAGAUUUGUGAAAAUGUUAUACUUCCGAGCUAUAACUCAUAAACAAAGGCAUUCGUAAAACCCUUUUGAUUCAAAUAUAUAGAUAUACUCAACUAUACACUUAACAAUUUAAUGUGUGCUAAAGUGAGUAGAAUAGGCUUUUGAAAAAAGUACUCAAAAGUAUGCUACUUCCAUCAUUACCUUCUAGCACGCAUUGUGCAAACUCUUUUCAAAUAGAAAAAAGGGAACGGAAAGGAGAUACAAAAAAGGGUUACAAAUUCUUUAAAAUAUGGCAAGGGUAAGCAUGGAAGUAACAUAUAACAUGAAACAAACAUGUUAAGGAAACCUUAAAUCAAGAGAGGUAACAGUAAGUUUGAAAACUUUGGUGCAGCUAAAUGAAGUCAAAAACCUAAAACAAGGUUGAUGGAAUUAUCCUUUGUAAACUUUAUGUGUCCGUGGCCAAGUGAAAAAAUACUGUUCAAAAUUCUUAUUUCUAUCGGAACCAUUUCGAGGAACUCCAAUUUGGAUGUCAAUACUAAAAGAAAUUUUCCCUAUGGUACAACUGAUUUUGAAAUUUACUAAUUAUUUAUAUUUUUUUUCGGAGACGACAACUGUUAUAUAAUCUAAUCUAUCCUACACUAAAGGGGAGGGGGCGGACCUAAAGAGGCCCAGGGGUAUAUAGGAAGCAAAUGCAUUGUAUAUAGGAAGCUGAAAACCAAACAAGACUUUAUUAUUAGGUUAUCAGUAUUAUUAGUCGUAUCCAAGUGUCAUCAUGUUUUUUUUAUUCAAGUGUCAUAACGUUAUUGAUAGUAUAAUUGGGUUGCAUGAUUAUGGUUGAAAGUGUGGACUAUGCGAUUAAACUCCGUCUUAGGUGAUAGGGUGUUAAUUGUUAGUAAUUUUAUUGUUAAUUUUCCCUUUUAUCCUUGUCAAAUAUUAUUUUAAUUAUUAAUAUUUACUUAUAUUUGGUAUUUGGACUCAAUUUCAGGGAAUGGAGCAGAAAACUACAAAAAAUGAAGGACUUUCUGAAAACAAUGGAGACUUCAAACAAUCGGGCCCACAUGGUGCCACAAACGGAUGGCAUUUCCUUUUUGCUGAUUAGGAGUUGAAGUCUUUGAUGGGCAACAGGAAACGAAAAGUAGAGAAAAAUUCGGCAGAGCCUUCUUUUUGUACUUGGACUCCCAAUUCGUUGGGGACCACAGAGAGCAUUAAGGAGUCAUACUUUUGCUUGGAAUAAAAAGAACGUACAGAGGCUAGGGAUAGUUUUUAGCAAUAGUUUAGUUUUCUUGCUUUUUCCUUUUCAUGCACGCCUACUGUUAUCAAUGGUUGUACCUUGGUUAUCAAUAAAUUAAAGAAAAAUUGGUCGUUAGAGUUCGUCGGCGACUAUAACUAGUCUAUUAAUAAAUUAAGUGAACCUCCCUUACAUCAAUGAUCGGGUAAGUGGACUAUGUUUGAAUAGUUGUAUUCUUGGUUAGAAUUUAUCUAUUCUUGAAUUAAUUCCUGUGUAUAUUUGUGUUAGUUAAUUAUUCGUUUUAUUUGAAUUGCUUAAUUAUUUGUAGUUUUAUUCUGAUGAAACACCCCUUUUACCAAUUGGAAUCUCAAAGAGACAAAUAUCCUCAAUUCCUGAGGAGACGUGUGAGAACCCGUAUUUUCCCUAAUAAUUUUCCUAGGGUUUUUCCCCUUUAAUGGCAUGUUUUUUGCAUUUUCUGGCUUAGAAAAUUUUCCUGGUGAAUUUUAUGAGUAAUUAUAGUUUUUAGAUGAUUUUUCUAGCAUUGGAUAGUUUUUGAAAAAUUACGGAUAUAUAACGGACGUGGGGCCCACUAGUGCGAAAAGUUCGGAAAAAUUCGGCCAAUAAGGUUAAGUUUCGGAUACUGAGUGAAAUUUAUCGGGUGUUAAGAGAUAAGUAUAGGAUGUGAUGUGAUUGAUGUGAGAGGAAAACAAAAGGAUAGAAAUGCAUUAAUGAAGUGACACUUGUCAUGUUGGGAUUGGUUUCACUUGUUGACAACUAUUCAUUUUUUUUGACUUUUCUUACCAAUUGAUUAAAUAUCUCAAAAAUCACAAAAAAAAUCACUCUUGUCUUCACCUUCUUGGCCGGCCACCUUGAGCUUAAGAAGGAAGAAAACUCUUCAAAAUCUUGGCUACCAUCUAGCUCAAAUCCUCCAAAACAAUUGCUUGAUCUUGUUUCUACUCCAUAAAAUCUCUCCAUUUGGUACUAGUAAGUGAUUUGGUGAAGUGUUUAAGGAAGCUAAGGUGUCCAACAACUCUCCCUCUCUUGUUUACUAGGUGAGUGGUGAUUGAACUUCCUCCUACACUUAAUGAAGCUUAAGUUGUGCUUAGUGGUAGCUAAAGUGCUGAAAUUUGUGGUUUAUUUCUUGGUUUGAGAUGAAAUGAUGAAGUUUUCAAUUUAAUGGUGUAUUUUCUGGUUUAAUGUGAUCAUGAUGUUGUGGUUAUCUAUGAUGGUUGGUAAUGAAGGGUAAUGACUCUAGUAGGUGUACAUGAUUGGUAAUUGCAAGCAAUUUUGGGUUUGGAAGGAAUUUGAGAAAGUUAGGGUUUUAUAUCCCCAAUUCUGUCCGAUUUUGUAUCUCAUGGUUAGAGGCCGAAUUGGCCUUGUCUUAAAACAUGAAAGUUGUAGGUAUUGAUGUGUUUGAGGUGCCUGUAAAAUUUCAGGUUCAUCGGAGUUGUGUAGAGUGAGAAAAGUCGAUUUUACUGUUGCUGUUCUGGGUUCUUCAGGAUGGCCGAACUGCGUCUGUAAUUGGUGGUUUUGGCUGGAAUUGCUUUGGAUUUGGUUGUUGAGGCCUUCUGAUGAAAUGUAGCUUGAUGUCUUAGCUACCGCAUGCCUUUGGUAUGAAUGAAUUUGGACUUGUAUAGACUGAGUUGGACUAAUUACAGCAUAGUGUAUUUUGUAAACCUGCAAUUAAGGUUCUGGUUUGGUAUUUUGCAUAUUUGACCUAGUUGUGCUAGGAAUUGGACUGAGUGACCUUCUACAUUGUUGUAGCCCUGUUUCUUAGCUUCGAAACGGUGGGUCUUACACCCUCAUCCGAUAAGCGUAGUGCAAUUUGUGCCAUUACCGCAAACUGAGGACAAAACUGUUUUUUUUUCAGGGCCAAGUUAGUUACAUUUCCUGAUUUUCUGGUUUGCUAUAAUGCUUAUAUAUGAAUAUGAAACCCUAUUGGGGUUGUGAUUGGCAUGGCUUUAUGACUCGUUAUCGAGUCUCAUUGUAUUUGUUUACGUGUUUUAGGACGUGACGAGGGUUCACGACGACCUUUUAACGACGGUGCAUGAAACAUCACCUACUUGAGUAGUGAGUAUACUACUCACUUGAAUGUUUAUAAUGUGGCUUUGCUAUAUGUGAUUGUGAUGCCUUGAAGGCUUGUUUGGCUAUUGGACAUGGUUAAGGUGAGGGUGUACUUGACCGCCCUCAUCCUUUUUAUCUUGUUAAUGACUGUUUACCGUUUCACUGUAAUACUGCACUUGCUAUAUGAGAUAUUGAAUUCCAUUCAUGGGAAACUGUUUGGGUGUCGGUUGGACGAGUAUCCAACGGCCCUACUGCAUUACUGAGCUCGACCCCGUUGGUAGUUACUUGAAUCGAGCCAGCGAGGGCUUGGUCGUGAAAAUUGACUAGCCACGGGGACUGAAAUGGGAAUCUUGUGGUAAUGAGACCCUUGGUUCCGGUGUACUCGAGUAUCACCUAAAGCUACUGCUUGGAGUGCGGGCCCGGUUGGGGUAUGUUGGGUGGAAGGAAUGGAAGUGAAGUGAGGUCUACGGUCGGGUAUUCUUAAACAUUGACGGAGGGUCAAUGAGGUUGGAUCAAGAAUGUAAGCGUGGAAAUGGGCUCUUGAGAGCCGUCCGUAUCCUUUUACCGACUUGUUUUAUUUCUUAAUUGCGUACUUGAGAUGAAAGUUAAGUGAUCUUUGUUGAUUAUGUGAUAGUUGCUCACUGAGCUUUAGCUCACUCCGUUCCAUUUGUUUUCCUUACAGGAAAAAUGACUAUUUUGGGAAAGGUUGUGCUAGUUGGUUGUCAAGUUGAGCUCAUGUAAAUGUAUAUUUUGAAUAGCUCCUUGAGGGUGAAAACCCUAAGUGUUUUGUUUCAACCAAUGGUUGGUUUGUAAUUGGCCAAUUGCACAUGUGUGAACUUGUUGGAUAUUUUGGUAUACCGCUUUGGCUUGUAAAUGUUAAAUUUCGAUGUAUAUAUGUUGGAUUGAUGUUUGGUUGAACUCCGGAUUCUGACAUGGCCGGUACUGUUCAUCAUCGGCUUCGAUUUUCAUAUUUUUUUUAUUUUGUGAUUUUGACUUGUUUGCGCGCGUUGGUGUGUUCCGGAAUGUAGUAGAUCGACGUAAACUGAUCCGUUAGUCCUGGCGAGAGCUGGGCAGGCAGUCCGCUAACCCCUUUGGUUCGCCUUAGGGGAAGGUGGGGCUGUUACAAGACGACCCUACUUGCCACUGUCUGCCAAUUAGUAAAUUUUGUCAAAUAAUUAAUUCUGGUAUAUCGGAUUAAGCAAACUCUUCGAGAACAGGGUGAAUCAAGUAACCCAUUGCACACCUAGAGUCUCUGCUCCAGUACUUAGAAUUGAUUAUUGACUACUUUUGACGGGCGUAGGGUAUACAUAUAACAUUAAGCUCAUCCUAAUCAAGUUUUACAUUUAUAAACUCCUAAAUACCCUACACGCGAUUUAUCGCAAGUAUACGAAUCGUGAGCGAGUAUAGGGUAUUAAAAGUCGAUCUCACAAGGAAGAUUGCAAUUACCGGCACUACUAAAGCUUCUCUAUUAUUUAGACUAUCAAUGAAUUAUAACAAAUUUAACCUACUGAACUUAUGCAAGAAAAUAACAAAUGAAAGCUCCUUAAGUUGUGGUAUCCCUAACUACUCAUGCAAGUGCUAUAUUUGGAUCAUUGAAUACUACUAUCUAGGCUAGUUAUGGUGUAAUUUCCUUAAACAUGUGAAACCUACUUUCGUAGUGAAUCAACUAUAUUCAUAACUAAUCCAUACAUAUUCUCAUGGUUAUGAAAUUAGCUACAAGUUCAUUUCUUCAAUGAAAUUAAUCACUAAAAUCACAUAGGUGCACCUCUACUCUCGUGAGCGUACUCCCUAUGUUUAGCACUUCUUAAACUAGUGUUAAAUCUCAAUUUUCAUUGCAGAAACAACACCUUAAAUAAUCACAAUCAAUGGUACCAGAUUAAUCAUGAUUUAAAGAGCCAAAGUACUAAAUAACUUGCUCAAAUCAUAGCAAUCAAAUAACCAAAUAAUAAAUACUAACAAUUAUAGAAAGUUCAACCAAACCCAAGGCAUAAACGUUAGAGACACAUAUUAAACACAAAAUCCAGAACUUGCAUAUCAACUAAACUUAGAAUCCAAUACAAAAGAUAAAGAGUUGGAAAAGAGAUAACCAUUGUCACAUGAGCUUCAACUCCUCCUUUUUCAUCUCCAUUUUCAUCCUAAUCUAGCUAAUAUACAAGAAUGGAAGAGCUAUACUAUUCUAAACUAAACUAUCCUACUACUCAGAAAGUGCAAGAGCUACAUCUCUGCACUCCAAGUUUCUCCUGUAUGUCUCUCUAUUCUCCCUUCAAUCUUGCAAGCUUUGGCUAUAUAAAGGUGAAAGUUGGUCAAGAAGUGAGGUUUACACCUCCCUUUUACAGCUGGGAAUGUUUCUCACAUGUCUAGCAUCACCUGUGACUUAGUGGAGGUGAAAUUGAGUUUCCCACGUAAAGAGCAGCCUUCUCUGACCACAAUCCGGCCAGAAAUCUGGCCAAGUUCCGGCCGGAUUGCUACAGUGACAUUUUGGUGCACUUUUGUUCAAUUUCCAGCUCUGCUCCAAUUUUGUGUCAAUUUCAACUGAACUUUUGUUGAUGAUAAAAGCUGAUUUAGCUCUUGAUCAACAUAAAACUUGUAGCCCUUUGAGUUAGCUUUCCAAUGCAUCAAGAAUCACCUCAUUUGGAUCUGUGUAGGCUGAGAAAUGACCGAAAUACCUUUGACUGCUCACUGCCCUAUUUCAGCUUCGACCAAUAGAAAUUAGCUACUGUAAUUCGGCUUUUUAACCUGGAAAACCUUCAAAAUAGAUUCAGAUGUCUUCACCAAAGUUGUAGAUCUAUCUCUUAUCUUCAAAUUGGUUUAAGAAUCAUCUCAAUCCGAUCAUUAUAGCUCAAGUUAUAGCCAAAAUACGAAAAUGUGUCAAAACUGUCAAAAUGCACAAAAUCCAAGUAAAAAGUGAUAAAAACCUCAUUUAAUUACUUAAAAGCAUUUUUCACCAAUUAUAGCCAAAAUGAAUCAUUUUCUUCCAAUAAUGUAACCAAAGUGACUAACAAUAAUAUAAAAUAUCAUACAAUUAUUACAUAAAUUAGUCACUUAUCAGCUUUUAUUGGCAAUUAGGUUUAUUUUUAUUAUUGCACAGGUUCGGCACCUGUCAUUAGGAGUACUGGUUUUGCUGUGGGAUUUUUCGUUUUCUUUGUCAGCUGCGUCAGCUGCAUGGUGCUUUAGAGCAUAAGCCUUUGUUUUGUAUCGAAACAUCACGGCCAAAAUUGCCAAAAGCAUAUCGAAACAUGAACACAAAAUGAAAGAUGUGAGGAAACUUUAAUGAAGAUAUGCCUUGAGAUUUAAACACCAAAGACAAAAGCUCAAAAAAUAUUAUCAACGGAUCAAAAUAAGAACUUGAUUAUUGGUAAAACACUCCAACAAGUUAAGUCGAACCAAGAUCAACAUAAUCAAUUAUUUGAUUUCAAGAGUCAUAACUUUUGCUUGUAAAGAACAAAUAAAGUUAAACAAUUUAUUGCUUUUUUCCCCCCAGUCAGCUGUGUACCUCAACAUUAUUUCACGUCAAAAACUUGUUUUUCCUCGGAUUAAAUACCCUAGCAUCUGAGGUUAUCACCAGUCUCGACACCCAAUUGUCUACAAUAUUCAGUAUAAUACUCAACUCGAGCACUAACUGUGUUUGGAUUUGCACCAUCACAUUCAAGCCGACCAUUAAUGGCACGAAUUGUAGCCCCAAAACCCUGGCCAGAAGUGAUAAGAUCAUGACAAUGGUUCAUCCAAUACCACAAGCCAGUUUUGAAUGAAAUAACAUUAUUUGUAGCUACAGUUUCAGGUUGGCUGAGUCCAUUGAAUCCAAUGCUUUCACCUGCUGGUCCAUAGUUAGAGUUCCAUGAUAACUGUAUUGGACCCCUGCCGUAAUAUCCCUUGCCUGGCACACAUGGAUACUGAGUGUUGCUCUCAUCACAGUAAUCUCUGGAGGGGCCGUCUAUCUCUUCUAUGUAGCACAAAUCUGCGCAAUAUAAAGAAAUUUUGUCACUCAAUUGAAAUGAUUGAUAAAGGGUUAGAAUCAAAGAAAAUCAGGAGGUCUGGAAUUUUUUGUAAAUUUUUAGAUUUGAUUGUUUUACUAAUGAAUUCAAUUGGUGAGAAAAGACUUUAUCCCAUUUUGUAAAAAUUGGGUUGGACAGACCUAAAGUAAACACUCUUUUUAUGAGGUAAAAUUUUAGAAUGAUUUAACAUUAUAGGGUUAUACGAUAGAUAAAUAAAAAUUGGCAAUAGCAAGAUUAAGAAGGGACCAACAGUGAUAUAAAAAUUACAAAGGUAUCAUGGACGUCUAAAAUAUAUUUGGCUAAUAAAUUUGAACUAAUUUACGGCCAAAUUUAGGUGAAAUAGUUAAUUCUACUUGGUAAAUUGGAAGUUCGGAAACGUGUAUCUGUCAGUUGUCAUACUCAUGAGCGAGCCAAUCUUAACUUAAAAAAGAAAAAGAAAAAAAGAAAAAGAAAAAAGGAAUCCAAAAGAUAAAAGUAGAAAAGGCAUGAAUUUUAAAACGUAAUCGUAAUACCUUGUACCCGAAACAAAUAUGUGCAAUACUUAUUAAGCUAAGCAAAGCCACAUGAUCUACUCUUAGAUGCAGCAAAAUAUACAACCACCUUAAGCUUGGAAUGUAAAGGCAGAAAAACUUGCUUAUGUAGAUAUAAAAGUGACCACUACAAGAAAAGUAAAAAGAAUAUGGAGAUAAUAAUCCUUCUGUUCAUCAUGAUAAAUUAUUUAACAGUAAUAAAUCUUUCAUAUUCAAGUUUUAUUUUUUGAAGAAAAAAUUCUUGGAUAAUAGUGCACAGGAGAUUCCAAGAUAUACUAUCUAGAAAUUCACAGGAGCUACUAAAAAAGUAGAAAAUAUCUUCAAAAUUUAAUUUCCAAGCUAGUGUUAUUCAAAACUUACGUCCAGUCUCAUGAGUGACAUGAGCAAAGAAAGCAGCAAUCUCCCUUUUAGAAUCAUCAACAGAACCAGCGGUUCCAAACUGGGGAUACGAGUUCAGAGCUUCAAGAAAAGCUGAUCGAGUAUAGAACCCUUUUCCAGCACAGCUUGAAGCAGCUUGAUCAGCAAUCCCAUUAAAGAAAGCGUCCGUCACAAUAUCAGCAACUGAAACGCCACUAUUACCACUGCUCGGAGCAGCGGUGCAAGGGCCGGAUUGACAGCCAGAGCCGCAGUAGUCGUUGCCGGUACCGCAAUAGCCGAAUUUGCUGCAGCACAAGUCUGGUGCACAGCCGCAGUUUUGGCUUGAAAUCAGCUGUGGAAAGGCUCCUACAAGAACUACAAUGGAGAAAAUGAUGGUUGGAAAACUCUUCAUUUUUGGAUUUGAUAAAGGAGAGAAGCUUGUGGGCAGCAGUUGUAUCAGAAAAAAGGGUAUAUGUAGGGAAGAGAACUGAAAACUGAUCAGCUUGUGUGAAGCAUGCACAGCUGCUAUUGUUGAAAAUAUUGAAUUUGAGCAAUUAAAGAAAACAGAACAGAAGACGAAAGCGUGAAUGGUUGACUUCUAUCGAGAGUAUUGACUUUGACAUUGUCAAUGAAGCGGAAACUUUCUUUCUUGGCUUCUAGAAUGGGAAAGGUCAAAAAGAAAGAUUUUGGCCAAUUCGUAUGAACAAUUGUGAGAAUAAGGCAUGUAGACUCACAAGUCCCCACUAGAAUGUGUGCAAAAAUAUAAUUUGAAGUUGCCUAAAUCAUUUAAUUUCAUGCUUGUUAUUGAGUUUAUUUGCCUAACUGUGUUUUAGUAAUACUUCAAAAUUGUGUUUGAGUUAGAACGGAAAAAAAUAUGAGACAUUUUUUUUUUAAUUGCAAUUCCAGAAAUAAAAUCUUAUAAAACAUGUAUUAGAAAAAUUUUGAGGGUAAAUGAUAUGAAAAAAAAAAAGAAGAAAUAGUUCUAUAAAUUGACAUAAGUGUUCAUCGGCUUUUGGAAAAAUUAAGAAAGAAUAAAGCAGCCGACAUAUCUAUCAUGCAUAACAACAUUAUGUGGCUUUUGUUAGUACACGCUAUGACCAUAUAUGUUUCAUUUGAGAUGCUUGUCGGACGUGUUGAAUUGUUGGCAAUGAAAUGCUCCAAAAUGUCAGCACUAUAGUUUAUAAAUAGUAUUAGGUCAUAGUGAAUUAUCGACAUAUCGUUACAUGCAGAGUCGUGAAAAUAUACAAGUCUUUCCCUAUCAUUAAUUAGUUGGUCAAAUGACAAUUUUAGAGUGGCUGCUGACUAUGUCAAGAAACAUCUUGCAGUAAAUUGGGCGAUUUAAUGUACUUUUCUUUUUCUAAAUAUUUGCACUUAAACUCUCAAAUCGACCAUAGUUUUAACUAAUUUUGCUCUGGCUUUAUUCUUGAUUCGCAAAAUUCAGAAAAACCAAAACAAACCCUUGUUACUGAAGAUAUCAAAAUGGUAACCCAACUAAGUAAUUGAUUUUGAAAAACAUUCUGAACCAAAUUUCAAGUUUUGGUUUCUUUGCUCUUUUUCUACUGAAAGGCAACUUCCCCGGGCCAAGAAAUUGAAACAAAUAGUACGAUGCUUAAGUUUUCUAUGCUCUUAUGAUCAAGUCAAACCAUGCUUAUAAUCAAUUACAUAAAAAAUUACGGGCAAUUUCGUCAUUAUUUGGGAGGAGGAGGAAUAUUAAGCAAAAAAAAAAGUUCUAUUAAGAAAACGAUUAAGCAUAUUAUUUUCCAGGAAUAAAAAAGAACGAGCAGAGAAAUACAUUAGUUUGGAUGACAUUACAACAUUUAGCAACAUGAUUAGGGAUGCAAUGGGAUGGGUGCCAAUUGGGAAUCAAUGGGAUGGGAGAAAAUGCAGGAGGGGAUGGAGGGAUUGAAGAAUAUUUCUCCUCCAACAUUAAAUGGAUACCUCCAUCCCAUCCCCUAAAACCCCUUGUUGCUAUUCCUAAACAGGAUGCUACUUAUAUCCUCUCUCUAUGAGCAUGUGUGGCUAGUGAGGAAUGCAGGAUUUUGAUUUUGGCGGGGGGAGGGUGGGGCAAAUUGACAAUCAAGAAACAAUAGAAAAAAAACCUUAGCAAAUAAAGCACACAAACUUAAAAUGAAAGUUUAAUAUACGAUAAAUAAAAUAUAAAUAUUUUUAAUAAUAAAAUACACCAUAUAAAUAAAAUGAUAGAGCAAUAAUUGGGCACCAUAAGUGCUGUUAUUUGGUCAUAAUGUUGGCUACUUAUCAUGCUAAGUAGUGCAGCUUUGCUCAUAUUUGAUAUUUGUGUAAAUUACAGGCGGUUGGUGUUGAAACUGAUCUCUCGAGGCAAAUUUUCAGAAGACUUUUUAUUUCAGAGCGUGCCGACGCCAGAAACUAUAGAGAGACUCCUCAAAGGUGGACCGCGGGACUAAUUAACUAAACUUACCUUUAUUCCUGCUUGACGCUGCUGGAAGUGCGUUAAAACAAAAAGGCAAUAAUUUCCAGCGAAUUGGGUAACAACCAAUAAGGAGGAAAAUUAGGGGCACUAGCCUACAAAGCCGGACCCCGCGAGACUGGUAGACAAAGUGGGGAAUUAGGAAGUCUUCAAAGCGGCUAUUUUCUCGUGGGCUGCAGAGGUGAAAAGGACAAGUAGUUUGAGUCUUGCAGAGAGCUUUUGAGUUCUCUUACGUUUUGUCUUGCGGUAGCCACCCGGGGGAGGAUUGAAAAAGCCAUAUUCACGUGGGAUUAGGAGAUUAGCUUUAGUUUCUUGUAUCCCUGGGUAGACGAUCUGCUCUCUGCUUUGCUUUUGGCGACUUUCUUUAGACCUUUUUCUUUACUUUUCUCCGGCACGAACACGGAACCAAAAAAGAAGCAAGACUUUUCGUUUGUCUCGUCGUUAUUUCAUCUUUCCCAACUUUUUGGUAAUUAAGUGGAUGGAAUCAAUCAAAUCACGCGAGAUUGAUGUGAUGAGGAGUGGCUAGGUUUCUCUGCUACCCAAAGGUCGACGCGAAGGCGCGGUCCAUAACAUCUGUGAGAUCUAAUCGAACUUUCACUAUUUCUUCCAAUCCGUUACUAUUCGUGCGUUUUCUGGAUUAACUGUUUAUGAUUAUUUUAUUAAUUGAGUAUCAACAGCCGGAUAUUUAAUUUAAUCUAAUAGCCUACUGUCACGUUAACUAAAUUGAAUCCGUAAUUAUUCGUUUAGUUGAUAAUUAGUGACAACCAUCAUAAUUGGCUUUAUGUUGGGAAAAACGUAAGAUCUAAUUUAGAUAAACCCUCUUAUAGCGUGUUUAUUGGUUAGGGUUGGAUUUUUCUAGCGUUAAUGCAACUGAAUAAUUAAAUUCCUACGGUCGUAUCUAGGGUUAUUUUCUGGUUAGAGAAACAGUCAACGGUCGUACCUUGGCUAUCGAAAAAGUAAGAAAAAACUAGCAGUCAGAGCUUGUUGAUCGCUAUAACCAACCUAGUGACGAAUGAGUGAAAUAUCUUUGCAUCGAUGAUCAUUUAAUUGGACCGUGCCUGAAAAGUUGAUCCUUUGGAUAGAAUUUUGCUAAUUGCUAUUUUCAGUGAAUUGUACUUGGCGAGUUAGCUUUUGAAUUUUGUUUAUUUUAUUUUCAUUUUCAUUCCAUUAAAUAUCCCCCAAUUUUGUUCUAUUGACUUGGAAAGAAACAACUUCUUACCCGUUACUUGUGGAAUCGACCCUACUUGCCAUUUUCAGAAACAACUUCUUAAAUUUUAAUCCUUAUGAAACCCAGCUUCUCUCUCAAUUUUCAGAGGUUUCUUUUCCUUCAUCAUGUCAAAGUUGCUAUUAUAAUCACUGUAAUUAGACAGCUAAACCUGUCAUUCCAAUUAUACCCUUGGUCCGCCGUGGGAAAUACAUAAAAUGUGGUAGCGCUGCCCAAUAAGUCCCACAUUGGACCAUAUAAAAUUGUUUAAGGACUAAAUUGGUAAAAAAAAUCGUAAAUGAUGAAAUUGAUUUAAGUGAAAAAGUUCAAGGACCAAAUUGGCAAUUUUUCCUUAUUAUGAUUAUGAUUAUGAUUAUUAUUAUUAUUAUUAUUAUUAGUCUGAGAUGCCGAACAAGUUGUGGAGACUUAUUUCACCUUUACAAGGUCAUUGGAGGGCUUGACGAGGUGCGAUGUGGUAAGGAAAGGCACAAAAAACUCUUUUUUCUUUAUUAAAAAACAUACAAAUUGCACUAAUAAUGGCUGAAAAUGCAUCCAACAUGCAAUAGUGAAAAAUCGUUAGAUGCAAGAUAUAUAAAAGUUAACAAAAAUUAUCUUAGUACCUCUGAUAUAUUCCAAAUUCAGAUAAAUCAUCUGCCCCCAAUGAAUAUAUGUGCAUAUCAUCAUUGUCAAAAAAUAUUUAUGCAUAUCAUUGCCGUUAGAUUUUAUAUUGAAGUGGUUAAAGCUCCAAAUCUAGUAGAGAAGAAAUUCAACACUUGAGAAAAUAAGUUAAGAAAUUCAAGAUUUGACAUACAAAUCUGAAAAGCUCUCAAAUCUAACAAAACAAGAUAUAAAAUUAUCUGAAUAAAACUCUCACUAGAAUAUCUUAGUAGAGAAGAAAAUUCUCACUAGAUAGUCUCACUAUACUUUAUUAGACAUAAAAAAAAAAAAAAGAGAAGUCAAACAGAGGGAGGAAGGCAAUCCUCCAUGGAGGAAAUAAUAAUUGUCUUGAAGGUUGUGUAGAGAGAUGGUGGAGAAACUUCUUUUGUUUUAUCUAUUGGUUAUCUUUCUAAUUGCUAGUUAACGAACAAUAAACUCUAAAUGAAACUACUAAAUUUGCAACCGAAGACAUUUUUGGGCUUGUAUCUUAGUAUCGUAAUCGUCACCCAAUUAGAGCCGCCCAUGACGGCUUCAUUAAAUAUAUAAUUUGGGGGAACCAGGAUUUAAGGCCAAAUUUCGGCAACCUUCAAGGCACUUCAUUGUUUUCUCACAAAUUUUGUUUAUUUAUUGUAAAAGAUUAACUUUAAAGUGUCCUCAAAUUUCUUCCCUAUCUUCUCUCAAACUUUACCAGUGAAAAUUGUUUGUCUUCGGGUUCGUUUGUUUCGGGUGAAAAUGUUUUCCAGAAAAAGUAUUUUCCUAAUUUCCCGUGUUUGAUUGCACAAAAGUUACUGAAAACAUUUUACAUAAAUUUUCACUCAUCUUAUGGAAAACAACUUCCCUUCCAAACUUACUGAAGUUGUUUUCCGAAAUGCAUGCAUCCCGCCUGUAGUAUGUUCCAAACUUACUGAAACCAUCUUGUAGUAUGUUCUUUUUUUUUUUUAGUGUAAACAGGAGGACUCGAACCAAGACCUCUUCCUUACACUCCCUCCCCCGUACCAUCCAACCCAACCCAACCCUCCCCCUAGUAUAUUCAAAAUAAAAAAAAACCUCAUCCUACUCAUCCUAUUCUAGUAAUUAAUUAUGUAUAAUAGGGACAUUCUUUUCUAGAGAAACUUUCAGCAAUGAUAGUGCAAGAUAUAUGUCACAAUAAGCAUUGCAUGUGAUUGAUAUUUGACACUAAAUGGCCAGCAAUUUGUUUAUUGCUUAAGGAGAUAUUUUUUAUUCAUAUAUACAUUUCUCCAAGAUUUUUUAAAGUUAAACAAUGAGAUAAAUUUUCUUAUUUUGCAUGGGAAGAAGUAUGUAGUUAUAAUGUGUAGAAAGUAAAGAUAGAGAUAAAAGUGAAAAUAUUUCAAAAGUUAAACAAACACCAAAAAAAUGAAGUAAGAAAAUAUUUUCAAUAAACUAACCAAACACCUGAAAAUGAUGAAAGAGAAAUGAUUUUCAUGGAAAAUUACUUCCACGGAAAAUAUUUUCCCAAGAAAAACAUUUUACUUCCAACCAAACAGACCCUUCAUCUCGUUGAUUGUCUCCCCCAGUGCAUACAAAUGUAUUAUGGGCAUUUUGGUGAAAGAAAGGCAUAAACUGAGUUCUGCACAACUAAAUUUUGCCAAUAGCAUAUGAAAAUAUGAAGAAGAAUAAUAAUAAAUGAAGGGUCUGUCUAAUAAGUAUUCAUAGGGAACCAUUGAAAUAUAUCUCAAGUGUCAUGUUUUUGGAAAUGUAAAAUUAAUAGAAAAAAUAAAUAAAUACAAGAGAGAGUAGAUAAAAUUAAAUAAGAAAAGUUAAUAAUUGUUAAUAGAUAUAUAUACAUAAUAGAUUAGAUGAACGUUAAAUAUGUUAACAAGUACCUUAUUAGCACCCGUUAAAAAAAGCUAUAAAUGAAAGAUGUGAUCACCAAAUCAUUGACAAAGAAAUGUGUUGAAAAUGAAACAAGAAAGUCAAACAUGAUAAGGGAUCAAAAAUGGAAUUUAAUAAUUGCAGAUACUCCAAGAAGUUGAGUUGAAAUCAGUUAUCCGAUUUCAAAUUCACAACUUCUGCUGUCAAAGAACUACAAAGGGACUCAACUUCUGCUAAUUUAUAUUAGUUUCGAAACUCUUACAAGUACCCUAGCAUCUGAGAUUAUCACCGGGAUCAACACCCAACUGGUUACAAUAUUCAGCAUAAUACUCAACACGAGCACUAACAGUGUCCGGAUUUGCACCAUCACAUUCAAGCUGUCCGUUAACGGCACGAAUUGUAGCCCCAAAACCCUGGCCAGAAGUGAUAAGAUCAUGACAAUUGUUCAUCCAGAACCACAAGGCAGUUUUGAAUGAAAUAACAUUAUCUGUGGCCACAGUUUCAGGUUCAGUUAGUCCAUCGAACCCUAUGCUUUCACCUGCUGGUCCAUAGUUAAAGUUCCAAGAUAUUUGUAUUGGACCCCUGCCGUAAUAUCCCUUGCCUGGCACACAAGGGUACUGAGUGUUGCGCUCAUCACAAUAGUCUUUGGAAGGGCCGUCUAUCUCUUCUAUAUAGCACAUAUCUGCACAAUAUAGAGAAGUCUGUAUCAAUUAUCACUGCAUUCAAUUGCUUAUAUGAAAGCCACUCAUUGAUACAUUAUGGAUUUUAGAUAUUUUUACUAUUAAAAAACCUAUAAUCUAAAUACAAAAUAAAUGAGAACAUAAAAAAAAUUAAUUAUUUAAAAUCAGAAUCUAUAGUCAGUUAUAAUAAUCAAUCAAGAACAACCCCAAAAAAUGUCAUCAAUAUUUAAGAAGGGACCAUAUGUGAUAAAGAAAUUAUAAAGUUAUAAGUAAUCACAGACUAAAUAAAUAACCAAUACAACAAAGUAGAAAAAAUUAACGUCAAAGUGGGACGGAGGGAGUAUAUGUUUUUCUUGGUAUCCUAGCAAUAUGAUAGUUGGAGCAAUAACCAUUGUCAAAUUUUGGUGUUUGAUUGUUGCUCUCAUGCUUGAGGGCAAGCAUGGUUCAGGUGUGAGGAGAAUUGAUAGGGUGUUAAUUGUUAGUAAUUUUAUUGUUAAUUUUCCCUUUUAUCCUUGCCAAAUAUUGUUUUAAUUAUUAAUAUUUACUUAUAUUUGGUAUUUGGACUCAAUUUCAGGGAAUAGAGUAGAAAACUACAAAAAAGGAGGGACUUUAUGGAGACAAUGGAGACUUCAAACAACCGGGGCCACAUGGUGCCACAAACGGAUGGCAUUUCCUUUUUACUGAUUAGGAGUUGAAGUCUUUGAUGGGCAACAGGAAACGAAAAGUAGAGAAAAAUUCGGCAGAGCUUUCUUUUUGUACUUGGACUCCCAAUUCGUUGGGGACCACAGAGAGCAUUAAGGAGUCAUACUUUUGCUUGGAAUAAAAAGAACGUAUAGAGGCUAGGGAUAGUUUUUAGCAAUAGUUUAGUUUUCUUCCUUUUUCCUUUUCAUGCAUGCCUACUGUUCGACAAAAGUCCCAACUGGAGAAAUAUCUUUCACCUCUUGAUUAUUUAGUGAAAAACCCGAUGCCUUUGCAAUCAAUUAAUUUGCGUGGAAAUUUAUUUAUGCGGCGUGGCUAAACUUUUCAUCUAGUCAAGGAUCAACUCGACGGCGCAGUCCCGAAUAUCUGUGAGAUCUAAUUAGUUUUCACGCGUUCUUAAUUUGUUAAUAAUUGCGCGUUGUCUAUUCGAAUUUCCAUGGGAUUAUUUUGUUAAUUGGAUGUCAAGGGAUCGAUGUUCAAUGUGACUUAUUAAUCUCCUGCCAAAUUAGUCAAUUAAAUCCAUAAUUGUUUGAUUGGUUAAUAUUAGUGGCAACUGGCGUGUUUACACACCAGGGGAACGUGCAAUCUAAUUUAAAUAACCCUCGUAGCGUGUUAUUGAUUGGGGUUAGGUUUUUCUAGUUAUUAAUGCAAUUGAAAAAUUAAUUCCUACGGUCGUACCUAGGAGUAUUUUCUGGUUAGGGGUAAUCAAUGGUUGUACCUUGGUUAUCAAUAAAUUAAAGAAAAAUUGGUCGUUAGAGUUCGUCGGCGACUAUAACUAGUCUAUUAAUAAAUUAAGUGAACCUCCCUUACAUCAAUGAUCGGGUAAGUGGACUAUGUUUGAAUAGUUGUAUUCUUGGUUAGAAUUUAUCUAUUCUUGAAUUAAUUCCUGUGUAUAUUCGUGUUAGUUAAUUAUUCGUUUUAUUUGAAUUGCUUAAUUAUUUGUAGUUUUAUUCUGAUGAAACACCCAUUUUACCAAUUGGAAUCUCAAAGAGACAAAUAUCCUCAAUUCCUGAGGAGACGUGUGAGAACCCGUAUUUUCCCUAAUAAUUUUCCUAGGGUUUUUCCCCUUUAAUGGCAUGUUUUCUGCAUUUUCUGGCUUAGAAAAUUUUCCUGGUGAAUUUUAUGAGUAAUUAUAGUUUUUAGAUGAUUUUUCUAGCAUUGGAUAGUUUUUGAAAAAUUACGGAUAUAUAACGGACGUGGGGCCCACUAGUGCGAAAAGUUCGGAAAAAUUCGGUCAAUAAGGUUAAGUUCCGGAUACUGAGUGAAAUUUAUCGGGUGUUAAGAGAUAAGUAUAGGAUGUGAUGUGAUUGAUGUGAGAGGAAAACAAAAGGAUAGAAAUGCAUUAAUGAAGUGACACUUGUCAUGUUGGGAUUGGUUUCACUUGUUGACAACUAUUCAUUUUUUUUGACUUUUCUUACCAAUUGAUUAAAUAUCUCAAAAAUCACAAAAAAAUUCACUCUUGUCUUCACCUUCUUGGCCGGCCACCUUGAGCUUAAGAAGGAAGAAAACUCUUCAAAAUCUUGGCUACCAUCUAGCUCAAAUCCUCCAAAACAAUUGCUUGAUCUUGUUUCUACUCCAUAAAAUCUCUCCAUUUGGUACUAGUAAGUGAUUUGGUGAAGUGUUUAAGGAAGCUAAGGUGUCCAACAACUCUCCCUCUCUUGUUUACUAGGUGAGUGGUGAUUGAACUUCCUCCUACACUUAAUGAAGCUUAAGUUGUGCUUAGUGGUAGCUAAAGUGCUGAAAUUUGUGGUUUAUUUCUUGGUUUGAGAUGAAAUGAUGAAGUUUUCAAUUUAAUGGUGUAUUUUCUGGUUUAAUGUGAUCAUGAUGUUGUGGUUAUCUAUGAUGGUUGGUAAUGAAGGGUAAUGACUCUAGUAGGUGUACAUGAUUGGUAAUUGCAAGCAAUUUUGGGUUUGGAAGGAAUUUGAGAAAGUUAGGGUUUUAUAUCCCCAAUUCUGUCCGAUUUUGUAUCUCAUGGUUAGAGGCCGAAUUGGCCUUGUCUUAAAACAUGAAAGUUGUAGGUAUUGAUGUGUUUGAGGUGCCUGUAAAAUUUCAGGUUCAUCGGAGUUGUGUAGAGUGAGAAAAGUCGAUUUUACUGUUGCUGUUCUGGGUUCUUCAGGAUGGCCGAACUGCGUCUGUAAUUGGUGGUUUUGGCUGGAAUUGCUUUGGAUUUGGUUGUUGAGGCCUUCUGAUGAAAUGUAGCUUGAUGUCUUAGCUACCGCAUGCCUUUGGUAUGAAUGAAUUUGGACUUGUAUAGACUGAGUUGGACUAAUUACAGCAUAGUGUAUUUUGUAAACCUGCAAUUAAGGUUCUGGUUUGGUAUUUUGCAUAUUUGACCUAGUUGUGCUAGGAAUUGGACUGAGUGACCUUCUACAUUGUUGUAGCCCUGUUUCUUAGCUUCGAAACGGUGGGUCUUACACCCUCAUCCGAUAAGCGUAGUGCAAUUUGUGCCAUUACCGCAAACUGAGGACAAAACUGUUUUUUUUUCAGGGCCAAGUUAGUUACAUUUCCUGAUUUUCUGGUUUGCUAUAAUGCUUAUAUAUGAAUAUGAAACCCUAUUGGGGUUGUGAUUGGCAUGGCUUUAUGACUCGUUAUCGAGUCUCAUUGUAUUUGUUUACGUGUUUUAGGACGUGACGAGGGUUCACGACGACCUUUUAACGACGGUGCAUGAAACAUCACCUACUUGAGUAGUGAGUAUACUACUCACUUGAAUGUUUAUAAUGUGGCUUUGCUAUAUGUGAUUGUGAUGCCUUGAAGGCUUGUUUGGCUAUUGGACAUGGUUAAGGUGAGGGUGUACUUGACCGCCCUCAUCCUUUUUAUCUUGUUAAUGACUGUUUACCGUUUCACUGUAAUACUGCACUUGCUAUAUGAGAUAUUGAAUUCCAUUCAUGGGAAACUGUUUGGGUGUCGGUUGGACGAGUAUCCAACGGCCCUACUGCAUUACUGAGCUCGACCCCGUUGGUAGUUACUUGAAUCGAGCCAGCGAGGGCUUGGUCGUGAAAAUUGACUAGCCACGGGGACUGAAAUGGGAAUCUUGUGGUAAUGAGACCCUUGGUUCCGGUGUACUCGAGUAUCACCUAAAGCUACUGCUUGGAGUGCGGGCCCGGUUGGGGUAUGUUGGGUGGAAGGAAUGGAAGUGAAGUGAGGUCUACGGUCGGGUAUUCUUAAACAUUGACGGAGGGUCAAUGAGGUUGGAUCAAGAAUGUAAGCGUGGAAAUGGGCUCUUGAGAGCCGUCCGUAUCCUUUUACCGACUUGUUUUAUUUCUUAAUUGCGUACUUGAGAUGAAAGUUAAGUGAUCUUUGUUGAUUAUGUGAUAGUUGCUCACUGAGCUUUAGCUCACUCCGUUCCAUUUGUUUUCCUUACAGGAAAAAUGACUAUUUUGGGAAAGGUUGUGCUAGUUGGUUGUCAAGUUGAGCUCAUGUAAAUGUAUAUUUUGAAUAGCUCCUUGAGGGUGAAAACCCUAAGUGUUUUGUUUCAACCAAUGGUUGGUUUGUAAUUGGCCAAUUGCACAUGUGUGAACUUGUUGGAUAUUUUGGUAUACCGCUUUGGCUUGUAAAUGUUAAAUUUCGAUGUAUAUAUGUUGGAUUGAUGUUUGGUUGAACUCCGGAUUCUGACAUGGCCGGUACUGUUCAUCAUCGGCUUCGAUUUUCAUAUUUUUUUUAUUUUGUGAUUUUGACUUGUUUGCGCGCGUUGGUGUGUUCCGGAACGUAGUAGAUCGACGUAAACUGAUCCGUUAGUCCUGGCGAGAGCUGGGCAGCCAGUCCGCUAACCCCUUUGGUUCGCCUUAGGGGAAGGUGGGGCUGUUACAAGACGACCCUACUUGCCACUGUCUGCCAAUUAGUAAAUUUUGUCAAAUAAUUAAUUCUGGUAUAUCGGAUUAAGCAAACUCUUCGAGAACAGGGUGAAUCAAGUAACCCAUUGCACACCUAGAGUCCCUGCUCCAGUACUUAGAAUUGAUUAUCGACUACUUUUGACGGGCGUAGGGUAUACAUAUAACAUUAAGCUCAUCCUAAUCAAGUUUUACAUUUAUAAACUCCUAAAUACCCUACACGCGAUUUAUCGCAAGUAUACGAAUCGUGAGCGAGUAUAGGGUAUUAAAAGUCGAUCUCACAAUGAAGAUUGCAAUUACCGGCACUACUAAAGCUUCUCUAUUAUUUAGACUAUCAAUGAAUUAUAACAAAUUUAACCUACUGAACUUAUGCAAGAAAAUAACAAAUGAAAGCUCCUUAAGUUGUGGUAUCCCUAACUACUCAUGCAAGUGCUAUAUUUGGAUCAUUGAAUACUACUAUCUAGGCUAGUUAUGGUGUAAUUUCCUUAAACAUGUGAAACCUACUUUCGUAGUGAAUCAACUAUAUUCAUAACUAAUCCAUACAUAUUCUCAUGGUUAUGAAAUUAGCUACAAGUUCAUUUCUUCAAUGAAAUUAAUCACUAAAAUCACAUAGGUGCACCUCUACUCUCGUGAGCGUACUCCCUAUGUUUAGCACUUCUUAAACUAGUGUUAAAUCUCAAUUUUCAUUGCAGAAACAACACCUUAAAUAAUCACAAUCAAUGGUACCAGAUUAAUCAUGAUUUAAAGAGCCAAAGUACUAAAUAACUUGCUCAAAUCAUAGCAAUCAAAUAACCAAAUAAUAAAUACUAACAAUUAUAGAAAGUUCAACCAAACCCAAGGCAUAAACGUUAGAGACACAUAUUAAACACAAAAUCCAGAACUUGCAUAUCAACUAAACUUAGAAUCCAAUACAAAAGAUAAAGAGUUGGAAAAGAGAUAACCAUUGUCACAUGAGCUUCAACUCCUCCUUUUUCAUCUCCAUUUUCAUCCUAAUCUAGCUAAUAUACAAGAAUGGAAGAGCUAUACUAUUCUAAACUAAACUAUCCUACUACUCAGAAAGUGCAAGAGCUACAUCUCUGCACUCCAAGUUUCUCCUGUAUGUCUCUCUAUUCUCCCUUCAAUCUUGCAAGCUUUGGCUAUAUAAAGGUGAAAGUUGGUCAAGAAGUGAGGUUUACACCUCCCUUUUACAGCUGGGAAUGUUUCUCACAUGUCUAGCAUCACCUGUGACUUAGUGGAGGUGAAAUUGAGUUUCCCACGUAAAGAGCAGCCUUCUCUGACCACAAUCCGGCCAGAAAUCUGGCCAAGUUCCGGCCGGAUUGCUACAGUGACAUUUUGGUGCACUUUUGUUCAAUUUCCAGCUCUGCUCCAAUUUUGUGUCAAUUUCAACUGAACUUUUGUUGAUGAUAAAAGCUGAUUUAGCUCUUGAUCAACAUAAAACUUGUAGCCCUUUGAGUUAGCUUUCCAAUGCAUCAAGAAUCACCUCAUUUGGAUCUGUGUAGGCUGAGAAAUGACCGAAAUACCUUUGACUGCUCACUGCCCUAUUUCAGCUUCGACCAAUAGAAAUUAGCUACUGUAAUUCGGCUUUUUAACCUGGAAAACCUUCAAAAUAGAUUCAGAUGUCUUCACCAAAGUUGUAGAUCUAUCUCUUAUCUUCAAAUUGGUUUAAGAAUCAUCUCAAUCCGAUCAUUAUAGCUCAAGUUAUAGCCAAAAUACGAAAAUGUGUCAAAACUGUCAAAAUGCACAAAAUCCAAGUAAAAAGUGAUAAAAACCUCAUUUAAUUACUUAAAAGCAUUUUUCACCAAUUAUAGCCAAAAUGAAUCAUUUUCUUCCAAUAAUGUAACCAAAGUGACUAACAAUAAUAUAAAAUAUCAUACAAUUAUUACAUAAAUUAGUCACUUAUCAGCUUUUAUUGGCAAUUAGGUUUAUUUUUAUUAUUGCACAGGUUCGGCACCUGUCAUUAGGAGUACUGGUUUUGCUGUGGGAUUUUUCGUUUUCUUUGUCAGCUGCGUCAGCUGCAUGGUGCUUUAGAGCAUAAGCCUUUGUUUUGUAUCGAAACAUCACGGCCAAAAUUGCCAAAAGCAUAUCGAAACAUGAACACAAAAUGAAAGAUGUGAGGAAACUUUAAUGAAGAUAUGCCUUGAGAUUUAAACACCAAAGACAAAAGCUCAAAAAAUAUUAUCAACGGAUCAAAAUAAGAACUUGAUUAUUGGUAAAACACUCCAACAAGUUAAGUCGAACCAAGAUCAACAUAAUCAAUUAUUUGAUUUCAAGAGUCAUAACUUUUGCUUGUAAAGAACAAAUAAAGUUAAACAAUUUAUUGCUUUUUUCCCCCCAGUCAGCUGUGUACCUCAACAUUAUUUCACGUCAAAAACUUGUUUUUCCUCGGAUUAAAUACCCUAGCAUCUGAGGUUAUCACCAGUCUCGACACCCAAUUGUCUACAAUAUUCAGUAUAAUACUCAACUCGAGCACUAACUGUGUUUGGAUUUGCACCAUCACAUUCAAGCCGACCAUUAAUGGCACGAAUUGUAGCCCCAAAACCCUGGCCAGAAGUGAUAAGAUCAUGACAAUGGUUCAUCCAAUACCACAAGCCAGUUUUGAAUGAAAUAACAUUAUUUGUAGCUACAGUUUCAGGUUGGCUGAGUCCAUUGAAUCCAAUGCUUUCACCUGCUGGUCCAUAGUUAGAGUUCCAUGAUAACUGUAUUGGACCCCUGCCGUAAUAUCCCUUGCCUGGCACACAUGGAUACUGAGUGUUGCUCUCAUCACAGUAAUCUCUGGAGGGGCCGUCUAUCUCUUCUAUGUAGCACAAAUCUGCGCAAUAUAAAGAAAUUUUGUCACUCAAUUGAAAUGAUUGAUAAAGGGUUAGAAUCAAAGAAAAUCAGGAGGUCUGGAAUUUUUUGUAAAUUUUUAGAUUUGAUUGUUUUACUAAUGAAUUCAAUUGGUGAGAAAAGACUUUAUCCCAUUUUGUAAAAAUUGGGUUGGACAGACCUAAAGUAAACACUCUUUUUAUGAGGUAAAAUUUUAGAAUGAUUUAACAUUAUAGGGUUAUACGAUAGAUAAAUAAAAAUUGGCAAUAGCAAGAUUAAGAAGGGACCAACAGUGAUAUAAAAAUUACAAAGGUAUCAUGGACGUCUAAAAUAUAUUUGGCUAAUAAAUUUGAACUAAUUUACGGCCAAAUUUAGGUGAAAUAGUUAAUUCUACUUGGUAAAUUGGAAGUUCGGAAACGUGUAUCUGUCAGUUGUCAUACUCAUGAGCGAGCCAAUCUUAACUUAAAAAAGAAAAAGAAAAAAAGAAAAAGAAAAAAGGAAUCCAAAAGAUAAAAGUAGAAAAGGCAUGAAUUUUAAAACGUAAUCGUAAUACCUUGUACCCGAAACAAAUAUGUGCAAUACUUAUUAAGCUAAGCAAAGCCACAUGAUCUACUCUUAGAUGCAGCAAAAUAUACAACCACCUUAAGCUUGGAAUGUAAAGGCAGAAAAACUUGCUUAUGUAGAUAUAAAAGUGACCACUACAAGAAAAGUAAAAAGAAUAUGGAGAUAAUAAUCCUUCUGUUCAUCAUGAUAAAUUAUUUAACAGUAAUAAAUCUUUCAUAUUCAAGUUUUAUUUUUUGAAGAAAAAAUUCUUGGAUAAUAGUGCACAGGAGAUUCCAAGAUAUACUAUCUAGAAAUUCACAGGAGCUACUAAAAAAGUAGAAAAUAUCUUCAAAAUUUAAUUUCCAAGCUAGUGUUAUUCAAAACUUACGUCCAGUCUCAUGAGUGACAUGAGCAAAGAAAGCAGCAAUCUCCCUUUUAGAAUCAUCAACAGAACCAGCGGUUCCAAACUGGGGAUACGAGUUCAGAGCUUCAAGAAAAGCUGAUCGAGUAUAGAACCCUUUUCCAGCACAGCUUGAAGCAGCUUGAUCAGCAAUCCCAUUAAAGAAAGCGUCCGUCACAAUAUCAGCAACUGAAACGCCACUAUUACCACUGCUCGGAGCAGCGGUGCAAGGGCCGGAUUGACAGCCAGAGCCGCAGUAGUCGUUGCCGGUACCGCAAUAGCCGAAUUUGCUGCAGCACAAGUCUGGUGCACAGCCGCAGUUUUGGCUUGAAAUCAGCUGUGGAAAGGCUCCUACAAGAACUACAAUGGAGAAAAUGAUGGUUGGAAAACUCUUCAUUUUUGGAUUUGAUAAAGGAGAGAAGCUUGUGGGCAGCAGUUGUAUCAGAAAAAAGGGUAUAUGUAGGGAAGAGAACUGAAAACUGAUCAGCUUGUGUGAAGCAUGCACAGCUGCUAUUGUUGAAAAUAUUGAAUUUGAGCAAUUAAAGAAAACAGAACAGAAGACGAAAGCGUGAAUGGUUGACUUCUAUCGAGAGUAUUGACUUUGACAUUGUCAAUGAAGCGGAAACUUUCUUUCUUGGCUUCUAGAAUGGGAAAGGUCAAAAAGAAAGAUUUUGGCCAAUUCGUAUGAACAAUUGUGAGAAUAAGGCAUGUAGACUCACAAGUCCCCACUAGAAUGUGUGCAAAAAUAUAAUUUGAAGUUGCCUAAAUCAUUUAAUUUCAUGCUUGUUAUUGAGUUUAUUUGCCUAACUGUGUUUUAGUAAUACUUCAAAAUUGUGUUUGAGUUAGAACGGAAAAAAAUAUGAGACAUUUUUUUUUUAAUUGCAAUUCCAGAAAUAAAAUCUUAUAAAACAUGUAUUAGAAAAAUUUUGAGGGUAAAUGAUAUGAAAAAAAAAAAGAAGAAAUAGUUCUAUAAAUUGACAUAAGUGUUCAUCGGCUUUUGGAAAAAUUAAGAAAGAAUAAAGCAGCCGACAUAUCUAUCAUGCAUAACAACAUUAUGUGGCUUUUGUUAGUACACGCUAUGACCAUAUAUGUUUCAUUUGAGAUGCUUGUCGGACGUGUUGAAUUGUUGGCAAUGAAAUGCUCCAAAAUGUCAGCACUAUAGUUUAUAAAUAGUAUUAGGUCAUACUGAAUUAUCGACAUAUCGUUACAUGCAGAGUCGUGAAAAUAUACAAGUCUUUCCCUAUCAUUAAUUAGUUGGUCAAAUGACAAUUUUAGAGUGGCUGCUGACUAUGUCAAGAAACAUCUUGCAGUAAAUUGGGCGAGUUAAUGUACUUUUCUUUUUCUAAAUAUUUGCACUUAAACUCUCAAAUCGACCAUAGUUUUAACUAAUUUUGCUCUGGCUUUAUUCUUGAUUCGCAAAAUUCAGAAAAACCAAAACAAACCCUUGUUACUGAAGAUAUCAAAAUGGUAACCCAACUAAGUAAUUGAUUUUGAAAAACAUUCUGAACCAAAUUUCAAGUUUUGGUUUCUUUGCUCUUUUUCUACUGAAAGGCAACUUCCCCGGGCCAAGAAAUUGAAACAAAUAGUACGAUGCUUAAGUUUUCUAUGCUCUUAUGAUCAAGUCAAACCAUGCUUAUAAUCAAUUACAUAAAAAAUUACGGGCAAUUUCGUCAUUAUUUGGGAGGAGGAGGAAUAUUAAGCAAAAAAAAAAGUUCUAUUAAGAAAACGAUUAAGCAUAUUAUUUUCCAGGAAUAAAAAAGAACGAGCAGAGAAAUACAUUAGUUUGGAUGACAUUACAACAUUUAGCAACAUGAUUAGGGAUGCAAUGGGAUGGGUGCCAAUUGGGAAUCAAUGGGAUGGGAGAAAAUGCAGGAGGGGAUGGAGGGAUUGAAGAAUAUUUCUCCUCCAACAUUAAAUGGAUACCUCCAUCCCAUCCCCUAAAACCCCUUGUUGCUAUUCCUAAACAGGAUGCUACUUAUAUCCUCUCUCUAUGAGCAUGUGUGGCUAGUGAGGAAUGCAGGAUUUUGAUUUUGGCGGGGGGAGGGUGGGGCAAAUUGACAAUCAAGAAACAAUAGAAAAAAAACCUUAGCAAAUAAAGCACACAAACUUAAAAUGAAAGUUUAAUAUACGAUAAAUAAAAUAUAAAUAUUUUUAAUAAUAAAAUACACCAUAUAAAUAAAAUGAUAGAGCAAUAAUUGGGCACCAUAAGUGCUGUUAUUUGGUCAUAAUGUUGGCUACUUAUCAUGCUAAGUAGUGCAGCUUUGCUCAUAUUUGAUAUUUGUGUAAAUUACAGGCGGUUGGUGUUGAAACUGAUCUCUCGAGGCAAAUUUUCAGAAGACUUUUUAUUUCAGAGCGUGCCGACGCCAGAAACUAUAGAGAGACUCCUCAAAGGUGGACCGCGGGACUAAUUAACUAAACUUACCUUUAUUCCUGCUUGACGCUGCUGGAAGUGCGUUAAAACAAAAAGGCAAUAAUUUCCAGCGAAUUGGGUAACAACCAAUAAGGAGGAAAAUUAGGGGCACUAGCCUACAAAGCCGGACCCGCGAGACUGGUAGACAAAGUGGGGAAUUAGGAAGUCUUCAAAGCGGCUAUUUUCUCGUGGGCUGCAGAGGUGAAAAGGACAAGUAGUUUGAGUCUUGCAGAGAGCUUUUGAGUUCUCUUACGUUUUGUCUUGCGGUAGCCACCCGGGGGAGGAUUGAAAAAGCCAUAUUCACGUGGGAUUAGGAGAUUAGCUUUAGUUUCUUGUAUCCCUGGGUAGACGAUCUGCUCUCUGCUUUGCUUUUGGCGACUUUCUUUAGACCUUUUUCUUUACUUUUCUCCGGCACGAACAGGGAACCAAAAAAGAAGCAAGACUUUUCGUUUGUCUCGUCGUUAUUUCAUCUUUCCCAACUUUUUGGUAAUUAAGUGGAUGGAAUCAAUCAAAUCACGCGAGAUUGAUGUGAUGAGGAGUGGCUAGGUUUCUCUGCUACCCAAAGGUCGACGCGAAGGCGCGGUCCAUAACAUCUGUGAGAUCUAAUCGAACUUUCACUAUUUCUUCCAAUCCGUUACUAUUCGUGCGUUUUCUGGAUUAACUGUUUAUGGUUAUUUUAUUAAUUGAGUAUCAACAGCCGGAUAUUUAAUUUAAUCUAAUAGCCUACUGUCACGUUAACUAAAUUGAAUCCGUAAUUAUUCGUUUAGUUGAUAAUUAGUGACAACCAUCAUAAUUGGCUUUAUGUUGGGAAAAACGUAAGAUCUAAUUUAGAUAAACCCUCUUAUAGCGUGUUUAUUGGUUAGGGUUGGAUUUUUCUAGCGUUAAUGCAACUGAAUAAUUAAAUUCCUACGGUCGUAUCUAGGGUUAUUUUCUGGUUAGAGAAACAGUCAACGGUCGUACCUUGGCUAUCGAAAAAGUAAGAAAAAACUAGCAGUCAGAGCUUGUUGAUCGCUAUAACCAACCUAGUGACGAAUGAGUGAAAUAUCUUUGCAUCGAUGAUCAUUUAAUUGGACCGUGCCUGAAAAGUUGAUCCUUUGGAUAGAAUUUUGCUAAUUGCUAUUUUCAGUGAAUUGUACUUGGCGAGUUAGCUUUUGAAUUUUGUUUAUUUUAUUUUCAUUUUCAUUCCAUUAAAUAUCCCCCAAUUUUGUUCUAUUGACUUGGAAAGAAACAACUUCUUACCCGUUACUUGUGGAAUCGACCCUACUUGCCAUUUUCAGAAACAACUUCUUAAUUUUAAUCCUUAUGAAACCCAGCUUCUCUCUCAAUUUUCAGAGGUUUCUUUUCCUUCAUCAUGUCAAAGUUGCUAUUAUAAUCACUGUAAUUAGACAGCUAAACCUGUCAUUCCAAUUAUACCCUUGGUCCGCCGUGGGAAAUACAUAAAAUGUGGUAGCGCUGCCCAAUAAGUCCCACAUUGGACCAUAUAAAAUUGUUUAAGGACUAAAUUGGUAAAAAAAAUCGUAAAUGAUGAAAUUGAUUUAAGUGAAAAAGUUCAAGGACCAAAUUGGCAAUUUUUCCUUAUUAUGAUUAUGAUUAUGAUUAUUAUUAUUAUUAUUAUUAUUAGUCUGAGAUGCCGAACAAGUUGUGGAGACUUAUUUCACCUUUACAAGGUCAUUGGAGGGCUUGACGAGGUGCGAUGUGGUAAGGAAAGGCACAAAAAACUCUUUUUUCUUUAUUAAAAAACAUACAAAUUGCACUAAUAAUGGCUGAAAAUGCAUCCAACAUGCAAUAGUGAAAAAUCGUUAGAUGCAAGAUAUAUAAAAGUUAACAAAAAUUAUCUUAGUACCUCUGAUAUAUUCCAAAUUCAGAUAAAUCAUCUGCCCCCAAUGAAUAUAUGUGCAUAUCAUCAUUGUCAAAAAAUAUUUAUGCAUAUCAUUGCCGUUAGAUUUUAUAUUGAAGUGGUUAAAGCUCCAAAUCUAGUAGAGAAGAAAUUCAACACUUGAGAAAAUAAGUUAAGAAAUUCAAGAUUUGACAUACAAAUCUGAAAAGCUCUCAAAUCUAACAAAACAAGAUAUAAAAUUAUCUGAAUAAAACUCUCACUAGAAUAUCUUAGUAGAGAAGAAAAUUCUCACUAGAUAGUCUCACUAUACUUUAUUAGACAUAAAAAAAAAAAAAAGAGAAGUCAAACAGAGGGAGGAAGGCAAUCCUCCAUGGAGGAAAUAAUAAUUGUCUUGAAGGUUGUGUAGAGAGAUGGUGGAGAAACUUCUUUUGUUUUAUCUAUUGGUUAUCUUUCUAAUUGCUAGUUAACGAACAAUAAACUCUAAAUGAAACUACUAAAUUUGCAACCGAAGACAUUUUUGGGCUUGUAUCUUAGUAUCGUAAUCGUCACCCAAUUAGAGCCGCCCAUGACGGCUUCAUUAAAUAUAUAAUUUGGGGGAACCAGGAUUUAAGGCCAAAUUUCGGCAACCUUCAAGGCACUUCAUUGUUUUCUCACAAAUUUUGUUUAUUUAUUGUAAAAGAUUAACUUUAAAGUGUCCUCAAAUUUCUUCCCUAUCUUCUCUCAAACUUUACCAGUGAAAAUUGUUUGUCUUCGGGUUCGUUUGUUUCGGGUGAAAAUGUUUUCCAGAAAAAGUAUUUUCCUAAUUUCCCGUGUUUGAUUGCACAAAAGUUACUGAAAACAUUUUACAUAAAUUUUCACUCAUCUUAUGGAAAACAACUUCCCUUCCAAACUUACUGAAGUUGUUUUCCGAAAUGCAUGCAUCCCGCCUGUAGUAUGUUCCAAACUUACUGAAACCAUCUUGUAGUAUGUUCUUUUUUUUUUUUAGUGUAAACAGGAGGACUCGAACCAAGACCUCUUCCUUACACUCCCUCCCCCGUACCAUCCAACCCAACCCAACCCUCCCCCUAGUAUAUUCAAAAUAAAAAAAAACCUCAUCCUACUCAUCCUAUUCUAGUAAUUAAUUAUGUAUAAUAGGGACAUUCUUUUCUAGAGAAACUUUCAGCAAUGAUAGUGCAAGAUAUAUGUCACAAUAAGCAUUGCAUGUGAUUGAUAUUUGACACUAAAUGGCCAGCAAUUUGUUUAUUGCUUAAGGAGAUAUUUUUUAUUCAUAUAUACAUUUCUCCAAGAUUUUUUAAAGUUAAACAAUGAGAUAAAUUUUCUUAUUUUGCAUGGGAAGAAGUAUGUAGUUAUAAUGUGUAGAAAGUAAAGAUAGAGAUAAAAGUGAAAAUAUUUCAAAAGUUAAACAAACACCAAAAAAAUGAAGUAAGAAAAUAUUUUCAAUAAACUAACCAAACACCUGAAAAUGAUGAAAGAGAAAUGAUUUUCAUGGAAAAUUACUUCCACGGAAAAUAUUUUCCCAAGAAAAAUAUUUUACUUCCAACCAAACAGACCCUUCAUCUCGUUGAUUGUCUCCCCCAGUGCAUACAAAUGUAUUAUGGGCAUUUUGGUGAAAGAAAGGCAUAAACCGAGUUCUGCACAACUAAAUUUUGCCAAUAGCAUAUGAAAAUAUGAAGAAGAAUAAUAAUAAAUGAAGGGUCUGUCUAAUAAGUAUUCAUAGGGAACCAUUGAAAUAUAUCUCAAGUGUCAUGUUUUUGGAAAUGUAAAAUUAAUAGAAAAAAUAAAUAAAUACAAGAGAGAGUAGAUAAAAUUAAAUAAGAAAAGUUAAUAAUUGUUAAUAGAUAUAUAUACAUAAUAGAUUAGAUGAACGUUAAAUAUGUUAACAAGUACCUUAUUAGCACCCGUUAAAAAAACCUAUAAAUGAAAGAUGUGAUCACCAAAUCAUUGACAAAGAAAUGUGUUGAAAAUGAAACAAGAAAGUCAAACAUGAUAAGGGAUCAAAAAUGGAAUUUAAUAAUUGCAGAUACUCCAAGAAGUUGAGUUGAAAUCAGUUAUCCGAUUUCAAAUUCACAACUUCUGCUGUCAAAGAACUACAAAGGGACUCAACUUCUGCUAAUUUAUAUUAGUUUCGAAACUCUUACAAGUACCCUAGCAUCUGAGAUUAUCACCGGGAUCAACACCCAACUGGUUACAAUAUUCAGCAUAAUACUCAACACGAGCACUAACAGUGUCCGGAUUUGCACCAUCACAUUCAAGCUGUCCGUUAACGGCACGAAUUGUAGCCCCAAAACCCUGGCCAGAAGUGAUAAGAUCAUGACAAUUGUUCAUCCAGAACCACAAGGCAGUUUUGAAUGAAAUAACAUUAUCUGUGGCCACAGUUUCAGGUUCAGUUAGUCCAUCGAACCCUAUGCUUUCACCUGCUGGUCCAUAGUUAAAGUUCCAAGAUAUUUGUAUUGGACCCCUGCCGUAAUAUCCCUUGCCUGGCACACAAGGGUACUGAGUGUUGCGCUCAUCACAAUAGUCUUUGGAAGGGCCGUCUAUCUCUUCUAUAUAGCACAUAUCUGCACAAUAUAGAGAAGUCUGUAUCAAUUAUCACUGCAUUCAAUUGCUUAUAUGAAAGCCACUCAUUGAUACAUUAUGGAUUUUAGAUAUUUUUACUAUUAAAAAAUCUAUAAUCUAAAUACAAAAUAAAUGAGAACAUAAAAAAAAUUAAUUAUUUAAAAUCAGAAUCUAUAGUCAGUUAUAAUAAUCAAUCAAGAACAACCCCAAAAAAUGUCAUCAAUAUUUAAGAAGGGACCAUAUGUGAUAAAGAAAUUAUAAAGUUAUAAGUAAUCACAGACUAAAUAAAUAACCAAUACAACAAAGUAGAAAAAAAAAAGGAAAACAAUAAUCCCUCUGCCCAGUUAUAAGAGACACACCCUCAUGAUAAAUUUCUUUUUUUUCUUUUUCAGUUAUGUCAUUUUAAGUUAUUUGACAAUAGAAAGUAUUUCAUAUUAAUGUCGUUAUCUUUGAAGAAAGUUCUUGGACAAUAGUGCACAGGACAACAUCCUACGUAGAACUGUACAAAGAUUUAGUAAAUAGGAUCUAAGACGUAGAAAAGUUGCUAAAAAUUUCAAAAAAACUAAAUCUCCUUGGUGGAGUUGUUCAAAGCUUACGUCCAGUCUCAUGAGUGACAUGAGCAAAGAAGGCGGCAAUCUCCCUUUUGGAAUCAUCAACUGAACCAACUGUUCCAAACUCAGAAUACAAAUUCUGAGCUUCAAGAAACGCCGAUCGAGUAUAGAACCCUUUUCCAGCACAGCUUGAACCAGCUUGAUCAGAAAUCCAGCUAAAGAAAGCGUCUGUCACAACAUCAGCAACUGAAACACCAUUAUUACCACCAUCUGAUGAAGCGGUGCAAGGGCCGGACUGGCAGCCUUUGCCACAAUAGUCGUCGCUGGUGCCACAAUAGCCCCACUGGCUGCAGCAUAAAUCUGGUUCACAGUCACAGUUUUGGCUUGAAAUCAGCUGGGAAAAGGACCCUACAAGAACUGCAAUGGAGAAAAUGAUGAUUCGAAAAUUCUUCAUUUCUGUACUUGAAGAAGGAGAAAAGGAUGUGGACAGAAAUUGUUUGAGUAAGAAGGAUAUUUAUAGCAUGGAGAACUGGAAAAGUGAUCAGCUUGUGUGAAGUAUGGAGAACUGCUAUUGUUGGAAAUCUUGAAGUUGAGCACUGAAUGGAAUGGAUAUAAAAUGCAAUAUUAGUGCUUGACUUUCAAUUAAUCUAUUGACUUUGGCACUGUCAAAAAGUAGCAACCUUCUUUCUUGGCAUUCGGAAUGGGAAUUGUGGAAAAGAAAAAUUUUGGCCAAUUGAUAUCAACAAUUGUGAGUACAAGUCACAAGUCACAAAUAUAAUGCGUGCAAAAAAGAUAACUUGAUGUUGUCUGUAUCAUCUGAUGUUAAUAAAGCCUAACUCUGUUGUAGUCCUAUUUCAGUCUCGUAUUUGAGUCAGAACACAGAUGAUAUUUGUACCAUUCUAGAUCCACGGGCUGCCCUACUACAAAUACUUUUCAUUUGGCUUAAAAAAAACAUUUUAAAGGGUGUAAGCUUUACAAUUAAAGCACGAUCUUUACCUUAUCAUGCAAAGUAUUGGACAUAUAAAAUUUUAUCAAACUGUUGUAGUGAAAAGAACUCAAAUGAUCAAAUUUUAUCCAGUUGAUAAAUAUAGAAUCCUAAAUAAAAUGCAUAGUCCUUUUUUUUUCCUUUAGAGUUCUUAUUGCAUACUAUAUGAAUUAAUUGGUAAAAUUUUGGUAGCGUAUAGGAAAUGAUACCAAUAUAAAAACUACAUUUACUACUCGAGGGCUUAUUAUGCUGCCCAAUUUUUUGGUUUCUACCAUGAGCUGAAAAAAAAUCUUUUCGAAGCAUAAGUUUCCCCAAAUUCUCAUAGACUUUACAAAUGAAAGUUAUUUGUUUCUUGUCGUUCAUUGACUCACCAUGCGUGUGCAGAUGAAUUAUUGAUUGGCCUUUUUGUGGCAGAAAGAUAAAACAGAAUUGAACCAAAGACCUCAUAAUUCCCUAAUUAGUCACUUCAGCCAGUUGAAUUAGAUCUUAUUCACAAGUUUUUUGUACUUCGGUAUAAUAGCGCUCCUGUUCCUUAGUCUCUUAUGCUUCGGUUUACUCCCAAUCUUAAUUGCCUUAACAUUGGUGCAUUUAGACCCUUGCAUUUGGUAAUUCAUAAUCUUAGUAUAGUUAUGAUCCUCAAAUAUCAUACCUUGAGAAACAUCACGGCUAAAAUUACCAACAGCAUAUUGAAACAUGAAAAGUAAAUGAAAGACGUGCAGAAACUUCAAUGGAGAGGCUUGUUGAGAGUGGAAACACCAAAGUCGAAAGCUCGACGAAUACGAUCAAGGGUUCAAAACUGGAACAUGCCUAUUCGUAAAUAGUCCAAGAAAUCGAAACAAGACCAACAAAAUCAAUUAUAUGAUUUCAAAACUUAACAACUUUCGCUUGUAAAGAGCAAGAAAGGUAAACACCUUUUGCUAAUUUUUAUUAAUUUCCAAUCAGUUUUAAGCCUUUAUAGCUCAACAUAUUACUCCCUUCCGAGCACUUUCGGCUCUCCAGAAGUACCCUAGCAUCUGAGAUUCGGACCAGGAUCAACACCCAGUUGGCGACAAUAUUGAGUAUAAUACCCAACACGAGCACUAACAGUGUUUGGAUUUGCACCGUCACAUUCAAGCCGACCAUUAAUGGCACGAAUUGUAGCCCCGAAACCCUGGCCGGAAAUGAUAAGAGAAUGACAAUGGUUCAUCCAAAACCACAAGGCAGUUUUGAAUGAAAUAACAUUAUUCCUGGCUACAAGUUCAGGUUGACUUAGUCCAUUGAACCCAAUGCUUUGUCCUGCUGGUCCAUAGUUGUAGUUCCAUGAUAUUUGUAGUGGACCGCGGCCGUAAUACCCCUUGCCUGGCACACAUGGAUACUGAGUGUUGCUCUUGUCACAGUAGUUUCUGGACGGGCCGCUUAUCUCUUCUAUAUAGCACAUAUCUGCAUGAUAUAGAGAAGUGGUAUUAGUUAUCAUUCCGUCGAAUUGCCAAAAAAGGAAAAAAUGAACGUUAGGUAAGACAAGGAUUGUCGGAUGAUAUGAUAAUGAAAAAUGUAGCAAAAUUUUAUGAGUUCUAAUAACAAUUAAUUGCAAAAUUAUAGAAUUGAAAGGAUUUAAGAAUCACAAACAAAAAUAUUUAUGUGGGAGAAAAGAGAAUAAAUAACUUAACUCAAAAUGUCAUUAAUAUUUCAAACAAAGAAGAAAAUCUCACCACAAUAAAAAUCUAAUAAAUUUUCUAUAGACUAUUUUAGGCUCUCUUAAAUUUUUAGAAAAUACUCCACCUAAUACUCUAGUGCUAAUUUAUGAGAAUCAUUGAAUAAGAAACAACACGAUUAAUUAUGAAAUAAAACACCAAUCACUAAAUAAUAAAAUUACUAGAAAUUGACUUCAAUAAAACUAAUGAUAAUUAAAUAGAAAAUUUUUGAAGCUUGGUUUAUUUUGCCAAAAAAAGAAAAGAAAAGAAGAGCCAUCAAUAUUUAUGAAUAGACCACAAGUGAUUUAAAAUUUACAAAGUUGUAAGUAAUGAUUUAAAAUUUACAAAGUUGUAAGUAAUCACAUGCUUACUAAAUUAUAAAGUUGACUACUACAACAAAGUGAAAAGAACGGAAAAUAAUAAUUUCUCUAUCCAAUUAUAAGUGGCACCCAUAUUCAUGAUAAAUUAUUACAAUAAUAAGUAUUUCUUGUUAAAAUUUUAGUUUUUGAAGAAAGUUCUUGGAUAAUAUUGCAAAGAAAAAUAGUCAAAACUUGGGGACAUCCGGUUUUCAAAAAUCCAAUAGACCAAAGUGUGCUAUACUUUCUCACCAAGUGGUUUAACACAAUUUGGACUAUUGAAUUUUUGAACAUGGGACUUACCCAAGUGUGAGUCCAGAAAAAUAAUCUAUAUAUUACUGUACCAACAUUUAGAAAAGUUACUAAAAAUAUUUUAUAGAAAGUUCCAAAGUAAUUCUCUUUGGUAGAGUUGUUGAAAACACUUACGUCCAGUCUCAUGAGUGACAUGAGCAAAGAAAGCAGCAACCUCCCUUUUAGAAUCAGCAGCAGAACCAGCAGUUCCAAACUUAGAAUACGACUUCUGAGCUUCAAGAAAUGCCGAUCGAGUAUAGAACCCUUUUCCAGCACAACCCGAAGCAGCUUGGUUAGCAAUUCCAUUAAAGAAAGCGUCUGUGACAAUACCAGCAACUGAAGCACCAUUAUUACCACCGCUGGGUGCAGCAGUGCAAGGGCCGGAUCGGCAGCCGGGGCCACAGUAGUCGUUGCUGGUGCCGCAAUAGCCGAAUUUGCUGCAGCAUAAGUUUGGUGCACAGCCACAGUUUUGACUUGAAAUCAGCUGUGGGAAGGCUCCGACAAGAACCAUAAUGGAGAAAAUGAUGGUUGGAAAAUUCUUCAUUUUUGUGCUUGAAGGAAGAGAAAUGGAUGUGGGCAGAAGCUGUUUGAGAAAAAAGGGUAUAUAUAGGGAGGAGAACUGGAAAAUGGAUCAGCUUGUGUGAAGAAGGGAGAGCUGUUAUUGUUGAAAAAAUUUAAGUUGACUAAUGAAUGAAAACAGAAAUCACGUUUGACUUUAAUUCGUGCAUUGACUUUGACAGUGUCAAUAAGUGGGAAUUUUUGUUCUUGGUUUCUAGAAUGGUAUUUGUGAAAGAUUGAUUUUGAUCAAUUGAUAUCAAUAAUUUUGGAAUUGAAUAAUGUAGACUCACAAGUCGCAACUACUGUGUGUAUUUUUAUGACUUGAAGUUGUCUACAGCAUUUAAUUUAGUGCUCAUUAAUUCAUUAACUUGCCUAACUAUGUUUUAGUCAUACUUCACAUUUGCAUUUGAGUUUAAGCACUCAAAAAUAUGAGACAGAUCAAUUUGUCAGUUACAAUUCAUGAAAUAAAAUAGUGUAGAACCUGUGUUAGAAUAAUUUUAGGUUAAAUGGUAAAGAAAAGCAACACUUUUACAUAGCAAUAUAAGUGGUAGUCAGUUUUGGAAAAGCUAAGAAAGGAUUAAAGCCCCGCUUGAUAACCUAAUUCAACACUUAAAUUUAUUGAAUUCAAAUUUUAAUAUAUUCAGACCAUUUGAUAACCAAAGAUUGAACAUCUGAAUUAAUUAAUUCGCACUGAAUUUUCUAGGUAAAACUUAUUUCCAAAAUUAAGUGAUAAGCUAUUCACUUAUCAUUGAAUAUGAUAUGCACUCAAAUAUAUUAGAUUUAAUACUUAACAACUCAAUAAUUUAACGGAUUUAAAUUUAAAUUUUCAAUUUUCAAAUUUGAGACUUCAAUUUUCACGCUUAACUUUUGUCAAACGCAUCCUAAUUAGGCCACUUGCAUAUCACGAAUGACAAAACCAUGUGGCUUCUGCUAGUACACGUUUCGACAGUAUUCCACUUCACGUGUUUGUUGGGCAUACUGGCAUGUCCAUUUGCAUCAUGUCCUAUUUCAUAACAAAAUAUUAUAUUCUAAAUAUAUAUGAAAUAUUUAAUUUAUAUAUGUUAAUUUUUUAAUACAAUAAUAUAAUGUACUUGUAAAUCAAAUAGUAUUAAGUAAAAUAACUACAUAGAAGCAGAUAAAAAUAUAACUGCAGUGCCCCUGUUAGAUUGAAUCUUUAACAAAUUGAAUGCUUUGAACUUUUUUCAUUCAGGAUUUCAGUGCUAUAAUUUAUAAACAGUAUUUCCAAAAAAGAAUUGUUAGUGAAGAUAUCAAAUUGGUGCCCCUAGUAAGUAAUUGUGUUCAGAAAACAACUAGAGUCAAAAGUCAAAUUUUCGUUUCUUUCCUGUUCUUGUCUAAAGACAAUUCUGCAGACAAAGAAGUUGGAAAAAAAAAUAUGCUCACAAUUUGGCAGGGCAAACCUCCUUGCCUAAAAAUUAAGAAAAAUCCACGCCUAAAAAUUAAGAUAAGAAAAAAAAAUCAGUUCAUUUUCUCCUCAUGUUCACUAUUAUCUUAUUAAAUUAAAGGAAACCACGCUUAUAAAUUAUAAUCACUUGCAUCAAAAUCCAACGGCAAUUUUCUCCAUUUUUUGGAAAGAAGAGGAAGGGGGAAAAAGGAAGAAGCUUCCGUAGAAAAGGAAAGAAUUGAGAAAUGUGAUAGGUACUCUGUCUCCCUCUCGGCAAGUGCGGCUUAAGCCAAGCACAGCUCACAGAAGUCCAUUGUUGAAUUAGUCUCCCUGAAAAUUUCUAGCCAUAAAAAUUUUAACUUUUCCUUUUAGUAUAAAUGGAAGAUCUCGAAGUGGGGACCUCUUAUUUACAUUUUCUCUCCUCAUAUCAUUCAACUCAUUUUUUCCCCGAAUUUCAACUUGCUACUCCAUAACUUAGCUUCAUGGAUCUAUAUUUAUGUUCUCAGAAAUGUGAUGUCAUACUUCUAGAUACAUUCAAAAGCGAUGAAUAGUCGAUCAUUUGGACAAUUGUAGUUUAAAGAACUAAGAAUUAGUGCAAAUAUCUAGUUCAUUGAAAACGUAUGGCCCUUAAUUUUUGUAUUUUGACGAUAUACAAGUCUGAAAUUCUAGAAAACAAAGAAAACUGCCAUCCUUGAACAAUUCUUUAGAGAUUUUUUGUUCUUUUUAUUUUUUGAGCAAAUGAAACAUCUUCCCGUUUAUCAUUGGAACAUAAGCUUUACAAAGGAGCAAAACCUCUUACUACAACAAAAAAUCUGGAGCGAGCUAUACCCAUUAUACAAUACUAUGCAUGUGAAAACAAACAAAACAGACAGAAUUCAACCAAGAUCAAUCUAGCAAACGUCCGUGAUCUAUCCCCCAUUCUAACAACAACUCCCAAUUUUCCUUACUACCAGGAGCUUUAGCCCAUAAGAGACAAGUCAAGUUGAACAAUUUUAACCACUGCCGAUUUAAUAAAAUUUGGAGUGAAACCCUCCAACGUGUACAGGGUUUGUCUUUCCAAAAAAACAAAAAACAAAAAACAAAACCGCUGCUGCAACUACUUCCAUUAUCAGUAUUCUGUAUACGAAAAUCAACAUUUAGUCUUUCCCAAAUUUAGUAUAUUUUAGUGCAUAAUUGAAAAAAAUUCUCUUGGCACAAGUGGAAAAUUAUAGAUUUGAAAUCAAUUACAAAAUUUCCUAGAAAAUAGACGCCCACUGAUCAACUAUGGCGCUUCGUAGUUCAGCUUUUCCAGUCUCAUACGUAGAAGUUGGUCCUAAUAGUGCAUUAAUGUUUCAUAGUUAAUCAGAAUUUUCUAUGACAAAAAAAAAGAAGAAGAUUCAUGAAGAAAAAUAAUCUAUUGGCUGUACUUUAUUUCGAUUUAGACAUCAAUAGUGCAAUGGCAAAAGGACUUUGUAGAUGAACCUAGUUGAUGUAAUGAAUUUAUGAUGAUUUAAUUAACUAAAAAGGCAAUCAAUUCGGUCUGCUUAAUGUCAUACUCAAGAGGUCAUCAUCUUUGUCAAAGGGUCUAUACAUUCCAUACAUUAGUAGUAAAUGUUAGUGGAUUUGUUACUAUUGCUGACCAUGUUAGCCACUGAUUUCUAUUAAAUCAUGUCUUUAGCUUCUUAUAAGCUUCUCUAUACCCUACCUAAUCUCAUACCAUUUUACUUUCUCUUGGAUUAUGUGGAAUGCCUACUUGACCGCAAUGUCUAUAUUUUAAUGAUACCAGUACAUUUUCAAAUCUUCAAUUAGCUUUUAAAGUAUCGAAGUUCAGUUCACUAAUUGGCCAUAAAGACAGAUCAAUAGCAAAGUUGAAAUAUGCCACUUAUCCUGAGACGUUGUAGAAAGUUGGAAUGUUAAUGUCGUCCCUUGUAAUCCGAAUAUGUGAAACUGAAGUUGUUGAAGGGUGGGGGAGAGUUGGGUUGGGUGGUACGGGGCAGGAAGUAUAAGCAAGAGGUCUCGAGUUCAAGUCCUCCCGCUUACACUAAAAAAAAUUAAAAAAAAAAAGAAGCUGUUGAAGGGUGAAUGAGUUUUUCAGUUGUAUACAAGCUGUAUAAUGGGGUUUUCAAUAAAAAGUUUAUCAUUUUCUCAAAAAAAGAAAAAAAAAAGAAGAAGGGUGAAUUGAGGAAGCUGAAUGCUAAGCGAUAUAGUUCUAUUAGUGAUAGAAUAUAACAGGUGUGUAUGGCCAGUUAUGUGAAGUGCAAUCGUUCUCCUUCAUUCACCUUUUGAUAUUACUUUACGGGCCAAAUAUAAGAAUGAGAUCUCUUGGGCUGGCCACGUCUUCUUCUUCUUCGUUUUUUUUUUCCAUUCUUCUUAUAGAUCUUUAGGCGAAUAAGCAAUCUUUGGGGAAAUAAUGUAGUAUAUUUGGACAUUGGGAUAAUUUAACAAAUCUCCAUUGAGUUUUAUGACAAAUUCAUCAUAGUUCCCCCUCAAAUUAUUGCAUUACACUUGUGUCUAUUAGCUAUUGAUUUCCAAGGUAAAUGCUGAAUUUCCCCUCUAGGUUUACCAUUGACACUUUCUAUACAAAGCGAUACAAAUUAUAUAUAAGAGAUUUGUGAAAGUGUCAUACUUCCGAGCUAUAACUCAUAAACAAAGGCAUUCGUAAAACCCUUUUGAUUCAAAUAUAUAGAUUUUUUUUUAUCCAACACCAAAAUUAUAUUGCCCAAUAAAAAAAGAAAACCUUUUUUUUUGGUUAAACCAAACUAUUAUUAUUGCAGCCCCAAAAAAGUACAAAGUUCGGGACCAGCCCUUCCCUAAGAAUACAAGCUCACACACCCUGCCCCACCUCUAAUUAACCCCUACCGCCGGCAUCUACGAAAAUUUGGAUACCCACACACAUCUAAUAUAUAGAUAUACUCACCUAUACACUUAACAAUUUAAUGUAUGCUAAAGUGAGUAGAAUAGGGUUUUGAAAAAGUACUCAAAAGUAUGCUACUUCCAUCAUUACCUUCUAGCACGCAUUGUGCAAACUCUUUUCAAAUAGAAAAAAGGGAAUGAAGAGGAGAUACAAAAAAGGGUUGCAAAUUCUUUAAAAUAUGGCAAGGGUAAGCAUGCAAGUAACAUAUAACAUGAAACAAACAUGUUAAGGAAACCUUAAAACAAGAGAGGUAACAGUAAGUUUGAAAACUUUGGUGCAGCUAAAUGAAGUCAAAAACCUAAAACAAGGUUGAUGGAAUUAUCCCUAGUAAACUCUAUGUGUCCUUCACCAAGUGAAAAAAUACUGUUCAAAAUUCUUAUUUCUAUCGGAACCAUUUCGAGGAACUCCAAUUCGGAUGUCAAUACUAAAAGAAAUUUUCCCUAUGGUACCCCUGAUUUUGAAAUUCACUAAUUAUUUGUAUAAUUGUAUCAUAUAUAUGCUUUUAUGUAUUGUGUAAUGAUUCACAUCAAAUUCAUGAGAAAUUUCGCAUCCCUCUCACAAAAGUUAGCAAAUGCAUUGUAUAUAGGAAGCUGAAAACCAAACAAGACUUUAUUAUUAGGUUAUCGAUCAGUAUUAUUGGUCCUAUCCAAGUGUCAUCACGUUUUGUUUAUUCAAGUGUCAUAAUGUUAUUGAUAGUAUAAUUGGGUUGCAUGAUUAUGGUUGAAAGUGUGGAAUAUGCGAUUAAACUCCGUGUUAGGAGUACUGGUUUUGCUGUGGGUUUUUUCGUUUUCUUUGUCAGCUGCGUGGGGGCUUUAGAGCAUAAGCCUUUGUUUUGUUUCUAAACAUCACCGCCAAAAUUGCCAAUAGCAUAUCGAAACAUGGACACUAAAUGAAAAGAUGUGAGGAAACUUUAAUGAAGAUAUGCCAAAGACAAAAGCUCGAAAAAAUAUGAUCAAGGGAUCAAAAUAGGAACAGGCGAACACCAACAAGUUAAGUCGAACCAAGAUCAACAUAAUCAAUUAUUUGAUUUCAAGAGUCAUAACUUUGCUUGUAAAGAACAAUUAAAGGUAAACAAUUUGUUGCUUUCCCCCCCUCCCCAAUCAGGUGUGUACCUCAACAUUAUUUCACGUCAUGAACUUGUUUUUCCUGGGAUAAAUACCCUAGCAUCUGAGGUUAUCACCAGGCUCGACACCCAAUUGUCUACAAUAUUCAGUAUAAUACUCAACUCGAGCACUAACUGUGUUUGGAUUUGCACCAUCACAUUCAAGCCGACCAUUAAUGGCACGAAUUGUAGCCCCAAAACCCUGGCCAGAAGUGAUAAGAUCAUGACAAUGGUUCAUCCAAUACCACAAGCCAGUUUUGAAUGAAAUAACAUUAUUUGUAGCUACAGUUUCAGGUUGGCUGAGUCCAUUGAAUCCAAUGCUUUCACCUGCUGGUCCAUAGUUAAAGUUCCAUGAUAACUGUAUUGGACCCCUGCCGUAAUAUCCCUUGCCUGGCACACAUGGAUACUGAGUGUUGCUCUCAUCACAGUAAUCUCUGGAGGGGCCGUCUAUCUCUUCUAUGUAGCACAAAUCUGCGCAAUAUAAAGAAAUUUUGUCACUCAAUUGAAAUGAUUGAUAAAGGGUUAGAAUCAAAGAAAAUCAGCAGGUCUGGAAUUUUUUGUAAAUUUUUAGAUUUGAUUGUUUUACUGAUGAAUUCAAUUGGUGAGAAAAGAAUUUAUCCCAUUUUGUAAAAAUUGGAUUGGACAGACUUAAAGUAAACACUUCUUUUAUGAGGUAAAAUUUUAGAAUGAUUUAACAUUAUAGGGUUAUACGAUAGAUAAAUAAAAAUUGGCAAUAGCAAGAUUAAGAUGGGACUAAAAUAUAUUUGGUUAAUAAAUUUGAAUUAAUUUACGGCCAAAUUUAGGUGAAAUAGUUAAUUCUACUUGGUAAAUUGGAAGUUCGGAAAUGUGUAUCUGUCAGUUGUCAUACUCAUGAGUAAGCCAAUCUUCACUUAAAAAAAAAAGUAAUCCAAAAGAUAAAGCCGCAUGAUCAUCUACUUUUACAUGCAGCAAAAUACACAAUCACCAUAAGCUUAGAAUGUAAAGGCAGAAAAACUUGCUUCUGUAGAUAUAAAAGUGACCACUACAAGAAAAGUAAAAAGAAGAUGGAGAUAAUAAUCCUUCUAUCCCCUUAUAAGGAUUAAACCUUCGUCAUGAUAAAUUAUUUGACAGUAAAAACUCUUUCAUAUUCAAGUUUUAUUUUUUGAAGAAAAAAUUCUUGGAUAAUAGUGCACAGGAUAAUUUAGAUUCCAAGAUAUACUAUCUAGAAAUUUACAGGAGCUACUAAAAUAGUAGAAAAUAUCUUCAAAAUUUAAUUUCCAAGCUAGUGUUAUUCAAAACUUACGUCCAGUCUCAUGAGUGACAUGAGCAAAGAAAGCAGCAAUCUCCCUUUUAGAAUCAUCAACAGAGCCAACGGUUCCAAACUGGGGAUACGAAUUCAGAGCUUCAAGAAAAGCUGAUCGAGUAUAGAACCCUUUUCCAGCACAGCUUGAAGCAGCUUGAUCAGCAAUUCCAUUAAAGAAAGCGUCCGUCACAAUAUCAGCAACUGAAACGCCACUAUUACCACUGCUCGGAGCAGCGGUGCAAGGGCCGGAUUGACAGCCAGAGCCACAGUAGUCAUUGCCGGUACCGCAAUAGCCGAAUUUGCUGCAGCACAAGUCUGGUGCACAGCCGCAGUUUUGGCUUGAAAUCAGCUGUGGAAAGGCUCCUACAAGAACUACAAUGGAGAAAAUGAUGGUUGGAAAACUCUUCAUUUUUGGAUUUGAUAAAGUAGAGAAGCUUGUGGGCAGAAGUUGUAUCAGAAAGAAGGAUAUAUAUAGGGAAGAGAACUGAAAACCGAUCAGCUUGUGUGAAGCAUGCACCGCUGUUAUUGUUGAAAAUAUUGAAUUUGAGCAAUUAAAGAAAACGGAAGACGAAAGCGUGAAUGGUUGACUUCUAUCGAGUGUAUUGACUUUGACAUUGUCAAUGAAGCGGAAACUUUCUUUCUUGGCUUCUAGAAUGGAAAAGGUCAAACGGGAAGAUUUUGGCCAAUCAUAUAAACAAUUGUGAGAAUAAGUCACGUAGACUAACAAGUCCCCACUAUAAUGUGUGCAAAAAUAUAAUUUGAAGUUGCCUAAAUCAUUUAAUUUGAUGCUUAUUAUUGAGUUUACUUGCCCAACUAUGUUUUAAUAAUAUUUCAAAAUUGUGUUUGAAUUAGAACAAAAAAAUAUGAGACAUACUUAUUUAUUUAAUUGCAAUUCCAGAAAUAAAAUCGUAUACAACAUGUAUUAGAAUAAUUUUUAGGGUAAAUGAUAAAGAAAAGAAAUACUUCUACAAAUUGACGUAAGUGAUCAUCAGCUUUUCGAGAAGUUCAGAAAGAAUAAAGUGGCCGAUAUAUAUAUCAUGCAUGGCAAACUAUGUGGCUUUUGUUAGUACACGUUAUGACUAUAUGUAUGUUUCAUUUGACAUGUUUGUUGGACGUGUUGAAUUGUUAGCAAUGAAAUGCUCCAAAAUGUUUUCAUGCAAGAUUUCAGCACUGUGGUUUAUAAGCAGUAUGAGGUCAUAGUGAAUUAUCGACAUAUCGUCACAUGCAGAGUCGUGAAAAUAUACAAGUCUUUCCCUAUCAUUAAUUAGUUGGUUAAAUGACAAUUUCUAGAAUGGAGCUUCAUGGUUGGCCAUGUCAAGAAACAUCUCGCAGUAAAUUGGGCGAGUUAAUAUGGUCCUCUUGUUUUACACAGGAUGUACUUUUCUUUUUCUAAAUAUUUCCCCUUAAACUCUCAAAUUGAUCAUAGUGUUAACUAAUUUUGCUCUGGUUUUAUUCUUGGUUCGCAAAAUUCAGUAAAACCAAAACAAACCCUUGUUACUGAAGAUAUCAAAAUGGUACCCCAACUAAGUAAUUGAUUUCGAAAAACACUCUGAACCAAAUUUCAAGUUUUGGUUUCUUUGCUCUUUUUCUACUGAAAGGCAACAUCCCCGGGCCAAGAACUUGAAACAAAUAGUAUGAUGCUCAAGUUUUCUAUGCUCUUAUGAUCAAGUCAAACCAUGCUUAUAAUCAAUUACAUAAAAAAAAAAAAAUCACGGGCAAUUUUGUUACUAUUUGGGAGGAGGAGGAAUAUUAAGCAAAAAAAUAUUCUAUUAAGAAAACGAUGAAGCAUAUUAUUUUCCAGGAAUAAAAAAUAACGAGCAGAAAAAAACAAAUAGUAUGAUGCUCAAGUUUUCUAUGCUCUUAUGAUCAAGUCAAACCAUGCUUAUAAUCAAUUACAUAAAAAAAAAAAUCACGGGCAAUUUCGUCACUAUUUGGGAGGAGGAGGAAUAUUAAGCAAAAAAAUAUUCUAUUAAGAAAACGAUGAAGCAUAUUAUUUUCCAGGAAUAAAAAAUAAAGAGCAGAAAAAUACAUUAGUUUGGAUGACAUUAGAACAUUUAGCAACAGGAUUAGGGAUGCAAUGGGAAGAGUGCCAACUGGGAAUCAACAGGAUGGGAAAAAAUACAGGGCGGGGUGGGGGGGAUUGGAGAUAUAAUAAAUCUAAAAUUUUGUUUCUUUAGGAAACUUACAUAAGUGAACUUAAUAUUUCCUAAAAUAAUAUUUAAAAGUUAUAUUUAUUGUAAGGAAAAUAGAUUUGCUUUAUUUUGAGAUACUUUUUAACUUAAGGAAACUAGAGUUAAUUUAUUUUAGGACACUCUUGUUAAGGAGAAAUUAAAGGAAAUUAACAAUCUAACUAAUGAUAAAUAUGUUUUUUUUAGGGCAUUCGGUUGGUGCUUGAGAACACACCCGAGUACUGCAGCGUCUGCUGGAGAUUAGAGCAUUCGGUGGAGGAGUGCAGGAAGGAUACUCAUAACGGUGCAGGAGCCUUGGUUAAGGGCAACCAACCGCAAUUUGUAUCGCAGAGUGAUACUGUUGGGGCUGUCAUGGAGGCAAAAGGCAGUUCGGUUGGUGCGUCGAAGCCGCCCGGGGGGGGGAACACUCCCAGCAGCGCUGAUGGAGGCUCCGCUCUCCAUCCCUGGUCGAGAUGGCAAAAGCCCAGCGGCAGCAGCUGCGGUAACAGGGGUGGUGCCCAGGGAGGCAGAGCUGACCCACGAGCAUCAGCCUACUCGGGUUGCUGGUGUGAGUGUGGAGCUCCUUGAGGGAAGCGGGCAGGAUGAUGGCGCGCCAGAGGGGGAGCGUUCCACAGCAAGGGAAGGAGCCUCGCUUGCGCAGGUGAAUGCUAGAGCGGAGAUAAUGGUGGAGGGGCGACGUGCGGCUGAGCUUCCAGUGGCAGCAGGCUCGAAGGACAGUGGGCAAGCUGUUGGCGCACCAGAAUGGGAUCAGGCUGAGCAGGUGGAUGCUAGAGUAGAGAUCAUUUUGGAGGGGUGCAGUGCGGAUGUCCAGACUGCAACGGGCAAUCUGUCUCCGCGGCCCAGCGCCUAUUAUGGGGAGUUGGCAGCUUCUCCCUUGGAGGCGAUGAAUGUAGAUCAGUCACGGGCAUUGGAGCCGGCUAUAAAACUCGGAAAAUCAAAGGGAAUAAGAGCGAUUUUCCCUUCCGACAGGUAGCUGCGUUCCACUUCAACAUCCUCCAAAAACGGAUUCCAGGUUCUUUCCCAUGAUUAAUAGCAUAUUUUGGAACAUUAUGGGGGUUUCCAAACCUCCUAAUUUGAGACGGUUGAAAAACCUUAUUCGAUUACAUAAAGUUCAGCUGGUAGCUAUAUGUGAACCGAAACUUGAUGUCACAAAUAUUGAGAGCAUCCGCUUAAAUUUAUCGUUUGAUGCUGCUGUUGUUAACUUGUCAGCAGAUGUUUGGGUCUUGUAUAAUUUUCCGUUAGUAUGCUCUAUAGCUGGGAAUUCUCAGCAACAUAUCUCCUUGAAUGUCCAUCAUCCAUGGCUACCUCGCUCCUUGCGAUUUUCUUUUGUGCAUGCCAGGUGUACAUUGGAAGAACGACGGGGGUUGUGGCAAGCACUUUUGGUGGACAAACCACGCGACCAGCCAUGGUGCAUCUGUGGGGAUUUCAAUGUGAUCAUAUCCCCUAGCGAAAAAAAAGGAGAUCGGCCUUUUCGUGUCUCGGAGAGGUUAGAGCUUCUGACCUUCAUGGAGGAGGCGGAAGUUUUUUAUGUGGGUUUUUCCGGCUCGAGUUUCACUUGGUGCAACAAUAGCCAUGGCCGGGCUCGGAUAUGGAAGCGAUUGGAUAGGCUAUUGGUUAAUGGAGAAUGUUCUGAAUUACCGUCAGCCGUGUCGAUCACUCACUUGGCUAGACAUCCAUCCGACCAUGCACCGCUACGAGUUUCUUUCACAUCCUGUGUAGAGAUAAACCUCAUGCGUUCCGCUUCCUGAAUGUGUGGACAUCCAGAGCAUCUUUACUUGAUGUUAUUUGAACGACUUGGCAACAGGAGUGUCGGGGUUCUCCCUUAAGGAUCUUAUGCUCCAAGUUGCUAGCAGCAAGGAGAGCUAUCCAAGAGUGAAAUAAGUCCUCCUUUGGGAAUAUAUUUGCAGUGUCUCGCGAAGCAGAGGCUUCGGUGCUUAGGGCGGAAGCACGGGUGGAAACUGAGGCAUCGGAGAAUGCUCAGAUAGAGCUUCAUAGGUCUCAAGCACAGCUCAACCGUGCUUUGUCAGUGGAGGAGGAGUUUUGGAAGCAGAAGGCUCGUGUCAAGUGGCUCCGACAUGGCGACUGUAACUCAAAGUUCUUCCAUGCCACCCUGAGACAGAGGAGGAUGCAAGGGCAAAUCCACAGGAUUAAAGAUGAGACUGGCAUAUGGGUGAAGACGGAUGAAGAUAUAUCACGUGAAGCGAUACGGUAUUUUUCUGAUUUAUUCUCUGCUCCGGCGGAAUCCUCAUCAGACUUGCUGCAUGUUAUCCCUGCCAACGUCACGGCGGAGGAAAACAUGAGCUUAGAGGCCGAUCCGUCUUUCGAUGAAGUAAAAAGAACUAUCUUUGCAAUGGACGGUGAUAGUGCAGCAAGCCCCGAUGGUUUCAUGGGUAAGCUUUUUACUUUUGCUUGGGAGGUGAUUGGUCAAGAUGUCUAUAAUGCAGUUUUGAGCUUUUUCUGUAGGGCUGAGCUCCCUCAUUUUAUUACAUCUACUUCUAUUGUCCUUCUCCCGAAGGGACCGAACCCUCAGGAUUUUUUGAUGUUCAGACCGAUUAACCUCUGCAAUUUCUUUAAUAAAGUAUUGUCCAAGAUCUUGGCUGAUAGGUUGGCUAAUAUUCUGCCAAGAAUCGUCUCACCCCAACAUACAGGCUUUGUUAAGGGCAGGAAUAUAUCAGAGAAUUAUUUUCUCGCCCAGGAAAUAAUGUCAGGGAUGCGUAGAUCGUACAGGGGUGGGAAUGUAGCAUUGAAGUUAGACAUGUCCAAGGCAUAUGAUCAUGUAUCGUGGGUAUUUCUCAUGAACGUAAUGCGGCAGUUUGGGUUUGGAGAAAGGUUUCUUGACAUGGUGUGGAGGUUGAUUUCUAAUGCUUGGUUUUCGGUUAUAAUUAAUGAAGCGUCUUAUGGCUUUUUCAAGUCGGGUAGGGGAUUACGGCAGGGGGAUCCGAUAUCCCCCGCGUUAUUCGUAAUUGGGGCGGAGCUUCUCUCACAGGCUUUAAACAAUCUCGUGUUACAUUGUGGCUAUAGGGGUUUUAAGGUCCCACGGGGGUGUCCCCAAGUCACGUACUUGGCCUUCGCUGACGAUGUAUUGAUUUUCGCUAAUGGGUUUGCUCGAGCUUUGCAGGAUAUUGUGCGGGUAUUGGAGCUUUACCAACAAUCCUCGGGUCAGUUGGUGAAUAGGCAAAAAAAUGGGUAUAUCGUCCAUCUCUCCGCCUCGAUUGCUAGACGGAGGGUGAUUGAGCAUCUCACUGGCUUUUCUAGGCAACAGGCGCCUAUUCGAUACUUGGGCUUCCCAUUGUACUUGGGCCAAAGUAAGGCUUAUUAUUACGGUGAGGUGAGUCAAGCAAUAAUCGGAAGAAUCCUCUCAUGGAAGUCCAAGUUUUUGUCUCAGGGGGGUAAGAUCAUCCUCAUCAAACAUGUUCUCUCUUCUAUCCCACUGCACUUACUAUCUGCUGCAGUAAUGCCGACUUCGGUGUUCAGGGUAAUUAAAAAGGUUUGUUCUGACUUUCUAUGGAGUUCGACGGAGAGGGGGGCCAGGUAUUACUGGAUCCACUGGGAGUUGUGCUUUUCAAAGGAGGAGAAGGGAGUAGGCUUCAGGCUUCUAAAGGAUGUUUACACAGCUUUAUCUCAUAAACCCUAGUGGAAAUUCCGCACGGGGACGUCUUUAUGGGCAAGGUUCUUACGUGCUAAGUAUUAUGGGGCUUGCCACCCUUGUCAAGUGGAGCUUAAAGUGGGCGUAUCAGCAACUUGGAAACGGAUAAUCAAUGUCAGCAGGGAGGCGGAGUUGUCUAUGCGAUGGUUGGUGAAUGCUGGGACCUGUGACUUCUGGUAUGAUAACUGGCUAGGGAAUGGAGCUCUUUUCCUUAAAGCUCCUGUUCAGGGGGAUUUAUCGUUCAGAGACUUUAUUGUUGACGGGAAGUGGAACUCGGUGGGACUUGCAGAAUACCUCCCAAGGGACAUCACAACUAUGAUCCUGCAACACUCGACCCCAGAGGGUGAGAGGCCCGAUGAGGUGGUAUGGGUGUCAACAACUUCAGGAUCAUUUUCGUUAUCCUCUGCUUUUCGUGAGGUAAGGCAAGCUCGGAAUCCCUCUUGGAUAUUUUCCCACAUUUGGCUCCCCCAACUCCCUGUAAAAGUUUCUUUAUUUAUGCUCCGUCUUUUGAUGCGGAGGCUCCCCCUGGAUGAUAUCUUGGGUAAGUUUGGCUUUCAAUUACCUUCCAAAUGUUUUUGUUCUUCCAUGGCAGCGGCGGCGGGAGAAUCUAUUGAACACAUUUUCUCAACGGGACAACUAGCGGUAGAGAUUUGGGGUGUCUUUGGAUCCUCGUGCGGUAUAUGUCUGCCGGCCGUAUCAUUGCGAGAGCGACUGGUCGCUUGGUGGUUGUCCCCGCACUCAGAUGCUCAAAGACGUCAUGUUGUUUCCAUCCUGCCAAGUUUCAUCUGUUGGCAUAUCUGGAAGGCACGGAACAAAGCAAUCUUUGAAGGGGUUGAACUGACUAGGGGGGAGAUUUGCCAUGGCAUUCUCCGGGAUAUUUUCGCAACGGUUGAGAUUAAAUUUCGUCAUGGGAUUGUAGCGCAAACAUUUGAUCAGUUUUGUGAAAGACUCUCUUAGCCGCCGCUAGUACUUCGGGUCCAGUUGGUCAAGUGGUAGGCAUCUGGAAGGGGGGUUUUCUCCCUUAAUACGGAUGGGUGCUCAAAGGGGAAUCCAGGGAUGAGUGGUGGUGGAGGAAUAUUACGGGAUUCAAAUGGUCAGGUGCUAGUAGCAUUCUCAGCCUCCCUGGGGGUCAAUACAAGCUUGCACGCUGAAGCAUUGGCACUUUUAACGAGGCUUCGCGUAUGCUUCCAGCAAGGGUUUGUACAGGUGCGAGUGCAGACAGAUUCACUGGUUCUAGUAGAUAUAUUACAACGGAGGUUCCAGUGUCCAUGGCUCAUUCGAAGAGAGGUACACCAAAUAUGGCAGCUAGUCGCGAAUCCUACACACUUUUCGCAUUGUUUUAGGGAAGCCAACAAAGUGGCUGACAUCUUAGCUAAUGUAGGUAUCUUGCAUCCGCAGGAUCAUGUAAGGGUGUAUCACCAACUCUGCUCUCUUUCACAGCUAGCAAGGGGGGAAGUUAGGUUGAAUAUGCUAGACUUUCCUUCUAUUAGACUUAUCAAAGGAUCGUCGUGAUGACCGGUCCUGGUCUCGGCUUGUAAUCUUCUGAUUGGGCAAUAAAAGUUUUUUCAAUAAAAUAAAUAAAUAAAUAAAUGUUUUUUUUGGGAGGGGGAUUGAUAAAUUUUUAAUCUGAAACAAAACUCUAUAUUGUUGUUUUGGGUGAGGGGAGGGAGGAGGGGGGACUGCCCCCACAAUAGAUCUUUUGUUUCAUUCUCUGUGUUAUUUUCUGUUUCACUUUUUAUUAUAUCAUUAUUUUUUCUUCAUAGACAUCAUAUUUUAUUUUCUUUAUUUCUUUAAGAUCUAAUAACUAUUAACUAAGUAAAAAAUAAAUACAACAAUCUAAAAAUAUAUAUAUAAUAGAAAAUUAGAAAAUAUAGCAAAAAAUUUAUUAAAAAAUCUCAUUUUUCAUGCAUUUUAAUUUUUUGAAUUUGUUAAAUUUGGUGUAUUACUCAGUUAAUAGUUAUUGGAUCCUAAGGAAAUUAAAAAAAAAAACUAAAAUAUGAUGUUUAUGAAGGAAAAAUAAUAAUAUAUUAAAAAAUGAGACGGAGAGUGGCACAAGGUGUGAGACAGAAAAUCCAUUGCAGGCUGCCCUGCUGGCCCUUUCUUAUGUCCGUCACUAUAUGGCUAGAAACAAGUACCUAUUGCUGAAUUAGUCUCUCCCUUCUAACUUCUAAGAAUUCCAAGGUUUUGUAAUGAUUCCGCAGGAAAUAAGACAAAAAUAGUUAGCCAACUAUUACCUUGCUGGAAUUGUUAUAACGGCUACCACUUGCAGAAAGAAGGUUACUGAUUAGUUAGUGGGGAAGCUUUCUAUUAAUAGGCCAAUACUAAUGUAAAGGGGCAUGCAAAUUCUGAUCAUUGAGAAUACAACUUUCCCGCUUCUUUCCCAUUCAUUCUGCUCCCUCUCUUUUCUCUCAACCUUUUUCUCUCUAUUCCUUUCUAUAUUUUUGUUCCUUAGUUGAAUCAACCAAUUCCCAACCAUUACAGUUUUUUUUUCUUGUCAAUCGACAACUUCUACAUUUAUCCUACUCCUACUCCUACUUUUUCUCCUAUUCUAACCUAUCUAAAGAAUGGCCUAACAGGGCCAAAAAUCCUAUUCCUAGUUCUAUUUCCACUCCCAUUCUAACCUAUUUAAGGGAGGGUCUAGCUGGAUCAAGGGGACCUAGAGAGAGUAGUCCCCAUCUCUAGACCAACGUCUGGAUUUGGAGGAAACUACAUACUAGUCACAAUUGCUAGAAAGUAAGAAUUGAAUUCUUGAUCUCUUACUCCAAGGCCUUUGACAAGUGACUAAUUUACACUAUAUUUGAAUGAUAUCUUAUGUUAUUUUUAGUCACUUUGGCUAUAUUAUUGGAAGAAAAUGGAUCAUUCUGGCUAUAAUUAGUUUAAAAUGCUCUUAAGUGAUUAAAUGAGAUUUUUGUCACUUUUACUUGCAUUUUGUCCAUAAUUUGUAUAGGAGUUGGAAAUAUAUUUCCUUUGGAUGAAGAGGAAGUUGACAGCUUUGACACAACUUCGUAUUUCGGCUAUAACUUGAGUUACAAUGAUCGGAUUGAGAUGAUUCUAGAACCAUUUUUAAGAUAAGAGAUAGAUGUACAAAUCUUAUGAAGACAUUGAAAUACAGUUUGAAGGUUUUCCCUAUCAAAAAUCUGAAUUAUAGUGCCAAUUUCUAUUGGUCGAAGCUGAAACAAGGCAGUGAGCAGUCAAGGGUAUUUCUGUCAUUUCUCCAUCUACACAAAUCCAAAUGAGGUGAUUCUUGAUGCAUUGGAAACAUAACUAAAAGGGUUACAAGUUUCAUGUUUUGGUCAAGAGUUAAUUCAACUUCUAUCAUCAAGAAAAGUUCAGUUGAAGUUGAGGCAAAAUUGGAGCAACAUUGAAGACUGGACAGAAAUUGCUAAGAAUGGCAGGGGAGCAAUCCGGCUGAAAAUCCGUCCGGAUUCUGGCCGGAUUCUAGUCAGAAAUAGCUGCUCUCCACUUGCACAACUUAUUUCCUCCUCCAAUAUUCAUAGCUAUUGAUGGACGUGUAACAACAACUUUGCAGCUGUAAAAGUGAUAUUUGAAGCCUUAUUUCUUGACUAAAUUAUCUAUAAAUAGCCAUGGACUUAUAAGGAUAAGGAGAGCUUGGGGGAGUGCAAGAAACACCACAAAAAUGUAGUUCCUUGGUUCUUUAGUGUAGAGUAGUGUAGGAUAGUUUAGUUUUAGAUAGUUUAUCCUUUCUUGUAUGUUAGCUAAAUGAAGAUGAAGAUGGAGAUGAAGAAGGCAAGGAAAGAGCUCAUGUGACAAGGAUUACUUUACCUUUCCAACUCUUUAUCUUUUGUACUUGAUUCUAAGUUUAGUUAAUAUAUAAGUUUUGGAUUCUAUGUUUAUUAUGUGUUUCUAAAGUUUAUGCCUUGGGCUUGGUUGAACUUUCUAUGAUUGUUAGUGUUUAUUAUUUGGUUAUUUGAUGCUAUUAUUUUGAGCAAGUUAUUGAGUACUUUACCUCUUUUAAAUCAUGAUUAACUUGGUACCAUUAAUUGUAAUUAUCUAAAGGUGUUGUUUCUUCAAUGAAAAUUGAGAUUUAACAGUAAUUCAAGAAGUGCUAAACCUAGAGAAUACACUCACGAGAGUAGAGGUUCACCUAUGUGGCUUUAGUGAUUCAUUUCAUGUAAUUUCAUAGAAGAAAUGAACUUGUAGCUAAUUUCUUAACCACGAGAGUAGGUAUGGAUUAGUUAUAAGUAUAGUUGAUUCACUACGAAAGUUGGUUUCACAUACAUAAGGAAAUUUCGCCAUAACUAGCCAAAAUAGUAGUACUCAAUGAUCCAAAAAUAACACUUGCAUGAGUAGUUAGGAAUACCAUAGACUAAGGAGCUUUCAUUUGUUAUUAUCUUGCAUAAGGUUAGCAUAGUUUUAUCUCUUUUAAUUCAUUGAUCGUCUAAAUAAUGGAGAAGCUUUAGUAGUGUCGGUAAUUGUCCAAUAUCAUUUGCAAGGGUAGUGAGGAAUUCCAUAUCUCUAGAAGCUUUCUAGUACUGAUUUUCAUUACUUUUAUAUUUAUGGUAAUCUAGAUAAUAAAGGAGUUCGAAAAACACCGGUAAUUGCAAUCUUCCUUGUGGGAUCGACCCUUAAUACCCUAUACUCGCUCACGAUUCGUAUACUUACGAUAAAUCGCGUGUGGGAUAUUUAAGAAUUAUAAAUGUAAAACUUGAUUGUGGAUAAACUUAUUGUAUAUGUAUACCCUGCGCACGUCAGCCUUUAUGGUGGCCAACAGCCCAAUAGGACAUUGGUUACAUGACAUCAUACUUCUAGUACAUGAGAAUACAUUAAAAAUCAAUCGCUUUCACAGUUCCACUUCAGACAAUUAAGAAUUACUAUCCAUUGGAUAAAACUAGUUUUAACCUUCAAAUAUCUUAUUGCAAGUAAGCCUUCUAAAAUAUGCUCACGAUUACUAUAUUUUUAGCAUUUUCACUAUGUAUAAGUCUAGAAUUGUAUGAUGAAAAGAAUUUCCAUCAAUCAAUAACUACUUAAGACUUUAUUGAGCCCAAUGACUAGCUUCUGAUAUAUUUUUGAAAGUGUACACUUUAGGUCGUUAAACCAUCAUUUUCAAGUAAAAUUACAGACCUAUUAAGCAACAGUUAAGAAAUUAUAGAUUGCACAAUACUAAAUUCACAGAAAAAUGAAAGAUUACUAAAUGAGGAUAAAUAUAUAGUUGGGAGGUGGAGCUAGAAACAAAAUUCAGUACGGAUAAACAUACUGUUAAAUUAUACUACUUUCAGUGUAUAAAAAAAGUUACAAUAACUUUUCAAAUGAAUUUCUUGUGUGUUGGGAGCACAUCAAUGAUGGAUCUAAGGGGGGGCUGGGGCCCCCCUCGACCCAUGUUUUGAAAAGUUUAAUUCAUAGUGUGUAAAUAUAUAUAUAAAAUAAUGUUGGCCCCCCUUAAUUUUUUCCAAUUUUAAUUUAUAUUAUGAGAGUUUAUAUUUAUAUAUAUAUAGUCACCUUUGAAUUAAUUUUUUUAUUCAAAAAAGUUAUUUAUUUUUUACUAAUUACUUAACUUUCAAAAAAUUAAACAUACUAUUUGAUGAUCCAUAGUAAAUUGAUCCAAUUUGACAUAUUAUAAUAAAAAGACCCAAUUCACAAUAUCAAUGGGUUAAAACAAAAAUAAUAAUUUUAUUGGCCCAUAUGCAAAUAUACAACUUAACCCAAUUGAAUGAUUGUCUAAGUAUAUACAUAGAUAGGGGUGGCAAUGGGGCGGGGAUGGGGCAGGGGACACCUCCCCCAACCCCCGCCCCCGGCUUCCCCCGCCCCGCCCCGCUUCCCCCCACGGGGGCACUCGUAGGGUUAAAAAAAUUUUAUUAUGUAAUUUCAUUAUAAUUAAAUUUGAGCAAAUAAUCAAAUAUUAAAAUAUCAACACAUCACCAAAUUAUUAUUCAUUGUAACUUCACAAUUGAAACUCAUAAAAAUAAUUAAACAAAAGUUAUUUGAAUACAAUCUAAUAUGAUAAAACAAAUAUAACUAAAAUAAUCAAGUUUUCACUUUUGAUACAAAUACAAUCACUAAAUUAUUAUUGUGUUUUUUUUAGAAAAAAGUGUUAUUGUAUUAAGUGUAGUUAGAAAUUUAACAUAAAUGUAUUAAUAAAUUUAGUAUAAAUAAUUAAUAAUUUUUAUUAAUAGACAUGUAUAAUUAGUAGUAUAAUUGAUAAUAUCAUUAUAUAUAUAAUUAUGUACAUAUAUAUAUAUAUAUAUUUUUCAAACAGGUGGCGGGGCAGGGGUGGGGCGUACUCCCCUGCCCCCCGCCCCGUUUCUAAACGGGGGGAAAAAUUCCCCCCCCCGGCCUUCGCCCCAACCCCCACCCCACUAAUCCCCCGCGGGGCGGCUGUCCGCCCCCGUUGCUAUCCGUAUACAUAGAAAAGAAAAUUGCUGAAAAAUUUAUCAUUGAUUCAAUCAUAGAUGAAUUUAGUUCUAUGAAAGAAUGUAAAGCUCAAUUUACUUUAAAAUAAAAGGUUCAAAUUUUAAGUUAUAUUAACAUAACUUUUAUCUUGUUUUAAUUGAAAAUAGAUAUAUUUAUAUUGCAUAGUUAUAUGCUUUCUUUUCUUUUUGCAUAGGUGACAUAUUGGAGUUUAUGUUCAUAAUGUGCAUCUUGGAUGGUUUGCAAUGCUAUAAGACAUUUAAUCUAAUGUUAUUUCUUGUCUUAAUUUUCGUUAUGACUAUAUUGCAUAUUUAUGAAAUAGACAUACACUUAUAAUUAAAGUUAAUAUUGGAUAUUUUUAGAUAAUAUAUAUUUAAAUAGUUGAAAUUUAUUUUGAACAUAACAUAUUAAGAUAAUUUUGUUAGAAAAUCCCCCCCCCCUCACGAAGAAAAAAAUCCUAGCUCCAUCACUGGAGCAGAGAAAAAGAAGGAAAAGAGGAAUAAACAUAAAGUUGAGUUUUUGUUAGUUAUUUUUUAUUUAUUUGUAAGAGGUGAAAUGAGUUGUUUUUUAUUUUUAAUCUAUUGAAAUGGUGAGGACAAAGUGAUAAACAAAGGAUAAUAUUAGAUACAUAUUUUAUUAGAACAUAGUGGGGAAAAUAUUAUCUAACAACGACAUGAAUUGUAUAUAAGUUAUAUGCUUUUGGUGGGUCAGUGGAGGUUAUUGUCUCCAUUGUAUCGUUUCCUAGAAUCAGUAUAUUCUAGUAAAUGAUUCUAGUUAUAUGUAAGUGAUUUAUAUUACUAAUUUUUUGUUACAAUUUUUAGAGAAUAGUUGGUUGAUUCUUAAAAAUAGAGCGAAGUCAACAACUAAUGCGCUUCAUAGUUAAUAGAAGUUUCCAAGAGGGCACCAAGUAAUAUUUUCAUAAUUGAUUAGCUUGGUUUUCAAGUGCAUAUAAAAAGAUAUCCAUGAAGACCUCCCCACCCAAGGGAAGACUGUAAGUUACGAAAACGUUUACUUUACUCUCAACAAAAUGUUGAGCAUACUUUAUUUUACUUUCGACAUCAUGCAAUGAUUAAAGGAUUUUGUAUAGGGACCUAGUUAAUUCAAUAAGCUUUAUGAUGGUUUAAUUGACUAACGGAGGAAUUUGCUCAGCCUAGUAACUCUGGUACUCAAGUAAUCAUGACCUUUAUCUAAAGAUCUACACAUUCCAUAUUGAAGUAAAUGAUAAUGGAUUUAUUACUUUUGUUGACCAAGUCAAGCAAAAAGCUGUUAUCAAAUCAUGGUUUUAGCGACUUAUAAGUUUCUUGAUAUCCCAACUAACCUCAUAGGAGGGCUACUUUAUUUCUUUUUGGUUACUUUCUAAUGCCUAGUUGCCUGUCGGAUAAAAUAUUGCCUUCACGGAUUGAUUCCAAAACUUGCUCAAAAACAUCUAUUUAUUUUUAAAAUAUUGCUUAUACUAUAUUUUGAACCAUUCAAUUGCAAAACACAAACAAUUUUUCUUAUGGUGCCUUCUUGUCGUUGAAACUAGGAAGCUAACCAAACAUUUGAAGCAAAGUGAUAAACAAUUAAUAGCAAACUAUAUUGGAUCUUCGAAAGGAAAAUUGAGGCCUCAUCUAUGAAUUUAACAUUUUCCGUUGUGAUGACAUCCGAAAUUGAUUGUGAGAAGAUUUUACAAACGCUAAAAGAGUAUCUCCAUUUAAUUGUGGAAAGGAAUUUGAUUUUGUCAAAUGCACAGAUAAUGGAAAUGACAAAAUAGCAGCACUAUCCUUGUCAUUAGGAAGCACUCAAAAGUUACGUAUUAAAUGGGAGUCUAACGUACAAGCAAUGAAACACUAUUGUAUUUGCGAUAGUAUUGAUAAAAAUUAAGAUUCUAUAGUCUUUGGAUCAUAAUGAAUUCAACGUUGGAUGACACAAUAAGUAUUCUGAAUUCUUAAAUUAUAAUAAUGUUAAAUAUUUAAAAUAGAAGCUGAUAUCGUUAUUAAGAAAUACACAUUGAAGGAAUAGUUCUCUAAGCGAUAAAAAUUUUCCAAAAGUAAAAGAAUGAAUGAUCAAAGUUUUCCAUCUUUGCCCGAUGACUCGUCUCUUUCCAUUUUACUUUCCCAAAGGAUAGCAUUUAAUAGCCUCGUGCCUGCUCUCAUUUUAAUCCUAAAAUAAGUGAUCAUGGGCUUCUUUGAGAAUGGGCUUGGUCUAAAUAUUGAACGCUCAAAACAGACUUCUUUUGUUGGAGGCGGCUUUCACUAGAGAGCGUGGGACUGAUUCAGAGUUCUUUUUUUUUUUGUAGGAAAAGGGAGACUGAUUCAGACUUCUUGCUAUCAUAGUUAUUAAACCUACCUUGGAGAGGAAUCCGGUGAAGGAGGUGGGUCAACGGAUUAUUGGUUCAAUCAGUGGAUGAGUAGUUGAAUUGGUGGGUUACUAAAUAUAUUUAAAUAUUAUGUCUCAUAAUUUUUUCAUAUAGGGUAUCUGGUUUAAACUACAAUGAACUAUACCAAGCAAAUGGUUAUUUAGGGUGUGUUUAAUAAAAUUAAAAUUUGAAAUUAAAAUCUGAAAUGUGAAUCUAUUAAGUUAUUAAAUUGUUAAGUGCUAAAUCUGAUACAUUUGUGUGUGUGUAUAUAUAUAUAUAUAUAUCAUAUUAAGUAAUAAGUGAAUAGUUUAUCACUUAUUUUUAGGAAUAAAUUUUGCCUAGAAAAUUCAUUACUAUUUAAUUAAUUCAGAUGUUCAAUUUUUUAAUAUGUUAAGAUCUGAAUCCAUUAAAUUAAAGUGUUGAAUUGGAUUAUCAAACAGGGUUUUAGUCUAAUUCAUUAUAGUCUAAUUCAUUAUAGAAUGAUUAAUUAUUAUAAAAAUCUAUAAAAUCAAAAUUAAAUUAGUAAUCCACCAAAUUUCAAGUGCAAAUAUUUACCUAUAUUUAGUGUAAUUAUUUAGUUUAUUUAUGAAUUUUAAGUGCAAGAGGUUAUUAGGAACAAUAUUUGCCUUUAAAUGAAUUGUAUACUAUGUUAUUUUUGAAAUCCAUUUCAGAACUUAUAGAGUUUGAGAAAUAAUAAAUUUUAUUAAAAUAUCCCAAAUAAUUUUUAUUUUAGAGAAAUUAUAAAAAUAAAGAAACAAUUGACUAACAUAUAAUAUAAGACAGGUGAAUAACUAGCAUGUCAGCUGUUCACCUAGCGGUAAGUACUCGUUGUUUAUAUGCAUGAGGUUUUGAGUUUGAACCAUUAAAAAAACACAAUCUUGUCUAAUUUUUCCAAUAGCAACUAAUGUUCUACCUGAUUCAACCGGUCGGAUUUUCGAUUUAAUCCGGUUGAACCAUUGAUUUGUUGACAAGUCAAUGAGACUUGUUCACAUUCAAUCCAAUUAGAGACCCGAUGUUGUUUACUGAUCAGGCUUAAUAACUAUGCUUGCUGUGUUUCCUAGGUUUGCAAGAUUGAAUUCAAGGUUAAUUGUAUUCAUCUCCUUUUUGGUUAAACCAAAUUACAAAAAUCUUUUAUAUUGUUUGACCAAAUUAAGAGUACAGGCAAAGCCCUUGACCAAAUUACAAAAAUCUACCAUAUUGUCUGACCAAAUUAAGAGUACAGGCAAAGCCCUUGAUGGCAAAACAUUUAUCAAAUGCGCCCUUAUAUCAAUAGCUGUUAAAAUUGAUGCUUACAUUAACAAAAACCACAUAUUUGAAAGCCCCAAAAUAACCUUUUACACCUUGAGUUAAUUACACUUAUCUUUAUAUUUGGCAAUUGGGUGGGUUGAACGGAUUUUGGGCGGGUUAAUAUUGGAUUUUCACUUAAAUGGAUUAUACCCAACCCGUCCAACUUUAGAUUUGGUUGAUUUUGGGUUGGGUCAUAUUGGGUUAUUUCAAACCCAUGACCCAAAAAUAACCUAUUAUAUUAAUUAAUACAUAACCUUUUUUCACAUUCAUUUUAACAUACAAAAAAGAUUUUUUUCACACAUAUAAACACAUUUUCACAUACAUAAAUGUAUUUUCAUACACACUCACUUCUUAAGUUCCUUGAAAACACAUCAUAAAUAGAAUAAUAUUUUAUAUUACUUGUAUUGUAAAUUUUAGAUAAUAAAUGAUGGGGGUUGGGUUCUGCAGCAGGUUGCGUGAUGAAGUCGUAGAUGAUGUUGGGAGUACUGGGAAAGGAUGGAUGAUGAUGAUGGAGGUGAUGAGGAGGUGGCUCCGCCAUUAUACACACAGAGUAUACAUGAAUGAGGAUGGCGCCGAUGAUGACUGCACUCACUUCUUAUUAUAUGUAUCCACAUUAAUAAUUCCUAUGUACACAUGAAACUCUGUGUGUGUGUGUAGAUACAAUAUAUAUAUAUAUAUAUGUAUGUGGCGGGACUUAAAUUAUAUAUAUAUGGGACAUAGAGCCACUGCUACUGGUCUAUAGUAUAGUUCAACAACAACAGCAGCAACGGCAUUCGACUACUCUGUUAGUGCAGUGUAUCAGCAGCUUGAGGUUAAAAAAGGUUAAAAAAGAAAUUUGUACAAUAUUAUAUGUACACGAAAUAUUGACAAACAAAAGCAAUCAUGAAAUAUUAAAAAAGAAUGCAAUUAGAAUAAAUUUAAAACUCUAUUUUACGUACACGAAAUAUUAACAAACAAAAGCAAGUAGCAACUUGAGAACAACCACAAAAAAAAAAAGAAAAAAAGAAGGAGGAAAAUAACAUACUCUUAAAAGGCAUAAUAAAUUAUUAUAAAAGUUGAGUAAGUUUAACUACUGUUAUAAAAGUAAAAUAGCUAUGAGUUUUUAUUUCAAGUUUCUUUUUUCUUUUAAAUAAAAAUUAAAAAAAUUGAUUGAAAAAAAAAAAUAUAUAUAUAUAUAUAUAUAUAUAUAUAUAUAUAUAUAUAUAUAUGAGAAUUUUGAAUACAAAUUAAUCAAUGAAUUAUUAACACAUGUCCAAAUGCAAAUAGUUAGAUAUAUGUGUAUUGAAUCUUGUAUUUAUUAUUUUCAAUUACUUUUAAACAAGUUAGAUAUUGAGUACCCAAAUAAAAAAUUCAACCCGUCCAAUGAAUAAAUUGGAUUGUUCUUACCCAACCCAAUAAAACCCAUAACCCAAUUAACCCAACCCAUCAUUUAAAAUUAAUGGACGGAUUUUGGGCUUUUUUGCUAGCUCCACUUAUCUUCCUUGGAUUUUGUCCAAACUACUUUCAUCUCUCGUGAGGGUUGUACAAAUGACAAGUAAAGCCUAUUAUUGUCCAAAUCAAUUCAAAGCUAUAAAUAACCCAAUACUUUUCAAAUACACCAUAGUCAACUUAAUUAGUUGCAACAAACUUCUAAAACAAUUCUCAAAUACCGAUUAGUUACUACCUUUUUCUUUUACCAUUUUUUCUCCUCGUAGGUUAUAGUGUUACUCCACCUAAAAACUUGAAUUCGAUUUUCGCACAUCGUUGGGCCUUGCAUGAUGUCAAAUAUCAACAGUAUUUUCGGCAAUUGAUUCUUUAGUCGCAACUGCUAUGUACAAAAUUGAAACUUUUCUCCUUGUUAGCAUGCAAAUUAUCAAAAUCCAUUUUUCAAAUAAAAGACAGUAUAAACUUAAAUCCACCUUAGCACUAAAAUUUAAGGUUUCUAUAUAAACGAUAUUUUGGAAUUCAUUAGUAAAAGUCCAAGAAAAAAUUAUCUAGAAAUUUUAGAAUAAAAGCUUAACAUCUUAAUAUGGAUAAAAAGAAGACAAUCUAAAAAGAAAGUUCCGUCUAAGCUAAGUCAAUCCUUGCUGAUGGUUCAUGAUUUUGGAGGAAAUUGCUCCAAAUGCGAGACCUGGCAAGAUGAUAUAUUCAGGCUGUAGUAGGCAGUGGGCGCGCUAUACAUAUGUGGCAGGAUUCAUGGCAUCCACAUGGACCUCUGUUACAAUACUAUGGGUAUGAUAUUGUUAAGGGUAAAAAACAAAAAAAAAAAAUUCUCCUGUAGCAAACCUAAUACAUAGAAAAGCUCUCCGUAAUUUUAAAACGUACAACAUGACACCUCAUGUUUUGAACUAAAUUGUAAAGGUGAAUGCCUUAUUGGAACCUAAAAAAAAUUUUAUACCUAAUUUUUAACAAAUAUACAUGUUCUCCCUCUUAACCCUCAAUUCUCUUUAUAUAGAAAAUAAAACGAAUGAUUUUUUUGAACUGUUUUUUACUUAAUUAUAUGAAGGCAUUUUGGUCACUUCAUCCAUUUCUGUUAAGUUUAACGGAUUCCGUCACUUUUACAAUUUAGUUCAAAGUAUGGAGUGUUGUGUUGUACAUUUUGAAAUUACGGGGAUUUUUCUAUAAAUUAGAUUUACCACGGGGGCUCUUUUGUUUUUUACCCUAUUGUUAAACAAUUUAAUAGGUUUGAGAAUGCAAGACUGGCUUCAAUUGUGAACACAAGUGCUUGGUGUUGGCCACAUGGUAGAAGAAGAACCUCUCAAGCGGAGGAUUUGAUCCAUAAACUUCCCUCUGCUUGUGUACCUCUCUACCCAGGGAAGAUGAUACCUUCUCAUGGUUAUGAGAUAAAACUGGAAUGUUACUACAAAGUCUGUUAUUGCUUCUUUGAGAGAACAUUGUAUGAAUGUCGAGUGGUAUAAACUGGGGUGGUUUAAGCAACAUAUCCUAGACAUACAUUUAUCGCUUGGCAACAUAUUCCUAGACAUGCAUUUACAAACAAGCAACAUAUUGUUUGUAAAAAUAGUUUGGCUACAAAAGAUAGGUUACUUAAAUGGGGUAUGCCAGCUUAUGUUUGGAGUAGGAUACAACAGUGCUAUUUGCUUUAUGGAGGCGUAUAUGGUUGGUCUGUAGGAUUGGCAUUGUGGGUUGGUUUCCUGUAGAAUGAUGAAUUUGUUACCUCAGUCAAAAGAUUGGCUCUUGGGGGUUUUUAUUUAUUUCCUUUGGCAUGAGCGCAAUCAAAGGCAGUUCAAUAGUAAGGUGUCGAAUGCUGAUUAUGUGAUACAGCAUAUAAUUACUACUGUUAGGCAAACUAUAAUAGGCUGGCGAAGGGUGCAAAGGACACAUAGCAGCUGGGAGUUUGGCAUUGGCUGGAAUUUUGAAUAGCAGUUUUUUUUCUUAGAUUAAUAUUUCAUGGUUAUAAUAUUUGUUUUCAUUAUAGUAUGGUGUCUUGUUCCGUUAAGCUUGUAUAGGGCAGCUUUUCUUGUUGUUGGAACCAUUCCUUGCUUAUCUAAUGAAAAGAGUUAUUUUGCCUAAAAAUAUAUAUAAUAUUCUUCUUUAUUUUUCUUACUUGCCCAACCCUUCUCACACCCUUCCCAUCCCCAAGUGCUAGGUUAUACUAUUCACUUAGGCCCUGUUUAAUAACUAAUUCAGUACUUAAUAUUAAUUGAUUCAGAUCUUAAUAUGUUCAAAUGCAUUUGAUAACAAAAUAUUGAACAUUUGAAUUAAUUAAGUGGCAUUGAAUUUUCUAAGCAAAACUUGCUUUUAAGAAUAAGUGAUAAGGUAUUCACUUAUCAUUGAACGUGAUAUACACUACAAUGUAUUUAAUUUCAUACUUAACAAUUCAAUAAUUUAAUGGAUUCAGACUUUAGAUUUCAGAUUUCAGUUUUCAAAUUUUAGUUUUAUCAAACACACCCUUAAUCUAAAUAAAUUUAUUUUUUUGAAACCAAAUUAUAUAUCUAAAAUGUAGCGGACACUUGUCAUAUGGAGAAAUUGGGUUAGGUGAGCUUCGUAGCGGCCACAAUGAGCUGUAGCAAAGAAAAAGGGGAAGAGGUUUUUUUUAAAAAAAAAAUUUUAUCUUUUAUUUGUCAUUUCUUAGUAUUGAGCAAUUAAUUAUUUUCUUUUAAUUUGGGAUUCAAUUUUUCUUGGAUGAUAUCAUGAGUUUUCUUAUGAAUUGUUUGCUAUUCAAAUGAUUAAAUUUAUAUGGCCAAACUAUAUGGUAACUCUUGUAAUAUAGACAAACGUCAAGACAAGAAAAUGUUGGUUUUUCAAAAGGCAUUUUUUGUCAUUUCGCUCAUUUUGUUGGCUGAGUUUAGACGCUGUCACUCAUGGGUAAAUGUAGAUGCAUCACGUGCAAUUUUAAGUUGACCAUAACAAAUAAAGAAAUCCAAAAACAUGAAGUUUCAAAUAUUAAUGAAGCUUUUUGAAAAUAUAAAUAUGAACCGUCACAAAAUAAUUAUUAAUACCCAUAAUACUUCAAAUACUAAUAAUUUUGGCACUCAACAAUAAGGUUUCAGCCAAUCCUCCACUAUUUUUUACUCCAUGAAAAUGACUUUAAUGAUAGACAUUUGUGUUUUUUUUAACCUCCCACCCCUCUCCACGCUCUUCCCACCCCCAACUAUCAGGGCCAAAAUUCGAACUCUCAACUUGACACAUAUGUUUAUGUAUUUGUUAAGUAUAUGGUUUACUGCCUUGGCAAAGAAAUAUAUGAACUAAUGCACAUGUCAUGAUUUUCUAAGUUAAAUUAUCUUGGCGUUUUAAAUUCUUUAAGCAAUGUGAUAAAAUACAAUUUUAUUGGUUUAAAAUAUAUAUAUUUCUUACAUAUCUGUUAUCACUUGUUGUUCAAGAUUAUUUUUAAUGGAAAUAGUUUAUUCAAGUUUUUUUCUUCCUCGUCUCUUUGGCCAGGUUUGGCAUAUAAAUUAUGAGAAAACAUAGAUUAUGUAUCUUAGUUAUUUUGGUGAAGGCAAAGUACGAAUUGAGUGUCUCAAAGUCAAUUUGGAGUUCCAAAUUCAUUGGUUCAUUGGUUCCAAGUUCCAUUAUUUUUUGGACUCUUCUAGGAUCACAUACUUUAUGCAUGAUUUUGGAACUUGCAAGUAUAAACAAAAAGUGUUACUCUCAAAUGCAAAAGAUUUUCAUAUAUAUAAUAGCCCAAGUGUCUAAAAAAUAACUUGUGGAUAUGUCUAAAUUGUAAGAAAAGGAACGAAAAAAGCAUUUAGUUUGGGAGGUUGGAAGUACUUCCAAAUCACAUGUUUGAGAAUAUGUUAUUGCCCCUCUUUUCCUACAUGAAAUUCAUAUUGGAAUUGAUAUAUCAUUUUUCCGGUGCGAUGUUUAAAUUAUUGUUCAUGCAUGCUGAUGCGUGGAACCAAAGAAGAAAUUAACAAAAAUAGCAAAAGAAACAAACUCAAACUUAAUCCAUAGUACAAUACGUUCAUAGAUAGGAUGUCAUAGAUUACACAUCUUGGUUUACAGAUCCACUCAAACUCAAGCAUAAUUACAAUACAUCAGACUUUUAUUCCCACCAUCUUGGUUGAUAAAAGCACACACAAACCAAAUAGAAACACAUGAACACUUAAUUAAGCAGAGAAUAACAGCUUCUGCAAUCUGCGUAUCGCAGCUUGAUAGUCUGAUUAGUUCUUUCCUUGAGAAAUGAAAAUGAGAUCACUUUGAGAC